rnacentral:lncRNA from 1 species
CCGGAGGAAGGGGAGCAUAUAGGAAAAUGUUGGAGAAUGUACUUUGAUGGAAGCUGCUAAUGCCUUGGGGCAUGGAAUUGGGGCAAUUCUGAUUUCUCCAGAAGAACAAUACUGUCCUGUAACAACGAGGUUAAAUUUCAAUUGCACAAAUAACAUCGCUGAAUAUGAAGCAUGUGUCAUGGGUUUGCAAGCUGCUAUAGAUAGAAGAGUGAAAGUACUGAAAGUGUUUGGAGACUCAGCUCUAGUCAUAUAUCAGUUGAAAGGAGAAUGGGAGACGAGAGAUUCAAAACUCAUUCCGUAUCAUAAAUAUAUUCUAGAGUUGACGAAACAAUUUGAAGAUAUCCAGUUUGAUCACUUACCCCGAGAAGAAAAUUUGAUUGCUGACGCAUUGGCUACUCUGGCUGCGAUGAUUCGAAUUAAUGAUAAUAUCGAUAUUCAGCCCAUCAAGUUAGAUGUUAAAGAUAUACCAGCUUAUUGUUCUAAUGUAGAGGGAGAAGAAGAUGGAAAGCCCUGGUAUUAUGACAUCUUACAGUAUGUCAAGGAUCAACAGUAUCCAGUUCAAGCAACAGAAAAUGAUAAAAGGGUCAUCCGAAGAUUGGCUAUGAGCUUUUCCUGGAUGGGGAUGUCCUGUACAAAAGAAGCAAAGAUCAAGUAUUAUUGAGAUGUGUAAAUGAGACUGAAGCAAAGAAAAUCAUUAAAGAGGUGCAUGAUGGAAUAUGUGGGGCGUAUACUAGUGGACAUAUGAUGGCAAGACAGAUCAUGAGAGCGGGAUAUUACUGGUUGAUGAUGGAGAAUGAUUGCAUUGAUUAUGCUCGUAAAUGCCAUAAAUGCCAGAUAUAUGCUGAUAAGAUUCAUGCUCUGCCAUCUGCUUUACAUGUUAUGGCACCACCAUGGCCAUUUUCAAUGUGGAGCAUGGAUGUUAUUGGUCCAAUCACCCCAAAAGCUUCUAACGGGCAUAGAUUCAUUUUUGUGAUGAUAGAUUACUUCACAAAAUGGGUAGAGGCAGCAUCAUAUGCAAAUGUGACACGCUCUGUGGUUUGCAAGUUCAUAAAAAAGGAGAUCAUCUGUAGAUAUGGACUUCCAAAGAGAAUUAUCUCAGACAAUGCCAAGAAUCUAAAUAGUAAGAUGAUGCAAGAAGUAUGUGUUCAAUACAAGAUCAGGCAUCAUAACUCGGCACCAUACCGUCCGAAGAUGAAUGGGGCAGUUGAGGCAGCCAAUAAGAACAUAAAGAGGAUUUUGGAGAAAAUGACUGAAACUUACAAAGAUUGGCAUGAGAAGUUGCCAUUUGCAUUACAUGCAUAUCGAACGUCAGUUCGCACCUCUACUGGGUAACCCCAUUUUCUUUGGUUUAUGGGAUGGAAGCUGUACUACCAGUGGAAGUAGAGAUCCCCUCUUUGAGAGUUUUAAAAGAAGUUGAGUUAGGAGAAGCCGAAUGGAUUCGAGAACGUUAUGAGCAGUUAAAUUUCAUAGAAGAAAAGAGAUUGACUGCACUGUGCCAUGGUCAGCUGUAUCAAAGAAGAAUGAUGAGGGCUCAUGAUAAGAAGAUUCGACCCCGUUGCUUUCGAGAAGGAGAGUUGGUUUUGAAAAAAAUUCUCUCAAUCCAGCACGAUAGUAGAGGAAAAUGGACUCCGAAUUGGGAAGGCCGUAUGAUGGUGAGACGGGCUUUUUCGGGUGGAGCGCUGAUACUGACUGAGAUGGAUGGAAAUGAUUUACCCCAUUCUAUAAAUUCUGAUGCUGUGAAGAAAUACUAUGCUUGAAAAAAUAAAAAAAAGGUGAAAAAUGAAAAAAAUGAAAAAAAAUGAAAAAAAUGAAAAAAUGAAAAAUGAAAAAAGAAAAAAGAAGUGAAGAAAGGAGGACUCAAGGGCGAAAACCCUAAAAGGGCGGUUUGAGUCAUAGGGGGUUUGUCUAAGUUGAAAACCUAAAAGGCAGCUUAGAUAAGGAGAAUACAGCAUGAAUUUUAAAGUUCGCUGAUAUGGAGGGCUAGCAAAUUCGGAAGAGUUCCAAGUUGUUAAAUACAUCAGAGGAUUGGGUUUUCAAAAAAAAAUUUGAGAUGUGUUAUCGUGAUUAUCUGAUUGUUCAUUUUGGGCUUUGUCCCCAUGCCUAUCCUUGUAAUUCUCCCUUGGCUGAAAUUAGUCAACAUUUUGCUAAUAAGAGACAUUCUAUUUCAUUCUUUAUGUCUUUUUAUAUGACUGUUUCUCAACCAUUCAGAUCCUUUUCUUCUUAAUACCCCACCAUGGAAGAAAUGUGCAAAUGCAUUCUUACUUUUUGAGUUUAAAAUAAUGAUUGAUAAAUGAAAAACAACAUGAAAGAUUUUUUACAUUACAUUGAAUAAGUCAAGAGUGAUAAAGGCAAAAUCGAGAUGUUCAGUUCCUGAUUAGGACAUUGAAUCUGGGAAAAGAUUUCUUACAAGAAGAAUGUGAGUGGAAGAGACAAUUAAGAGCUACACUGGCUUGAUCUUAGAAGAGCAGUGUAAUUGGAUCUUUAAAGAAUCAAAAGGUUUGAUGCCCAAGAAAAAAAAAAGAGCUUGAGAAACCUGAGUACCAUACAUUGAAUAGGAAUUAAUUGGCCAACAUCUGCAUAGCAUGCAUUGAAAUUCAUAUGCAUUGCAUAGCAUGCACUACUUUCAGGAAAGUAUAGUGUAUAAAUUCAAGAAGCAGGGGUGUUCCAACAUCCCACAUAGAGAAGACAGAUAUGAAGAUAUUUUGCAAAUUUGAGAGGAAACUUGUCAGGUAAGGUCCUAAUCCUUGAAAUAGGAUGUCUUUUGGUAUCAGGGUUGAUUUAUAAGACCUUUGGGCAUAAUCUCCUGAAAUUCCUUCAAACACAACUUUCAACUCCUUUGGACAUGUUUGUCAAGGAGCAAUUUACUUUCCAAAAGUCGUGGUGCCUCUGUUUAGAGGAGCAAUUUAUUUUCCAAAAGUCGUGGUGCCUCUGUUUAGAGGAGCAAUUUACUUUCCAAAGUCGUGGUGCCUCUGUUUAGAGGAGCAAUUUAUUUUAAAGUCGUGGUGCCUCUGUUUAGAGGAGCAAUUUAUUUUCAAAGUCGUGGUGCCUCUAUUUAGAGGAGCAAUUUACUUUCCAAUAUUUAGAGGAGCAAUUUACUUUCCAAAGUCGUGGUGCCUCUGUUUAGAGGAGCAAUUUACUUUUCCAAGUCGUGGUGCCUCUGUUUAGAGGAGCAAUUUAUGUUUCUCAAAGUCGUUGAGCCUCUGUUUAGAGGAGCUUUGGUCAAAAACAAAAACAAAAAAAAAAACACAAAAAACAAAAAAAUGAAAAUGUUGAGUUGAGUCUUGAUUGGGUGUCUACGUCUUUGCGCAAUUUCUGUUUCACAGAAAAUGUGCAAAGAGGGGCAGCUGUAGACACCUAAUUUGGUCCAGGCCCGGAUCAAUUGGUCCUGGCCCAAAUGGGUAAGCCCAAUUCGGUUCUUAUUUUGUAUUAUUUUUAUUUUUAUUUUUUUCUUUUGUAUUUUAGGCAUUUUAUUAUUUAUUUAUUAUUACUAUGUAUUAAUAUAUGUAUAUCUUUAUUUAUUUAUUUAUUUUGUUAAUAUUUAUAUGUAUUUUAUUUAUAUAGUUAUAUAUUUAUUAUUAUAUUAUAAUUUAUUUAUUUAUUAUUUUUUUACCUUGUAAUAUUUUUUGGAUUUAUCUUAUUUUAUUUUUAAUUAUCUGUUAAUUUUUUUUCUUUUUCGUUUAUCUGAUUUAUUAUUUUUUUUUCUUUUUUUGGGGCUGUGAUUGAAGGCUGAAGAAUCCUACUGUGAAUGGGGAUUCAAUCAGAAGAGUCCAGAUUGGAUUCAAAGAUUGAAUCCCCGUCCAAAGAGGAAUUGGGAUUGAUCAGGAACUCCUGAUCAAUCCCUAUAAAAAGGACCUCCUGGAACAGAAGCAAAACACAAAAAAGAACAGUGAGCAAAGCCACUGAUUUGAGAGAAAAGGGGCAUAUAAAAAGCUAAGAAAAUGUUUAGAAGGGUUCUGGGAAUUAGCAAAAAUUUUUUGAAGAUUUUUGGCCUUUUUUUUCUGGGAAUUUCUGGAAAAUUCCAGAUUUCGGUUGAAUUUUUCGAUGACAGUUGCAUUUUUUGACAAAAAUUUCGGCCAACUUUGAAGUUUUCGGUGAGCUACCCAGUUUCUGACGAAGGAUCCCAGAAACUGACCAACUUCCAGCGAACUUUCGGCUAACUUUCGGUGAAAAACCCAGAUUCUGGUGAAAUUUUCCAGAAUCCGAUGAAAAUUCAACUGGAGUUCUUCGGCCUUUUUAGAGAGAAGCGAGAGAAAAAGGAAGAAAAGAGAGAGAGGGGAGGAGCUUUCUGCCAAAAAACAGAGGGAAGAGCCUUAUAUACCCUCCCAAAACGACGUCGUUUUUGCGUUAAGUGACCCAGAGGAUCCACGCAUUUUGCAGAGAUCCGACCCGACCCGAGCGUCGACCCGUUUCCUGACCCGUGGGUGUCUCCCUCCUCCUAGCCAAUAGCCGAGCCGAGCCGAGGUUCAAACCCGCUUCUUCGAGCCAUUUUCUCUUCCUUGAGCCGAGCCGAGCCAAGCCGUACUCCGAGCCGCUCCAGUUUUUUUUUAUUUAUUAUUUGUUUUUUAUUUAUUAGAUUAGGUUUAUUUAGUAUCCUUUUUACCUUUAUUUUAUUUUUUUUUUGUUUUAUUUUUCUUUAUUUAUUUUAUUUUUAUUUUCACUUUUAUUUGUUUUAUUAUUUUAUUUUCUUUAAAUAAAAAUCAAAAAAAAUAUUUUUGGGGAAAAGUUGAAAGUAUCAAUUUUCCUUAAAAAUAAAUUUCCAAAAAAAAACAUUUUUGGGGAAAAGUUGAAAGUAUCAAUUUUCCUUAAAAAUAAAAUUUCAAAAAAAGUGUUUUUGAGGAAAAGUUGAAAGUAUCAAUCUUCCUUGAAAAUCAAAGUUUCUAAAAAAAUAUUUUUGGAGAAAAGUUGAAAGUAUUAAUAUUCCUUAAAAAUAAAAUUUCAAAAAAAAGGUUUUUGAGAAAAAGUUGAAAGUAUCAAUUUUCCUUGAAAAUCAAAGUUUCCAAAAAUAUUUUUAAGGAAAAGUUGAAAGUAUCAAUUUUCCUUGAAAAUCAAAAUUUCCAAAAAAAAAUAUUUUUGGGGAAAAGUUGAAAGUAUCAAUUUGCCUUAAAAAUAAAUUUUCAAAAAAUCAAUUUUUGAGGAAAAGUUGAAAGUAUCAAUCUUCCUCUAAAUUAAAGUUUCAAAAGAAUAUUUUUAGGGAAAAGUUGAAAGUAUCAAUUUUCCCUACGCAAGAACAAUCAUUCUUUUCUUCCUUUUUAUUUUAAUUUUGAUUUUGAUUUUUCUUUAAGUAAUCCGACGACAAAGCCUCUGCAAGUGAAACAGUAGUUUUUUUUGCAUACUCUUGAGGUGAGGGAAUUUUUUCAAUUUUUUGCUGAAAGUAUUAGAGUCAAUUGAGAAUAAUUUCCAAUAAUUAAUUACUUGGUAAAAUUUUAAGGCUAUUUGGAUAACACAAAGUUAUGCUGGUACCAUCUUUUGAUGGGCGUUGUGAGGGUGCUAUAACCUUUCUCACAUGUAACCGAACUCCCGAACUCUGUUCUGGUUAGUAGACCUGAACUUAUUCUUUUAGGGGCCCUCAAACUUAGGUGUUCCCUGAAAGGACAGAUUCUUUAGGUGGCCAAUCGCACCUAGAUAAAAAAGAUUGGUGGUGACUCAUAAAAGUCAAUGUCUAGCGAUAGAUCCCCGGAUCUAGAUGUUAUGAUAGCUACUGGCAGCAAACCUAUAAAAUCUCAAAUGCUCUUGAAGGGGGUGUGAGUUCUCGAGGUUUGAAGAGGGAUAGGGGCCCAAUAUAAGGGCCAAGUACCAGCACCCAUCGCACAUCAUGUGCGCACAACCCCUCGCCCCCCCAAUCGUUGAAACCUUAAUGCUGCCGGUAAGGUUCUCCGACGAUGGUGCCUCGGGUGAAAAAAAAUACGGCACCAGCACAUGCCCGAGCCCAGCAUGUUCACCUGCAACCCUCAGUUCGGUCCGAUCUUAGACUGGGAAUGAACUCCGUAUGCCUAAGCCAACCCACGAAAUGAGCGUGCGGGCGCUCAGUCGGCCAGAGGGGCAGGAUGUGCAAGCCGUCAAUCGAUAGGGUGGUAAGUGUGUUUUGGCACAUCUUCAUAUUUUUGCCAUGCCAAUGCCAUUUUUAUGGCUUGCAAAUUCAUACAAUGGUCCCUUAAGCCUUCAUGUGAAGUUUCAUGGCAAGACGACUCGUUUUCUAUUUUUCACGAUUUUUGAAACUUUUUACAGUUUGGGAUUUUUUUAAAAUUUUUUCAGAAGGAGUUUUGGCUCCAAACUUGGUAAACGUGAUCCUUGUAUUUUUUUUUGGCAUGCACAAAAAAAUUCAACUAAAAACUCGAAGUGUACAAGAUUUUGUGACCAUUUGAAAAAGGUGUCCCCAUUUCAGACACUUUAAUGGCUACUGGCAGCAAACCUGUAAAAUCUCAAAUGCUCUUUAAGGGGGUGUGAGUUCUCGAGGUUUGAUGAGGGAUAGGGGGCCAAUAUAAGGGCCAAGUACCAGCACCCAUCGCACAUCAUGUGCGCACACCCCCCAGCCCCUCAAUCGUUGGAACCCCAAUGCCGUCGGUCAGGUUCUUGAAGAUGCUCCGACGAUGGUGCCCCGGGCGAAAAAAAAAGUGGCACCAGCACAUGCUCGAGCCCAGCAUGUGCACCUGCAACACUCGGUUCGAUCCGAUCUUAGACUGGGAAUGAACUCCGUAUGCCUAAGUCAACCCACGAAACGAGCGUACGGGCGCUCAGCUGGCCAGAGGGGCAGGAUGCGCAAGCCGGGGAUCGGCCGAGUCCCCCUCUGCAUGCUACCGAUCCUGCCGCUGCAACCCUUGGUCUGGACUGAUCUUAGACUGUGAAUGAACUUCGUAUGCCUCAGCCAACCAACGAAACGAGCGGGCGGACGUGCGGUAACUACGUCGGCCAGAGAGGUGGGAUGCGCAAGCUGUGGAUCGAUAGGGUGGUAGGUGGGUUUAGGCACAUCUUCAUAUUUUCGUAGUGCCAAUGCCAUUUUUCCAGCUUGUAAAUUCAUACAAUGGUCCCUUAAGCCUUCAUGUGAAGUUUCAAGGCAAGACGACUCAUUUUCUAUUUUUCAUGAUUUUUGAAACUUUUUACGAUUCGAGAUUUCUCUAAAGCUUUUUCAGAAAGAGUUUUGGCCCCAAACUUGGUAGACGUGAUCCUUGUAUUUUUUUUUGGCAUGCACAAAAUAUUCAGCUAAAAACUUGAAGUGUACAGGAUUUUGUGACCAUUUGAAAAAAGUGUCUCCAUUUCAGACACUUUAAUGGCUACUGGCAGCAAACCUGUAAAAUCUCAAAUGCUCUUUAAGGGGGUGUGAGUUCUUGAGGUUUGAUGAGGGAUCGGGGGCCAAUAUAAGGGCCAAGUACCAGCACCCAUCGCACAUCAUGUGCGCACACCCGCCCUGGGCCCCCAAUCGCCGAAACCCCAAUGCUGGCGGUCAGGUUCUCCGACGAUGCUCCAACGAUGGUGCCCCGGGUGAAAAAAAAUAUGGCACCAGCACAUGCCCGAGCCUAGCAUGUGCACCCGUAACCCUCGGUUCGGUUCGAUCUUAGAUUGGGAAUGAACUCCGUAUGCUUAAGUUAACCCACGAAACGAGCGUGCAGGCACUCAGCCGGCCAGAGGGGCAGGAUGCGCAAGCCGGGGAUCGGUCAGGUCCCUUUUAGCAUUCUGCCACAACCCUCAGUUCAGUCUGAUCUUAGACUGGGAAUGAACUCCGUAUGCCUAAGCCAACUGACGAAACGAGCGGGCGGGCAGGUGGGCACUACGUCGGCCAGAGAGGCGGGGUGCGCAAGCCGUGGAUCGAUAGGGUGGUAGCUGGGUUUAGGCACAUCUUCAUAUUUCUGCUAUGCCAAUGCCAUUUUUAUGGCUUUUAAAUUCAUACAAUGGUCCCUUAAGCCUUGAUGUGAAGUUUCAUGGCAAGACGACUCGUUUUCUAUUUUUCAUGAUUUUUGAAACUUUUUACGGUUCGAGAUUUUUUAAAAAUUUUUUCAGAAGGAGUUUUGGCCCCAAACUCGGUAGAUGUGAUCCUUGUAUUUUUUUUGGCAUGCAUAAAAAAAUUCAGCUAAAAACUCGAGGUGUACAAGAUUUUGUGACCAUUCAAAAAAAGUGUCCCCAUUUCAGACACUUUAAUGGCUACUGGUAGCAAACCUGUAAAAUCUCAAAUGCUCUUUAAGGGGGUGUGAGUUCUCAAGGUUUGAUGAGGGAUAGGGGGCCAAUAUAAGGGCCAAGUACCAGCAGCCAUCGCACAUCAUGUGCGCACACCCCCCGGCCCACCCAAACGUUGGAACCCCAUUACCGUUGGUCAGGUUCUCUGCGUGCUGCCGAUCCUGCUGCCGCAACCCUUGGUCCGGUCCGAUCUUAGAUUGGGAAUGAACUCCGUUUGCCUAAGCCAAUCGAUGAAACGAGCGGGCAGGCGGGCACUACGCCGGCUAGAGAAGCGGGAUGCGCAAGCCGUGGAUCGAUAAGGUGGUAGGUGGGUUUAGGCACAUCUUCAUAUUUCUACCAUGCCAAUGCCAUUUUUAUGGCUAGUAAAUUCAUACAAUGGUCCCUUAAGCCUUCAUGUGAAGUUUCAUGACAAGACCACUCGUUUUCUAUUUUUCACGAUUUUGAAACUUUUUACGGUUCGAGAUUUUUUUAAAAUUUUUCUAGAAGGAGUUUUGGCCCCAACCUUGGUAGACGUGAUCCUUGUAUUUUUGUUGACAUGGACAAAAAAAUUCAGCUAAAAACUCGAAGUGUACAGGAUUUUGUGACCAUUUGCAAAAAGUGUCCCCAAUUCAGACACUUUAAUGGCUACUGGAAGCAAACUUGUAAAAUCUAAAAUGCUCUUUAAAGGUGUGUGAGUUCUCGAGGUUUGAUGAGGGAUAGGGGGCCAAUAUAAGGGCCAAGUACCAGCACCCGUUGCACAUCAUGUGCGCACACCCCCCCGGCUCACCCAAUGGCCAGAACCCCAUUACCGUCAGUCAGGUUCUCUGCAUACUUCCGAUCCUACUACGUGCGGGCGCUCAGCCGGCCAGAGGGGCAGGAUGUGCAAGCCUGGGAUCGAUCGAGGCCCCCUCAGCGUGCUGCCGAUCCUACUGCCGCAACCCUCAGUUAGGUCCGAUCUUAGACUGGUAAUGAACUAUGUAUGCCUAAGGCAGUCGACGAAACGAGCGGGCAGGCGGGCGGGCACUACGUCGACCAGAGAGGCGGGAUGCGCAAGCCAUGGAUUGAUAGGGUGGUAGGUGGGUUUAGGCACAUCUUUAUAUUUCUGCCAUGCCAAUGCCAUUUUUAUGGCUUGUAAAUUCACACAAUGCUCCCUUAAGCCUUCAUGUGAAGUUUCAUGGCAAGACGACUCAUUUUUUAUUUUUCACGAUUUUCAAGACUUUUUACCGUUUGGGAUUUUUUUAAAAUUUUUUCAGAAGGAGUUUUGGCCCCAAACUUUUUAGUCGUGAUCCUUGUUUUUUUUUUGGCAUGCACAAAACAAUUCGGCUAAAAACUCGAAGUGUAUAGGAUUUUGUGACCAUUUGAAAAAAGUGUUCCCAUUUCAGACACUUUAAUGGAUACUGGCAGCAAACCUGUAAAAUCUCAAAUGCUCUUUAAGGGGGUGUGAGUUCUCGAGGUUUGAUGAGGGAUCGGGGGCCAAUAUAAGGGCCAAGUACCAGCACCCAUCGCACAUCUUGUGCGUACACCCCCCCGCCCUCCCUAAUCGCUGGAACCCCGAUACCGUCGGUCAGGUUCUCCGACGAUAGUGCCUCGGGCGAAAAAAAUACGGCACCAGCACAUGCCCGAGCCCAGCAUGUGCACCAGUAACUCUUGAUCCGGUCCGAUCUUAGACUGGGAAUGAACUCCGUAUUCCUAAGUCAACCCACAAAACGAGCGUGCGGGCGCUCAGCCGGCCAGAGGGGCAGGAUGCAUAAGCCGAGGAUCGGCCGGGUCCCCCUUUAGGUGCUGCCAAUCAUGCUGCCACAACCCUUGGUCCAGUCCUAUCUUAGACUGGGAAUGAACUCCGUAUGCCUAAGCCAACUAAUGAAACGAGCGGGCGGGCGGACGGGCGGGCACUACGUCGACUAGAGAGGCGGGAUGCACAAGACGUGGAUCGAUAGGGUGGUAGGUGGGUUUAGGCACAUCUUCAUAUUUCUACCAUGCCAAUGCCAUUUUUAUGGCUUGUAAAUUCGUACAAUGGUCCCUUAAGCGUUCAUGUGAAGUUUCAUGGUAAGAUGACUCGUUUUCUAUUUUUCACGAUUUUUGAAACUUUUUACAGUUCGAGAUUUUUUUAAAAUUUUUCCAGAAGGAGUUUUGUCCCCAAACUUAGUAGACGUGAUCCUUGUAUGUUUUGUUGGCAUGCACAAAAAAAUUCAGCUAAAAACUCGAAGUGUACAAGAUUUUGUGACCAUUUGAAAAAAGUGUCCCCAUUUUAGACACUUUAAUGGUUACUGGCAGCAAACCUGUAAAAUCUCAAAUGCUCUUUAAGGGGGUGUGAGUUGUCAAGGAUUGAUGAGGGAUAGGGGGCCAAUAUAAGGGCCAAGUACCAGCACCCAUCGCACAUCAUGUGUGCGCACCCCUCACCCCCCCAAUCGUCGAAACCCCAAUGCCGUCGGUCAAGUUCUUCGGCGCUGCUCCGACGAUGGUGGACCGAGCGAAAAAGAAUGCGGUACCAGCACAUGCCCGAGCCCAGCAUGUGUACCCACAACCCUCGGUCCGGUUUGAUCUUAGACUGGGAAUGAACUCCAUAUGCUUAGACUGGGAAUGAACUCCAUAUGCGUAAGUCAACCCACAAAAUGAGCGUGCGGGCGCUCAGCUGGGCAGAGGGGCAGGAUGCGCAAGCCAGGGAUCAGUCGGGUCCCCCUCUACGUGCUGUAGAUCUUGCUACUGUAACCCUCAAUCCGGUCUGAUCUUAGACUGGGAUGGAUAAGAGGCCAAUAUAAGGGCCAAAUACCAGCACCCAUCACACAUCAUGUGUGCACACCCCCCCGACCCACCCAAUCGUCAGAACCCCAAGCCGGCUGGCGGUCUAGUCGCCUGGCGAUGGUGCCGGGGUGAAAAAAAGGCGGGCACCAGCACGAUGCCCCAGCCCAGCAUGGUGGACCCGCAACCCUCCGGAUCCAGGUCUGAUCUUGGCUGGGAAUGAUUUCGUAUGCCCAAGUCAGCCCACAAAACGAGCGUACGAGCGCUCAGCUGGCCAAUGGGCAGGAUGCGCAAGUCGGGGAUCAACCGGGUCCCCCUCAACGUGCUGGCGAUCCUGCUGCCACAAACCUUGGUCCGGUCCAAUCUUAGACUAGGAAUGAACUCUGAAUGCCUAAGCCAAUUGAUGAAACGAAUGGGCGAGCGUGCGGGCACUACGUCGGGCAGAAAGGCGAGAUGUGCAAGCCGUGGAUCGAUUUGGUUGUAGGUGGGUUUAGGCACAUCUUCAUAUUUCUGCCAUGCCAAUGCCAUUUUUAUGCUGUAAAUUCAAACAACGGUCCCUAAGCCUUCAUGUGAAAUUCAUGGCAAGACGACUCGUUUUCUAUUUUUCAUGAUUUUUAAAACUUUUUACAGUUCAAGAUUUUUUAAAAAUAUUUUCAAAAGGAGUUUUGGCCCCAAACUUGGUAGAUGUGAUCCUUGUAUUUUUGUUUCCAUGCAAAAAAAAAUUCAACUAAAAACUCGAAGUGUACAAGAUUUUGUGACCAUUUGAAAAAAGUGUCCCCAUUUCAGACACUUUAAUGGCUACUGGCAGCAAACCUAUAAAAUCUCAAAUGCUCUUUAAGGGGGUGUGAGUUCUCUAGGUUUGAUGAGGGAUAGGGGGCCAAUAUAAUUGCCAAAUACCAGCACCCAUUGCACAUCAUGUGCGCACACCCCCCCAACCCCCCCAAUCGCUGGAACCCCAUCCCGUUGGUUAGGUUCUCCACCGAUGGUGCCCCGGGAAUGAAUUUCGUAUGCUUAGACUGGGAAUGAACUCCGUAUGCCUAACUCAACCCACGAAACGAGCGUACGGGUGCUCAAUCGGCCAAAGGGGCAGGAUGCACAAGUCGGGGAUCGAUCGGGUCCCCCUCUACGUCCUACCGAUCCUGCUACUACAUCCCUCAGUCUGGUCUGAUCUUAGACUAGGAAUGAACUUCGUAUGCCUAAGCCAACCGAUGAAACGAGCAGACGGGCGGGCACUACGCCGGCCAGAGAGGUGAGAUACGCAAGCCUUGGAUUGAUAGGGUGGUAGGUGGGUUUAGGCACAUCUUCAUAUUUCUGCCAUGCCAAUGCCAUUUUUAUGGCUUGUAAAUUCAUGCAAUGGUCCUCUAAGCCUUCAAGUGAAUUUUCAUGGCAAGACGACUUGUUUUCUAUUUUUCACAAUUUUUGAAACUUUUUACGGUUGGAGAUUUUUUUAAAAUUUUUUCAGAAGGAGUUUUGGCCCCAAACUUGCUAGACAUGAUCCUUGUAUUUUUUUUUCGGCAUGCGUAAAAAAAUUCAGCUAAAAACUCGAAGUGUACAAGAUUUUGUGACGAUUUGAAAAAAGUGCCCCCAUUUCAGACACUUUAAUGGCUACUGGCAGCAAACUUGUAAAAUCUCAAAUGCUCUUUAAGGGGGUGUGAGUUCUCAAGGUUUGAUGAGGGAUAAGGGGCCAAUAUAAGGGUCAAGUACCAGCACCCAUCGCACAUCUUGUGCGCACAGCCCCCACGCCCCCCAAUCGUCGGAACCCAAAUGCCGCCGAUCAGGUUCUCCGGCGAUGGUGCCCUGGGCGAAAAAAAAAUGAGUCACUAGCACAUGCCCGAGCCUAGCACGUGCACCCGUAACCCUCGGUCCGAUCCGAUCUUAGACUGGGAAUGAACUCCAUAUGCCUAAGCCAACCGACGAAACGAGCGGGCGGGCGGGCGGGCACUACGUCGGCCAGAGAGGCAGGAUAUAGAAGCCGUGGAUCGAUAGGGUGGUAGGUGGGUUUAGGCACAUCUUCAUAUUUUUGCUAUGCCAAUGCCAUUUCUAUGGCUUGUAAAUUCAUACAAUGGUCCCUUAAGCCUUCAUGUGAAGUUUCAUGGCAAGACGACUCGUUUUCUAUUUUUCAUGAUUUUUGAAACUUUUUACAGUUCAAGAUUUUUUUAAAUUUUUUUCAGAAUGAGGUUUGGCCCCAAACAUGGUAGACGUGAUCCUUGUAUUUUUAUUGGCAUGCACAAAAAAAUUCAGCUAAAAACUUGAAUUGUACAGGAUUUUGUGACCAUUUGAAAAAAGUGUCCCCAAUUCAGGCACUUUAAUGGCUACUGGCAGCAAACUUGUAAAAUCUCAAAUGCUCUUUAAGGGGGUUUGAGUUCUCGAGAUUUGAUGAGGGAUAGGGGGCCAAUAUAAGGGCCAACUACUAGCACCCAUCACACAUCAUCUGCCCACACCCCCCGGCCCCCCAAUCGCCGUAUCCCCAAUGCCGCCGAUCAGGUUCUCCAGCGAUGCUUCGGCGAUGGUGGCCAGGGCAAAAAAAAAUGUGGCACCAGCACAUGCCCGAGCCCAGCAUGUGCACCCGUAACCCUUGGUCUGGUCCAAUCUUAGACCGGGAAUGAACUCUGCAUUCUUAGACUGGGAAUGAACUCCGUAUGCCUAAGUCAACCCAUGAAACGAGGGUACGGGCGGUCAGCCAACCAGAGGGCAAGAUGCGCAAGUCGGGGACCGGUCGGGUCCCCCUCUGCGUGCUGCUGAUCCAACUACCACAACCCUCGGUCCGGUCUAAUCUUAUACUGGGAAUGAACUCUGUAUGCCUAAGCCAACUGACGAAAUGAGCGGGUGGGCGGCGGGCACUACAUCAACGAGAGAGGCGGGAAGCGCAAGCCAUGGAUCGAUAGGGUGGUAGGUGGGUUUAUGCACAUCUUCAUAUUUUUGCCAUGCCAAUGCCAUUUUUAUGGCUUGUAAAUUCAUACAAUGGUCCCUUAAGUCUUCAUGUUAAGUUUCAAGGCAAGACGACUCGAUUUCUAUUUUUUAUGAUUUUUGAAAUGUUUUACGGUUCAGGAUUUUUUUAAAAUUUUUUCAAAACCAAGUUUUUGCCCCAAACUUGGUAGACAUGAUCCUUGUAUUUUUGUUAGCAUGCACAAAAAAAUUUAGCUAAAAACUCGAAGUGUACAGGAUUUUGUGACCAUUUGAAAAAAGUGUCCCCAUUUCAGACACUUUAAUGGCUACUGGCAGCAAACCUGUAAAAUCUCAAAUGCUCUUUAAGGGGGUGUGGGUUCUUGAGGAUUGAUGAGGGAUAGGGGGCCAAUAUAAGGGCCAAGUACCAGCACCCAUCACACAUCAUGUGCUCACACCCCUCGGCCCCCCCAAUCGACGGAACCCCAAUGCCGUUGGUCAGGUUCUUCGACGAUGCUCUGGCAAUGGUGCCCGAGGAGAAAAAAAUAUGGCACCAGCACAUGCUCGAGCCUAGCAUGUGCACCCGCAACCCUCGGUCUGAUCCAAUCUUAGACUGGGAAUGAACUCCGUAUGCCUAAGUCAACCCAUGAAACGAGCGUGCGGGCGCUCAGCCUGCCAGAGGGGAAGGAUGUGCAAGCUUGGGAUCGACUGAGUCCCCCUCUGCAUGCUAUCGAUCCUACUACUACAACCCUCUAUCUAGUUUGAUCUUAGACUGGGAAUGAACUACGCAUGCCUAAGCCAAUUGAUGACACGAGCGGGCUGACGGGCACUACUCCGACCAGAGAGACGGGAUGCGCAAGUUGUGGAUCGAUAGGGUGGUAAGCGGGUUUAGGCACAUCUUCGUAUUUCUGCCAUGCCAAUGCCUUUUUUAUGGCUUGUAAAUUCAUACAAUGGUCCCUUAAGCCUUCAUGUGAAGUUUCAUGGCAAGACGACUCGUUUUCUAUUUUUCACGAUUUUUUAAACUUUUUAUGGUUUGGGAUUUUUUAAAAUUUUUUCAGAAGGUGUUUUCGGCCCAUACUUGGUAGACGUGAUCCUUGUAUUUUUUUGGGCAUGCACAAAAAAAUUCAGCUAAAUAUUCGAAGUGUAUAGGAUUUUGUGACCAUUUGAAAAAAGUGCCCCAUUUUAGAUACUUUAAUGGUUACUGGCAGCGAACCUGUAAAAUCUCAAAUGCUCUUUAAGGGGGUGUGAGUUCUCGAGGUUUGAUGAGGGAUAUGGGGCCAAUAUAAGGGCCAAGUAGCAGCACCCAUCGCACAACAUUUAAGCACACCCCCCGGCCCCCCAAUCGUCGAAACCCGUAUGCCUAAGUCAAACCACGAAACGAGCGUGCGGGUACUCAGCCGGCCAGAGGGGCAGGAUGCAGAAGCCUAGGAUCGAUCAGGUCCCCCUCAACGUGCUGCUGAUCCUACUACCGCAACCCUUGGUCUGGUCCGAUCUUAGAUUGCGAAUGAACUCUGUAUGCCUAAGCCAACUGACGAAACGCGCAGGCGGGCGGGCGGGCACUACGCCGGCCAGAGAGGCGGGAUGUGCAAGCCGUGGAUCGAUAGGGUGGUAGGUGGGUUUAGGUACAUCUUCAUAUUUCUGCCAUGCCAAUGCUAUUCUUAUGGCUUGUAAAUUCAUACAAUGGUCCCUUAAGCCUUCAUGUGAAGUUUCAUGGCAAGACGACUCAUUUUCUAUUUUUCACGAUUUUUGAAACUUUUUAUGGUUCAGGAUUUUUUUAAAUUUUUUCAGAAGAAGUUUUGGAACCAAACUUGGUAGACGUGAUCCUUGAAUUUUUGUGAGCAUGCAUAAAACAAUUCAGCUAAAAACUCAAAAUGUAUAGGAUUUUGUGACCAUUUGAAAAAAGUGUCCCCAAUUCAGACACUUUAAUGGCUACUGGCAGCAAACCUGUACAAUCUCAAAUGCUCUUUAAGGGGGUGUGAGUUCUCGAGGUUUGAUGAGGGAUAGGGGCAAUUAUAAGGGCCAAGUACCAGCACCCAUCACACAUCAUGUGCGCACACCCCCCGGCCCCCCUCAAUCAUCAGAACCACAAUGCCGUCGGUCAGGUUCUCUGACAUUGGUCCGGCGAUGGUACCCCGGGCGAAAAAAUAUACGGCACCAGCACAUGCUCGAGCCCAGCAUAUGCACCGGCAACCCUCGGUCUGGUCCGAUCUUAGACUAGGAAUGAACUCCGUAUACCUAAGUCAACCCACAGAAUGAACGUGCAGGCACUCAGUCGGCCAGAGGGGCAGGAUGCGGAAGUCAGGGAUCGGCCGGGUCCCCCUCAACGUGCUACCAAUUUUGCUACCGUAACCCUCAGUCCGGUCUGAUCUUAGAUUGGGAAUGAACUCCGUAUGCCUAAGCCAACUGACGAAAUGAACGGGUGAGCGGGCACUACGCCAGCCAGAGAGACGGGAUGCGAAAGCCGUGGAUCGAUAGGGUGGUAGGUGGGUUUAGGCACAUCUUCAUAUUUCUCCCACGCCAAUGCCAUUUUUAUGGCUUGUAAAUUCAUACAACGGUCCCUUUAGCCUUCAUGUCAAGUUUCAUGGCAAGAUGACUCGUUUUCUAUUUUUCACGAUUUUUGAAACUUUUUACGGUUCGAGAUUUUUUAAAAACUUUUUUAGAAGGAGUUUUGGCCCCAAACUUGGUCAACGGGAUCAUUGUAUUUUUGUUGGCAUGCACAAAAAAAUUCAGCUAACACCUCGAAGUGUACAGGAUUUUGUGACCAUUUGAAAAAGUGGUCCCCAUUUCAGACACUUUAAUGGCCUACUUGCAGCCAAACCUGUAAAAUCUCAAAUGCUCUUUUAAGGCGGUGUGAGUUCUCGAGGUUGAUGAAGGAUAGGGGGCCCAAUAUAAGGGCCAAGUACCAGCACCCAUCGCACAUCAUGUGCGCACACCCCCCGGCCCCCCCAAUCGCCGGAACCCCACUGUCGUUGGUCAGGUUCUCUGACGAUGCUCCGGUGAUGGUGCCCCGAAAGAAAAAAAAUGCGCAUCAGCACAUGCUCGAGUCAGCAUGUGCACCACAACCCUCGUCCAGUCCGAUCUUAGAUUGGGAAUGAACUCAUAUGCCUAAUCAACCCACGAAACGAGCGUGGGCGCUCAGCGGCCAGAGGGGCAGGAUGCGCAAGCAGGGGAUCGGUCGGGUCCCUUCAGGUGCUGCAUCUUCACUGCAACCCUUGGUUGGUCCAAUCUUAGACUGGGAAUGAACUCCAUAUGCCUAAGCAAGGACAAACGAUUCGGCGGCGGAGGGGCGGGCACUACUGCCGGUCGAGAGAGCGUGAUGCGCAAGCCGUGGCAUCGGAUAGGGUGGUAGGUGGUUUAGGCACAUCUUCAUAUUUUUGCCAUGCCAAUGCCAUUUUUAUGGCUUGUAAAUCAUACAAUGGUCCCUUAAGCCUUCAUGUGAAGUUUCAUGGCAAGACGACUCGUUUUUCUAUUUUUCACGAUUUUUGAAACUUUUUACGGUUCGAGAUUUUUUUAAAAUUUUUUCAGAAGGAGUUUUGGCCCCAAACUUGGUAGACGUGAUCCUUGUAUUUUUUUUGGCAUGCACAAAAAAAUUCAACCAAAAACUCGAGGUGUACAGGAUUUUGUUACCAUUUGAAAAAAGUGUCCCCAUUUCAAACACUUUAAUGGCUACUGGCAGCAAACCGGUAAAAUCUCAAAUGCUCUUUAAGGGGGUGUGAGUUCUCAAGGUUUGAUGAGGGAUAGGGGGCCAAUAUAAGGGCCAAGUACCAGCACCCAUCGCACAUCAUGUUCGCACACCCCCCUGGCCCCCAACAAUCGUUGGAACCCCAAUGCCAUCGGUCAGUUUCUUCGACAAUGCUCCGACGAUGGUGCCUCGAGAGAAAAUAAAUGUGGCACCAGCACAUGCCCGAGCCCAGCAUGUGCACCCACAACCCUCAGUCUGGUCUGAUCUUAGACUGGGAAUUUACUCUGUAUGCCUAAGUCAACCCAUGAAACGAGAGUACGGGCGCUCAGCCGGCCAGAGGGGCAGGAUGUGCAAGCCGGGGAUCGAUCGGGUCCCCCUCAGUGUGCUAGCGAUCUUGCUACCGGAACCUUCAGUCCGGAUCCGAUCUUAGACUGGGAAUGAACUCUCUAUGCCUAAGCCAACUGACGAAACGAGCGGGCGGAGCGGGCACUACGCGGCCAGCAGAGGCGGGAUGCGCAAGCCGUGGAUCGAUAGGGGUGGUAGGUGGUUUAGGCACAUCUUCAUAUUUUUCCAUGCCAAUGCCAUUUUUAUGGCUUGUAAAUUCAUACAAUGGUCCCUUAAGCCUUCAUGUGAAGUUUAAUGGCAAGACGACUCGUUUUCUAUUUUCAAUGAUUUUUGAAACUUUUUACGGUUCGGAUUUUUUUUAAAAUUUUUUCAGAAGGAGUUUUGGCCCCAAACUUGGUAGACAUGAUCCUUGUAUUUUUGUUGGCAUGCCAAAAAAAUUCAGCUAAAAACUCGAAGUGUACAGGAUUUUGUGACCCAUUUGAAAAAAGUGUCCCCAUUUCAUACACUUUAAUGGCUACUGCAGCAAACCUGUAAAAUCUCAAAUGCUCUUUAAGGGGGUGUGAGUUCUCGAGGUUUGAUGAGGGAUAGGGGGCCAAUAUAAGGGCCAAGUACCAGCACCCAUCGCACAUCAUGGGCACACGCCCCCCUCAGCCCCCUAAUCGUCGGAACCCCAAUGCCGUCGGUCAGUUUCUCUAACGAAGCUCCGGCGAUGGUGGCCCGAGCGAAAAAAAAAUGCGACACCAGCACAUGCUCGAGCCCAGCCUGUGCACCCGCAUCCCGUGGUCUGAUCCGAUCUUAGACUGGGAAUGAACUCCGUAUGCCUAAGUCAACCCAUGAAAUGAGCGUGCAGGCGUUCAGCCAGCCUGAAGGGUAGGAUGCGCGAGCCGGGGAUCGGUCAGGUCCCCCUCAGCGUGCUACCGAUCUUGCUGUCGCAACCCUUGGUUCGGUUCAAUCUUAGAUUGGGAAUGAACUCCGUAUGCCUAAGCCAACCGACGAAAUGAGCGGGCAGGGGGCGGGCAGGCACUACGCCGGCCAGAGAGGCGAGAUGCGCAAGCCGUGGAUCGUUACGGUGGUAGGUGGGUUUAGGCACAUCUUCAUAUUUCUGCCAUGCCAAUGCCAUUUUUAUGGCUUGUAAAUUCAUACAAUGGUCCCUUAAGCCUUCAUGUGAAGUUUCAUGGCAAGACGACUCGUUUUCUAUUUUUCAUGAUUUUUGAAACUUUUUACGGUUCAGGAUUUUUUUAAAAUUUUUUAGAAGGAGUUUUGGCCCCAAACUUGGUAGACGUGAUCCUUGUAUUUUUGUUGGCAUGCACAAAAAAAUUCAGCUAAAAACUCGAAAGUGUACAGGAUUUUGUGACCAUUUGAAAAAAGUGUCCCCAUUUCAGACACUUUAAUGGCUACUGGCAGCAAACCUGUAAAAUCUCAAAUGCUCUUUAAGGGGGUGUGAGUUCUUGAGGUUUGAUGAGGGAUAGGGGCCAAUAUAAGGGCCAAGUACCAGCACCCAUCGCACAUCAUGUGCGCACACCCCCCGGCCCCCCAAUCGUCGAACCCCAAUGCCGCGGUCAGGUUCUCCGACGAUGCUCCGGCGAUGGUGCCCCGGGCGAAAAAAAUGUGGCACCAGCACAUGCCUGAGCCUAGCAUGUGCACCCAUAACCCUCGGUCCGGUCUGAUCUUAGACUGGGAAUGAACUCCGUAUGCCUAAGUCAACCCACGAAAUGAGCGUGUGGGUGCUCAGCCGGCCAUAAGGGCAGGAUGCGCAAGUUGAGGAUUGGCCGGGUCCCCCUCAGUGUGCUGCCUAUCCUGCUGCUGCAACCCUUGGUUUGCUAUGAUCUUAGACUAGGAAUGAACUCGUACGCCUAAGCCAACCGACGAAAUGAGCGAGCGGGUGGGCGGGUGCUACGUCGGCCAGAGAGGUGGGAUGUGCAAGCCGUGGAUCGAUAUGGUGGUAGGUGAGUUUAGGCACAUCUUCAUAUUUUCUGCCAUGCCAAUGCCAUUUUAAUGGCUUGUAAAUUCAUACAUGGUCCCUUAAGCCUUCAUGUGAAGUUUCUUGGCAAGACGACUCGUUUUCUAUUUUUUAUGAUUUUUGAAACUUUUUACUGUUUGGGAUUUUUUUAAAAUUUUUUCAGAAUGAGUUUUGGCCCCAAACUUGGUAGAUGUGAUCCUUGUAUUUUUGUUGGCACGCACAAAAAAAUUCAACUAAAAACUUGAAAUGUACAGGAUUUUGUGACCAUUUGAAAAAAGUGUCCCCAUUUCAGACACUUUAAUGGCUAUUGGCAAUAAACUUGUAAAAACUCAAAAUUUCUUUAAGGGGGUGUUAGUUCUCGAGGUUUGAGGAGGGAUAGGGGGCCAAUAUAAGGGCCAAGUACCAACACCCAUUGCACAUCAUGUGCGCACAUACCCCUGGCCCCCUCAAUCAUCGAAACCCCAAUGCUGCCGGUCAGGUUUUCAGGCGAUGCUCCGGCGAUGGUGGCCCGGAUGAAAAAAAAUACGGCACCAGCACAUGCCCGAGCCCAGCAUGUGCACUCGUAACCCUCAGUCUGGUCUGAUGUUAGACUGGGAAGGAACUCCUUAUGCUUAGACUGGGAAUGAACUCCGUAUGCCUAAGUCAACCCACGAAACGAGCGUGCACCUCAGCGUGUUGCCGAUCUUGCUGCCGCAACCCUCGGUCCGGUCUGAUCUCUAGACUGGGAAUGAACUCUGUAAGCCUAAGCCCACCGAUGAAAGAGCGGGCGGGCGGGGGGACUACGGGCCAGAGAGACGGGAUGCGCAAGCUGUGGAUCAAUAGGGUGGUAGGUGGGUUUAGGCACAUCUUCAUAUUUCUACUGUGCCAAUGCCAUUUUUAUGGCUUGUAAAUUCAUACAAUGGUCCCUUAAGCCUUCAUGUGAAGUUUCAUGGCAAGACGACUCGUUUUCUAUUUUUCACGAUUUUUGAAACUUUUUACGGUUCGAGAUUUUUUUAAAUUUUUUCAAAAGGAGUUUUGGCCCCAAACUUGGUAGACGUGAUCCUUGUAUUUUUGUGGGCAUGCACAAAAAAUUCAGCUAAAAACUCGAAGUGUAUAGGAUUUUGUGACCAUUUGAAAAAAGUGUCCCCAUUUCAGACACUUUAAUGGCUACUGGCAGCAAACCUGUAAAAUCUCAAAUGCUCUUUAAGGGUGUGAGUUCUUGAGGUUUGAUGAGGGAUAGGGGGCCAAUAUAAGGGCCAAGUACCAGCACCCAUCGCACAUCAUGUGCGCACACCCCCCCCCCCUGUCGAACCCUAAUGCCGCCGGUCAGGUUCUCGACGAUGCUCCGACGAUGGUGCCCCGGGCAAAAAAAAUACGGCACCAGCACAUGCCCAGCCCAGCAUGUGCACCUGUAACCCUCGGUCCAUCCAUCUUAGACUGGGAAUGAACUCCGUAUGCCUAAGUCAACCCGAAAUGAGCGUGCGGCGCUCAGUCGGUCAGAGGGGCAGGAUGCGCAAGCCGAGGAUCGGCCGGCCCUCAGCGUGCUGCCAAUCCUGCUGCCAACCCUCGGUCUGAUUCGAUCUAGACUGGGAAUGAACUCCGUAAGCCUAAGGCAAGACGAAAGAACGGGGGCGAGCGGGCACUACGUCGGCCAGAGAGGCGGGAUGCGCAAGCCGUGGAUCAAUAGGGUGGUAGGUGGGUUUAGGCACAUCUUCAUAUUUCUGCCAUGCCAAUGCCAUUUUUAUGGCUUGUAAAUUCAUACAAUGGUCCCUUAAGCCUUCAUGUGAAGUUUCAUGGCAAGACGACUCGUUUUCUAUUUUUCACGAUUUUUGAAACUUUUUACGAUUCGAGAUUUUUUAAAUUUUUUCAGAAGGAGUUUUGGCCUAAACUUGUAGACGUGAUCCUUGUAUUUUUUGUGGGCAUGCACAAAAAAAUUCAGCUAAAAACUCGUAGUGUAUUAGGAUUUUGUGACCAUUGAAAAAAGUGUCCCCAUUUCAGACACUUUAAUGGCUACUGGCAGCAAAACCUGUAAAAUUCUUAAAUGCUCUUAAGGAGGUGUGAGUUCUCGAGGUUUGAUGAGGGAUUGUAGACACCCAAUUUUGGUCCAAGCCAGAAUCAAUUGGCCUGGCCCAAAACGGGUAAGCCAAUUCGGUUCUUAUUUUGUAUUUUUUAUUUUUAUUUUUUUUUUAUAUUUUAGGCAUUUUAUUAUUUAUUUUUAUUACUAUGUAUUAAUAUAUGUAUAUCUUUAUUAUUUAUUUUUUGUUCUUGUUUAAUAUUUAUAUGUAUUUAUUUUUAUAGUUAUAUAUUUAUUAUUAUAUUAUAAUUUAUUAUUUAUUUAUUUUUUUUAUCUUGUAAUAUUUUUUGGAUUUAUCUUAUUUUAUUUUUGAUUAUCAGUUAUUUUUUUUUCGUUUAUCUGAUUAUUAUUUUUUUUCUUUUUUUAAGGCUGUGAUUGAAGGCUGAAGAAUCCUACUGUGAAUGGGGAUUCAAUCAGAAGAGUCCAGAUUGGAUUCAAAGAUUGAAUCCCCGUCCAAAGAGGAAUUGGGAUUGAUCAGGAACUCCUGAUCAAUCCCUAUAAAAAGGACCUCCUGGAACAGAAGCAAAACACAGUAAAGAAUAGUGAGCAAAGCCACUGAUUUAAGAGAAAAUGGGUGUAUAGAAAGCUAAGAAAAGGAUUAGAAGGGUUCUGGGAAUUAGCAGAAAUUUUUUGAAGAUUUUUGGCAUUUUUUUUUUUGGGAAUUUUUGGAAAAUUCCAGAUUUCGGUUGAAUUUUUCGAAAGUUGCAUUUUUCGACGAAAAUUCCAGCCAACUUUGAAGUUUCCGGCGAGCUGCCCAGUUUUGGGCAAAGGAUCCCAGAAACCGACCAACUUUCGAAUGAACUUCGGUGAAAAACCCAGAUUCCGAUGAAAUUUUCCAAAAUUCGAUGAAAAUUCAACCGGAGUUCUUCGGCCUUUUUAGAGAGAAGCGAGAGAAAAAGGAAGACGAGAGAGAGAGGGGAGGAGCUUUCUGCCAAAAAACAGAGGGAAGAGCCUUAUAUACCCUCCCAAAACGACGUCAUUUUUGCGUUAAGUGACCCAGAGGAUCCGCGCGUUUUCCCUGCGCAAGAACAAUCAUUCUUUUCUUCUUUUUUAUUUUAAUUUUGAUUUUGAUUUUUCUUUAAAUAAUCCGACGACGGAGCCUCUGCAAGUGAAACAGUAGUUUUUCUUGCAUACUCUUGAGGUGAGGGAAUUUUCUCAAUUUUCUGCUAAAAGUAUUAGAGUCAAUUGAGAAUAAUUUCCAAUAAUUAAUUACUUGGUAAAAUUUUAAGGCUAUUUGGAUAACACAAAGUUAUGCUGGUACCAUCUUUGAUGGGCGUUGUGAGGGUGCUAUAACCUUCCUCACACGUAACCAAACUCUCGAACUCUGUUCUGGUUAGUAGACCUGAACCUAUUCUUUUAGGGGCCCUUAAACUUAGGUGUUCCCUGAAAGGACAGAUUCUUUAGGUGGCCAAUCGCACCUAGAUAAAAAAGAUUGGUGGCGACUCCUAAAAGUCAAUGUCUAGCGAUAGAUCCCCAGAUCUAGACGUUAUGACAGCUUGGCGACUCCACUAGGGACACUGAGAGUCAGGCCAGCAAAUAAUUUGUGUUAUCCAAAAGCCUAAUAAAAUUGAACCUGUUUGUAUAUAUGUGUUAAUAUUCAUUCAUGUUUAUUUACCUUAUUAAUUAUGUCAUUCAUAUGCAUGUGCAUAACAUGAGCUCUACACCCGAGCUCCAUCCCUCUAGGAGGGAGUAAAGUACCUAUUGCUUUCGUGAGGUCUAAUGCCUCCGCAGUGGCUAGCGAAAUACUCCCACUCAAAUUGAACCUUUUUCGCUUGUAGCCUGUAAUGGGUGAGGAUUAGGGUGCCUUACUAGUCUGUAAUGGACAAGGAUGUAAGGAACAAUUUGAGGACCUUUAGACUUUGACCCUAAAACUGCAUAUAGUGAACCUUAAGAGAGCCUAACCUAUAGAUAGAGCCAUCACUCUUCCCUUUUAGAAUUGACCAAAAGCAUAGGGUUCAUCCCUUUUUACUUUGUGUAAUUUUACUUAGUUAUUUGUUCUUUUUCUGGGUAUACUAACCUUUUUCUUAUUCUUUUGCAUUGGUUCAUACGCAUAUCAUAAAGUUGCAUAAAGAACAUUUGCUUGAAAAAACGGUCUUCAACAAAUUUUUUUCAUGGACGCCAAUGAACGCUUAGUUUGUUCUUCAUCAGUAUUAGCACCCUGUGGGACACCUAAUGAAGUAAGGGCCCAGUCAGAAAAGAUUCAACUGAAGAUGGGAGAUUGCUUGCCAAUUGGGUAUGAUUUUACUCUGCCUCAAGAAACAUCUAUCCUCCUCAAACAGAACAAUUUAGGGGAUUUGGUUGAUAUCUGGAAGAAAAUGAGUCCGUCAAGACAAGAGCAGUUUUGUCAGAAACAUGGGCAUAUAGCACACCUUCUAGCAGUGGUUGUUGAUGAUCAACUAAUUAGAGCUGCAACACAAUUUUGGGAUCCUGCAUACAAGUGUUUCAUCUUUAACGAAGCUGAUAUGACUCCCACCAUAGAAGAAUAUUCGAUCUUGUUGGGUUUGCAUCUCAAGACUCCUGACAAGAUAUAUGUCAAAAAACAUAAGUCAGGAUUUCGUAAAAGUCUGGCUCAACUCAUGGGGAUAGAUAAGGAAAUUGUGGAUUCUCAUACGAAGAAGAAACAAGAACAGGUCUGCCUACCUUAGAAGUUUUUUCAUGAGUUUCUGAUGUAACAUGCCAAUGAAGAAUGAGGGUUAGAUGUAUUUGCCUUGGCUAUAUACGGACUGGUAAUCUUUCCAAAGGUUUUGGGACAUAUUGAGAUAGCGGUGGUUGAUUUCUUCGAAAGUGUGAUCAAUGGCUGUAAUCCUUCAAUGGUAAUAUUAACAGAGACUAUCAGAUCUUUGAGUUAUUGUCGUCAGAAUGGAGGGCGUUUCAUAGGAUGCAUACAGUUAUUGUACUUAUGGAUGAAAAGCCAUUUUGAACAAGGAAAUGGUGCUUUCUCGAAGCUUUACAUCCGUAAUCAUUUUUCGAUCAAAGAAUUCUACGAAAGUGGGUGGUCAAAGCGAAAGUCUAAACAAGAAUGGAUAACUUUCUUACAAAAGUUGGAAAGUACCAGGGUGAGAUGGUUGGCCCCAUGGAUGAAUCGUGAGCCUAUGUUGUAUCAAUGUGGGGAUAGUACAGUGGUUCCACUUCUGGGUUUAUGGGGAGUAACGAAUUAUGCACCACUCCUAGUGAGAAGGCAAUUGGGGGGAGAACAGUUUAUUCCAAUGACUUAUGGGCUUCAUCAGUUAGAUUUCUCUUACAGUGAGCCUAAAGCAUUUCAAAUGAUGAAUGAGAUGAUUAAAGCAUGGAAAAAUCCCCGAAGAGUGAGUCCUGGACCGUUCACUGAAAAAGUCACCCCAGGUUACUUGGUUUGGAGAACAAAGAGAAGACAAGAAAUGGUAUUCACUUAUGAAAUCUCUCAACCACCAACAGAAGAAAAACUUGAAGAGACACCAUCAGAAUUAGAGCUGGCAACAAAAGAAUUUGAGUCUGAAAAGAGCAAGUUAAAGCAAGAGAUUCAGAAACUUCAAGAAGAAAAAGCCCAGUGGAAGGGUAGAGUCGAAAGUUAUGAAGUUAAAGUUCACAAGAUUGCUAGAGAAUGAGAUACAGCUACUGAAGACCUAGCAAAGUUACACCAGGAGCAUAAGAGGCUAUGUGUGAGAGAAAGAGCCAAAGAGAUAACCAUUGUCGAGCUGACUGAGGAAAAUGCAAGAUUGAAACAAGAGUAUGUCGAAUUGGAAGAAGAAAGCACCGAAGCAUAGGCAGAAAUUAACAUGCUAAACAAUUAUUUGAGCAGGCUAAGUCAAAAGUUGGAUGAACAAGGAGACCACAUCGCUGCAUUGGUUAGAGAACAUAGAGAAUUAUCAUACCAAGUCUGGUGUGGUAAAAGAGAGAACUUAGGAAGGCAGAAAUACAUUGAGCACUUAACAACCCAAAUCCAUAAAGGGGUAUGUAAGGCAAGAGAGAUGGUGGAAGAGGCAGAGGCAUUAAGACAAGUAGUGGCCCCAGUAAGAGAACAUGGACAGCGUCUCUUGAACUUCAUAGAAGAAGCCAAAGCCAGUAUGAACAUAUCAAGCAAUUUUAUGGCUAUAAUUCUAGGAUGAUAAACUCAAUGUAGAUCAAAGUUUUUUGGAAUAAAUGAAAUUUUUUAGUUGAAUACCGUUUUAAGGCAAAUGUUCUUUGCAUACAUGCAUUUUUCAUUCAUUGCAUUCCCAUUCAUUACACUUAACAAAGUAACCAUGUGAUGAUCAUGCAAAUUUACUAAUUCUAAGAUAUGGUACUCAAGGUUCCAGGAUAGCUCCAUCUAGCGAAAAUCUUGCCCAUCGACACAACACAAGAUCCAGAGCAAGGCAAAUGGAGCAGAAAAAUUCCCAUAGAUUUGAAAAGAUAGAAAAAGCACAGGAGAAGAUUGAAAGUGAGCUAAGCAAGAUUCUGGAGGCUCUUAAUAACAUGAAUAAAGGAAAAGGAGUUGAAGAAAAUACAAGCCAGCAAGUUCCCCCAUUACAAGAAAUGGUUGACCCUUUGUAUCCUCCAGGUUUUGGCCCACCUCAAGCCCAGUCUGCUCAAGAGGUCCCACCAUAACACUUCGCAUAUUUGACAUAUCCUGGAAUGCCAUCAGCUUUCAACCCAGGGCAGUAUAACAGCUAUGUAAAUCCUGUCUUCACUGAAAAGGCAGCAGAACCAAUUCCUGAUCUAGAUGAUUUAAAAAAGAAGGAGAAAGAAAAGAUAAGAGCGGAAGUUUAGGAAAGCUCCAAGAUAAGCAUGCUAGAGCAAAGGCUACGGGCUGUGGAAGGAUUUAGCUUUUAUGAGUCAGUUGAUGCUACUGGGCUCUGCCUAGUUCCUGACGUGGUUAUUCCCCAUAAGUUUAAAGUGCCAAAAUUUGAAAAAUAUGACGGUACAAAGUGCCCCAAAACCCACAUCACCAUGUAUUGUAAGAAGAUGACAGCUCAUGCACAUGAUGAAAAACUCUUGAUGCAUGUUUUUCAGGAUAGUCUUACUGGCUCUGCGGCCAGAUGGUAUGUUCAGCUGGACAGAACUCGCAUUCGCUCUUGGAGCGAUAUGGCACAUGACUUCAUCGGUCAAUAUCGACAUAUCAUCGAUUUGGCCCCUGAUCGUUUGUCUUUACAGAAUCUGGAGAAAAAAGCAAAUGAGUCUUUUAAAGAGUAUGCCCAGAGAUGGAAGGAUGUUGCUUCUCAGGUACAACCUCCUCUGACUGAGAAAGAAACUACAGUGCUGUUUGUUAGCACUUUAAAACCUCCCUAUUAUGAAAAGAUGAUAGGGAAUGCAACGAAAAAUUUUGCUGAUAUGGUAAUCUCGGGAGAAAUCAUUGAGAGUGCCAUCAAGAAUGGCAAGCUAGAAGGAAAUGAAGCAUCUAGCAAAAGAGUCCCGAAGAAAAAAAAACUGAAGCUCAGGCUGUGAGCUUUGAUAGACAGCAACUUAGAGGUUAUUCACCUUACCCACCACCAGAAUAUCUGCCAUAUCACCUCGCUGUAAAUAACACUUCCUUUCACCCAUACCAACCAUUUACACAACCACCAUAUCCCCAAACAUAUCAAACCCCUCAUAGACCCCAAAAUACCAUGUAUAGUCCUAACAUUCAACCUACCCCAAGACCCCAAAAUCGCCCAACUAACCCCAUUGGUGGCUCGCAGGAGCAACGAACCACUCGUGAGAAACCUGUUUUUGACCCAAUUCCAAUGACUUAUACGGAAUUAUAUAAGGAGCUCUACAACAGUCAUUUGAUUGCUCCAAGUAAAUUGGAACCCCUCAAGCCACCUUACCCUAAGUGGUAUGAUCCCACCACCCACUGUGAUUACCAUUAUGGGAUUGCUGGUCACUCUACUGAAAAUUGCACUACCCUGAAACACAAAGUGCAACGGUUGAUCAAGGAUGGGAUGAUUUGCUUUGAUACUGGAGGGAUGACUGCGUCGAAUGUUAGUGGUAAUCCUUUAUCGAAUCUUAAUGUGAAUGCUAUAGGUGAAGAUAGGUGAAGAACAGGAGCGUCAUGUGAAGAAGAAAGUGGUAAAUAUUAAGACACCUCUCAGCCAACUGUUCGAUGUUUUACGAAAAGCAGACAUGAUACAAUUGGUAAGUCCACACAGCUAUCAUGGAGCAUAUAUAGCUGGUACUAGUUGUAAGUAUCAUAAUGGGGCAAUGGGUCAUUCCAUUGAGACCUGUGAGCAGUUUCACCAGGAGGUGCAAAAACUCUUGGAUUCAUAUCAGAUGGAGAUCUAUGAAGAAAAAAAAGACUUGAAGAAUGUUGAGGUGCACAUGACUGAUAGGCCUGUAAAGCUGUUUCCAAAACCAGUGAUAAUUCAGUGUGGGAACAAACCAAAGUCAGUCAUAGACAAACUCUUCCCCAGGCCAGUAAAUUUUAAAGUCCCAACUCUUUUUCCAUACAAAGAUGAUAAAGCUGUACCCUGGAGAUAUGGCUGUGACACUGUAGUUCAGGGACAGAAAGAAGAAGUCUCCAAAGCUGAUGCUUCCAAUAUUACUGGUGUAGGAGGCAUUACUCGAAGUGGGAGAUGUUACACUCCAAAAAUGCUAGAGAAGGCUAGAAGGGAGAAAGCUAAAGAAGGAGAAAGAUGAAAUAAUCCUGAGAUAGAACCUGAAGAAGAUCAGCCAAAACCAGUAUAAAAAAGAGAGGUUUACGAAUUCUUGAAGCUGGUAAAACAUAGUGAGUAUUCUGUUGUGGAACAGUUGAAUAAAAUGCCAGCUCGAAUCUCAUUAUUAUCACUGUUGCUGAACUCAGAGCCAUACUGAAACGCCCUACUGAAAGUGUUGAAUCAGGCAUAUGUGGCACAUAAUGUAUCUGUUGAAUAUGUGAACCACCUGGCUGGAAAUUUAGUCAUGCCAAAUCACAUUUCAUUCAGCGAGGAUGAGAUUCCUUUGGAAGGAAAAAGAAAUGCCAAGGCUCUACAUAUCACAGUCAAGUGCAAGAGCCAUAUUAUAGCCAAGGUCCUUAUCGAUAAUGGCUCUGCUAUCAAAGUCAUGCCUAUGCCAACUUUGGCAAGGCUACCCAUUGAUUAUUCUCAUAUGAGGGAUAGUCAGAUGAUUGUGAGAGCCUUUGAUAGGACCAGAAAAGAAGUCCUAGGGGAUAUUGAAAUGCCUUUACAAAUUGGGCCAUGCACCUUUAAUAUAAAAUUUCAAGUGAUGGAUAUCUCUCCAUCCUACAGCUGUCUGUCAGGAAGACCAUGGAUUCACAUGGCAGGAGCUGUGCCUUCUACUUUGCACCAGAAGAUCAAGUUCAAUGUAAAAGGUCAAUUGGUAGUGGUAGUUGGGGAGGAAGACAUGCUAGUGACCCUACCAUUGAACACUCCAUACGUAGAGGCUGUCGAAGAAGCAUUGGAAUGCUCCUAUCGAUCUUUUGAAUUGGUCAAUUCUGUAGGUGAAGGUUUUCAAAAUCAACCUUUUUCAAAAAUAGUGGUGACCCAAGUCAUCAACAAGGGUUGGUAUCUAGGACUUGGGCUAGGCAAAAACUUACAGGGAAUUAAAGAGCCUCCGACAAUAAUAGACAAUAGUGACAGGGUAGGCCUAGGCUAUGAGAUGGUAGAGUGGGAAGUCAAAGGAAGGCCAUCAAGAAAGACAGCAAGACUGAUGUUUAUCCCACACUUGUAUGAAACCUUCAGACCUGGAGGAUUCAUGUACCCAGAUGUAAGAAAAAGUGUAGAAGACGAUUUUGCCUAGUUAGCCAUUAAUGCUGUUGAAGAUGAAGUGAGGGUUAAUCAAGAGGAGUGGGUUCGCCUUUGUCCACCAGAUUUUGAGCUCAAUAAUUGGAGUGCCAUCGAGAUGCCUUUGACUUUUGAUUUAGAUGCAAUGUAAUUGUAACAUCCAAUAGCUAUUGCCCAAGGCAUUGGGGUGAUCUUUUUUAUUCGGGCCAUUCAUUAUUUAUUAUUUUUAAUAAAAAUUAGGAAGUAUGCAUUUUCAUUCAUUUCUUCUUGUGUCUUCAUUAUUUCUAUCUCUCCAAGCACAUCUUGCCAACAUAUCCCAUUUCAUUCAAUUGCAGGUCUUUAAAUGAACAUGAAGAUACUCAUGAUAACAAUCAAGAGGUUAGCUUUGAGAAUUCAAUUAACAUUGAUGAACUUGACAAUGAAGAAAAUUCUGAAGAAUAUAUUAUGCCUUCGGACCUAAUGAGGAUGAUUGAACAAGAGAAUAAGCCAAUUGAGCCUCAUCAGGAGGUAGUGGACUUAGUGAAUUUGGGAGAUAAAAAAAAUAAGAAAGAGAUUAGAAUGGACAUUUCACUUUCAUCUAAAGAUAGGCAACGAUUGGCAGACCUACUUCGAGAAUUUGUAGAUAUAUUUGCUUGGUCUUACCAGGAUAUGCCAGGGCUGAGCACAGAAAUAGUGGAGCAUAGGUUACCUUUAAAGCCAGAAUGUAAGCCAGUUCAGCAGAAACUGAGACGGAUGAAGCCCGAAAUGCUACUAAAGAUUAAAAAGGAGGUGAAGAAACAAUUUGAUGCAGGUUUUCUACAAGUGGCUAAGUAUCCAGAAUGGGUAGCAAUAUAGUCCUAGUUCCUUAAAAAAGAUGGAAAAGUAUGAAUGUGUGUAGACUAUCGGGACUUAAAUAAGGCUAGCCCAAAAGAUAACUUUCCUUUGCCUCAUAUUGACACACUAGUAGAUAACACGGCUAAGCAUUCAAUUUUUUCCUUUAUGGAUGGUUUUUCGGGGUAUAAUCAGAUAAAAAUGGCUACGAAGGAUAUGGAAAAGACUACUUUUGUGACCAUGUGGGGAACCUUCUGCUAUAAAGUCAUGCCUUUUAGGCUAAAGAAUGCUGGGGCAACAUAUCAAAGAGCCAUGGUAACACUCUUCCAUGACAUGAUGCACAAAGAGAUUGAGGUGUAUGUAGACGAUAUGAUUGCAAAGUCUUGUAAGGAUGAAGAUCAUGUUACUAGCCUCAGAAAGUUAUUUGAAACAUUGAAAAAAUUUUAGCUCAAAUUAAACCUAGCCAAAGUGCACCUUUGGGCGUAAAGUCAGGAAGUUGCUAGGCUUUCGUGGUCAGUGAAAGGAGGAAUUGAAGUCGAUCCUGAUAAGAUACGGGCCAUCCAGAAUUUGUCACCUCCCAGCAUACCAAAAAAAGUUUGAGGUUUUCUGGGGAGAUUGAACUACAUUUCUCGGUUCAAUCUCUCAGCUUACUUACAAAUGUGAUUCCCAUAUUUUAAGCUUUUCCGUAAGAAUAAUCCUGGGAAAUGGAAUGAAGAAUAUCAAGAGGCGUUGAUAAAAUUAAGCAAUAUUUAUCGAACCCUCCAGUAUUGGUGCCACCUGUUCCAGGGAAACCUUUAAUCUUAUACUUAAUUGUAUGUGAAGGUUCAAUGAGAUGUGUGCUGGGACAGCAAGACAAGGCCAGCCGAAAGGAGAGAGCUAUUUACUAUCUGAGUAAAAGGUUCACUGAAUAUGAAUCCAAGUAUUCUUCAUUGGAGAAAAUGUGUUGUGCAUUAGCGUGGACUGCCAAAAGACUCAGAUAGUAUAUGCUCUAUCAUACUACAUGGCUCAUAGCAAAACUGGAUCCAAUUAAGUAUAUCUUCGAGAAACCUUUUUUGUCUGGGAGAAUUGUUAAAUGGCAAGUAAUGCUCUCGAAAUACGAUAUUAUAUACAUGAGCCAAAAAGCAAUAAAAAGAGGCGCUAUAGUAGAAUUUCUUGCAGAUCGUGCUACUGAAGACUAUGAGCCGAUGAAGCUGAAAUUCCCUAACGAAGACUUAAUGACUAUUUCCCAACCGGAGAAAGGGGAACAUGUAGAAAAAGGUUGGAGAAUUUACUUUGAUGGAGCUGCUAAUGCCUUGGGGCAUAGAAUUGGGGUAAUUCUGAUUUCUCCAGAAGAACAAUAUUGUCAUAUAACAGCGAGGUUAAAUUUUAAUUGCAUAAAUAACAUCACUGAAUAUGAGGCACGUGUCAUGGGCUUGCAAGCUGCUAUAGAUAGAAGAGUGAAAGUACUGAAAGUGUUUGGAGACUCAUAUCCAGUCAUAUAUCAGUUGAAAGGAGAAUGAGAUAUGAGAGAUUCAAAACUCGUUCCAUAUCAUAAGUAUAUUCUAGAGUUGGUGAAACAAUUUGAAGAUAUCCAAUUUGAUCACUUACCUCGAGAAGAGAAUUUGAUUGCUGACGCAUUGGCUACUCUGGCUAUAAUGAUUCGAAUUAACGAUAAUAUCGACAUUCAGCCCAUCAAGUUAGAUGUUAAGGAUAUACCAGCUUAUUGUUCUAAUGUAGAGGGAGAAGAAGAUGGAAAGCCCUGGUAUUAUGACAUCUUACAGUAUGUCAAGGAUCAGCAGUAUCCAGUUCAAGCAACAAAAAAUGAUAAAAGGGUCAUCCGAAGAUUGGCUAUGAGCUUUUUCCUGGAUGGGGAUGUCCUGUACAAAAAAAGCAAGGAUCAAGUAUUAUUAAGGUGCGUAAAUGAGACUGAAGCGAAGAAAAUCAUUAAAGAGGUGCAUGAUGGAAUAUGUGGGGCACAUACUAGUGGACAUGUGAUGGUAAGAUAGAUCAUGAGAGCGAGAUAUUACUGGUUGAUGAUGGAGAACGAUUGCAUUGACUAUGCUCGUAAAUGCCAUAAAUGCCAGAUAUAUGCUGAUAAGAUCCAUGCUCCACCAUCUGCUUUACAUGUUAUGGCACCACCAUGGCCAUUUUCAAUGUGGGGCAUGGAUGUCAUUGGCCCAAUCACCCCAAAGGCUUCUAACCGGCACAUAUUCAUUUUUGUCAUGAUAGAUUAUUUCACAAAAUGGGUAGAAGCAGCAUCAUAUGCAAAUGUGACACGCUCCGUGGUUUGUAAAUUCAUAAAGAAAAAGAUCAUCUGUAGAUAUGGACUUUCGGAGAGAAUUAUUUCAAACAAUGCUAAGAAUCUAAAUAGUAAGAUGAUGCAAGAAAUAUGUGCUCAAUACAAGAUCAAGCAUUAUAACUCGACACCAUACCGUCCGAAAAUGAAUGGGGCAGUUGAGGCAGCCAAUAAGAACAUAAAGAGGAUUUUAGAGAAGAUGACCGAGACUUACAAAGAUUGGCAUGAGAAUUUGCCAUUUGCAUUGCAUGCAUAUCGAACGUCAGUUCGCACCUCUACUGGGGCAACCCCAUUUUCUUUGGUUUAUGGGAUGAAAGCUGUACUACCAGUGGAAGUAGAGAUCCUUUCUUUGAGAGUCUUAAAAGAAGUCGAAUUGGAAGAAGCUGACUGGAUUCGAGAACGUUAUGAGCAGUUAAAUUUCAUAGAAGAAAAGAGAUUGACUGCACUGUGUCAUGGUCAGCUAUAUCAAAAAAGAAUGAUGAGGGCUCAUGAUAAGAAGAUUCGACCCCACUACUUUCGAGAAGGAGAGUUGGUUUUGAAAAGAAUUCUCCCAAUCCAGCACGAUAGUAGAGAAAAAUGGACUCCGAAUUGAGAAGGGUCGUAUGUGGUGAAACGGGCUUUUCUAGGUGGAGCGCUGAUACUGACUGGAUGGAUGGAAAUGAUUUACCCCAUCCUAUAAAUUCUGAUGCUGUGAAGAAAUACUAUGCUUGAAAAAAUAAAAAAGGUGAAAAAAAUGAAAAAAAUGAAAAAAAUGAAAAAACCCUAAAAGGGCGGUUUGAGUCAUAGGGGAUUUAUCUAAGUUGAAAACCUGAAAAGGCAGCUUAGAUAAGGAGAAUACAGCAUCAAAUUUUAAAGUCCGCUGAUAUGGAGGCUAGCAAAUUCGAAAAAGUUCCAAGUUGUUAAAUACAUCAGAGGAUUGGGUUUUCAGAAAAAAACUUUGAGAUGUGUUAUCGUGAUUAUCUAAUUGUUCAUUUUAGGCUUUGUCCCCAUGCCUAUCCUUGUAAUUCUCCCUUGGCUGAAAUUAGUCAACAUUCUGCUAAUAAGAGACAUUCUAUUUCAUUCUUUAUGUCUUUUUAUAUGACUAUUUCUCAACCAUUCAGAUCCUUUUCUUCUUAAUACCCCACCAUGGAAGAAAUGUGCAAAUGCAUUCUUAUUUUUUGAGUUUAAAAUAAUGAUUGAUAAAUGAAAAACAACAUGAAAGAUUUUUUACAUUACAUUGAAUAAGUCAAGAGUGAUAAAGGCAAAAUCGAGAUGUUCAGUUCCUGAUUAGGACAUUGAAUCUGGGAAAAGAUUUCUUACAAGAAGAAUGUGAGUGGAAGCGACAAUUAAGAGCUACACUGGCUUGAUCUUAAAAGAGUAGUGUAAUUGGAUCUUUAAAGAAUCAAAAGGUUUGAUGCCCAAGAAAAAAAAGAGCUUAAGAAACCUGAGUACCAUACAUUGAAUAGGAAUUAAUUGGCCAACAUCUGCAUAGCAUGCAUUGAAAUUCAUAUGCAUUGCAUAGCAUGCACUACUUUCAGGAAAGUAUAGUGCAUAAAUUCAAGAAGCAGGCGUGUUCCAACAUCCCACAUAGAGAAGACAGAUAUGAAGAUAUUUCGCAAAUUUGAAAGGAAACUCGUCAGGUAAGGUCCUAAUCCUUGAAAUAGGAUGUCUUUUGGUAUCAGGGUUGAUUUAUAAGACCUUUGGGCAUAAUCUCCUGAAAUUCCUUCAAACACAACUUUCAACUCCUUUGGACAUGUUUGUCAAGAAGCAAUUUACUUUCCAAAAGUCAUGGUGCCUCUGUUUAGAGGAGCAAUUUACUUUCCAAAGUCGUGGUGCCUCUGUUUAGAGGAGCAAUUUUAUUUUUCUCAAAGUCGUUGAGCCAUUGUUUAUAGGAGCUUUGUUCAAAAACAAAAACAAAAAAAUAAAAAAACAAAAAAUAAAAAAAACAAAAAAGUGAAAAUGUGCAAAGAGGGGCAGCUAUAGACACCCAAUUUGGUCCAGGCCUGGAUCAAUUGGGCCUAGCCCAAACGGGUAGGCCCAAUUCGAUUCUUAUUUUGUAUUAUUUUUAUUUUUGUUUUUAUUUUUUUUAUAUUUUAGGCAUUUUAUUAUUUAUUUAUAUUAUUACAAUGUAUUAAUAUAUGUAUAUCUUUAUUUAUUUAUUUAUUGUUUUGUUAAUAUUUAUAUGUAUUUUAUUUAUAUAGUUAUAUAUUUAUUAUUAUAUUAUAAUUUAUUUAUUUAUUAUUAUUAUUUUUAUCUUGUAAUAUUUUUUGGAUUUAUCUUAUUUUAUUUUUGAUUAUCUGUUAUUAUUUUUUUUUCUUUUUCAUUUAUUUGAUUAUUAUUAUUAUUAUUAUUAUUUUGAUGCUGUGAUUGAAGGCUGAAGAAUCCUACUGUGAAUGUGGAUUCAAUCAGAAGAGUCCAGAUUGGAUUCAAAGAUUGAAUCCCCAUCCAAAGAGGAAUUGGGAUUGAUCAGGAACUCCUGAUCAAUCCCUAUAAAAAAGACCUCCUAGAACAGAAGCAAAACACAGAAAAGAACAGUGAGCAAAGCCACUGAUUAGAGUCAAUUGAGAAUAAUUUCCAAUAAUUAAUUACUUGGUAAAAUUUUAAGGCUAUUUGGAUAACACAAAGUUAUGCUGGUACCAUCUUUUGAUGGGCGUUGUGAGGAUGCUAUAACCUUCCUCACAUGUAACCGAACUCUCGAACUCUGUUCUGGUUAGUAGACCUGAACCUAUUCUUUUAGGGGCCCUUUAACUUAGGUGUUCCCUGAAAGGACAUAUUCUUUAGGUGGCCAAUCGCACUUAGAUAAAAAAGAUUGGUGGCGACUCCUAAAAGUCAAUGUCUAGCGAUAGGUCCUCGGAUCUAGACGUUAUGACAGGGAUAGGGGGCCAAUAUAAGGGCCAAGUACCAGUACCCAUCGCACAUCGUGUGCGCACACCCCCCGACCCCCCAAUCACCAGAACCCUAAUGCCGCCGGUCAGGUUCUCCAGCGAUGCUCCGGUGAUGGUGCCCCGGGUGAAAAAAAAUAGGGCACCAGUACAUGCUCGAGCCCAGCAUGCGCACCCACAACCCUCGGUCCGGUCCGAUCUUAGACUGGGAAUGAACUCCAUAUGCUUAGACUGGAAUGAACUCCGUAUGCCUAAGUCAACCCACGAAACGAGCGUGCGGGCGCUCAGUCGGCCAGAGGGGCAGGAUGCGCAAGCCGAGGGAUCGAUCGGGUCCCCCUCAGCGUGCUGCUGAUCUUGCUGCCAUAACCCUCGGUCUUGUCCAAUCUUAGACUGGGAAUUAACUCCGGAUUCCUAAGACAACCGACGAAAUGAGCGGGCGGGCGGGCAGGCACUACGCCAGCGAGAGAGGCAGGAUGCGUAAACAGUGGAUCGAUAGGUUGGUAGGUGGGUUUAGGCACAUCUUCAUAUUUCAUCUUUUCCAAUGCUGUAUUUAUGGCUUGUAAAUUCAUACAAUGGUCCCUUAAGCCUUCAUGUGAAGUUUCAUGGCAAGACGACUCGUUUUAUAUUUUUCACGAUUUUUGAAACUUUUUAUGGUUCAAGAUUUUUUUAAAUUUUUUCAGAAGGAGUUUUGGCCCAAAAGUUGGUAGAUGCGAUACUUGUAUAUUUUGUGGGCAUGCACAAAAAAAUUUAGCUAAAAACUUGAAGUGUAUACAUUUUUGUGACCAUUUGAAAAAAGUGCCCCAUUCCAGACACUUUAAUGGCUACUAGCAGCAAACUUGUAAAAUCUCAAAUGCUCUUUAAGGGGGUGUGAGUUCUCAAGGUUUGAUGAGGGAUAGUGGCCCAAUAUAAGGGCCAAGUACCAGCACCCAUCGCACAUCAUGUGCGCACACCCCCUCGGCCCCCCCAAUCGUCGGAACCCCAAUGUCGCCGGUCAGGUUCUCCGACAAUGCUCCGACGAUGGCGCCCCGGGUGAAAAAAAAUACGGCACCAGCACAUGCUUGAGCAUAGCAUGUGCACCUGUAACCCUCGGUCCGGUCCGAUCUUAGACUGGGAAUGAACUCCGUAUGCCUAAGUCAACCCAUGAAACGUGCGUGCGGGCGCUCAGCCGGCCAGAGUGGCAGGAUGCGCAAGUCGGGGAUCGACCAGGUCCCCCUCAGUGUGCUACCGAUCCUGCUACCACAACACUCAGUUUGGUUUGAUCUUAGACUGGGAAUGAACUCCAUAUGCCUAAGCCAACCGACGAAAUGAGCGGGCGAGCGGGAGGGCACUACGUCGGCCAGAGAGGCGGGAUGCGUAAGCUGUGGAUCGAUAGGGUAGUAGGUGGGUUUAGGCACAUCUUCAUAUUUCUGCCAUGCCAAUGCCAUUUUCAUGGCUUGUAAAUUCAUACAAUGGUCCCUUAAGCCUUCAUGUGAAGUUUCAUGGCAAGACGACUCGUUUUCUAUUUUUCACGAUUUUCAAAACUUUUUGCAGUUUGGGAUUUUUUUUAAAUUUUUUCAGAAGGAGUUUUGGCCCCAAACUUGGUAGACGUGAUCUUCGUAUUUUUUUUCACAUGCACAAAAAAAUUCAGCUAAAAACUCAAAGUGUACAGGAUUUUGUGACCAUUUCAAAAAAGUGUCCCCAUUCUAGACACUUUAAUGGCUACUGGCUGCAAACUUGUAAAAUCUCAAAUGGUCCUUAAAGGGGUGUGAGUUCUCGAGGUUUGAUAAGGGAAAGAGGGUCAAUUUAAGGGCCAAAUACCAGCACCAAUCGUAAAUCAUGUGCGCACACCCUCCCCGGCCUCCCCAAUCGUCGGAACCCCAAUGCCUCCAAUCAGGUUCUCCGAUGAUGCUCCGGCAAUGGUGCCCUAGGCAAAAAAAAAUGCGGCACCAGCACAUGCCCGAGCCCAGCAUGUGCACCUGCAACCCUCAGUCCAGUUCAAUCUUAGACUGGGAAUGAACUCCGUAUGCCUAAGUCAACCCACGAAACGAGCGUGCGGGCGCUCAGCCGGCCAGAGGGGCAGGAUGCGCAAGCCGAGGAUUGGUCGGGUCCCCCUCAGCAUGCUGCCGAUCCUACUGUCGCAACCCUCGGUUCAGUCUAAACUUAGACUAGGAAUAAACUCCGUACGCCUAAGCCAACCGAUGAAACGAGCGGGCGAGUGGGCGGGCACUAUGCCGACCAGAGAGGCAGGAUGCGCAAGCGGUGGAUCGAUAGGGUGGUAGGUGGGUUUAGGCACAUCUUCAUAUUUCUGCCAUGCCAAUGCCAUUUUUUUGGCUUGUAAAUUCAUCCAAUGGUCCCUGAAGCCUUCAUGUGAAGUUUCAUGGCAAGACGACUCGUUUUUUUUUUCACGCUUUUUGAAACUUUUUACGGUUCCAGAUUUUUUUAACUUUUUUCAGAAGGGGUUUCAGCCCCAAACUUGGUAGACGUGAUCCUUGUAUUUUUUUGGGCAUGCACAUAAAAAUUUAGCUAAAAACUCGAAGUGCAUAGGAUUUUGUGACCAUUUGAAAAAAGUGUCCCCUUUUCAGACACUUUAAUGGCUACUGGAAGCAAACCUGUAAAAUCUCAAAUGCUCUUUAAAGAGGUGUGAGUUCUCAAGGUUUGAUGAGGGAUAGGGGGCCAAUAUAAGGGCCAAGUACCAGCACCUAUCGCACAUCAUGUGCGCACACCCCCCGGGCCCAUCAAUCAUCAGAACCCUAAUGCCGCCGGUUAGGUUCUCCUGCGAUGCUUUGACGAUGGUGCCCCGGCAAAAAGAAAUGUGGCACCAGCACAUGCCCGAGCCCAGCAUGUGCACCCUCAACCCUCGGUCCGAUCCGAUCUUAGACUGGGAAUGAACUCCAUAUGCUUAGACUGGGAAUGAACUCCGUAUGCCUAAGUCAACCCACGAAACGAGCGUGCGGGCGCUCAACCGGCCAGAGGGCAGGAUGCGCAAGCCGAGGAUCGAUCGGGUUCCCCUCAGCAUGCUACCGAUCUUGCUGCCAUAACCCUCGGUCUGGUCCAAUCUUAGACUGGGAAUUAACUCUGUAUGCCUAAGACAACCGACGAAACGAGCGGGCGGACGGGCGGGCACUACGCCAGCCAGAGAUGCGGGAUGCAUAAGCCAUGGAUCGAUAGGUUGGUAGGUGGGUUUAGGCACAUCUUCAUAUUUUAGCUUUUCCAAUGCCGUAUUUAUGGCUUGUAAAUUCAUACAAUGGUCCCUUAAGCCUUCAUGUGAAGUUUCAUGGCAAGAUAACUCGUUUUCUAUUUUUCACGAUUUUUGAAACUUUCUACGGUUUGAGAUUUUUUUAAAUUCUUUCAGAAGGAGUUUUGGCCCAAAACUUGGAAGACGCAAUACUUGUAUUUUUGUGGGCAUGCACAAAAAAAUUCAGCUAAAAACUCGAAGUGUAUAGGUUUUUGUGACCAUUUGAAAAAAGUGCCUCAUUUUAGACACUUUAAUGGCUACUGGCAGCAAACCUGUAAAAUCUCAAAUGCUCUUUAGGGGGGUGUGAGUUCUGGAGGUUUGAUGAGGGAUGGGGGGCCAAUAUAAGGGCCAAGUACCAGCACCCAUCGCACAUCAUGUGCGCACACCCCCCGGCCCCCCCAAUCGUCGGAACCCCAAUGCCGUCGGUCAGGUUCUUUGGCGAUGCUCCGGCGAUGUUGCCCCGGGCGAAAAAAAAUACGACACCAGCACAUGCCCGAGCCCAGCAUGUGCACUCGUAACCUUCAGUCUGAUCCGAUCUUAGACUGGGAAUGAACUCUGUAUGCUUAGACUGGGAAUGAACUCCGUAUGCCUAAGUCAACCCACGAAACGAGCGUGCGAGGGCUCAGCCGGCUAGAGGGGCAGGAUGCGCAAACCAGGGAUUGGUCGGGUCCCCCUCAGCGUGCUGCUGAUCCUACUACCACAACCCUCAGUCUGGUCUGAUCUUAGACUGGGAAUGAACUCCGUAUGCCUAAGCCAACCGACGAAACGAGCAGGCGGGCACUACGUCGGCCAGAGAGGCGGGAUGCGCAAGCAGUGGAUCGAUAGGGUGGUAGGUGGGUUUAGACACAUCUUUAUAUUUCUACCAUGCCAAUGCCAUUUUUAUGGCUUGUAAAUUUAUACAGUGGUCCCUUAAGCCUUCAUGUGAAGUUUCAUGGCAAGACGACUCGUUUUCUAUUUUUCAUGAUUUUAGAAACUUUUUACGGUUCGGGAUUUUUUCAAAAUUUUUUUAGAAGGAGUUUUGGCAUCAAACUUGGUUGACGUGAUCCUUGUAUUUUUGGUGGCAUGCACAAAAAAAUUCAGCUAAAAACUCAAAGUGUACAGGAUUUCAUUACCAUUUGAAAAAAGUGUCGCCAUUUCAGACACUUUAAUGGCUACUGGCAGCAAACCUGUAAAAUCUCAGAUGCUCUUUAAGGGGGUGUGAGUUCUUGAGGUUUGAUGAGGGAUAGGGAGCCAAUAUAAGGGACAAGUACCAGCACCCAUCGCACAUCAUGUGCGCAUACCCCCAGCGCCCCCAAUCGCCGGAACCCCAAUGCCGUCGGUCAGAUUCUCUGGUGAUGCUUAGACGAUGGUGGCCCGGGCGAAAAAAAUGCGACACCAGCACAUGCCCAAGCCCAGCAUGUGCGCCCGUAAACCUCGGUCUGGUCUGAUCUUAGAUUUUAAAUGAACUCCGUAUGCUUAGGCUGGGAACGAACUCCGUAUGCCUAAGUCAACCCACGAAAGGAGCGUGCGGGCGCUCAGCCAGCCAGAGUGGUAGGAUACGCAAGCCAGGGAUCGGUCGGGUCCCCUUCUACGUGUUGCCGAUCCUGCUACCACAACCCUCAAUCUGGUCCAAUCUUAGACUGGGAAUAAACUCCGUAUGCCUAAGUCAACCCACGAAAGGAGCGUGCGGGCGCUCAGCCAGCCAAAGUGGCAGGAUACGCAAGCCAGGGAUCGGUCGGGUCCCCUUCUACGUGUUGCUGAUCCUGCUACCACAACCCUCAAUCUGGUCCAAUCUUAGAUUGGGAAUAAACUCCAUAUGCCUAAGCCAACCGACGAAACGAGUGGGGCGGCGGGCGGUCACUACGUCGACCAGAGAGGCGGGAUGUGCAAGCCGUGGAUCGAUAGGGUGGUAGGUGGGUUUAGGCACAUCUUCACAUUUUCACCAUGCCAAUGCCAUUUUUAUGGCUUGUAAAUUCAUACAAUAGUCCCUUAAGCCCUCAUGUGGAGCCUCAUGGCAAGACGACUCGUUUUCUAUUUUUCAUGAUUUUUGAAACUUUUUACGGUUCGGGAUUUUUUUAAAAAUUUUUCAGAAGGAGUUUUGGCCCCAAACUUGGUAGACGUGAUCCUUGUAUUUUUGUUGCCAUGCACAAAAAAAUUCAGCUAAAAAAUCGAAGUGUACAGGAUUUUGUGACCAUUCGAAAAGAGUGUCCCCAUUUCAGACACUUUAAUGGCUACUAGCAGCAAACCUGUAAAAUCUCAAAUGCUCUUUAAGGGGGUGAGUUCUUGAGGUUUGAUGAGGGAUAGGGGGCCAAUAUAAAGGCCAAGUACCAGCACCCAUCGCACAUCAUGUGCGCACACCCCCCCGACCCCCCAAUGCCGUCGGUCAGGUUCUCCGGCAAUGGUGCCCCGGGCGAAAAACAAUGCUGCACCAGCACAUGCCCAAGCCUAGCAUGUGCACCCGCAACCCUCGUCUGGUCCGUUCUUAGACUGGGAAUGAACUCUGUAUGCUUAGACUGGGAAUGAACUCCGUAUGCCUAAGUCAACCCACGAAACAAGCGUGCGGGCGCCCAGUCGGCUAGAGGGGCAGGAUGCGUAAGCCGAGGAUCGGUCGGGUCCCCCACAGUGUGCGGCCAAUCCUGCUGCCACAACCUUUGUUCUGGUCUGAUCUUAGACUAGGAAUGAACUCCGUAUGCCUAAGCCAAUCGAUGAAACGAGCGGGUAGGCGGGCAGGCAUUGCGCCGGUCAGAGACGCGGGAUGCGCAAGCCGUGGAUCGAUAGGGUGGUAGGUGGGUUUAGGCACAUCUUCAUAUUUCUACCAUGCCAAUGCCAUUUUUAUGUCUUGUAAAUUCAUACAAUGGUCCUUUAAGCCUUCAUGUGAAGUUUCAUGGCAGGACGACUCGUUUUCUAUUUUUCACGAUUUUUGAAACUUUUUACAGUUCGAGAUUUUUUAAAAAUUUUUUCAGAAGGAGUUUUGGCAUCAAACUUGGCUGAUGUGAUCCUUGUAUUUUUUGUGCCAUCCAUAAAAAAAUUCAGCUAAAAACUCAUAGUGUACAGGAUUUUGUGACCAUUUGAAAAAGGUGUCCCCAUUGCAGACACUUUAAUGGCUACUGGCAGCAAACUUGUAAAAUCUCAAAUGCUCUUUAAGGGGGAGUGAGUUCUCAAGGUUUGAUGAGGGAUAGGGGGCCAAUAUAAGGGCCAAGUACCAGCACCCAUCACACAUCAUGUGCGCACACCCCCUGGCCCCCCAAUCGCCAGAACCCCAAUGUCAUCGGUCAGGUUCUCUGACAAUGCUCCGGCGAUGGUGCCCCGGAUGACAAAAAAUGCGGCACCAGCACAUGCCUGAGCUUAGCAUGUGCACCCGCAACCCUCGAUCCGAUCUGAUCUUAGAUUGGGAAUGAACUCCGUAUGCUUAGACUGGGAAUGAACUCCUAUGCCUAAGUCAACCCAUGAAACGAGCAUGGGGGUGCUCAGCCAGCCAGAGGGGCAGGAUGCACAUGAUGGGGAUCGGUCAGGUCCCCCUCAGCAUGCUGCCAAUCCUGCUACCGCAACCCUCUGUCCAUUUCGAUCUUAGACUAGGAAUGAACUCCGUAUGCCUAAGCCAACCGACGAAAUGAGCGGGCGGACGGGCGGGCACUACACUGGCCAUUGAUGCGGAUGCGUAAGCCAUGGAUCGAUAAGGUGGUAGGUGGGUUUAGGCACAUCUUCAUAUUCAUACAAUGGUCCCUUAGGCCUUCAUGUGAAGUUUCAUGGAAAGAUGACUCGUUUUCUAUUGUUCACAAUUUUUGAAACUUUUUACGGUUCGAGAUUUUUUUUAAAUUUUUUUAGAAGGGGUUUUGGCCCCAAUCUUGGUAGACGUGAUCCUUGUAUUUUUUUUGGCAUGCACAAAAAUAUUCAGCUAAAAAAUCGAUGUGUACAGGAUUUUGUGACCAUUUGAAAAAAGUGACCCCUUUUUAGACACUUUAAUGGUUACUGGCAGCAAACCUGUAAAAUCUCAAAUGCUCUUUAAAGGGGUGUGAGUUAUCGAGGUUUGAUGAGGGAUAGGGGGCCAAUAUAACGGCCAAGUACCAGCACCCAUCGCACAUCAUGUGUGCACACCCCCCCGCCCGCCAAUCAUUGGAACCCUAAUGCCGCUGGUCAGGUUCUCCGAUGAUGGUGCCCCGGGCGAAAAAAAUGCAGCACCAGCACAUGCUAGAGCCCACCAUGUGCACCUGCAACCCUCGAUUCGAUCCGAUCUUAGACUAGGAAUGAACUCUAUAUGCUUAGACUGGGAAUGAACUCCGUAUGCCUAAGUCAACCCACGAAACGAGCGUGCGGGCGUUAAGCCAGCCAGAGGGGCAGGAUACGCAAGCCGGGGAUUGGUCGGGUUCCCCUUAGCGUGCUACUGAUCUUGUUGCUGCAACCCUCUAUUUGGUUCGGUCUUAGACUAGGAAUGAACUCCGUAUACCUAAGCCAACGGACGAAACGAGCGAACGGGCGAGCACUACGCCGGCCAGAGAGGCGUGAUGCGUAAGCCGUGGAUCGAUAGGGUGGUAGGUGGGUUUUGGCUCUUCUUCAUAUUUUUGCUGUGCCAAUACCAUUUUUAUGGCUUAUAAAUUCAUACAUUGGUCUCUUAAGCCUUCAUGUGAACUUUGAUGGCAAGAUGACUCGUUUUCUAUUUUUCAUGAUUUUUGAAACUUUUUAUGGUACAGGAUUUUUUUAAAAUUUCUUCAGAAGGUGUUUUGGCCCCAAACUUGGUAGACAUGAUCCUUGUAUUUUUUUUGGUAUGCACAAAAAAAUUCAGCUAAAAACUCAAAGUGUAUAGGAUUUUGUGACCAUUUGAAAAAAAUGUCCCCAUUUCAGACACUUUAACGGCUACUGGCAGCAAACCUGUAAAAUCUCAAAUGCUCUAUAAGGGGGUGUGAGUUCUUGAGGUUUGAUGAGGGAUAGGGGGCCAAUAUAAGGGCCAAGUACCAGCACCCAUCGCACAUCAUGUGCGCACACCCACUGGCCCCCCAAUCGUCGGAACCCCAAUGCCACCGGUCAGGUUUUUUGAUGAUGCUCCAACGAUGGUGCCUCAGGUGAAAAAAAUUGUGGCACCAGCACCUGCCCGAGCCCAGCAUGUGCACCCACAACCCUCGGUCCGGUCUGAUCUUAGACUGGGAAUGAACUCCGUAUGCCUAAGUCAACCCAUGAAAUGAGCGUACGGGUGCUCAGCCAGCCAAAGUUGCAGGAUACGCAAGUCGGGGAUCGAUCGAGUCCCCCUCAGCGUGCUACUGAUCCUGCUACCGCAACCCUCGGUCUGGUCUAAUCUUAGACUGGGAAUGAACUCCGUAUGCCUAAGCCAACCGAUGAAACGAGCGGGUAGGUGGGCGGGCACUACGCUGACUAGAGAGGCGGGAUGCGCAAGCCGUGGAUCGAUAGGGUGGUGGGUGGGUUUAGGCACAUCUUCAUAUUUCUACCAUGCCAAUGCCAUUUUUAUGGCUUGUAAAUUCAUACAAUGGUCCCUUAAAAUUUCAUGUGAAGUUUCAUGGCAAGACGACGCAUUUUCUAUUUUUCAUGAUUUUUGAAACCUUUUACGAUUCGGGAUUUUUUUAAUUUUUUUUGAGAUGACGUUUUGGCCCCAAACUUGGUAGACGUAAUCCUUGUAUUUUUUUGGGCAUGCAUAAAAAAAUUCAGCUAAAAACUUGAAUUGUACAGGAUUUUGUGACCAUUUGAAAAACGUGUCCCCAUUUCAGACACUUUAAUAGCUACUGGCAGCAAACCUGUAAAAUAUCAAAUGCUCUUUAAGGGGGUGUUAGUUCUCGAGGUUUGAUGAGGGAUAGGGGGCCAAUACAAGGACCAAGUACUAGCACCCAUCGCACAUCACAUGCGCACACCCCCCAGCCCCCCCAAUCGUCGGAACCCCAAUACCGCUGGUCAGGUACUCUGGCGAUGCUCCUGGUGAUGGUGGCCCGGGUGAAAAAAAAUACGGCACCAGCACAUGCUCAAGCCCAGCCUAUGCACCCACAACCCUCGGUCUGAUCCGAUCUUAGACUGGGAAUGAACUCCGUAUACCUAAGUCAACCCACGAAAUGAGUGUGUGGAUCAGCUGGGUCCCCCUUAGCGUGCUGCCGAUCUUGGUGCCGUAACCCUCAGUCCGGACCAAUCUUAGACGGGGAAUGAACUCCGUAUGCCUAACCAACCGAUGAAACGAGCGGGCGGGCGGGCGGGCACUACGUCGGCCAGAGAGGCGGGAUGCGCAAGCCAGUGGAUCGAUUGGGUGGUAGGUGGGUUAGGCACAUCUUCAUAUCUUUGCCAUGCCAAUGCCAUUUUUAUGGCUUGUAAAUUCAUACAAUGGUCCCUUAAGCCUUCAUGUGAAGUUUCAUGGCAAGACGACUCGUUUUCUAUUUUUCACGAUUUUUGAAACUUUUUACGGUUUGAGAUUUUUAAAAAUUUUUUCAGAAGGAGUUUUGGCCCCAAACUUGGUAGACGUGAUCCUUGUAUUUUUGUUGGCAUGCACAAAACAAUUCAGCUAAAAACUCAAAGUGUACAGGAUUUUGUGACCAUUUGAAAAAAGUGUCCCCAUUUUAGACACUUUAAUAGCUACUGGCAGCAAACCUGUAAAAUAUCCAAAUGCCUUCUUUAAGAGGUGUUAGUUCUCGAGGUUUGAUGAGGGAUAGGGGGCCAAUAUAAGGCCAAUACCAGCACCCAUCUUACAUCAUUUACGCACAGCCCCAGGCACCCCCCAAUUCACGGAACCAAUGCCGUCGGUCAGGUUCUCCACGAUGCUCAUGGAUGUGCCCCGGCAAAAAAAAAGUGACACCAGUACAUGCCUGAACCCAGCAUGUGCACCCAUACCUCUCUGGUCCGAUCUAGAUGGGAAUGAACUCCGUUAUCCUGGCUGGAAUGAACUUCAUCCAGUCAACCUGGCGUAGGGUGCUACCGCCGGAGCACGCACAAGCCGGGAUCGAUCGGUCCCCCUCAGUGGCUGUCGAUCUACUCUGUCAACCCUGGUCUGACCCAAUCAUAGACUGGGAAUGAACUCCGUAUGCCUAAGCCAACCGAUGAAAUAAGUGGGUGGGCGGGUAGGUAGGCACUAUACCGGCCAGAGAGGCGGGAUGCACAAGCCGUGGAUCGAUAGGGUGGUAGGUGGGUUUAGGCACAUCUUCUUAUAUCUGGCACGCCAAUGCCAUUUUUAUGGCUUGUAAAUUCAUACAAUGGUCCCUUAAGCCUGCAUGUGAAGUUUCUUGGCAAGAUGACUCGUUUUCUAUUUUUCAUGAUUUUUGAGAUUUUUUACGAUUUGAGAUUUUUUUAAAAUUAUCUCAGAAGGAGUUUUGGCCCCAAACUUCAUUAGACGUGAUCCUUGUAUUUUUGUUGGCAUGCACAAAAACAUUCAGCUAAAAACUUGAAGUGUACAGGAUUUUGUGACCAUUUGAAAAAAGUGUCCCAAUUUCAAACACUUUAAUGGCUCCUGGCAGCAAACUUGUAAAAUCUCAAAUGCUCUUUAAGGGGGUGUGAGUUCUCGAGGUUUGAUGAGGGAUAGCGGGCAAAUAUAAGGGCCAAGUACCAGCACCCAUCGCACAUCAUGUGCGCACACCCCCCCGCCCCCCAAUCGUCGGAACCCCAAUGCCGCCGGUCAGGUUCUCCGACGAUGGUGCCCCGAGAGAAAAAAAAAUGCGGCACCAGCACAUGCUCGAGCCUAGCAUGUGCACCCUCAACUCUCGGUCUGGUCUGAUUUUAGACUGGGAAUGAACUCCGUAUGCUUAGACUGGGAAUGAACUCCGUAUGCCUAAGUCAACCCACGAAACGAGCGUGCGGGCGCUCAGUCGGCCAGAGGGCCGGAUAGGUAAGCCGGGGAUCGAUCGGGUCCUCCUCUACGAGCUGCCGAUCCUACUGCUGCAACCCUCGGUUCGGUUCGAUCUUAGACUGGGAAUGAACUCCGUAUGCCUAAGCCAACCGAUGAAACGAGCGGCGGCGGGCGGGCACUACAUCGGCCAAAGAGGCGGGAUGCGCAAGCCGUGGAUCGAUAGGGUGGUAGGUGGGUUUAGGCACAUCUUCAUAUUUUUGCCGAGCCAAUGCCAUUUUUAUGCCUUGUAAAUUCAUACAAUGGUCCCUUAUGCCUUGUAAGAUUCAAGUUCUCCGACGAUGGUGCCCUGGGCGAAAAAAAUGCGGCACCAGCACAUGCCCUAGCCUAGCAUGUGCACCUGCAACCCUCGGUCCGGUCCGAUCUUAGACUGGGAAUGAACUCCAUAUGCUUCGACUGGGAAUCAACUCCGUAUGCCUAAGUCAACCCAUGAAACGAGCGUGCGGGUGCUCAACCGGCCAGAGGGGCAGGAUGCGUAAGUCGAGGAUCGGUUGGGUCCCCCCCAGCGUGCUAUCGAUCCUACAUCUGUAACCCUCAUUCUGGUCCACUCUUAGAUUGGGAAUGAACUCCGUAUGCCUAAGCCAACCGACGAAACAAGCAGGUCGGCGAGCGGGCACUACGCCGACCAGAGAGGCGGGAUGCGCAAGCCGUGGAUCGAUAGGGUAGUAGGUGGGUUUAGGCACAUUUUCAUAUUUCUGCCAUGCCAAUGCCAUUUUAAUGGCUUGUAAAUUCAUACAAUGGUCCUUUAAGCCUUCAUGUGAAGUUUUAAUGGCAAGACGACUCGUUUUCUAUUUUUCACGAUUUUUGAAACUUUUUACGACUUAAGAUUUUUUUAAAAUUUUUUCAAAAAGAGUUUUGGACCCAAACUUGGUAGACGUGAUCCUUGUAUUUUUGUUGGUGUGAACAAAAAACAUUCAGCUAAAAACUCGAAGUGCAUAGGAUUUUGUGACCAUUUGAAAAAAGUGUCCCCAUUUCGAACACUUUAAUGGCUACUGGCAGCAAACCUGUAAAAUCUUAAAUGCUCUUUCAGGGGGUGUGAGUCCUCGAGGUUUGAUGAGUGAUAGGGGGCCAAUAUAAGGGCCAAGUACCCGCAGCCAUCGCACAUCAUGAGUGCACACCCCGCCCGGCCCCCUAAUCGUCGGAACCCCAAUGUCGUCGAUCAGGUUCUCUGGUGAUGCUCCGGCGAUGGUGGCCCGGGCGAAAAAAAAAUGCGGCACCAGCACAAGCUCGAGCCCAGCAUGUGCACCCACAACCUUCGGUCCGGUUUGACCUUAGACUGGGAAUGAACUCCGUAUGCCUAAGUCAACCCACAAAACGAACGUGCGGGCGCUCAGCCGGCCAGAGGGGCAGGAUGCGCAAGCCAGGGAUCGACCGGUUCCCCCUCAACGUGCUACCGAUCCUGCUGCCGCAAGCCUCGGUCUGGUCUAAUCUUAGACUGGGAAUGAACUCUGUAUGCUAAGCAACCGACGAAAUGAGCAGACACGCGGGCACUACCCAGCCAGAGAGGCGGGAUGCGCAAGCCAUGUAUCGAUAGGGUGGUAGGUGGGUUUAGGCACAUCUUCAUAAUUUCUAACCGUGCCAAGCCAUUUUUAUGGCUUGUAAAUUCAUACAAUGGUUCUUAAGCUUCUGUGAAGUUUCAUGGCAAGACGACUCGUUUUCUAUUUUUUACGAUUUUUGAAACUUUUUACGAUUCGAGAUUUUUUAAAAUUUUUUUAGAAGGAGUUUUGGCCCCAAACCUGGUAGACGUGAUCCUUAUAUUUUUGUGGGCAUGCACAAAAACAUUCAGCUAAAAACUCGAAGUGUAUAGGAUUUUGUGACCAUUUGAAAAAAGUGUCCCCAUUUCAGACACUUUAAUGGCGAUUGGCAGCAAGCCUGUAAAAUCUCAAAUGCUCUUUAAGGGGGUGUGAGUUCUCGAGGUUUGAUGAGGGAUAAGGGGCCAAUAUAAGGGCCAAGUACCAGCACCCAUCGCACAUCAUGUCCGUACACCCCCGUCGGCCCCCCCAAUCGUCGGACCCCCAAUGCCGCCGGUCAGGUUCUGUGGCGAUGCUCCGGCAACGGUGCCCUGAGCAAAAAAAAAUGUGACACCAGCAUAUGCCCGAGCCCAGCAUGCACAAGCGCAACCCUCGGUUCCAGUCCGAUCUUAGACUGGGAAUGAACUUCGUAUGGCUAAGUCAACACAUGAAACAACCGUGCGGGUGCUCAUCCGGCUAGAGGGGUAGGAUGCGUAAGCCAGGGAUUGGUCGGGUCCCCCUCAACAUGCUGCCAAUCUUGCUGCUGCAACCCUCGGUCUGGUCUGUUCUUAGACUGGGAAUGAACUCCAUAUGCCUAAGCCAACUGACGAAACGAACGGACUGAUGGGCAGGCACUACGCCGGCCAGAGAGACGGGAUACGUAAGCCAUGGAUAGAUAGGAUGGUAGGUGGGUUUAGGCACAUCUUCAUAUUUUUGCCAUGCCACUGCCAUUUUUAUGGCUUUUACAUUCAUACAAUGGUCCUUUAAGCCUUCAUGUGAAGUUUCAUGGCAAGACGACUCGUUUUCUAUUUUUCAUGAUUUUUGAAACUUUUUAUGGCAUGAGAUUUUUUUAAAAUUUUUCCAGAAGGAGUUUUGGCCCCAAACUUGGUAGACGUGAUCGUUAUAUUUUUGUUGGCAUGCACAAAAAAAUUUAGCCAAAAACUCGAAGUGUACAGGAUUUUGUGACCAUUUGAAAAAAGUGUCCCCAUUUCAGACACUUUAAUGGCUACUGGCAGCAAACCUGUAAAAUCUCAAAUGCUCUUUAAGCGGGUGUGAGUGUUUGAGGUUUGCUGAGGGAUAGGGGGCCAAUAUAAGGGCCUAGUACAAGCACCCAUCACACAUCAUGUGCGCACACCCCCCCCGUACCCCCAGUCAUCGGAACCCCAAUGCCGUCGGUCAGGUUCUUCGACGAUGCUCCGACGAUGUUACCCCAGGCGAAAAAAAAUGUGACACUAGCACAUGCCCGAGCCCAGUAUCUGCACCCGUAACCCUCGGUUCGGUCCGAUCUUAGACUGAGAAUGAACUCCGUAUGCCAAAGUUAACCCACGAAACGAGCGUGCGGGCACUCAACCGGACGGAGGGGCAGGAUGCACAAGCCGGGGAUCGGUCGGGUCCCCCUCUGUGUGCUUUCGAUCCUACUGUCGCAACCUUCGAUCCGGUCUGAUCUUAGACUGGGAAUUAACUCUGUAUGCCUAAGCCAACCGAUGAAAUGAGCGAAAAGGUGGGCGGGCACUACGCCACCCAAUAGAGGCGGGAUGCGCAAGCCAUGGAUUGAUAGGGUCGUAGGUGGGUUUAGGCACAUCUUCAUAUUUCUGCCGUGCCAAUGCCAUUUUAAUGGCUUGUAAAUUCAUACAAUGGUCCCUUAAGCCUUCAUGUGAAGUUUCAUGGCAAGAUGACUCAUUUUCUAUUUUUUAUGAUUUUCAAAACUGUUUACGAUUCGAGAUUUUAUGGUAGACGUGAUCCUUGUACUUUUGUUCGGAAGCACAAAAAAAUUCAGCUAAAAACUCGAAGUGUAUAGGAUUUUGUGACCAUUUGAAAAAAGUGUCCCCAUUUUAGACACUUUAAUGGCUACCGGCAGCAAACCUGUAAAAUCUCAAAUGCUCUUUAAGGGGGUUCGAGUUCUCGAGGUUUGAUGAUAGAUAGGGGGCCAAUAUAAGGGCCAAGUACCAGCACCCAUCGCACAUUAUUUGCGCACACCCCCCCCGCCCCCCCAAUCAUCGAAACCCGAAUGCUGUCGAUCAGGUUCUCAGAGAUUGUGCCCCGAGUGAAAAAAAAUACGACACCAGCACAUGCCCGAGCCCAGCAAGUGCACCCGUAACCCUCGAUCCGGUCCAAUUUUAGACUGGGAAUGAACUCCGUAUGCCUAAGUCAACCCACGAAAUGAGUGUGCGGGCGUUCAGCCGGCCAGAGGGCAGGAUGCACAAGCCUGGGAUCGAUCGAGUCCCCCUCUGUGUGCUGUCGAUCCUGUUGCUGCAACCUUUAGACUGGUCGAAUCUAAGACUGGGAAUGAACUCCGUAUGCCUAAGCCAACCGAUGAAACGAGCGGGCGGACGGGUGAGCGGGUACUACGCCGGCCAGAGAGGCGGGAUGCGCAAGCCGUGGAUCGAUAGGGUGGUAGGUGGGUUUAGGCACAUCUUCAUUUUUAUGGCUUUUAAAUUCAUACAAUGGUCCCUUAAGCCUUCAUGUGAUAUUUAAUGGCAAGAUGACUCAUUUUUAUAUUUUUCACGAUUUUUGAAACUUUUUACAGUUCGACAGUUUUUUAAAAUUUUUUCAGAAGGAGUUUUGGCCCAAAACUUGGUAGACGUGAUCCUUGUAUUUUUGUUGGCAUGCAUAAAAAAAUUCAGCUAAAAACUCGAAGUGUACAGGAUUUUGUGACCAUUUGAAAAAAGUCUCCCCAUUUCAGACACUUUAAUGGCUAUUGGCAGCAAACCUGUAAAAUCUCAAAUGCUCUUUCAGGGGGUGUGAGUUCUCAAGGUUUGAUGAGGGAUAGGGGGCCAAUAUAAGGGCCAAGUACCAGCACCCAUCGCACAUCAUGUGCGCACACCCCCCGACCCCCCCAAUCAUCGAAACCCCAACGCCGUCGGUCAGGUUCUUCGGCGAUGCUCCGCCGAUGGUGCCCCGAGCGAAAAAAAUAUAUAGCACCAGCACAUGCUCAAGCCUAGAAUGUGCACCCGCAACCCUCGAUCCGGUCCGAUCUUCGACUGGGAAUGAACUCCGUAUGCUUAGAUUGGGAAUGAACUCUGUAUGCCUAAGUCAACCCAUGAAACGAGCAUGCAGGCGCUUAGCCAGCCAAAGCGGCAGGAUGCGUAAGUCGGGGAUCGACCGGGUCCCCCUUUGCGUGCCAUCGAUCCUACUGCCGUAACCCUUAUUCUGGUCUGAUCUUAGACUGGGAAUGAACUCCGUAUGCCUAAGCCAACCGAUUAAACGAGCGGACGGGCGGGCACUAAGCCGGCCAGAGAGGCAGGAUGCGCAAAACGUGGAUCGAUAGGGUGCUAGGUAGGUUUAGGCACAUCUUCAUAAUUUCGCUCCAAUGCCAUUUUUAUGGCUUGAAUUCAUACAAUGGGUCCCUUAAGCCUUCAUGUGAAGUUUGAUGGCAAGACGACUCGUUUUUUAUUUUCACGAUUUUUGAAACUUUUUACGAUUCAAGAUUUUUUUAAAUUUUUCAGAAGGAGUUUUAGCCCCUAACUUGGUAGACGUGAUCCUUGUAUUUUUGUUGGCAUGCACAAAAUAAUUCAGCUAAAAACUCGAAGUGUAUAGGAUUUUGUGACCAUUUGAAAAAAGUGUCCCCAUUUCAGACACUUUAAUGGCUACUGGCAGCAAACCUGUAAAAUCUCAAAUGCUCUUUAAGGGGGUGUGAGUUCUCAAGGUUUGAUGAGGGAUAGGGGGACAAUAUAAGGGCCAAGUACCAGCGCCCAUCGCACAUCAUGUGCGCACACCCACCCCGUCCCCCCAAUCACAGAAACCCCAAUACCGUCGGUCAGGUUCUCCGGGAUGGUGCCCCGGGCAAAAAAAAAUACGGCACCAGCACAUGUCUGAGCCCAGUAUGUGCACCUGCAACUCUCGGUCCGGUCCAAUCUUAGACUGGGAAUGAACUCCGUAUGCCUAAGUCAACCCAUGAAACGAGCGUGCGGGUACUCAGUCGGCCAGAGGGGCAGGAUGCUCAAGUCGGGGAUCGAUCGAGUUACCCUCUGCGUGCUGUCGAUCCUAUUACCGCAACCCUCGAUCUGGUCCAAGCUUAGACUGGGAAUGAACUCCGUAUGCCUAAGCCAACCGAUGAAAUGAGCGGGCGGACGAGCGGGUGGGCACUACGCCGACCAGAGAGGCGGGAUGCACAAGCCGUGGAUCGAUAGGGUGGUAGGUGGGUUUAGGCACAUCUUCAUAUUUCUACCAUGCCACUACCAUUUUUAUGGCUUGUAAAUUCAUACAAUGGUCCUUUAAGCCUUCAUGUGAAGUUUCAUGGCAAGACGACACGUUUUCUAUUUUUCAUGAUUUUUGAAACUUUUUACCGUUUGUGAUUAUUUUAAAAUUUUUUCAGAAGGAGUUUUGGCCCCAAACUUGGUAGAUGUGAUCCUUCUAUUUUUGUUGGCAUGCACAAAACAAUUCAGCUAAAAACUCGAAGUGUACAGGAUUUUGUGGCCAUUUGAAAAAAAUGUCCCCAUUUCAGACACUUUAAUGGCUACUGGCAGCAAACCUGUAAAAUCUCAAAUGCUCUUUAAGGGGUGUGAGUUCUGGAGGUUUGAUGAGGGAUAGGGGGCCAAUAUAAGGGCCAAGUACCAGCACCCAUCUCACAUCAUGUGCACAAACCCCCCCGGCCCCCCCAAUCGCUGAAACCCCAAUGCCAUCGAUCAGGUUCUCCGGGGAUGCUUCGGGGAUGGUGCCCCGGGCGAAAAAAAAUACGGCACCAGCACAUGCCUGAGCCCAGCAUGUGCACCCGCAACCCUCGAUCCUGGCUGACCUUAGACUGGGAAUGAACUCCUAUGCCUAAGUCAACCCACGAAACGAGCAUGAGGGCGCUUAACUGGCCAAAGGGGUAGGAUGCACAAGCCGGGGAUCGAUCGAGUCCCCCUCUGCGUGCUGCCGAUCCCACUAUUGCAACCCUCGGUCUGAUCUGAUCUGAGACUGAGAAUGAACUCCGUAUGCCUAAGCCAACCGACGAAACGAGCGGACGGGCGGGCGAGCACUACGUCGGCCAAAGAGGCAGGAAGUGCAAGCCAUGGAUAGAUAGGGUGGUAGGUGGGUUUAGGCACAUCUUCAUAUUUUUGCUAUGCCAAUGCCAUUUUUAUGGCUUGUAAAUUCAUAAAAUGGUCCCUUAAGCCUUCAUGUGAAGUUUCAUGGCAAGACGACUUGUUUUCUAUUUUUCAUGAUUUUUGAAACUUUUUACGGUUCAGGAUUUUUUUAAAAUUUUUUCAGAAGAAGUUUUGGCCCUAAACUUUUUAGACGUGGUCCUUGUAUUUUGUUGAGUGCAAAAAAAAUUCAGCUAAAAACACCAAGUGUACUGGAUUUUGUGACCAUUGGAAAAAAGUGUCCCCAUUUUAGACACUUUAAUGGCUACUGGCAGUAAACCUGUAAAAUCUCAAAUGCUCUUUAAGGGGGUGUGAGUUCUUGAGGUUUAAGGAUAGGGGGCCAAUAUAAGGGCCAAGUACCACCACCCAUCGCAUAUCAUGUGCGCAAACCCCCCCCGCCCCCCCAAUUGUCAGAACGCCAAUUUCGCCGGUCAGGUUCUCCGACGAUGGUGCCCCAGGUGAAAAAAAAAUACGGCACCAGCACAUGCCCGAGCCCAGCAUGUGAACCCGUAACCCUCAAUCCGGUCUGAUCUUAGAUUGGGACUGAACUCCGUAUGCUUAGACUAGGAAUGAACUCCGUAUGCCAAAGUCAACCCACGAAACGAGCCUACGGGCGCUCAACCGGCCAGAGGGCAGGAUGCGCAAGCCAGGGAUCGGUCAGGUCCCCCUCAGUGCACUACCGAUCAUGCUGCCGCAACCCUCAGUCCGGUCCAGUCUUAGACUAGGAAUGAACUUCGUAUGCCUAAGCCAACCGACGAAACGAGCGGGCGGGCGGGCGGGCACUACGCGGCCAGAGAGGCGGGAUGCGCAAGCCGUGGAUCGAUAGGGUGGUAGGUAGGUUUAGGCACAUCUUCAUAUUUCUACCAUGCGAAUGCCAUUUUUAUGGCUUGUAAAUUCAUACAAUGGUCCCUUAAGCCUUCAUGUGAAGUUUCAUGGCAAGACGACUCGUUUUCUAUUUUUUUCGAUUUUUGAAACUUUUUACGGUUCAAGAUUUUUUUAAAAGUCUUUCAGAAGGAGUUUUGGCCCCAAACUUGGUAGACAUGAUCUUUGUAUUUUGUUGGCAUGCACAAAAAAAUUCAGCUAAAAACUCGUAGUGUAUAGGAUUUUGUGGCCAUUUGAAAAAAGUGUCCCAUUUUAGACGCUUUAAUGGCUACUGGCAGCAAACCUGUAAAAUCUCAAAUGCUCAAUAAGGUGGUGUGAGUUCUCAAGGUUUGAUGAGGGACAGGGCACCAAUAUAAGGGCCAAGUACCGGCACCCUCACCCCCCCAAUCGCCAGAACCCCAAUGCCGCCGGUCAGGUUCUUCGGUGAUGGUGCCCCUGGCAAAAAAAAAAUACGGCACCAGCACAUGCUCGAGCCUAGCAUGUGCACCCGCAACCCUUGGUCCGGUUGGAUAAUAGACUGGGAAUGAACUCCGUAUGCCUAAGUUAACCCACAAAACGAGCGUGCGGGCGCUCAGCCAGCCAGAGGGGGAGGAUGCGUAAGCCGGGGAUCGAUUGGGUUCCCCUCUGCGUGCUACUGAUCCUGCUACCGCAACCCCCAAUUUGGUUCGAUCUUUGACUGGGAAUGAACUCCGUAUGUCUAAGCCAACCGACGAAAUGAGCGGGCAGGCAGGCAGGCACUAAGUCGGCCAGAAAGACGGGAUGCGCAAGCUGUGGAUCGAUAGGGUGGUAGGUGGGUUUCGGCACAUCUUCAUAUUUUUGCGAUGCCAAUGGCAUUUUUAGGCUUGUAAAUUCAAACAAUGGUCCCUUAAGCCUUCAUGUGAAGUUUGAUUGGCAAGACGACCGUUUUUCUAUUUUUCAUGAUUUGAAAACUUUUUACAGUUCGGAUUUUUUUAAAAAUUUUUCAGAAGAGUUUUGCCUCAAACUUGCUAGAUGUGAUCCUUGUAUUUUUUUUGGCAUGCACAAAAAAAUUCAGCUAAAAACUCGAUGUGUACAGGAUUUUGUGACCAUUUCAAAAAAGUGUCCCAAUUUCAGACACUUUAAUGGCUACUGGCAACAAACUUGUAAAAUCUCAAAUCCUCUUUAAGGGGGUGUGAGUUCUCAAUGUUGGAUGAGGGAUAUGGGGCCAAUAUAAGGGCCAAGUACCAGUACCCAUCGCACAUCAUGUUCGCACACCCCACAGCCCCUCCAAUCGCCGGAACCAAAAUGCUGCCGGCAAGGUUCUUCGGUGAUGCUCCGGUGAUGGUGGCUCGGGUGAAAAAAAUGUGGCACCAGCACAUGCUCGAGUCCAGCCUCUACACCCGUAACCUCGGUCCUGUUCUAUCUUAGAUUAGGAAUGAACUCUGUAUGCUUAGAAUGGGAAUGAACUCCGUACGCCUAAGUCAACGCAAGAAACGAGCGUGCGGCCGGUCAGCCAGCCAGAGGGGCAGGAUGCGCAAGUCGAGGAUCGAUCGGGUCCCCCUCUGCGUGCUGCCAAUCCUGCUACUGUAACCCUCAGUCCAGACCGAUCUUAGACUGGGAAUGAACUCUGUAUGCCUAAGCCAACUGACGAAACGAGCGGGGGGUGGGCAGGCACUACGCCGGCCAGAGAGGCGGGAUGCGCAAGCCAUGGAUCGAUAGGGUGGUAAGUGGGUUUAGGCACAUCUUCAUAUUUCUACCAUGCCAAUGCCAUUUUUAUGGCUUGUAAAUUCAUAAAAUGGUCCCUUAAGACUUCAUGUGAAGUUUCAUGGCAAGACGACUCGUUUUCUAUUUUUCAAGAAUUUUGAAACUUUUUAUUGUUCGAGAUUUUUUUAAAAUUUUUUCAGAAGAAGUUUUGGCCCCAAACUUGGUAGACAUGAUCCUUGUAUUUUUGUUCGAAAGCACAAAAAAAUUCAGCUAAAAACUCGAAGUGUACAGGAUUUUGUGACCAUUUAAAAAAAGUGUCCCCAUUUCAGACACUUUAAUGGCUACUGGCAGCAAACCUGUAAAAUCUGAAAUGCUCUUUAAGGAGGUGUGAGUUGUCGAGGUUUGAUGAGGGAUAGUGGGCCAAUAUAAGGGCCAAGUACCAGCACCCACCGCACAUCAUGUGCGCACACCCCCCCGGCCCCCUCAAUCGUCGGAACCCCAAUGCCGCCAGUCAGGUUCUCCGGUGAUGCUCCGGAGAUGGUGCCCGAGCGAAAAAAAAUACGAUGCCAGCACAUGCCCAAGCCCAGCAUGUGCACCCGUAUCCCUCAGUCUAGUCUGAUCUUAGACUAGGAAUGAACUUCGUAUGCUUAGACUGAAAUGAACUCCGUAUGCCUAAGUCAACCCAUGAAAUGAGUGUGCGGGCGCUCAGCCGGCCAGGGGGCAGGAUACGCAAGCUGAGGAUCGGUCGAGUCCCCCUCUGCGUGCUGCCAAUCUUGCUGCGGCAACCCUCUAUUUGGUUUGGUCUUAGACUGGGAAUGAACUCCGUAUGCCUCAGCCAACCAACGAAACGAGCGGGUAGGCGGGCACUACGUCGACCAGAGAGAUGGGAUGCGCAUGCCGUGGAUCGAUAGAGUGGUAGGUGAGUUUAGGCACAUCUUCAUUUUUAUGCCGUGCCAAUACCAUUUUUAUGGCUUGUAAAUUCAUACAAUGGUCCCUUAAGCCUUCGUGUGAAGUUUCAUGGCAAGAUGACUCAUCUUCUAUUUUUUAAAAUUUUUCAGAAGGAGUUUUGGCCCCAAACUUGGUAGACAUGAUCCUUGUAUUUUUGUGAGCGUGCGCAAAAAUAUUCAGCUAAAAACUUGAAAUGUAUAGGAUUUUGUGACCAUUUGAAAAAAGCGUCCCCAAUUCAGACACUUUAGUGGCUACUGGCAGCAAACCUGUAAAAUCUCAAAUGCUCUUUAAGGGGGGGUGAGUUCUCGAGGUUUGAUGAGGGACAGGGGGCCAAUAUAAGGUCAAAGUACCAGGACCCAUCGCACAUCAUGUGCGCACACCCCACCCGGCCCCCCCAAUCGUCGAAAGCCUAAUGCCACCGGUCAGGUUCUCUGGCGAUGCUCCGGUGAUGGUGCCCCGAGCAAAAAAAGAUACGGCACUAGCACAUGCCCGAGCCCAGCAUGUGCACCUGUAACCCUCGGUCCGGUCUGAUCUUAGACUGGGAAUGAACUCCGUAUGCCUAAGCCAACCGACGAAACGAGCGGGCGGGCGGGUGGACGGGUACUACGUCGGCUAGAGAGGCGGGAUGCGUAACCCGUUGAUUGCUAGUGGGGUAGGUGGGUUUAGGCACAUCUUCAUAUUUCUGCCAUGCCAAUGCCAUUUUUAUGGCUUGUAAAUUCAUACAAUGGUCCCUUAAGCCUUCAUGUGAAGUUUCAUGGCAAGACGACUCGUUUUCUAUUUUUCACGAUUUUUGAAACUUUUUAUGGUUCGGGAUUUUUUUUAAAUUUUUUCAGAAAGAGUUUUGGCCCCAAACUUGGUAGACGUGAUCCUUGUAUUUUUGUUGGCAUGCGAAAAAAAUUCAGCUAAAAACUCGAAGUGUACAGGAUUUUGUGAGCAAGUGAAAAAAAUGUCCCCAUUUCAGACACUUUAAUGGCUAUUGGCAGCAAACCUGUAAAAUCUCAAAUGCUCUUUAAGGGGGUGUGAGUUCUCGAGGUUUGAUGUGGGAUAGGGGGCCAAUAUAAGGGCCAAGUACUAGCACCCAUCGCAUAUCAUGUCCGUACAUCGCCCCCCCCGGCCCCCCCAAUCGCGGAACCCCAAUGCCGGCGGUUAGGUUCUCCGAUGAAACGAGCGAGCGGGCCAGAGGGGCAGGAUGCACAAGUCGAGGAUCGGCUGGGUCCCCCUCUGUGUGUAGCUGAUCCUGCUAUCAUAACCCUCGGUCCGGUCUGAUCUUAGACUUGGAAUCAACUCCGUAUGCCUAAGCCAACCGACGAAAUGAGCGGGCGGGCGGGCGGGCACUACGCCGGCCAGAGAGGCGGGAUGCGUAAGCCAUGGAUCGAUAAGGUGGUAGGUGGGUUUAGGCACAUCGUCAUAUUUCUGCCAUGCCAAUGCCAUUUUUAUGGCUUGUAAAUUCAUACAAUGGUCCCUUAAGCCUUCAUGUGAAGUUUCAUGGCAAGAUGACUCGUUUUCUAUUUUUCAUGAUUUUUAAAACUUUUUCGAUUCCGAAUUUUUUUGAAAGUUUUUUUCGAGGGAGUUUUGGCUCUAAACUUGGUAGAUGUGAUCCUUAUAUUUUUGUUGGCAUGCAUAAAAAAAUUCAACUAAAAACUCUAAGUGUACAGGAUUUUGUGACCAUUUGAAAAAAGUGUCCCCAUUUCAAACACUUUAAUGGCUACUGGCAGCAAACCUGUAAAAUCUCAAAUGCUCUUUAAGGGGGUGUGAGUUCUCGAGGUUUGAUGAGGGAUAGGAGGCCAAUAUAAGGGCCAAGUACGACCACCCAUCACACAUCAUGUGCGCACACCCCUCCCGACCCCCCAAUCAUCGGAACCCCAAUGCCGCCGGUUAGGUUCUUCGACGAUGCUCCGGCGAUGGUGGUCCGGGCGAAAAAAAUGUGACACCAGCACAUGCCCAAGCCCAGCAUGUGCACUCGUAACCCUCGGUCUGGUCCGAUCUUGGACUUGGAAUGAACUCCGUAUGCUUAGACUGGAAAUGAACUCCGUAUGCCUAAGUCAACCCAUGGAACGAGCAUAGGGGCGCUCAGUCGGCCAGAAGGGCAGGAUGUGCAAGCCGGGGAUUGGUCGGGUCCCCCUUUGUGUGCUGCCAAUCCUGCUACCGCAACCCUUGGUCCAGCCCGAUCUUAGAUUGGGAAUAAACUUCGUAUGCCUAAGCCAACCGACGAAACGAGCGGGCAGGCGGAUGGGCACUACGUCGGCCAGAGAGGCGGGAUGCGCAAGCCGCAGAUAGAUAGGGUGGUAGGUGAGUUUCGGCACAUCUUCAUAUUUCUGCCAUGCCAAUGCCAUUUUUAUGGCUUGUAAAUUCAUACAAUGGUCCCAUAAGCCUUCCUGUGAAGUUUCAUGGCAAGACGACUCGUUUUCUAUUUUUUAUGAUUUUUAAAACUUUUUACGGAUGUGCAUUUUUUAAAAAUAUUUUCAGAAGGAGUUUUGACGCCAAACUUGGUAGACGUGAUCCUUGGAUUUUUGUUGGCAUGCACAAAAAGGUUCAGCUAAAAACCCGAAGUAUAUAGCAUUUUGUGACCAUUUGAAAAAAGUGUCCCCAUUUCAGACACUUUAAUGGCUAUUGACAGCAAACCUGUAAAAUUCUCAAAUGCUCUUUAAGGGGGGGGGAGUUCUCAAGGUUUGGUGCAGGGAUAGGGGGCCAAUAUAAGGGCCAAGUCACCCAGCACCCAUCGCACAUCAUGUGCGCACAACCCCCCACCCCCCAAUCAUCGGAACCCCAAUGCCGUCGGUCAGGUUCUUCGGCUGAUGAUGGUGCCCGGGGAAAAAAAUACGGCACCAGCAAUGCCCGAGCCCAGCAUGUGCACCCACAACCCUCGUCUGGUCCAUCUUAGACUGGGAGACUGGAAUCCGUAUGCCUAAGUCAACCAUGAAACGAGCGAUCGGGGCUCAGCCGGCCAGAGGGGUAGGAUGCACAAGUGGAGAUCGGUCGGGUCCCCCUCAGCAUGCUGUCGAUCCAACUAUCGAAACCCUCAAUCCGAUCCAUUCUUCGACUGGGAAUGAACUCCGUAUGCCUAAGCCAACCGACGAAACGAGCGGGCGGGCGGGCACAACGUCGGCCAGAGAGGCGGGAUGUGCAAGCCGUGUAUCGAUAUGGUGGUAGGUGGGUCUAGGCACAUCUUCAUAUUUCUGCCUUGACAAUGCCAUUUUUAUGGCUUGUAAAUUCAUACAAUGGUCCCAUAAGCCUUCAUGUGAAGUUUCAUGGCAAGACGACUCGUUUUCUAUUUUUCAUGAUUUUUGAAAUUUUUUACGGAUGUGGAUUUUUUUAUAAUUUUUUCAGAAGGAGUUUUGGCACCAAACUUGGUAGACGUGAUCCUUGUAUUUUUGUUGGCAUGCACAAAAAAGUUCAGCUAAAAACCCGAAGUGUAUAGCAUUUUGUGACAAUUUGAAAAAAGUGUCCCAAUUUUCAGACACUUUAAUGGCUACUGACAGCAAACCUGUAAAAUGUCAAAUGCUCUUUAAGGGGGUGUGACUUCUCGAGGUUUGAUGAGGGAUAGGAGGCCAAUAUAAGGGCCAAGUACCAGCACCCAUCGCAUAUCAUGUGCGCACAACCCCCCCGCCCCCCCAAUCGCCGAAACCCCAAUGCCGUAGGUCAGGUUCUCCGGUGAUGGUGCCCGGGGCGAAAAAAAAAUGCGGCACCAACACAUGCCCGAGCCCAGCAUGAGCAGCUGCAAACCUCAUUUCGAACCAAUCUUAGACUGGGAAUGAACUCCGUAUGCUUAGACUGGGAAUGAACUCCGUAUGCAUAAGUCAACCCACGAAACGAGCAUGCGAGCGCUAAGCCGGCCAGAGGGGCAGGAUGCGUAAGACGGGGACUGGUCGGGUCCCCCUUAGCGUACUGGUGAUCCUACUGCCGCAACCCUCCGUCCAAUCCAAUCUUAGACUGGGAAUGAACUCCGUAUGCCUAAGCCAACCAAUGAAACGAGCAGGCGGGCGGGCAGGCACUACGCCGGCCAGAGAGGCGGGAUGCGCAAACCGUGGAUCGAUAGGGUGGUAGGUGGGUUUAGGCACAUCUUCAUAUUUCUACCAUGCAAAUGCCUUUUUUAUGGCUUGUAAAUUCAUACAAUGGUCCCUUAAGCCUUCAUGAGAAGUUUCAUGGCACGACCACUCGUUUUCUAUUUUUCACGAUUUUUAAAGAUUUUUGCUGUUUGAGAUUUUUUAAAAAUUUUUUCAGAAGGAGUUUUGGCCCCAAACUUGGUAGGCAUGACCCUCAUAUUUUUGUUGGCAUGCACAAAAUAAUUCAGCUAAAAUCUCGAAGUGUACAGGAUUUUGUGACCAUUUGAAAAAAGUGUCCCCAUUUCGAACACUUUAAUGGCUACUGGCAUCAAACCUGUAAAAUCUCAAAUGCUCUUUAAGGGGGUGUGAGUUCUCAAGGUUUGAUGAGGGAUAGGUGCCAAUAUAAGGGCCAAGUGCCAGCACCCAUCGCACAUCAUGUGCGCACACCCCCCGGCCCCCCCAAUCGCAGGAACCCCAAUGCCGUCGGUCAGGUUCUCCGGCAGUGGUGCCUCGGGCGAGAAAAACUGAGGCAUCAGCACAUGCCCGAGCGUAGCAUGUACCCCCGUAACCCUCGAUUUGGUCCGAUCUUAGACUGGGAAUGAACUCCAUAUGUUUAGACUGGGAAUGAACUUUGUAUGCCUAAGUCAACCCACGAAACGAGCCUGCGGGCGCUGAGUCGGCCAGAGGGGCAGGAUGCGCAAGCUUGGGAUUGGUCGGGUCACCCUCAGCAUGCUACCGAUCUUGCUGCCACAACCCUCGAUCCUGUCCCGAUCUUAGACUGGGAAUGAACUCCGUAUGCCUAAGCCAACCGACGAAACGAGCGGGCGGGCGGGCACUACGCCGGCCAGAGAGGCGGGAUGCGCAAGCCAUGGAUCGAUAGGGUGGUUGGUGGGUUUAGGCACAUCUUCAUAUUUCUGCCAUGCCAAUGCCAUUUUUAUGGCUUGUAAAUUCAUACAAUGGUCCCUUAAGCCUUCAUGUGAAGUUUCAUGGCAAGACGACUCGUUUUCUAUUUUUCACGAUUUUUAAAACUUUUUACGGUUCGAGAUUUUUUUAAAAUUUUUUCAGAAGGAGUUUUGGCCCCAAACUGGUAGACGUGAUCCUUGUAUUUUUUUUGGCAUGCACAAAAAAAUUCAGCUAAAAACUCGAAGUGUACAGGAUUUUGUGACCAUUUGAAAAAAGUGUCCCCAUUUCAGACACUUUAAUGGCUACUGGCAGCAAACCUGUAAAAUCUCAAAUGCUCUUUAAGGGGUGUGAGUUCUCAAGGUUUGAUGAGGGAUAGGGGCCAAUAUAAGGGCCAAGUACCAGCACCCAUCGCACAUCAUGUGCGCACACCCCCCGCCCCCCAAUCGUCGGAACCCCAAUGCGUCGGUCAGUUCUCCGAUGAUGGUGCCCCGGGCGAAAAAAAAUACGGCACCAGCACAUGCCUGAGCCCAACAUGUGCACCCUCAACCCUCGGUCCGGUCCGAUCUUAGACUGGGAAUGAACUCCGUAUGCCUAAGUCAACCCACAAAAUGAGUGUACGGACGCUCAGUCGGCCAGAGGGCAGGAUACGCAAGUCGGGGAUCGAUCGGGUCCCCCUCUGCGUGCUGUCGAUCUACUGCCACAACCCUCGAUCCGGUCUGAUCUUAGACUGAGAAUGAACUCUGUAUGCCUAAGCCAAUCGAUGAAAUGAGCGGGCGGGCACCACGUCGGCCAGAGAGGCGGGAUGCACAAGCCGUGGAUUGAUAGGGUGGUAAGUGGGUUUAGGCACAUCUUCAUAUUUCUGCUAUGCCAAUGCCAUUUUUGUGGCUUGUAAAUUCAUACAAUGGUCUUUUAAGCCAUCAUGUGAAGUUUCAUGGCAAGACGACUCGUUUUCUAUUUUUCACGAUUUUUGAAACUUUUUACGAUUCGGGGAUUUUUUAAAAUUUUUUCAAAAGGUGUUUUGGUCCCAAACUUGGUAGACGUGAUCCUUGUAUUUUUUUUGGCAUGCACAAAAAAAUUCAGCUAAAAACUCGAAGUGUACAGGAUUUUGUGACCAUUUGAAAAAAGUGUCCCCAUUUCAGACACUUUAAUGGCUACUGGCAGCAAACCUGUAAAAUCUCAAAUGCUCUUUAAGGGGGUGUGAGUUCUCGAGGUUGAUGAGGGAUAGGGGGCCAAUAUAAGGGCCAAGUACCAGCACCCAUCGCACAUCAUGUGCGCACACCCCCCGGCCCCCAAUCGUCGGAACCCCAAUGCCGUCGGUCAGGUUCUUCCGGCGAUGGUGCCCGGGCGAAAAAAAAUGGGCACCAGCACAUGCCCGAGCCCAGCAUGUGCACCCGCAACCUUCGUCCGGUCCUGAUCUUAGACUGGGAAUGAACUCCGUAUGCCUAAGUCAACCCACGAAACGAGCGUGGGCGCUCAAGCGGCCAGAGGGCAGGAUGCGCAAGCGGGAUCGGCCGGGUCCCCCUCAGCGUGCUGUCGAUCCUGCUGCCGCAACCCUCAGUCCGGUCUGAUCUUAGACUGGGAAUGAACUCCGUAUGCCUAAGCCAACCGACGAAACGAGCGGGCGGGCGGGCGGGCACUACGUCGGCCAGAGAGGCGGGAUGCGCAAGCCGUGGAUCGAUAGGGUGGUAGGUGGGUUUAGGCACAUCUUCAUAUUUCUGCCAUGCCAAUGCCAUUUUUAUGGCUUGUAAAUUCAUACAAUGGUCCCUUAAGCCUUCAUGUGAAGUUUCAUGGCAAGACGACUCGUUUUCUAUUUUUCACGAUUUUGAAACUUUUUACGGUUCAGGAUUUUUUUUAAAUUUUUUCAAAGGAGUUUUUGGCCCCAAACUUGGUAGACGUGAUCCUUGUAUUUUUGUUGGCAUGCACAAAAAAUUCAGCUAAAAACUCGAAGUGUACAGGAUUUUGUGACCAUUUGAAAAAAGUGUCCCCAUUUCAGACACUUUAAUGGCUACUGGCAGCAAACCUGUAAAAUCUCAAAUGCUCUUUAAGGGGGUGUGAGUUCUUGAUGUUUGAUGAGGGAUAGGGGACCAGUAUAAGGGCCAAGUGCCAGCACCCAUCACACAUCAUGUGCGCAUACCCCCCUGGCCACCCCCAAUCGCCGGAACCCCAAUGCCGUCACUCAGGUUCUCCGGCGAUGGUGCCCGUGCCCAGCAUGUGCACCCAUAACCCUCGAUUUGGUCCGGUCUUAGACUGGGAAUGAACUCUGUAUGCUUAGACUGGGAAUGAACUCUGUAACUAGUGUACAGGCAUUCAACCAGCCAGAGGGGCAGGAUCGCAAGUCGGGGAUCGAUCGGGUCCCCCUCAGUGUGCUGCCGAUCUUGCUAUUGCAACCCUCACUCCGGUCUGAUCUUAGAUUGGGAAUGAAGUCUGUAUACCUAAGCCAACCGACGAAACGAGCGGGCGACUGGGCGAGCACUACGUCGGCCAGAGAGACGGGAUGAGCAAGCCGUGGAUCGAUAGGGUGGUAGGUGGGUUUAGGCACAUCUUCAUAUUUUUGCCAUGCCAAUGCCAUUUUUAUGGCUUGUAAAUUCAUACAAUGGUCCCUUAAGCCUUCAUGUGAAGUUUCAUGGCAAGACGACUCGUUUUCUAUUUUUCACGAUUUUUAAACUUUUUACGGUUCGGAUUUUUUUAAAAUUUUUUCAGAAGGUGUUUUGGCCCCAAACUUGGUAGAAGUGAUCCUUGUAUUUUUGUUGGCAUGCACAAAAAAAUUCAGCUAAAAACUCGAAGUGUACAGGAUUUUGUGACCAUUUGAAAAAAGUGUCCCCAUUUCAGACACUUUAAUGGCUACUGGCAGCAAACCUGUAAAAUCUCAAAUGCUCUUUAAGGGGGUGUGAGUUCUCGAGGUUUGAUGAGGGAUAGGGGGCCAAUAUAAGGGCCAAGUACCAGCACCCAUCGCACAUCAUGUGCGCACACCCCCCGACCCCCCCAAUCACCGGAACCCCAAUGCCGUCGAUCAGGUUCUCCGGUGAUGCUCCGGCGAUGGUUCCCCGGGCAAAAAAAAAAUACGGCACUAGCACAUGCCGGAGCCCAGCAUGUGCACCCGCAACCCUCGGUCUGGUUUGAUCUUAGACUGGGAAUGAACUCUGUAUGCUUAGACUGGGAAUGAACUCCGUAUGCCUAAGUCAACCCACGAAACGAGCGUGCGGGCAUUCAGUCGGCCAGAGGGACAGAAUGCGCAAGCCGGGGAUUGACGUGGUCCCCUUCUGCGUGCUGUUGAUCCUACUGCCACAACCCUCGAUUUGGUCCGAUCUUAGACUGGGAAUGAACUUCGUAUGCCUAAGCCAACCGAUGAAAUGAGCGGCCAGGCAGGCGGGCACUACACCGGCCAGAGAGGCGGGAUGUGCAAGCCAUGUAUCGAUAGGGUGGUAGGUGGGUUUAGGCACAUCUUCAUAUUUAUGCCAUGCCAAUGCCAUUUUUAUGGCUUGUAAAUUCAUACAAUGGUUCCUUAAGCCUUCAUGUGAAGUUUCAUAGCAAGACGACUCGUUUUCUAUUUUUCAUGAUUUUUGAAACUUUUUACGGUUCAGGAUUUUUUAAAAUUUUUUCAGAAGGAGUUUUGGCCCCAAACUUGGUAGACGUGAUCCUUGUAUUUUUUUGGCAUGCACAAAAAAAUUCAGCUAAAAACUCGAAGUGUACAGGAUUUUGUGACCAUUUGAAAAAAGUGUCCCCAUUUCAGACACUUUAAUGGCUACUGGCAGCAAACCUGUAAAAUCUCAAAUGCUCUUUAAGGGGUGUGAGUUCUUGAGGUUUGAUGAGGGAUAGGGGGCCAAUAUAAGGGCCAAGUACCAGCACCCAUCGCACAUCAUGUGCGCACACCCCCCGCCCCCCAAUCGCCGAACCCCAAUGCCGCCGGUCAGGUUCUCUGGCGAUGGUGCCCGGGCGAAAAAAAAUGCGGCACCAGCACAUGCUCGAGCCCAGCAUGUGCACCCGAAACCCUCGGUCCGGUCUGAUCUUAGACUGGGAAUGAACUCCGUAUCCUUAGACUGGGAAUGAACUCCGUAUGCCCAAGUCAACCCUCGAAACGAGCGUGCAGGCGCUCAGCAGGCCAGAGAGGCGGGAUCCGCAAGCCGUGGAUCAAUAGGGUGGUAGGUGGGUUUAGGCACAUCUUCAUAUCUCUGCUGUGCCAAUGCCAUUUUUAUGGCUUGUAAAUUCAUACAAUGGUCCCUUAAGCCUUCAUGUGAAGUUUCUUGGCAAGACGACUCAUUUUCUAUUUUUCACGAUUUUUGAAACUUUUUACGGUUCGAGAUUUUUUUAAAAUUUUUUCAGAAGGAUUUUUUACCCCAAACUUGGUAGACAUGAUCCUUGUAUUUUUGUUGGCAUGCACAAAAAAAAUUCAGCUAAAAACUCAAAUUUUGUGACCAUUUGAAAAAAGUGUCCCCAUUUCAGACACUUUAAUGGCUACUGGCAGCAAACCUGUAAAAUCCCAAAUGCUCUUUAAGUGGUGUGAGUUCUCGAGGCUUGAUGAGGGAUAGGGGGCCAAUAUAAGGGCCAAGUACCAGCACCCAUCACACAUCAUGUUCGCACACACCCCGGCCCCCCCAAUUGUCGAAACCCCAAUGCUGCCGGUUAGGUUCUCCGGCGAUGCUCCGACGAUGGUGCCCUGGGCGAAAAAAAAUGUGGCACCAGCACAUGCCCAAGCCCAGCAUGUGCACCCGAAACCCUCAAUCCGGUCCGAUCUUAGACUGAGAAUGAACUCCGUAUGCCUAAGUCAACCCACGAAACGAGUGUGCGGGCGCUCAGUCGGCCAGAGAGGCAAGAUGCGUAAGCCAGGGAUCGACCGGGUCCCCUUCAGCGUGCUACCGAUCCUGCUGCCACAACCCUCGGUCCGGUCUGAUCUUAGACUAGGAAUGAACUCCGUAAGACUAAGACAACCGACGAAACGAGCGGGUGGGUGGGCAGGCGGGCACUACGCCGGCCAGAGAGGUAGGAUGCGCAAGUCGUGGAUCGAUAGGGUGGUAGGUGGGUUUAGGCACAUCUACAUAUUUCAGCCAUGCCAAUGCCAUUUUUAUGGCUUGUAAAUUCAUACAAUGGUCGCUUAAGCCUUCAUGUGAGGUUCCAUGGCAAGACGACUCGUUUUCUAUUUUUCACGAUUUUUUGAAACUUUUUACGGUUCGGGAUUUUUUAAAAUUUUUUCAGAAGGAGUUUUGGCCCCAAACUUGGUAGACGUGAUCCUUGUAUUUUUGUUGGCAUGCACAAAAAAAUUCAGCUAAAAACUCGAAGUGUUACAGGAUUUGUGACCAUUUGAAAAAGUGUCCCCAUUUCAGACACUUUAAUGGCUACUGGCAGCAAACCUGUAAAAUCUCAAAUGCUCUUUAAGGGGGUGUGAGUUCUCGAGGUUUGAUGAGGGAUAGGGGGCCAAUAUAAGGGCCAAGUACCAGCACCCAUCGCACAUCAUGUGCGCACACCCCCGCCCCCCAAUCGCCGGAACCCCAAUGCCGUCGGUUCUACGGAUCUCGGCGAUGGUGCCCGGGCGAAAAAAAUUGCGCACCCAGCACAUUGCCCGAGCCCAGCAUUUGCACCGCAACCCUCGGUCAGGCCCGAUCUUAGACUGGGAAUGAACUCCGUAUGCCUAAGUCAACCCAUGAAACGAGCGUGCGGGCGCUCAGCCGGCCAGAGGGGCAGGUUGCACAAGACAGGGAUCGGUCGGGUUCCCCUCAGCGUGCUGCCGAUCCUGCUGCCACAACCCUCGGUCCAGUCCAAUCUUAGAUUGGGAAUGAACUCUGUAUGCCUAAGCCAACCGACAAAACGAGGCGGGCGGGCGGGCGGGCACUACGCCGGCCAGAGAGGCGGGAUGCGCAAGUAGUGGAUCGAUAGGGUGGUAAGUAGGUUUAGGCACAUCUUCAUAUUUCUGCCAUGCCAAUGCCAUUUUUAUGGCUUGUAAAUUCAUACAAUGGUCCCUUAAGCCUUCAUGUGAAGUUUCAUGGCAAGACGACUCGUUUUCUAUUUUUCAUGAUUUUUGAAACUUUUUAUGGUUCAGGAUUAUUUCAAAUUAUUUCAGAAGGAGUUUUGGCCCCAAACUUGGUGGACGUGAUCGUUAUAUUUUUGUGGGCAUGCACAAAAAAUUUCAGUUAAAAACUCGAAGUGUAUAGGAUUUUGUGAUGAUUUGAAAAAGCUGUCCCCAUUUCAGACACUUUAAUGGCUACUGGCAGCAAACCUAUAAAAUCUCAAAUGCCGUUUAGGGGGUGUGAGCUUUCGAGGUUUCAUGAGGGAUAGGUGGCCAAUAUAAGGGCCAAGUACCAGCACCCAUCGCACAUCAUGUGCGCACACCCCUCCGGCCCCCCCAAUCGUCGGAACCCCAAUGCCGCCGGUCAGGUUCUCUGACGAUGGUGCCCCAGACGAAAAAAAUACGGCACCAGCACAUGCCUGAGGCGAGCAUGUGCAUCCACAACCCUCGGUCCGAUCUGAUCUUAGACUAGGAAUGAACUCCGUAUGCCUAAGUCAACCCACGAAACAAGCGCGCAGGCGUUCAGCCAACCAAAGGGGUAGGAUGCGCAAGUCGGGCGUUCAGCCGACCAAAGUGGUAGGAUGCGCAAGCCGGGGAUUGGCCGGGUCCCCCUCAAUGUGCUGCCAAUUCUAGUGCCAUAACCCUUGGUCCAGUCCGAUCUUAGGUUGGGAAUGAACUUUGUAUGCCUAAGCAAACCGACGAAAUGUGCGGGCGGGCGGGCGGCUACUAUGCCAGCCAGAGAGGCGGGAUGCGCAAGUCGUGGAUCGAUAGGGUGGUAGGUGGGUUUAGCCACAUCUUCAUAUUUCUGCCAUGCCAAUGCCAUUUUUAUGGCUUGUAAAUUCAUGCAAUAGUCCCUUAAGCCCUCAUGUGAAGUUUCAUGGCAAGACGAUUCGUUUUCUAUUUUUCAUGAUUUUUGAAACUUUUUACGGUUCGGGAUUUUUAUAAAAUUUUUUUAGAAGGCGUUUUGGCCCCAAACUUGGUAGACGUGAUCCUUGUAAUUUUAUUGGCAUGCACAAAAAAAUUCAGCCAAAAACUCGAAGUGUACAGGAUUUUGUGACCAUUUGAAAAAAGUGUCCUCUUUUUAGACACUUUAAUGGCUACUGGCAGCAAACCUGUAAAAUCUCAAAUGCUCUUUAAAGGGGUGUGAGUUCUUGAGGUUUCAUGAGGUAUAGGGGGCCAAUAUAAGGGCCAAGUACCAGCACCCAUCGCACAUCAUGUGCGCACACCCCCCGACCCCCCCAAUCGUUGGAACCCCAAUGCCGUCGGUCAGGUUCUCUGACGAUGCUCCGGCGAUGGUGCCCCUAGCGAAAAAAAUACGGCACUAGCACAUGCCUGAGCCCAGCAUGUGCACCCGCAACCCUCGGUCCGGUCCGAUCUUAGACUGGGAAUGAACUCCGUAUGCCUAAGUCAACCCACUAAAUGAGCGUGCGGGCGCUCAGCCGGCCAGGGGGCCAGUAUGCGUAAGCUGGGGAUCGGCCGGGUCCCCCUCAUCGUCCUACCGAUCCUGCUACCACAACCCUCGAUCUGGUCUGAUCUUAGACUGGGAAUGAACUCCGUAUGCCUCAGCCAACCAACGAAAUGAGCAGGCGAGCGGGCGGCCAUUACGUCGACCAGAGAGGCGGGAUGCGCAAGUCAUGGAUUGAUAGGGUGGUAGGUGGGUUUAGGCACAUCUUCAUAUUUCUGUCAUGCCAAUGCCAUUUUUAUGGCUUGUAAAUUCAUACAAUGGUGCCUUAAGCCCUCAUGUGAAGUUUCAUGGCAAGACGACUCGUUUUCUAUUUUUCAUGAUUUUUGAAACUUUUUACGGUUUGGGAUUUUUUUAAAAUUUUUUCAGAAGGAGUUUUGGCCCCAAUCUUGGUAGACGUGAUCCUUCUAUUUUUGUUGGCAUGCACAAAAAAACUCAGCUAAAAGCUCACAGUGUACAGGAUUUUGUGACCAUUUGAAAAAAGUGUCCCCGUUUCAGACACUUUAAUGGCUACUGGCAGCAAACCUGUAAAAUCUGAAAUGCUCUUUAAGGGGGUGUAAGUUCUCGAGGUUUGAUGAGUUAUAGGGGCCAAUAUAAGGGCCAUGUACCAGCACCCAUCACAAAUCAUGUGCGCACACCCCUCCGGCCCCCCUAAUCGUCGGAACCCCAAUCCCGCCUGUCAUGUUCUCGGACGAUGCUCCGGCGAUAGUGCCCGGGCGAAAAAAAAUGUGGCACCAGCACAUGUCCGAGCCCAGCAUGUGCACCCGCAACCCUCGGUCUGGUCUGAUCUUAGAUUGGGAAUGAACUCCAUACGCUUAGACUGGGAAUGAACUCCGUAUGCCAAAGUCAGCCCAUGAAACGAGCGUGUGGGUGCUCAGCCGGCCAGAUAGGCAGGAUGCGCAAGCCGGGGAUUGGUCGGGUCCCCCUCUAUGUCCUUUCGAUCCUGCUGCCACAACCCUCGGUUCGGUCAACUCUUAGACUGGGAAUGAACUCCGUAUGCCUAAGCCAACCGACGAAACAAGCGGCGGGCGGGCGGGCACUACGUCGGCCAGAGAGGCGGGAUGUGCAAGCCGUGGAUCGAUAGGGUGGUAGGUGGGUUUAGGCACAUCUUCAUAUUUCUGCCGUGCCAAUGCCAUUUUUAUGGCUUGUAAAUUCAUACAAUGGUCCCUUAAGCCUUCAUGUGAAGUUUCAUGGCAAGACGACUCGUUUUCUAUUUUUCACGAUUUUUGAAACUUUUUACAGUUCAGGAUUUUUUUAAAAUUUUUUCAGAAGGUGUUUUGGCCCCAUACUUGGUAGAUGUGAUCUUUGUAUUUUUGUUGGCAUGCACAACAAAAUUCAGCUAAAAACUCGAAGUGUACAGGAUUUUAUGACCAUUUGAAAAAAGUGUCCCCAUUUCAGACACUUUAAUGGCUACUGUAGACACCCAAUUUGGUCUUGGCCCGGAUCAAUUGGUCCUGGCCCAAAUGGGUAAGCCCAAUUCGGUUCUUAUUUUGUAUUAUUUUUAUUUUUAUUUUUUUCUUUUCUAUUUUAGGCAUUUUAUUAUUUAUUUAUUAUUACGAUGUAUUAAUAUAUGUAUAUCUUUAUUUUUUUUUUAAUAUUUAUAUGUAUUUUAUUUAUAUAGUUAUAUAUUUAUUAUUAUAUUAUAAUUUAUUUUUUAUUAUUUUUUUAUCUUGUAAUAUUUUUUGGAUUUAUCUUAUUUUAUUUUUAAUUAUCUGUUAAUUUUUUUUUCUUUUUCGUUUAUCUGAUUAUUAUUAUUAUUAUUUUUCUUUUUUUGGGGCUGUGAUUGAAGGUUGAAGAAUCCUACUGUGAAUGGGAUUCAAUUAGAAGAGUCCAGAUUGGUUUCAAAGAUUGAAUCCCCAUCCAAAGAGGAAUUGGGAUUGAUCAGGAACUCCUGAUCAAUCCCUAUAAAAGGAUCUCCUGGAACAGAAGCAAAACACAAAAAAGAACAGUGAGCAAAGCCACUGAUUUGAGAGAAAAGGGGCAUAUAGAAAGCUAAGAAAAGGUUUAGAUGGGUUCUAGGAAUUAGCAAAAAUUUUUUGAAGAUUUUUGGCAUUUUUUUUUCUGGGAAUUUCUGGAAAAUUCCAGAUUCCGGUUGAAUUUUUCAGUGAAAGUUGCAUUUUUCGGUGAAAAUUUCGGCCAACUUUGAAGUUUUCGACGAGCUGCCGAGUUUUCGAUGAAGGAUCCCAGAAACCGACUAACUUUCGGUGAACUUCUGGCUAACUUCAGACGAAAAACCCAAAUUCUGACCAAAUUUUCCAAAAUUCGAUGAAAAUUCAACCGGAGUUCUUCAGCCUUUUUAGAGAGAAGUGAGAGAAAAAGGAAGAAGAGAGAGAGAGAGGGGAGGAGCUUUCUGCCAAAAAAUAGAGGGAAGAGCCUUAUAUACCCUCCCAAAACGACGUCGUUUUUACGUUAAAUGACCCAAAGGAUCCGCGCGUUUUGUCGAGAUCCGACCCGACCCGAGCGUCGACCUGCUUCCUGACCUGCGCGUGUCUCCCCCCUCCGAGCCGAUAGAAGAGCCGAGCCGAGGUUCCAAGCCGCUUCCCCGAGCCAUUUUUUCUUCCUUGAGCCGAGCCAAGCCAAGCCGUACUCUGAGCCGCUCCAGGUUUUUUUUUUAAUUUAUUAUUUGUUUUUAUUUAUUAGAUUAGGUUUAUUUAGUAUCCUUUUUACCUUUAUUUUAUUUUUAUUUUUGUUUUACUUUUCUUUAUUUUAUUUUUUUUUGCUUUUAUUUUGUUUUAUUAUUUUAUUUUCUUUAAAUAAAAAUAAAAAAAAAUUUUGGGGAAAAGUUGAAAGUAUCAAUUUUCCUUAAAAAUAAAAUUUCAAAAAAAGGGUUUUUGAGGAAAAGUUGAAAGUAUCAAUCUUCCUUGAAAAUCAAAGUUUCCAAAAAACUAUUUUUGGGGAAAAGUUGAAAGUAUCAAUUUUCCUUGAAAAUCAAAAUUUCCAAAAAAAAAUAUAUUUUUGGGGAAAAGUUGAAAGUAUCAAUUUUCCUCAAAAAUAAAUUUUCAAAAAAGCAAUUUUUGAGGAAAAGUUGAAAGUAUCAAUCUUCCUCUAAAUUAAAGUUUCAAAACAAUAUUUUUAGGGAAAAGUUGAAAGUAUCAAUUUUCCUUGCGCAAGAACAAUCAUUCUUUUCUUCUUUUUUAUUUUAAUUUUGAUUUUGAUUUUUUCUUUAAAUAAUCCAACGACGGAGCCUCUGCAAGUGAAACAGUAGUUUUUCUUGCAUACUCUUGAGGUGAGAGAAUUUUCUCAAUUUUUUGCUAAAAGUAUUAGAGUAAUUGAGAAUAAUUUCCAAUAAUUAAUUACUUGGUAAAAUUUUAAGGCUAUUUGGAUAACACAAAGUUAUGUUGGUACCAUAUUUUGAUGGGUGUUGUGAGGGUGCUAUAACCUUUCUCACACGUAACCGACCUCCCAAACUCUGUUCUGGUUAGUAGACCUGAACCUAUUCUUUUAGUAGCCCUUAAACUUAGGUGUUCCCUGAAAGGACAGAUUCUUUAGGUGGCCAAUCGUACCUAGAUAAAAAAGAUUGGUGGCGACUCCUAAAAGUCAAUGUCUAGAGAUAGAUCCCCGAAUCUAGACGUUAUGACAGCUUGGCAACUCCGCUGGGGACACUGAAAGUCAGGCCAGCAAAUAAUUUGUGUUAUCCAAAAGCCGAAUAAAAUUGAACCUAUUUGUAUAUAUGUGUUAUUAUUCAUUCAUGUUUAUUUACCUUAUUAAUUAUGUCAUUCAUAUGUAUGUGCAUAACAUGAGCUCUACACCCGAGCUCCGUCCCUCUAGGAGGGAGUAAAGUACCUAUUGCUUUUGUGAGGUCUAAUGCCUCUGCAGUGGCUAGCGAAAUACUCCCACUCAAAUUGAACCUUUUCCGCUUGUAGCCUGUAAUGGGUGAGGAUUAGGGUGCCUUACUAGUCUGUAAUGGACAAGGAUGUAAGGAACAAUUUGAGGACCUUUAGACUUUGACCCUAAAACCGCAUAUAGUGAACCUUAAGAGAGCCUAACCUAUAGAUAGAGCCAUCACUCUUCCCUUUUAGAAUUGACCAAAAGCAUAGGGUUCAUCCCUUUUUACUUUGUGUAAUUUUACUUAGUUAUUUGUUCUUUUUCUGGGUAUACUAACCUUUUUCUUAUUCUUUUGCAUUGGUUCAUACACAUAUCAUAAAGUUGCAUAAAGAACAUUUGCUUGAAAAAAUGGUCUUCAACAAAUUUUUUUCAUGGAUGCCAAUGAACGCUUAGUUUGUUCUUCAUCAGUAUUAGCACCUUGUAGGACACCUAAUGUAGUAAGGGCCCAGUCAGAAAAGAUUCAACUAAAGAUGGGAGAUUGCUUGCCAAUUGGGUAUGAUUCUACUCUACCUCAAGAAACAUCUAUCCUCCUCAAAUAGAACAAUUUAGGGGAUUUGGUUGAUAUCUGGAAAAAAAUGAGUCCGUCAAGAUAAGAGCAGUUUUGUCAGAAACAUGGGCAUAUAGCUCACCUUUUAGCAGUGGUUGUUGAUGAUCAACUAAUUAGAGCUGUAACAUAAUUUUGGGAUCCUGCAUACAAGUGUUUCAUCUUUAAUGAAGCUGAUAUGACUCCCAUCAUAGAAGAAUAUUCGAUCUUGUUGGGUUUGCAUCUUAAGACUCCUGACAAGAUAUAUGUCAAAAAACAUAAGUCAAGAUUUCGUAAAAGUCUGGCUCAACUCAUGGGGAUAGAUAAGGAAAUUGUGGAUUCUCAUACGAAGAAGAAACAAGAACAGGUCUGCCUACCUUGGAAGUUUUUUCAUGAGUUUCUGAUGCAACAUGCCAAUGAAGAACGAGGGUUAGAUGUAUUUGCCUUGGCUAUAUAUGGACUGGUAAUCCUUCUAAAGGUAUUGGGACAUAUUGAGAUAACGGUGGUUGAUUUCUUCAAAAAUGUGAUCAAUGGCUGUAAUCCUUCAAUGGUAAUAUUAGCAGAGACUAUCAGAUCUUUGAGUUAUUGUCGUCGGAAUAAGAUGCAUACAGUUAUUGUACUUAUGGAUGAAAAGCCAUUUUGAACAAGGAAAUGGUGCUUUCUCGAAGCUUUACAUCCUUAAUCCUUUUUCGACCAAAGAAUUCUAUGAAAGUGGGUGGUCAAAGCAGAAGUCUAAACAAGAAUGGAUAACUUUCUUACAAAAGUUGGAAAGUACCAGGGUGAGAUGGUUGGCCCCAUGGAUGAAUCGUGAGCCUAUGUUGUAUCAAUGUGGGGAUAGUACAGUGGUUCCACUUUUGGGUUUAUGGGGAGUAACGAAUUAUGCACCACUCCUAGUGAGAAGGCAAUUGGGGGGAGAACAGUUUAUUCCUAUGACUUAUGGGCUUCAUCAGUUAGAUUUCUCUUACAGUGAGCCUAAAGCAUUUCAAAGGAUGAAUGAGAUGAUUAAAGCAUGGAAAAAUCCCGAAGAGUGAGUCCUGGACCAUUCACUGAAAAAGUCACCCCAGGUUACUUGGUUUGGAGAACAAAGAGAAGACAAGAAAUGGUAUUCACUUAUGAAAUCUCUCAACCACCAACAGAAGAAAAACUUGAAGAGACACCAUCAGAAUUAGAGCUGGCAACAAAAGAAUUUGAGUCUGAAAAGAGCAAGUUAAAGUAAGAGAUUCAGAAACUUCAAGAAGAAAAAGCCCAGUGGAAGGGUAGAGCUGAAAGUUAUGAAGUUAAAGUUCACAAGAUUGCUAGAGAACGAGAUACAACUACUGAAGACCUAGCAAAGUUACACCAAGAGCAUAAGAGGCUAUGUGUGAAAGAAAGAGCCAAAGAGAUAACCAUUGUCGAGCUGACUGAGGAAAAUGCAAGAUUGAAAUAAGAGUAUGCCGAAUUGGAAGAAGAAAGCACCGAAGCACAGGCAGAAAUUAACAUGCUAAAUAGUUAUUUGAGUAGGCCAAGUCAAAAGUUGGAUGAACAAGGAGACCACAUCGCUGCAUUGGUUAGAGAACAUAGAGAAUUAUCAUACCAAGUUUGGUGUGGUAAAAGAGAGAACUUAGGAAGGCAGAAAUACAUCGAGCACUUAACAACGAAUCCAUAAAGGGGUAUGUAAGGCAAGAGAGAUGGUGGAAGAGGCAGAGGCAUUAAGACAAGUAGUGGCCCUAAUAGGAAAACAUGGACAGCGUCUCUCGAACGUCAUAAAAGAAGCCAGAGCCUAGUAUGAACAGAUCAAGCAAUUUUAUGGCUAUAAUUCUAGGAUGAUAAACUCAAUGUAGAUCAAAGUUUUUUUGGAAUAAAUGAAAUUUUUUAGUUGAAUACCGUUUUAAGGCAAAUGUUCUUUGCAUACAUGCAUUUUUCAUUCAUUGCAUUCCCAUUCAUUACACUUAACAAAGUAACCAUGUGAUGAUCAUGCAAAUUUACUAAUUCUAAGAUAUGGUACUCAAGGUUCCAGGAUAGCUCCAUCUAGCGAAAAUCCUACCCAUUGACACAACACAAGAUCCAGAGCAAGGCAAAUGGAGCAGAAAAAUUCCCAUAGAUUUGAAAAGAUAGAAAAAGCACAGGAGAAGAUUGAAAGUGAGCUAAGCAAGAUUCUGGAGGCUCUUAAUAACAUGAAUAAAGGAAAAGAAGUUGAAGAAAAUACAAGCCAGCAAGUUCCCCCAUUAUAAGAAAUGGUUGACCCUUUGUUCCUCUAGGUUUUGGCCCACUUCAAGCCCAGUCUGCUCAAGAGGUCCCACCACAACACUUCGCAUAUUCGACAUAUCCUGGAAUGCCAUCAGCUUUCAACCCAGGGUCGUAUAACAGCUAUGUAAAUCCUGUCUUCAUUGAAAAGGCAGCAGAACCAAUUCUUGAUCUAGAUGAUUUAAAAGAGAAGGAGAAAGAAAAGAUAAGAGCGAAAAGUUCAGGAAAGCUCCAAGAUAAGCAUGCUAGAGCAAAGGCUACGGGUUGUGGAAGGAUUUAGCUUUUAUGGGUCAGUUGAUGCUGCUGGGCUCUGCCUAGUUCAUGAUGUGGUUAUUCCCCAUAAGUUUAAAGUGCCGAAAUUUAAAAAAUAUGAUGGUACAAAGUGCCCCAAAACCCACAUCACCAUGUAUUGCAGGAAGAUGGCAGCUCAUGCACAUGAUGAAAAACUCUUGAUGCAUGUUUUUCAGGACAGUCUUACUGGCUCUGCUGCCAGAUGGUAUGUUCAGCUAGACAGAACUCGCAUUCGCUUUAGAGCGAUAUGGCAUAUGACUUCAUCGGUCAAUAUCGACAUAUCAUCAAUUUGGCCCCUGAUCGUUUGUCUUUACAGAAUCUGGAGAAAAAAGCAAACGAGUCUUUUAAAGAGUAUGCCCAGAGAUGGAAGGAUGUUGCUUCUCAGGUACAACCUCCUCUGACUGAGAAAGAAACUACAGUGCUGUUUGUUAGCACUUUAAAACCUCUCUAUUAUGAAAAGAUGAUAGGGAAUGCAACGAAAAAUUUUACUGAUAUGGUAAUCUCGAGAGAAAUCAUUGAGAGUGCCAUCAAGAAUGGCAAGCUAGAAGGAAAUGAAGCAUCUAGCAAAAGAGUCCGAAGAAAAAAAAACUGAAGCUCAGGCUGUGAGCUUUGAUAGAUAGCAACUUAGAGGUUAUUCACCUUACCCACCACCAGAAUAUCUACCAUAUCACCUCGCUGUAAAUAACACUUCCUUUCACCCAUACCAACCAUUUACACAACCACCAUAUCCCCAAACAUAUCAAACCCCUCAUAGACCCCAAAAUACCAUGCAUAGUCCUAACAUUUCACCUAACCCCAAGACCCUAAAAUCGCCCAAACUAACCCCAUUGGUGGCUCGCAGGAGCAACGAACCACUCGUGAGAAACGCCAUUUUGACCCAAUUCUAAUGACUUAUACCGGAAUUAUAUAAGGAGCUCUACAACAGUCAUCUGAUUGCUCCCAAGUAAAUUGGAACUCCUCAAGCGACCUUACCCGGCUAAGUGUAUGAAUCCCACUGCCCCUGUGAUUACCAUUACUUGGGAUUGCUGGUCACUCUACCGAAAACAUUGCACUACCCUGAACACACAAAGUGCAAUGGGUUGAUCAAGGAUGGGAUGAUUUGCCUUUGAUACUGAAGGGAUGACUGCCAUGAAUGUUACUGGUAUCCAUUUACCGGAUCAUAAUGUGAAUGCCUACUAGGUGAGAACUCACGGAGCGUCAUGUGAAGAAGAAAGUGGCCAAAUAUUAAGACACCUCUCAGCCAACUGUUUGAUGUUAACGAAAAGCAGACAUGAUACUAACAUGGUAAGUCUACACAGCUAUCAUGGAGCAUAUAUAGCUGGUACUAGUUGUAAGUAUCAUAAUGGGGCAAUGGGUCAUUCCAUUGAGACCUGUAAGCAGUUUCACUAGGAGGUGCAAAAACUCUUAGAUUCACAUCAGAUGGAGAUCUAUGAAGAAAAAAAAACUUGAAGAAUGUUGAGGUGCACAUGACUGAUAAGCCUGUAAAGCUGUUUCCAAAACUAGUGACAAUUCAAUGUGGGAACAAACCAAAGUCAGUCAUAGACAAACUCCUGCCUAGGCCAAUAACUUUUAAAGUCUCGACUCUUUUUUCAUACAAAGAUGAUAAAGCUAUACCCUAGAGAUAUGGCUAUGGCACUGUAGUUCAGGGACAGAAAGAAGAAGUCUCCAAAGCUGAUGCUUCCAAUAUUACUGGUGUAAGAGGCAUUACUCGAAGUGGGAGAUGUUACACUCUAGAAAUGCUAGAGAAGGCUAGAAGGGAGAAAGCUAGAGAAGGCUAGAAGUGAGGGUUAAUCAAGAGGAGUGGGUUCGCCUUUGUCCACCAGAUUUUGAGCUCAAUAAUUGGAGUGCCAUCGAGAUGCCUUUGACUUUUGAUUUAGAUGCAAUGUAAUUGUAACAUCCCAAUAGCUAUUGCCCAAGGCAUUGGGGUGAUCUUUUUUGUUCGGGCCAUUCAUCAUUUCUUAUUUUUAGUAAAAAUUAAAAAGUAUGCAUUUUCAUUCAUUUCUUCUUGUGUCUUCAUUAUUUCCAUCUCUCCAAGCACAUCUUGCCAACAUAUCCCAUUUCAUUCAAUUGUAGGUCUUUAAAUGAACAUGAAGAUAAUCAUGAUAACAAUCAAGAGGUUAGCUUUGAGAAUUCAAUUAACACUGAUUACUUGACAAUGAAGAAAAUUUUGAAGAAUAUGUUAUGCCUCCGGACCUAAUGAGGAUGAUUGAAUAAGAGAAUAAGCCAAUUGAGCCUCAUCAGGAGGUAGUGGACUUAGUGAAUCUGGGAGAUGAAAAAAAUAAGAAAUAGGUUAGAAUGGGCACUUCACUUUCAUCUGGAGAUAGGCAAUGAUUGGCAAACCUACUUCAAGAAUUUGUAGAUAUAUUUGCUUGGUCUUACUAGGAUAUGCCAGGGCUGAGCACAGAAAUAGUGGAGCACAGGUUACCUUUAAAGCCAAAAUGUAAGCCAGUUCAGCAGAAAUUUGAGAACGGAUGAAGCCUUGAAAUGCUACUAAAGAUUAAAGAAGAGGUGAAGAAACAAUUUGAUGCAGGUUUCUACAAGUGGCUAAGUAUCCAGAAUGGGUAGCCAAUAUAGUCCCAGUUCUUAAAAAGAUGGAAAAGUACAAAUAUGUGUAGACUAUCGGGACUUAAAUAAGGCUAGCCCAAAAAGAUAACUUUCCUUUGCCUGCAUAUUGACACACUGGUAGAUAACACGGCUAAGCAUUCGAUUUCUCCUUAUGGAUGGUUUUUUGGGGUAUAAUCAGAUAAAAAUGGCUACAGGAGGAUAUGGAAAAGACUACUUUUGUGACCAUGUGGGGAACCUUCUACUAUAAAGUCAUGCCUUUUGGGCUAAAGAUUGCUGGAGCAAACAUAUCAAAGAGCCAUGGUAACACUCUCCAUGACAUGAUGCACAAAGAGAUUGAGGUCUAUGUAAGACGAUAUGAUUGCAAAGUCUUGUGAGGAUGAAGAUCAUGUUUACUAGCCUCGAAAAGUGUUUUGAAAGAUUGAGAAAAUUUCAGCUCAAAUUAACCCAGCCAAGUGUACCUUUGGGGUAAAAGUUAGGGAAGUUGCUAGCUUUGUGGUCAGUGAAAGAGGGAAUUGAAGUCGAUCUCGAUAAGAUACGGGUCAUCCAAAAUUUGUCACCUCCCAAACACACCAAAAGAAGUUCGAGGUUUUCUGAAAAGAUUGAACUACAUUCUCGGUUCAUCUCUCAGCUUACUUUACAAUGUGAUCCAUAUUUAAGCUUCUCCGUAAAAUAAUCCUGGGAAAUGGAAUGAAGAAUGUCAAGAGGCAUUUGAUAAAAUUAAGCAAAUUUAUCGAACCCUCCAGUAUUGGUGCCACUUGUUCUAGGGAAACCUUUAAUCUUAUACUUAACUAUAUGUGAAGGUUCAAUGGGAUGUGUGCUAGGAUAGCAAGACGAGGCCAGUCGAAAGGAGAGAGCUAUUUACUAUCCGAGUAAAAAGUUUGCUGAAUAUGAAUCCAAGUGUUCUUCAUUAGAGAAAAUGUGUUGUGCAUUAGCAUGGACUGCCAAAAGACUCAGACAGUAUAUGCUCUAUCACACUACGUGGCUCAUAGCGAAACUGGAUCCUAUUAAGUACAUCUUCGAGAAGCCUUCUUUGUCUGAGAGAAUUGCUAGAUGGCAAGUAAUGCUUUUGAAAUACGAUAUUAUAUACGUAAGCCAAAAAGCAAUAAAAUAAGGCGCUAUAGCAGAAUUUCUUGCAGAUCGUGCUACUGAAGAGUAUGAGCCGAUGAAGCUGAAAUUCCCUGACGAAGACUUAAUGACUAUUUCUCAAUCGGAGGAAGGGGAGCAUANNNNNNNNNNNNNNNNNNNNNNNNNNNNNNNNNNNNNNNNNNNNNNNNNNNNNNNNNNNNNNNNNNNNNNNNNNNNNNNNNNNNNNNNNNNNNNNNNNNNNNNNNNNNNNNNNNNNNNNNNNNNNNNNNNNNNNNNNNNNNNNNNNNNNNNNNNNNNNNNNNNNNNNNNNNNNNNNNNNNNNNNNNNNNNNNNNNNNNNNNNNNNNNNNNNNNNNNNNNNNNNNNNNNNNNNNNNNNNNNNNNNNNNNNNNNNNNNNNNNNNNNNNNNNNNNNNNNNNNNNNNNNNNNNNNNNNNNNNNNNNNNNNNNNNNNNNNNNNNNNNNNNNNNNNNNNNNNNNNNNNNNNNNNNNNNNNNNNNNNNNNNNNNNNNNNNNNNNNNNNNNNNNNNNNNNNNNNNNNNNNNNNNNNNNNNNNNNNNNNNNNNNNNNNNNNNNNNNNNNNNNNNNNNNNNNNNNNNNNNNNNNNNNNNNNNNNNNNNNNNNNNNNNNNNNNNNNNNNNNNNNNNNNNNNNNNNNNNNNNNNNNNNNNNNNNNNNNNNNNNNNNNNNNNNNNNNNNNNNNNNNNNNNNNNNNNNNNNNNNNNNNNNNNNNNNNNNNNNNNNNNNNNNNNNNNNNNNNNNNNNNNNNNNNNNNNNNNNNNNNNNNNNNNNNNNNNNNNNNNNNNNNNNNNNNNNNNNNNNNNNNNNNNNNNNNNNNNNNNNNNNNNNNNNNNNNNNNNNNNNNNNNNNNNNNNNNNNNNNNNNNNNNNNNNNNNNNNNNNNNNNNNNNNNNNNNNNNNNNNNNNNNNNNNNNNNNNNNNNNNNNNNNNNNNNNNNNNNNNNNNNNNNNNNNNNNNNNNNNNNNNNNNNNNNNNNNNNNNNNNNNNNNNNNNNNNNNNNNNNNNNNNNNNNNNNNNNNNNNNNNNNNNNNNNNNNNNNNNNNNNNNNNNNNNNNNNNNNNNNNNNNNNNNNNNNNNNNNNNNNNNNNNNNNNNNNNNNNNNNNNNNNNNNNNNNNNNNNNNNGGGGGUGUGCGCACAUGAUGUGCGAUGGUGCUGGUACUUGGCCCUUAAUUAUCCCCCUAUCCCUCACCAAACCUCGAGAACUCACACCCCCUUAAAGAGCAGAUUUGAGAUUUUACAGGUUUGCUGCCAGUAGCCAUUAAAGUGUUGAAAUAGGGACACUUUUUUCAAAUGGUCACAAAAUCCUGUACACUUUGAGUUUUUAGCUGAAUUUUUUUGUGCAUGCCAAAAAAAAUACAAGGAUCACAUCUACCAAGUUUGGAGCCAAAACUCCUUCUGAAAAAAUUUUAAAAAAAUCUCAAAUCGUAAAAAGUUUCAAAAAUCCUGAAAAGUAGAAAAUGAGUCGUGUUGCCAUGAAACUUCACAUGAAGGCUUAAAGGACCAUCGUUGAAUUUACAAGCCAUAAAAAUGGCAUUGGCACAGUAGAAAUAUGAACAUGUGCGCCUAACCCACCACCACCCUGUCGAUUCCACGCUUGUUGCAUCCCGCCUCUCUGGCCGGCAUAGUGCCCGCCCGCCCCGCCCGCUCGUUUCGUCCAGUUGGCUUAGGCAUACGGAGUUCAUUCCUAGUCUAAGAAUGGACUGGACCGAAGGUUGCGGCAGCAGGAUUGGCGGCACACUGAGGGGGACCCGACCGAUCCCCGGCUUACGCAUUUUGCCCCUCUGGCUGGCUGAGCGCACGCAAGCUCAUUUCGUGGGUUGACUUAGGCAUACGGAGUUCAUUUCCAGUCUAAGCAUACGGAGUUCAUUCCCAGUUUAAGAUCGGACCGGACCAAAGGUUGCGGGUGCAGAUGCUGGGCUCGGACAUGUGCUGGUGCCACAUUUUUUUCGCCCGGGGCACCAUCACCUGAGUAUUGCCAGAGAACCUGACCGACGGCAUUGGGGUUCGACGAUUGGGGGGACGGGCGGUGGUGCGCACAUGGAUGUGCGAUGGGUGCUGGUACUUGGCCUUUAUUUUGGCCCCCUAUCCCUCAUCAAACCUCGGGAACUCACACCCCCUUAAAGAGCAUUUGAGAUUUUAUAGUUUUGCUGCCAGUAGCCAUUAAAGUGUCUAAAAUAGGGACACUUUUUGCAAGUGGUCACAAAAUCCUGUACACUUCAAGUUUUUAGCUGAACUUUUUGUUGCAUGCCCACAAAAAUACAAGGAUCACGUCUACCAAGUUUGGGGCCAAACUCCUUCUGAAAAAAUUUAAAAAAAUUUCGAACCGUAAAAAGUUUCGAAAAUCGUGAAAAAUAGAAAACAAGUCGUCUUGCCAUGAAACUUCACAUGAAGGCUAAAGGGACAAUUGUAUGAAUUUACAAGCCAUAAAAAUGGUAUUGGCACGACAGAAAUAUGAAGAUGUGCCUAAACCCACCUACCACCCUAUCUAUCCAUGGCUUGCGCAUCCUGCCUCUCUGGCCGGCAUAGUGCCCGCCCGCCCGCCCGCUCGUUUCGUCGGUUAGGUUAGGCAUAUGGAGUUCAUUCCCAGUCUAAGAUCAGACUAGAUCGAGGGUUACGACAGUAGGAUCGGCAGCACGCUGAGAGGGACCCAGUCGAUCCCCGACUGGCGCAUCUUGCCCCUCUGGCCGGUUAAGUACCCACACUCUCAUUUCGUGGGUUGACUUAGGCAUACGGAGUUCAUUCCCAGUCUAAGCAUAUGGAGUUCAUUCCCACUCUAAGAUCGGACUGGACCGAGGGUUGCGGGUGCACAUGCUGGGCUCGGGCAUGUGCUGGUGCCACAUUUUUUUUUGCCUGGGGCGCCAUCGUCAGAGCAUUGUCGGAGAACCUGACCGACGGCAUUGGGGUUCCGGCGAUUGGGGGGCCGAGGGGGUGUGCGCACAUGAUGUGCGAUGGGUGCUGGUACUUGGCCCUUAGAUUUGCCCCCUAUCCCUUGUCAAACCUCGAGAACUCACACCCCCUUAAAAAGCAUUUGAGAUUUUAUAGGUUUGCUGCCAGUAGCCAUUAAAGUGUCUGAAAUGGGGACACUUUUUUCAAAUGGUCACAAAAUCCUGUACGCUCCGACUUUUUACUUGAAUUUUUUUGUGCAUGCCAACAAAACUACAAGGAUCACGUCUACGAAGUAUGGUACCAAAACUCCUUCUGAAAAAAUUUGAAAAAAAGUUUCAAAAAUCGUGAAAAAUAGAAAAUGAGUCGUCUUGCCAUGAAACUUCACAUGAAGGCUUAAGGGACCAUUGUAUGAAUUUACAAGCCAUAAAAAUGGCAUUUGCAUGGCAGAAAUAUGAAGAUGUGCCUAAACCCACCUACCACCCUAUCGAUCCACGACUUGCGCAUCUGCCUCUCUGGCCGGUGUAGUGCUCGCCCGCCCGCCCACCCGCUCGUUUUAUUGGUUUUCUUAGGCAUACGGAGUUCAUUCCCAGUAUAAGAUCAGACCGGACCGAGGGUUGCGAUAGCAAGAUCGGCAGCACGCUGAAGGGGACCCGACCGAUCCCCGGCUUGUGCAUCCUGCCCCUCUGGCCGGUAGAGCGCCUACAAGCUCAUUUCGUGGGUUGACUUAGGCAUACGGAGUUCAUUCCUAGUCUAAGAUCGAACCAGACCGAGGGUUACGGGUGCACAUGCUGGGCUCGGGCAUGUGCUGGUGCCGCAUUUUUGUUCACUCGGGUUACCAUCGUCGGAGCAUCGUAGGAGAACCUGACCAACGGCAUUGGGGUUUCGACGAUGGGGGGCCGGGGGGGUGUGCGCACAUGAUGUGUGAUGGGUGCUGGUACUUGGCCCUUAUAUUGGCCCCCUAUCCCUCAUCAAACCUCAAGAACUCACACCCCUUUAAAGAGCAUCUGAGAUUUUAUAGGUUUGCUGCCAGUAGCCAUUAAAGUGUCUGAAAUGGGGACACUUUUUUCAAAUGGUCACAAAAUCCUAUACACUUGGAGUUUUUAGCUGAAUUUUUUUGUGCAUGGCCACAAAAAUACAAGGAUCACGUCUACCAAGUUCGGGGCCAAAACUCCUUCUGAAAAAAUUUAAGAAAAUCCCAAACCGUAAAAAGUUUCAAAAAUCAUGAAAAAUAGAAAACGAGUCAUCUUGCCAUGAAACUUCAUAUGAAGGCUUAAGGGACCAUUGUAUGAAUUUAAAAGCCAUAAAAAUGGUUUUGGCACCACAAAAAUAUGAAGAUAUGCCUAAACCCACCUGCGACCCUAUUGAUCCACGGCUUAUGUAUCCUGCCUCUCUGGUCGGCGUGGUGCCCGCCCGCCCGCUCGCUCAUUUCAUCGGUUGGCUUAGGCAUACGGAGUUCAUUCCUAGUCUAAGAUUAGAUCGGACAGAGGGUUGUGGCAGCAGGAUUGGCAGCACGCUGAGGGGGACCCAGUUGAUCCACGGUUUACGCAUCCUGCCCCUCUGGCCGGUUGAGCACCCACACGCUUGUUCCGUGGGUUGACUUAGGCAUAUAGAGUUCAUUCCCAGUCUAAGAUUGGAUCAGACUGAGGGUUGUGGGAGCAGGAUCAGCAGCACGCUGAGGGGAACCCGGUCGAUCCCCAGCUUGCGCAUCCUGCCCCUCUGGACGGCUGAGCGCCCACACGCUUGUUUCGUGGGUUGACUUAGGCAUACGGAGUUCAUUCCUAGUCUAUGAUCGGACCGGACCGAGGGUUACGGGUGCACAUGCUGGGCUCAGGCAUGUGCUGGGGUCGCAUUUUUUUUCGCCCAGGGCACCAUUGUCGGCGCAUCACCGGAGAACCUGACUGGCGACAUUGGUGUUCCGACGAUUGGGGGGGCCGGGGGGUGUGUACACAUGAUGUGGGAUGGGUGCUGGUACUUGGCCCUUAUAUUGGCCCCUUAUCCCUCAUCAAAACUUGAGAACUCACAGCCCCUCAAAGAGCAUUUGAGAUUUUACAGGUUUGCUUCCAAUAGCCAUUAAAGUGUCUAAAUGGGGACACUUUUUUCAAAUCAUUACAAAAUCUUGUACCCUUCAAGUUUUUAGCUGAACUUCUUUGUGCAUGCCCACAAAAAUACAACGAUCACGUCUACCAAGUUUGGGGCCAAAACUUCUUCUGAAAAAAUUUUAAAAAAUCUCGAACCGUUAAAAGUUUCAAAAAUCGUGAAAAAUAGAAAACGAGUCAUCUUGCCAUGAAACUUCACAUGAAGGCUUAAGGGACCAUUGUAUGAAUUUACAAGCCAUAAAAAUGGCAUUGGCAUGGCAGAAAUAUGAAGAUGUGCCUAAACCCACCUACCACCCUAUCGAUCCAUGGCUUGCGCGUCCCGCCUCUCUGGUUGGCAUAGUGCCCACCCACCCGCCUGCACAUUUCGUCGGUUGGCUUAGGAAUACGGAGUUCAUUCCCAAUCUAAGAUUGGACCAGACUGAGGGUUGCGACAGCAGGAUCAGUAGCACGCUGAGGGGAACCCAGUCGAUCCCCGACUUGCGCAUCCUGCCCCUCUCGACGGUUGAGCGCCUGCACGCUCAUUUUGUGGAGUUCAUUCCCAGUCUAAGCAUACGGAGUUCAUUCCCAGUCUAAGAUUGGACCAGAUUGAGGGUUACGGGUGCACAUACUGGGCUUAGGCAUGUGAUGGUGCCACAUUUGUUUUCGCCCAGGGCACCAUCACCGGAGAACCUGACCGGCGGCAUUAGAGUUCCGAUGAUUGGGGGGGCCGGGGGGGUGUGCGCCAUGAUUUGCGAUGGGUGCUGGUACUUGGCUCUUAUAUUGGCCACCUAUCCCUCAUCAAACCUUGAGAACUCACACCCCUUUAAAAGGCAUUUGAGAUUUUACAGGUUUGCUGCCAGUAGCCAUUAAAGUGUCUGAAAUUGGGACACUUUUUUCAAAUGGUCACAAAAUCCUAUACACUUCGAGUUUUUAGCUGAAUUUUUUUGGGCAUGCCAAAAGAAAUACAAGGAUCACGUCUAAUAAUUUUGGAGCCAAAACUCCUUUUGAAAAACUUUUAAAAAAAUCCCGAACCAUAAAAAGCUUCAAAAAUCGUGAAAAAUAGAAAACGAGUGGUCUUGCCAUGAAACUUGACAUGAAGACUUAAGGGACCAUUGUACGAAUUUACAAGCCAUAAAAAUGGCAUUGGCAUGGUAGAAAUAUAAAGAUGUGCCUAAACCCACCUACCACCCUAUCGAUCCACGGCUUGCGCAUCCCGCCUCUUUGGCUGACGCAAUGCCCGCCCGCCUGCCCGCUCGUUUCGUCGGUUGGCUUAGGCAUACAGAGUUCAUUCCCAAUCUAAGAUCGGACCAGAUGAAGGGUUGUGGCAGUCGGAUAGGCAGCACACUGAGGGGGACCCGACCGAUCCCCGGCUUGCACAUCCUGCCACUCUGCCCGGCUGAGCGCCCGCACGCUCGUUUCGUGGGUUGACUUAGGCAUACGGAGUUCAUUCCCAGUCUAAGCAUACGGACUUCAUUCCCAGUCUAAGAUGAAACCAGACCGAGGGUUGCGGGUGCACAUGCUGGGCUCAGGCAUGUGCUGGUGCCGUAUUUUUUUCGCCUGGGGAACAAUCGACAGAGCAUCACCUGAGAACCUGACCGACGGCAUUAGGCUUCCGACGAUUGGGGGGGCCCGGGGGUGUGCGCACUUGAUGUACGAUGGGUGCUGGUACUUGGCCCUUAUAUUGGCCCCCUAUCCCUCAUCAAACCUCGAGAACUCACACCCCCUUAAAGAGCAUUUGAGAUUUUACAGGUUUGCUGCCAGUAGCAAUUAAAGUGUCUAAAAUGGGGACAUUUUUUUCAAAUGGUCACGAAAUCCUAUAGGCUUCAAGUUUUUAGCUGAAUUUUUUUGUGCAUGCCCACAAAAAUACAAGGAUCACAUCUACCAAGUUUGGGGCCAAAACUUCUUCUGAAAAAACUUAAGAAAAUCUCGAACCGUAAAAAGUUUCAAAAAUCAUGAAAAAUAGAAAACGAGUCGUCUUGCCAUGGAACUUUGCAUGAAGGCUUAAGGGACCAUUGUAUGAAUUUACAAUCCAUAAAAAUGGCAUUGGCAUGGCACAAAUAUGGAGAUGUGCCAAAACCCACCUACCACCCUAUCGAUCCACGGUUUACGCAUCCCGCUCGUUUCGUCGGUUGGCUUAGGCAUACGAAGUUCAUUCCCAGUCUAAGAUCAGACCAAACUAAGGGUUGCGGUAGCAGGAUCGACAGUACGCUGAGGGGGACCCGACCAAUCCCCAGCUUACGCAUCUUGCCCCUCUAGCUGGCUGAGCGCCCGCACGCUCAUUUCGUGGGUUGACUUAGGCAUACGGAGUUCAUUCCCAGUCUAAGCAUACGGAGUUCCUUCCCAGUCUAAGAUCGGACUAGAUCGAGGGUUGUGGGUGCACAUGCUAGGCUCGAGCAUGUGCUAGUGCCACAUUUCUUUCACCCGAGGCACCAUCAUCGAAGAACCUAACUGGCAGCAUUGGGGUUCCGACGACUAGGGGGCGGGGGGGUGUGCACUCUGGUAUUUGUCCCUUAUAUUGGCCCCCUAUCCCUCAUCAAACCUAUAGAACUCACACCCCCUCAAAGAGCAUUUGAGAUUUUACAGGUUUGCUGCCAGUAGCCAUUAAAGUGUCUAAAAUGGGGACACUUUUUUCAAAUGGAUACAAAAUCUGACACUUUCGAGUUUUAGUUGAAUUUUUUUAUGCAUGCCAACAAAAAUACAAGGAUCAUGUCUUCCAGGAUUGGGGCCAAAACUCCUUCUGAAAAAUUUUUAAAAAAUCCCGAACCUUAAAAACUUUCAAAAAUCGUGAAAAAUAAAAAACGAGUCGUCUUGCCAUGAAACUUCACAUGAAGGCUAAAGGGACCAUUGUAUGAAUUUACAAGCCUUAAAAAUGGCAUUGGCAGGGCAAAAAUAUGAAGAUGUGAAUAAACCCACCUACCACCUUAUCGAUCCACGGUUGACGCAUCCCGCUCGUUUCGUCGAUUGGCUUAGGCAUACGAAGUUCAUUCCCAGUCUAAGAUCAGAUCAGACCGAGGGUUGUGGUAGCAGGAUCGGUAGCAUGCUGAGGGGGACCCGACCAAUCCCCGGCUUGCGCAUCUUGCCCCUCCGCACGGCUGAGCGCCCGCACGCUCAUUUCGUGGGUUGACUUAAGGAUACAGAGUUCAUUCCCAGUCUAAGCAUACGGAGUUCAUUCCUAGUCUAAGAUCAAACCAGAUCGAGGGUUGUGGGUACACAUGCUGGGCUCAGGCAUGUGCUGGUGCCGCAUUUUUUUUUUGCCCAGGGCACCAUCGUAGGAGCGUUUCCGGAGAACCUGACUGACGGCAUUAGGGUUCCGGCGGUUGGGGGCCGGGGGGUGUGCGCACAUGAUGUGCGAUGGGUGCUGGUACUUGUCCCUUAUAUUGGCCCCUAUCCCUCAUCAAACCACGAGAACUGACACCCCCUUAAAGAGCAUUUGAGAUAUUACAAGUUUGCUGCCAGUAGCCAUUAAAGUGUUUGAAAUGGGGACACUUUUUUCAAAUGGUCACAAAAUCCUGUACACUUCGAGAUUUUAGCUGAAUUUUUUUGUGCAUGCCAACAAAAAUACAAGGAUCACGUCUACCAAGUUUGGGGCCAAAAAUACAAGGAUCAUGUCUGCCAGGAUUGGGGCCAAAACUCUUUCUGAAAAAAUUUUAAAAAAAUCUCGAAUCGUAAAAGGUUUCAAAAAUCGUGAAAAAUAAAAAACGAGUCGUCUUGCCAUGAAACUUCUCAUGAAGGCUAAAGGGACCAUUGUAUGAAUUUACAAGCCAUAAAAAUGGCAUUGGCAGGGCAAAAAUAUGAAGAUGUGCCUAAACCCACUUACCACCCUAUCGAUCCACAGCUUACGCAUCCCGCCUCUCUGGCCGGCGUAGUGCCCGCCUGCUCGCCCGCUCAUUUUGUCGGUUGGCUUAGGCAUACGGAGUUCAUUCCAGUCUAAGAUCGAACCAAAUCGAGGAUUGCGACAGUAGGAUCGACAGCACAUAGAGGGGGACCUAGCCAAUCCCCAGGUUGCGCAUCCUGCCCCUCCAGUCGGCUGAGCGCCUGCACGCUUGUUUCGUGGGUUGACUUAAGGAUACGGAGUUCAUUCCCAGUCUAAGCAUACGGAGUUCAUUCCUAGUCUAAGAUCAGACCGGAUCGAGGGUUGCGGGUGCACAUGCUGGGCUCAGGCAUGUGCUGGUGCCGUAUUUUUUUUUGGCCCGGGGCACCAUCGCCGGAGCAUUGCAGGAGAACCUGACCGGCGGCAUUAGGGUUCCGGCGGUUGGGGGCCGGGGGGUGUGCGCACAUGAUGUGGGAUGGGUGCUGGUACUUGGCCCUUAUAUUGGCCCCUAUCCCUCAUCAAACCUCGAGAACUGACACCCCCUUAAAGAGCAUUUGAUAUUUUACAGGUUUGCUGCCAGAAGCCAUUAAGGUGUCUCAAAUGGGGACACUUUUUUCAAAUGGUCACAAAAUCCUGUACACUUCGAGUUUUUGGCUGAAUUUUUUUGUUCCUGCCAACAAAAAUACAAGGAUCACGUCUACCAAGUUUGGGGCCAAAAAUACAAGGAUCACAUCUGCCAGGAUUGGGGUCAAAACUCCUUCUGAAAAAAUUUUAAAAAUAUCCCAAACCGUAAAAAGUUUCAAAAAUCGUGAAAAAUAGAAAACGAGUCGUCUUGCCAUGAAACUUCACAUGAAGGCUUAAGGGACCAUUGUAUGAAUUUACAGGCCAUAAAAAUGGCAUUGGCAUGGCAGAAAUAUGAAGAUGUGCCUAAACCCACCUACCACCCUAUCGAUCCAUGGCUUAUGCAUCCCGUCUCUUUGGCUGGCGUAGUAACCGCCCGCCCGUCUGCUCGUUUCAUCGGUUGACUUAGGCAUACGGAGUUCAUUCCCAAUCUAAGAUCGAACCAGACCAAGGAUUGUAGCAGUAGGAUCGACAGCAUGCUGAGGGGGACCCGACCGAUCCCUGGCUUACGGAUCCUGCCCCUCUGGCCGGCUGAGCACCGUACGCUUGUUUCAUGGGUUGACUUAGGCAUCAGAGUUCAUUCCUAGUCUAAGCAUACAAAGUUCAUUCCCAGUCUAAGAUCGGACUGGACCGAGGGUUGCGGGUGCACAUGCUGGGCUCGGGCAUGUGCUGGUGUCGCAUUUUUUUCACCUGGGGCACCAUCGCCGGGGCAUCGUCGGAGAACCUGACCAACGGCAUUGGGGUUCCUGCGAUUGGGGCGGGCCGGGGGUGUUCGCACAUGAUGUGCGAUGGGUGGUGGUACUUGGCCCUUUAUGUUGGCCCCCUAUCCCUCAUCAAACCUCGAGAACUCACACCCCUUAAAGAGCAUUUGAGAUUUUACAGGUUGCUGCCAGUAGCCAUUAAAGUGUCUAAAAUGGGGACACUUUUUUCAAAUGGUCACAAAAUCCUGUACACUUCAAGUUUUUAGCUGAAUUUUUUGUGCAUGCCACAAAAAUACAAGGAUCAUGUCUACCAAGUUUGGGGCCAAAACUCCUUCUGAAAAAAUUUAAAAAAAUCUCGAACCGUAAAAAGUUUCAAAAAUAGUGAAAAAUAGAAAACGAGUCGUCUUGCCAUGAAACUUCACAUGAAGGCUUAAGUGACCAUUGUAUGAAUUUACAAGCCAUAAAAAUGGCAUUGGCAUGGCAGAAAUAUGAAGAGGUGCCUAAACCCACCUACCACCCUAUUGAUCCACGACUUGCGCAUCCCGCCACUCUAGCCGGCGUAGUGCCUGCCCGCCCGUCCGCUCGUUUCGUCGGUUGGCUUAGGCAUACGGAGUUCAUUCCCAGUCUAAGAUCAGACCAGACUGAGGGUUGCGACAGCAGGAUCGGCAGCACACUGAGGGGGACCCGGUCGAUCCCCAGCUUGCGCAUCCUGCCCCUCUGGCCGGCUGAGCACCCGCACGCUCGUUUCGUGGGACGAUUUAGGCAUACGGAGUUCAUUCCCAGUCUAAGAUCGGACCGGACUGAGGGUUGCGGGUGUAAAUGCUGGGCUCAGGCAUGUACUGGUGCCACUUUUUUUUCGCCCAGGGCACCAUCGCAGAGCAUCAUCGGAGAACCUGACCGGCGGCAUUGGGGUUUCGACGAUUGGAGGGGCCGAGGGGGGUGUUCGCACAUGAUGUGUGAUGGGUGCUGGUACUUGGCCCUUAUAUCGGCCCCCUAUCCCUCAUCAAACCUCGAGAAGUAACACCCCCUUAAAGAGCAUUUGAUAUUUUACAGGUUUGCUACCAGUAGCCAUUAAAGUGUUUGAAAUGGGGACACUUUUUUCAAAUGGUCACAAAAUCCUGUGCACUUCGAGUUUUUAGCUGAAUUGUUUUGUGCAUGCCAACAAAAAUACAAGGAUCACGUAUACCUAGUUUGGGCCAAAACUCCUUCUGAAAAAAUUUUAAAAAAUCUCGAACCGUAAAAAGUUUUCAAAAAUUCGUGAAAAUAGAAAACGAGUCGUCUUGCCAUGAAACUUCACAUGAAGGCUUAAGGACCAUUGUAUGAAUUUACAAGCCAUAAAAAUGGCAUUGGCAUGGCAGAAAUAUGAAGAUGUGCCUAAACCCACCUACCACCCUAUCGAUCCACGGCUUGCGCAUCCCGCCUCUCUGGCUGGCGUAAUGCCCGCCCGCCCGCCCGCUCGUUUCGUCGGUUGGCUUAGGCAUACGGAGUUCAUUCCCAGUCUAAGAUCGGAUCGAACCAAGGGUUGCAACAGCAAGAUCGGUAGCAUGCUGAGGGGGACCUGAUCGAUGCCUGGCAUGCGCAUGCUGCCCCACUGGCCGACUGAGCUCCGGCACACUCGUUUCGUGGGUUGACUCAGGCAUACAGAGUUCAUUCCCAGUCUAAGAUUGGAUCGGACUGAGGGUUGCAGGUGCACAUGCUGGGCUCGAGCAUGUGCUGGUGCCGUAUUUUUUUUUGCCCGGGCCACCAUCGCCGGAGCAUUGCCAGAGUACCUGACUGACGGUAUUGGGGUUCCGACGAUUGGGUGGGCCAGGGGGGUGCGCACGUGAUGUGCGAUGGUUGCUGGUACUUGGCCCUUGUAUUGGCCCCCUAUCCCUCAUCAAACCUUGAGAACUCACACCCCUUAAAGAGCAUUUGGGAUUUUACAGGUUUACUGCCAGUAGCCAUUAAAGUGUCUAAAAUAUGUACACUUUUUCAAAUGGUCACAAAAUCCUAUACACUUCAAGUUUUUAGCUGAACUUUUUUGUGCAUGCCCACAAAAAUACAAAGAUCACGUCUACCAAGUUUGGGGCCAAAACUUCUUCUCAGAAAAAUUUAAAAAAAUCCUGAACCGUAAAAGGUUUCAAAAAUCGUGAAAAAUAGAAAACGAGUCGUCUUGCCAUGAAACUUCACAUGAAGUUUUAAGGGACUGUUGUAUGAAUUUAAAAGCCAUAAAAAUGGCAUUGGCAUGGUAGAAAUAUGAAGAUGUGCCUAAACCCACCUACCACCCAUCGAUCCAUGGCUUGCACAUCCGCCUCUCUGGCCAGGGUAGACCCCGCCGGCCCGCUCGCUCGUUUCGUCGGUUGGCUUAGGCAUACGGAGUUCAUUCCCAGUCUAAGAUCGGAUCGAACCAAGGGUUGCAACAGCAAGAUCGGUAGCAUGCUGAGGGGGACCUGAUCGAUGCCUGGCAUGCGCAUGCUGCCCCACUGGCCGACUGAGCUCCGGCACACUCGUUUCGUGGGUUGACUCAGGCAUACAGAGUUCAUUCCCAGUCUAAGAUUGGACCGGACUGAGGGUUGCAGGUGCACAUGCUGGGCUCGAGCAUGUGCUGGUGCCGUAUUUUUUUUUGCCCGGGCCACCAUCGCCGGAGCAUUGCCAGAGUACCUGACUGACGGUAUUGGGGUUCCGACGAUUGGGUGGGCCAGGGGGGUGCGCACGUGAUGUGCGAUGGGUGCUAGUACUUGGCCCUUGUAUUGGCCCCCUAUCCCUCAUCAAACCUUGAGAACUCACACCCCUUAAAGAGCAUUUGGGAUUUUACAGGUUUACUGCCAGUAGCCAUUAAAGUGUCUAAAAUAUGUACACUUUUUCAAAUGGUCACAAAAUCCUAUACACUUCAAGUUUUUAGCUUAACUUUUUUGUGCAUGCCCACAAAAAUACAAGGAUCACGUCUACCAAGUUUGGGGCCAAAACUUCUUCUCAGAAAAAUUUAAAAAAAUCCUGAACCGUAAAAGGUUUCAAAAAUCGUGAAAAAUAGAAAAUGAGUCGUCUUGCCAUGAAACUUCACAUGAAGUUUUAAGGGACUGUUGUAUGAAUUUACAAGCCAUAAAAGUGGCAUUGGCAUGGUAGAAAUAUGAAGAUGUGCCUAAACCCACCUACCACCCAUCGAUCCAUGGCUUGCACAUCCGCCUCUCUGGCCAGCGUAGACCCCGUCGGCCCGCUCGCUCGUUUCGUCGGUUGGCUUAGGCAUACGGAGUUCAUUCCCAUUCUAAGAUUGGACCGGACUGAGGGUUGCAGCAGCAGGAUCGGUAGCACGCUGAGGGGGACCCAACCGAUCCCCGACUUGCGCAUUCUGCCCCUCUGGCCGGCUGAGCGCCCGUACGCUCAUUUCGUGGGUUGACUUAGGCAUACGGAGUUCAUUCCCAGUCUAAGAUUGGACCGGACCGAGGGUUGCGGGUGCACAUGCUGGGCUCAGGCAGGUGCUGGUGUCGUAUUUUUUUUCACCCGAGGCACCAUCGUCGGAGCAUUGUCGGAGAACUUGACCGGCAGCAUUGGGGUUCCGGCGAUUGGGGGGGCGAGGGGGUGUGCGCACAUGAUGUACGAUGGGUGCUGGUACUUGGCCCUUAUAUUGGCCCCCUAUCCCUCAUCCAAACCUCGAAGAACUCACACCCCCUUAAAGAGCAUUUGAGAUUUUACAGGUUAUGUCUGCCAGUAGCCAUUAAAGUGUCUGAAAUGGGGGACAUUUUUUCAAAUGGUCACAAAUCCUGGUACACUUCGAGUUUUUAGCUGAAUUUUUUGUUGCAUGCCAAAAAAAUACAAGGAUCACGUCUACCAAGUUUGGGGCCAAAACUCCUUUUGAAAAAAUUUAAAAAAAAUCCUGAAACGUAAAAAGUUUCAAAAUCGUAAAAAAUAGAAAACGAGUCGUCUUGCCAUGAAACUUCACAGAAGGCUUAAGGGGACCAUUUAUGAAUUUACAAGCCAUAAAAAUGGCAUUGGCAUGGCAGAAAUAUGAAGAUGUGCCUAAACCCACCUACCACCCUAUCGAUCCACGGCUUGCGCAUCCCGCCUCUCUGGCCGGUGCAGUGCCCGCCCGCCCGCUCGUUUCGUCGGUUGGCUUAGGCAUACGAAUUUCAUUCCUAGUCUAAGAUUGGACCAGAUUGAGGGUUACGGUAGCAGGAUCGGCAGCACGCAGAAGGGGACCUGACCGAUCCCCGGCUUGCGCAUCCUGCCCCUUUGGCCGGUUGAGCGCCCGUACAUUCAUUUCGUGGGUUGACUUAGGCAUAUGAAGUUCAUUCCCAGUCUAAGAUCGGACUGGACCGAGGGUUGCAGGUGCACAUGUUGGGCUCUAGCAUGUGCUGGUACCGCAUUUUUUUUGCCCGGGGCACCAUCGUCGAAGAACAUGACCAGUAGCAUUGGGGUUCCGACGAUUGGGGACGGGGGGUGUGCACACAUGAUGUGUGAUGGGUGCUGGUACUUGGCCCUAUAUUGGCCCCCUAUCCCUCAUCAAACCUCAAGAACUCACACCCCUUAAAGAGCAUUUGAGAUUUUACAGGUUUGCUGCCAGUAGCCAUUAAGUGUCUAAAAUGGGGUCACUUUUUUCAAAUGGUCACAAAAUCCUGUACACUUCGAGUUUUUAGCUGAAUUUUUUUGUGCAUGCCAAAAAAAAUACAAGGAUCACGUCUACCAAGUUUGGGGCCAAAACUCCUUCUGAAAAAAUUUAAAAAAAAUCCCGAACCGUAAAAAGUUUUGAAAAUCGUGAAAAAUAGAAAACGAGUCAUCUUUCCAUGUAACUUCACAUGAAGGCCUAAGGGACCAUUGGAUGAAUUUACAAGCCAUAAAAAUGGCAUUGGCAUGGCAGAAAUAUGAAGAUGUGCCUAAACCCACCUACCAACUUAUCGAUCCACGGCUUGCGCAUCUCGCAUCUCUGGCCGACGUAGUGCCCGCCCGCUCAUUUCAUCGGUUAGCUUAGGCAUACGGAGUUCAUUCCCAGUCUAAGAUUGAAAUGGACCGAGGGUUGUGGCAGCAAGAUUGGCAGCACACUGAGGGGGACCCGACCGAUCCCCGUCUUGCGCAUCCUGCCCCUCUGGCCGGCUGAGCGCCCGCACGCUUGUUUCGUGGGAUGACUUAGGCAUACGGAGUUCAUUCCCAGUCUAAGCAUACAGAAUUCAGUCCCAAUCUAAGAUCAGACCUAAUCGAGGGUUACGGGUGCACAUGUUGGGCUCGGGCAUGUGCUGGUGCCGCAUUUUUUUUUGCCUGGGGCACCAUCGCUGGAGAACCUGACCGACGGCAUUGGGGUUCCAGCGAUUGAGGGGCCAGGGGGUGUGCGCACAUGAUGUGUGAUGGGUGCUGGUACUUGGCCCUUAUAUUGGCCCCCUAUAUCUCAUCAAACCUUGAGAACUCACAUCCCCUUAAAGAGUAUUUGAGAUUUUACAGGUUUGCUGCUAGAAGCCAUUAAAGUGUCCGAAAUGGGGACACUUUUUUCAAAUGGUCACAAAAUCCUGUAUACUUCGAGUUUUUAGCUGAAUUUUUUUGUGCAAGCCAACAAAAAUACAAAGGUCAUGUCUACCAGGUUUGGGGCCAAAACUCUUUCUGAAAAAAUUUCAAAAAAAUCUCGAACCGUAAAAACUUUCAAAAAUCGUGAAAAAUAGAGAACGAGUCGUCUUGCCAUGAAACUUCACAUGAGGGCUUAAGGGACCAUUGUAUGAAUUUACAAACCGUAAAAAAGGCAUUGGCAUGGCAGAAAUAUGAAGAUGUGCCUAAACCCACCUACCACCCUAUCAAUCCACGGCUUGCGCAUCCCGCCUCUCUGGUUAGCGUAACGCCCGCCCGCUGCCCCGAUCGUUUCGUCAGUUGGCUUAGGCAUACAGAGUUUAUUCUCAGUCUAAGAUUGGACCAGAUCGAGGGUUGUGGCACCAAGAUCGGCAGCAUGUAGAGGGGGACCCGACCGAUCCCCAACUUGCGUAUCCUGCCCCUCUGGUCGGCUGAGCGCCCGCACGCUCGUUUCGUGGGAUGACUUAGGCAUACAGAGUUCAUUCCUAGUCUAAGCAUACAGAGUUCAAUCCCAGUCUAAGAUCAGACCUGACCGAGGGUUGCAGGUGCACAUGCUGGGCUCGGGCAUGUGCUGGUGCCGCAUUUUUUUUUCGCCCGGGGCACCAUCGUCCGGAGAACCUGACCGACGGCAUUGGGUUCCGACGAUUGGGGGGCCGGGGGGUGUGCGCACAUGAUGUGCGAUGGGUGCUGGUACUUGGCCCUUAUAUUGGCCCCCUAUCCCUCAUCAAACCUUGAGAACUCACACCCCUUAAAGAGUAUUUGAGAUUUUACAGGUUUGCUGCCAGUAGCCAUUAAAGUGUCCGAAAUGGGGACACUUUUUUCAAAUGGUCACAAAAUCCUGUACACUUCGAGUUUUUAGCUGAAUUUUUUUGUGCAUGCCAAAAAAAUACAAGGUCACGUCUACCAGGUUUGGGGCCAAAACUCCUUCUGAAAAAAUUUAAAAAAAAUCCCGAACCGUAAAAAGUUUCAAAAAUCAUGAAAAAUAGAAAACGAGUCGUCUUGCCAUGAAACUUCACAUGAGGGCUUAAGGGACCAUUGUAUGAAUUUACAAGCCAUAAAAAUGGCAUUGGCAUGGCAGAAAUAUGAAGAUGUGCCUAAACCCACCUACCACCCUAUCGAUCCACGGCUUGCGCAUCCCGUCUCUUUGGUCAGCAUAGUGCCCGCCCGCUGCCUCGCUCGUUUCGUCAGUUGGCUUAGGCAUGCGGAGUUUAUUCCCAGUCUAAGAUUGGACCAGAUCAAGGGUUCCGGUAGUAGGAUCGACAGCACGUAGAGGGGGACCCAACCGAUCCCCGACUUGCGGAUCCUGCCCCUCUGGCCGGCUAAGCGCCCGCACGCUCAUUUCAUGGUAUGACUUAGGCAUACGGAGUUCAUUCCCAGUCUAAGCAUACAGAGUUCAUUCCCAGUCUAAGAUCAGACCUAACUGAGGGUUGCGGGUGCACAUGCUGGGCUCGAGCAUGUGCUGGUGCCUCAUUUUUUUUCGCCCGGGGCACCAUCACCGGAGAACCUGACCGGCGGCAUUGGGGUUCUGGCGAUUGGGGGGUCGGGGGGGUGUGCGCACAUGAUGUGCGAUGGGUGCUGGUACUUGGCCCUUAUAUUGGCCCCCUAUCCCUCAUCAAACCUCGAGAACUCACACCCCUUUAAAGAGCAUUUGAGAUUUACAGGUUUGCUGCCAGUAGCCAUUAAAGUGUCUAAAAUGGGACACUUUUUUCAAAUGGUCACAAAAUCCUGUACACUUCGAGUUUUUAGCUGAAUUUUUUUGUGCAUGCCACAAAAAUACAAGGAUCAUGUCUACCAAGUUUGGGCCAAAACUCCUUCUGAAAAAAUUUUAAAAAAAUCCCGAACCGUAAAAAGUUUUAAAAAUCAUGAAAAAUAGAAAACGAGUCGUCUUGCCAUGAAACUUCACAUGAAGGCUUAAGGGACCAUUGUAUGAAUUUACAAGCCAUAAAAAUGGCAUUGGCAUGGCAGAAAUAUGAAGAUGUGCCUAAACCCACCUACCACCCUAUCGAUCCACGGCUUGCGCAUCCCGCCUCUUUGGCCGGUGUAGUGCCCUCCCGCCUGCUCGCUCAUUUCGUCGGUUGGCUUAGGCAUAUGGAGUGCAUUCCCAGUCUAAGAUCAGACCAAACUGAGGGUAGCGGCAGCACACUGAGGGGGACCUGGCCCAUCCUCGGCUUGUGCAUCCUGCCCCUUUGGCCGGCUGAGCACCCGCACGCUCGUUUCAUGGGUUGACUUAGGCAUACAGAGUUCAUUCUCAGUCUAAGAUCGGACCGGACCGAGGGUUGCGGGUGCACAUGCUGGGCUCGAGCAUGUGCUGGUGCCACAUUUUUUUUCACCCGGGGCACCAUUGUUGGAGCAUCGUCAGAGAACCUGAUCGACGGUAUUGGGGUUUCGACGAUUGGGGGGCUGAGGGGGUGUGCGCACAUGAUGUGCGAUUGGUGCUGGUACUUGGCCCUUAUAUUGGCCCACUAUCUCUCAUCAAACCUUGAGAACUCACACCUCCUUAAAGAGCAUUUGAGAUUUUACAGGUUUGCUGCCAGUAGCAAUUAAAGUGUCUGAAAUGGGGACACUUUUUUCAAAUGGUCACAAAAUCCUGUACACUUCGAGUUUUUAGCUGAAUUUUUUUGUGCAUGCCAAAAAAAAUACAAGGAUCACGUCUACCAAGUUUGGUGCCCAAACUCCUUCUGAAAAAAUUUUAAAAAAAUCUCAAACCAUAAAAACUUUCAAAAAUCAUGAAAAAUAAAAAACGACUCGUCUUGCCAUGAAACUUCACAUGAAACUUCGCAGAGUUCAUUCCCAAUCUAAGAUCGGACGAAACCGAGGGUUGUGGGUGCACAUGCUGGGCUCAGGCAUGUGCUGGUGUCUCAUUUUUUUUCGCCCGAGCUACCAUCGUCGGAGCAUCGCCGGAGAACCUGACCGACGGCAUUGGGGUUCCGACGAUUGGGGGCGGGGGUGUGCGCACAUGAUGUGCGAUGGGUGCUGGUACUUGGCCCUUAUAUUGGCCCCCUAUCCCUGUCAUAACGUCUAGAUCCGGGGAUCUAUCGCUAGACAUUGACUUUUAGGAGUCGCCACCAAUCUUUUUUAUCUAGGUGCGAUUGGCCACCUAAAGAAUCUGUCCUUUCAGGGAACACCUAAGUUUAAGGGCCCCUAAAAGAAUAGGUUCAGGUCUACUAACCAGAACAGAGUUCGAGAGUUCGGUUACAUGUGAGGAAGGUUAUAGCACCCUCACAACGCCCAUCAAAAGAUGGUACCAGCAUAACUUUGUGUUAUCCAAAUAGCCUUAAAAUUUUACCAAGUAAUUAAUUAUUGGAAAUUAUUCUCAAUUGACUCUAAUACUUUUAGCAGAAAAUUGAGAAAAUUCCCUCACCUCAAGAGUAUGCAAGAAAAACUACUGUUUCACUUGCAGAGGCUCCGUCGUCGGAUUAUUUAAAGAAAAAUCAAAAUCAAAAUUAAAAUAAAAAGGAAGAAAAGAAUGAUUGUUCUUGCGCAGGGAAAAUUGAUACUUUCAACUUUUCCCUAAAAAUAUUCUUUUGAAACUUUAAUUUAUAGGAAGAUUGAUACUUUCAACUUUUCUUCAAAAAUUGAUUUUUUGAAAAUUUAUUUUUAAGGAAAUUGAUACUUUCAACUUUUCCCUAAAAAUAUUUUUUUUUUGGAAAUUUUCAUUUUCAAGGAAAAUUGAUUCUCUCAACUUUUCUUCAAAAAUAUUUUUGGAAACUUUGAUUUUCAAGGAAGAUUGAUACUUUCAACUUUUCCUCAAAAACCCUUUUUUUGAAAUUUUAUUUUUAAGGAAAAUUGAUACUUUCAACUUUUCUCCAAAAAUAUAUAUUUUUUUGGAAACUUUAUUUUUAAGGAAAAUUGAUACUUUCAACUUUUCCCCAAAAAUCUUUUUUUUUUGGAAAUUUAUUUUUUAAAAAAAUUGAUACUUUCAACUUUUCCCCAAAAAUAUUUUUUUUAUUUUUAUUUAAAGAAAAUAAAAUAAUAAAACAAAAUAAAAGUGAAAAUAAAAAAAAUAAAAUAAAGAAAAGUAAAACAAAAAUAAAAUAAUAAAACAAAAUAAAAUAAUAAAAUAAAAUAAAGGUAAAAAAGAUACUAAAUAAACCUAAUCUAAUAAAUAAAAAAUAAAUAAAUAAAAAACAAAUAAUAAAUAAAAAAAAAAAACUGGAGCGGCUCGGAGUACGGCUUGGCUCGGCUCGGCUCAAGGAAGAGAAAACGGCUCCGAGAAGCGGCUUGGAACCUCGACUCGGGUCAGCUAUCGGCUCGGAGGGGGGAGACACGUGCGGGUCAGGAAGCGGGUCGACGCUCGGGUCGGGUCGGAUCUCGGCAAAACAUGCGGAUCCUCUGGGUCACUUAACGUAAAAACGAUGUCGUUUUGGGAAGGUAUAUAAGGCUAUUCCCUCUAUUUUUUGGCAGAAAGCUCUUCCCCUCUCUCUCUCUUCUUCCUUUUUCUCUCGCUUCUCUCUAAAAAGGCUGAAGAACUCCGGUUGAAUUUUCACUGGAUUCUAGAAAAUUUCAUCGAAAUCUGGGUUUUUUGUCGGAAGUUCGUCGAAAGUUGGUCGAUUCUGGGAUACUUCGUCGAAAACUGGGCAACUCGUCGAAAACUUCAAAGCUGGUCGGAAUUUUUGUCAAAAAAUGUAACUUUCACCGAAAAAUUCAAUCGAAAUCUGGAAUUUUCCAGAAAUUCCCAGAAAAAAAAACGCCAAAAAUCUUCAAAAAAUUUCUGCUAAUUCCCAGAACCCUUCUCAACCUUUUCUUAGCUUUCUAUACGCCCAUUUUCUCUCAAAUCAGUGGCUUUGCUCACUGUUCUUUUCUGUGUUUUGCUUUUGUUCUAGGAGGUCUUUUUUAUAAGAAUUGAUCAUGACUCUUUGCACAGGGAUUCAAUCUUUGAAUCCAAUCUGGACUCUUUUGAUUGAAUCCCCAUUCAUAGUAGGAUUCUUCAACCUUCACUCACAGCCUCAAAAAAAGAAAAAAAAUAAUAAUCAGAUAAACGAAAAAGAAAAAUAAUAAUAAUAACAGAUAAUCAAAAAUAAAAUAAGACAAAUCCAAAAAAUAUUACAAGAUAAAAAAAAUAAAUAAAUAAAUUAUAAUAUAAUAAUAAAUAUAUAACUAUAUAAAUAAAAUACAUAUAAAUAUUAACAAAACAAAAAAAAAUAAAGAUAUACAUAUAUUAAUACAUAGUAAUAAUAAAUAAAUAAUAAAAUGCCUAAAAUACAAAAAAAUAAAAAUAAAAAUAAUACAAAAUAAGAACCAAAUUGGGCUUGCCCGUUUGGGCCAGGCCCAAUUGAUCUGGGCCUAGACCAAAUUGGGUGUCUACAGCUGCCCCUCUUUGCACAUUUUCUGUGAAACAGAAAUUGCGUAAAGACGUAGACACCCAAUCAAGACUCAACUCAACACUUUCACUUUUUUGUUUUUUUUGUGUUUUUUUUGCUUUUUUUUUUGUUGUUGUUUUUUAACAAAGCUCCUCUAAACAGAGGCUCAACGACUUUGAGAAACAUAAAUUGCUCCUCUAAACAGAGGCACCACGACUUGGAAAAGUAAAUUGCUCCUCUAAACAGAGGCACCACGACUUUGGAAAGUAAAUUGCUCACGGACUUUGGAAAUUAAAUUGCUCCUCUAAACAGAGGCACCACGACUUUGGAAAGUAAAUUGCUCCUCUAAACAGAGGCACCACGACUUUUGGAAAGUAAAUUGCUCCUUGACAAACAUGUCCAAAGGAGUUGAAAGUUGUGUUUGAAGGAAUUUCAGGAGAUUAUGCCCAAAGGUCUUAUAAAUCAACCCUGAUACCAAAAGACAUCCUAUUUCAAGGAUUAGGACCUUACCUAACAAGUUUCCUCUCAAAUUUGCAAAAUAUCUUCAUAUCUGUCUUUUCUAUAUGGGAUGUUGAAACACCCCUGCUUCUUGAAUUUAUACACUAUACUUUCCUGAAAGUAGUGCAUGCUAUGCAAUGCAUAUGAAUUUCAAUGCAUGCUAUGCAGAUGUUGGCCAAUUAAUUCCUAUUCAAUGUAUGGUACUCAGGUUUCUCAAGCUCUUUUUUUUUCUUGGGCAUCAAACCUUUUGAUUCUUUAAAGAUCCAAUUACACUACUCUUCUAAGAUCAAGCCAGUGUAGCUCUUAAUUGUCUCUUCCACUCACAUUCUUCUUGUAAGAAAUCUUUUCCCAGAUUCAAUGUCCUAAUCAGGAACUGAACAUCUCGAUUUUGCCUUUAUCACUCUUGACUUAUUCAAUGUAAUGUAAAAAAUCUUUCAUGUUGUUUUUCAUUUAUCAAUCAUUAUUUUAAACUCAAAAAGUAAGAAUGCAUUUGCACAUUUCUUCCAUGGUGGGGUAUUAAGAAGAAAAGGAUCUGAAUGGUUGAGAAACAGUCAUAUAAAAAGACAUAAAGAAUGAAAUAGAAUGUCUCUUAUUAGCAAAAUGUUGACUAAUUUCAGCCAAGGGAGAAUUACAAGGAUAGGCAUGGGGACAAAGCCCAAAAUGAACAAUCAGAUAAUCACGAUAACACAUCUCAAAGUUUUUUUCUGAAAACCCAAUCCUCUGAUGUAUUUAACAACUUGGAACUCUUUCGAAUUUGCUAGCCUUCAUAUCAGCGGACUUUAAAAUUCGAUGCUGUAUUCUCCUUAUCUAAGCUGCCUUUUCAGGUUUUCAACUUAGAUAAACCCCCUAUGACUGAAACCGCCCUUUUAGGGUUUUUACCUUGAGUCCUCCUUUUUCAUUCACUUCUUUUUUUUUUUUCUUUUUUUUAAUUUUUUUCACCUUUUUAAUUUUUUCAAGCAUAGUAUUUUUUCACAGCAUCAGAAUUUAUAGGAUGGGAUAAAUCAUUUCCAUCCAUCUCAGUCAGUAUCAGUGCUCCACCCAACAAAGGCCGUCUCACCACAUACGGCCCUUCCCAAUUCAGAGUCCAUUUUUCUCUACUAUCAUGCUGGAUUGUGAGAAUUCUUUUCAAAACCUACUCUCCUUCUCGAAAGCAACGGGGUCGAAUCUUCUUAUCAUGAGCCCUCAUCAUUCUUUUUUGAUAUAGUUGACCAUGACACAGUGCAGUCAAUCUCUUUUCUUCUAUGAAAUUUAACUGCUCAUAACGUUCUCGAAUCCAGUCAGCUUCUUCUAAUUCGACUUCUUUUAAGACUCUCAAAGAAGGGAUCUCUACUUUCACUAGUAGUACAGCUUCCAUCCCAUAAACCAAAGAAAGUGGGGUUGCCCUAAUAGAGGUGCGAACUGACGUUCGAUAUGCAUGCAAUGCAAAUGGCAAAUUCUCAUGCCAAUCUUUGUAAGUCUCGGUCUUCUUCUCUAAAAUCCUCUUUAUGUUUUUAUUGGCUGCCUCAAUUGCCCCAUUCAUUUUCAGACGGUAUGGUGUCGAGUUAUGAUGCUUAAUCUUGUAUUAAGCACAUAUUUCUUACAUCAUCUUACUAUUUAGAUUCUUAGCAUUGUUUGAAAUAAUUCUCUCCGAAAGUUCAUAUCUACAGAUGAUCUCUUUCUUUAUAAAUUUACAAACCACAGAGCAUGUCACAUUUGCAUAUGAUGCUGGUUCUACCCAUUUUGUGAAGUAAUCUAUCAUCACAAAAAUGAAUAUGUGCCGGUUAGAAGCCUUUGGGGUGAUUGGGCCAAUGACAUCCAUGCCCCACAUUGAAAAUGGCCAUAGUGGUGCCAUAACAUGUAAAGCAGAUGGUGAAGCAUGGAUCUUAUCAGCAUAUAUCUGGCAUUUACAAGCAUAGUCAAUGCAAUCAUUCUCCAUCGUCAACUAGUAAUAUCCCGCUCUCAUGAUUUGUCUUGCCAUCACAUGUCCACUAAUAUGUGCCCUACAUAUUCCAUCAUGCACCUCUUUAAUGAUUUUCUUCGCUUUGAUCUCAUUUACGCACCUCAAUAAUACUUGAUCCUUGCUUCUUUUGUACAGGACAUCCCCAUCCAGGAAAAGGCUCAUAGCCAAUCUUCGAAUGACCCUUUUAUCAUUUUUUGUUGCUUGAACUGGAUACUGCUGAUCCUUGACAUACUGUAAGAUGUCAUAAUACCAGGGCUUUCUAUCUUUUUUCUCCCUCUACAUUAGAACAAUAAACUGGUAUAUCCUUAACAUCUAACUUGAUGGGCUGAAUGUCGAUAUUAUCAUUAAUUCGAAUCAUUACAGCCAGAGUAGCCAAUGCGUCAGCAAUCAAAUUCUCUUCUCGAGGUAAGUGAUCAAAUUGGAUAUCUUCAAAUUGUUUCAUCAACUCUAGAAUAUACUUAUGAUAUGGAACGAGUUUUGAAUCUCUCAUCUCCCAUUCUCCUUUCAACUGAUAUAUGACUAGAGCUGAGUCUCUAACACUUUCAGUACUUUCACUCUUCUAUCUAUAGUAGCUUGCAAGCCCAUGACACAUGCCUCAUAUUCAGUGAUGUUAUUUGUGCAAUUGAAAUUUAACCUCGCUGUUACAAGACAGUAUUGUUCUUUUGAAGAAAUCAGAAUUGCCCCAAUUCCAUGCCCCAAGGCAUUAGCAGCUCCAUCAAAGUACAUUUUCCAACAUUUUUCUACAUGUUCCCUUUCCUCCGGUUGGGAAAUAGUCAUUAAGUCUUCGUCAGAGAAUUCCAGCUUCAUCGGCUCAUAGUCUUCAGUAGCACGAUCUGCAAGAAAUUCUACUAUAGCACCUCUUUUUAUUGCUUUUUGGCUCACGUAUAUAAUAUCGUAUUUCGAGGGCAUUACUUGCCAUCUAGCGAUUCACUCAGAUAAAAAAGGUUUCUCGAAGAUAUACUUAAUUAGAUCCAGUUUCACUAUGAGCCAUGUAGUAUGAUAGAGCAUAUACUGUCUGAGUCUUUUGGCAGUCCACGCUAAUGCACAACACAUUUUCUCCAAUGAAGAAUACUUGGAUUCAUAUUCAGUGAACUUUUUACUCAGAUAGUAAAUAGCUCUCUCCUUUCGGCUGGCCUUGUCUUGCUGUCUCAGCAUACAUCCUAUUGAACCUUCACAUACAGUUAAGUAUAAGAUUAAAGGUUUCCCUGGAAUAGGUGGCACCAAUACUGGAGGGUUCGAUAAAUAUUGCUUAAUUUUAUCAAACGCCUCUUGACAUUUUCAUUCCAUUUCCCAGGAUUAUUCUUACGAAGAAGCUUAAAUAUGGGAUCACAUUUGUAAGUAAGCUGAGAGAUGAACCGAGAAAUGUAGUUCAAUCUCCCCAGAAAACCUCAAACUUUUUUUGGUAUGCUGGGAGGUGACAAAUUUUGGAUGGCCUGUAUCUUAUCGGGAUCGACUUCAAUUCCUCUUUCAUUGACCACAAAGCCUAGCAACUUCCCUGACUUUACCCCAAAGGUGCACUUGGCUGGGUUUAAUUUGAGCUGAAAUUUUCUCAAUCUUUCAAAUAACUUUCUGAAGCUAGUAACAUGAUCUUCAUCCUCACAAGACUUUGCAAUCAUAUUGUCUACAUACACCUCAAUCUCUUUGUGCGUCAUGUCAUGGAAGAGUGUUACCAUGGCUCUUUGAUAUGUUGCCCCAGCAUUCUUUAGCCCAAAAGGCAUGACUUUAUAGCAAAAGGUUCCCCACAUGGUCACAGGAAUAGUCUUUUCCAUAUCCUCCACAGCCAUUUUUAUCUGAUUAUACCCCGAAAAACCAUCCAUAAAGGAGAAAAUUGAAUGCUUAGCUGUGUUAUCUAUCGGUAUGUCAAUAUGAGGCAAAGAAAAGUUAUCUUUUGGGUUAGCCUUAUUUAAGUCCCGAUAGUCUACACACAUUCGUACUUUUCCAUCUUUUUUAGGAACUGGGACUAUAUUGGCUACCCAUUCUGGAUACUUAGCCACUUGUAGAAAACCUACAUCAAAUUGUUUCUUCACCUCUUCUUUAAUCUUUAGUAGCAUUUCGGGCUUCAUCCGUCUCAGUUUCUACUGAACUGGCUUACAUUUUGGCUUUAAAGGUAACCUGUGCUCCACUAUUUCUGUGCUCAGCCCUGGCAUAUCCUGGUAAGACCAAGCAAAUAUAUCUACAAAUUCUCGAAGUAGGUCUGCCAAUCGUUGCCUAUCUCCAGAUGAAAGUGAAGUGCCCAUUCUAACUUCUUUCUUAUUUUUUUCAUCUCCCAGAUUCACUAAGUCCACUACCUUCUGAUGAGGCUCAAUUGGCUUAUUCUCUUGUUCAAUCAUCCUCAUUAGGUCCGGAGGCAUAACAUAUUCUUCAGAAUUUUCUUCAUUGUCAAGUUCAUCAGUGUUAAUUGAAUUCUCAAAGCUAACCUCUUGAUUGUUAUGCUUGGAGAGAUGGAAAUAAUGAAGACACAAGAAGAAAUGAAUGAAAAUGCAUACUUCCUAAUUUUUAUUAAAAAUAAUAAAUGAUGAAUGGCCCGAAUAAAAAAGAUCACCCAAUGCCUUGUGCAAUAGCUAUUAGGAUGUUACAAUUACAUUGCAUCUAAAUCAAAAGUCAAAGGCAUCUCGAUGGCACUCCAAUUAUUGAGCUCAAAAUCUGGUGGACAAAGGCAAACCCACUCCUCUUGAUUAACCCUCACUUCAUCUUCAACAACAUUAAUGGCUAACUAGGCAAAAUCGUCUUCCACACUUUUUCUUACAUCUGGGUACAUGAAUCCUCCAAGUCUGAAGGUUUCAUACAAAUGUGGGAUAAACAUCAGUCUUGCUGUCUUUCUUGAUGGCCUUCCUUUGACUUCCCACUCUACCAUUUCAUAGCCUAGGCCUACCCUAUCACUAUUGUCUAUUAUUGUCGGAGGCUCUUUAAUUCCCUGCAAGUUUUUGCCUAGCCCAAGUCCUGGAUACCAACCCUUGUUGAUGACUUGGCUCACCAUUAUUUUUGAAAAAGGCUGAUUUUGAAAACCUUCACCUACAGAAUUGACCAAUUCAAAAGAUCAAUAGGAGCAUUCCAAUGCUUCUUCGACAGCCUCUACGUAUGGAGUGUUCAAUGGUUGGGUCACUAGCAUGUCUUCCUCCCCAACUACCACUACCAAUUGACCUUCUACAUUGAACUUGAUCUUCUGGUGCAAAGUAGAAGGCACAGCUCCUGCCAUGUGAAUCCAUGGUCUUCUUAAUAGACAGCUAUAGGAUGGAGAGAUAUCCAUCACUUGAAAUUUUAUAUUAAAGGUGCAUGGCCCAAUUUGUAAAGGCAUUUCAAUAUCCCCCAGGACUUCUUUUUCGGUCUUAUCAAAGGCUCUCACAAUCAUCUGACUAUCCCUCAUAUGAGAAUAAUCAAUGGGUAGCCUUGCCAAAGUUGACAUAGGUAAGACUUUGAUAGCAGAGCUAUUAUUGAUAAGGACCUUGACUAUAAUAUGGCUCUUGCACUUGAUUGUGAUAUGUAGAGCCUUGGCAUUCCUUUUUCCUUCCAAAGGAAUCUCAUCCUCGCUGAAUGAAAUGUGAUUUGGCAUGACUAAAUUUCCAGCUAGAUGGUUCACAUAUUCAACAGAUACAUUAUGUGCCACGUAUGCUUGAUUCAACACUUUCAGUAGGGCGUUUCAGUGUGGCUCUGAGUUCAGCAAUAGUGAUAAUAAUGAGAUUCGAGUUGGCAUUUUAUUCAACUGUUCCAUAACAGAAUACUCACUAUGUUUUACCAGCUUCAAGAAUUCGUAAACCUCUCUUUUUGAUACUAGUUUUGGCUGAUCUUCUUCAGGUUCUAUCUCAGGAUUAUUCCGUCUUUCUCCUUCUUUAGCUUUCUCCCUUCUAGCCUUCUCUAGCAUUUUUGGAGUGUAACAUCUCCCACUUCGAGUAAUGCCUCCUACACCAGUAAUAUUGGAAGUAUCAGCUUUGGAGACUUCUUCUUUCUGUCCUUGAACUACAGUGUCACAGCCAUAUCUCCAGGGUACAUCUUUAUCAUCUUUGUAUGGAAAAAGAGUCGAGACUUUAAAAGUUAUCGGCCUAAGGAGGAGUUUGUCUAUGACUGACUUUGGUUUGUUCCCACACUGAAUUAUCACUAGUUUUGAAAACAGCUUUACAGGCCUAUCAGUCAUGUACACCUCAACAUUUUUUAAGUCUUCUUUUUCUUCAUAAAUCUCCCUCUGAUGUGAAUCCAAGAGUUUUUACACCUCCUGGUGAAACUGCUCACAGGUCUCAAUGGAAUGACCCAUUGCCCCAUUAUGAUACUUACAACUAGUACCAGCUAUAUAUGCUCCAUGAUAGCUGUGUGGACUUACCAGUUGUAUCAUGUCUACUUUUCGUAAAACAUCGAACAGUUGGCUGAGAGGUGUCUUAAUAUUUACCACUUUCUUCUUCACAUGACGCUCCUGUUCUUUACCUAUCUUCACCUAAAGCAUUCACAUUCUGAUUCGGUAAAGGAUUACCACUAACAUUCAAUGCAGUCAUCCCUCUAGUAUCAAAGCAAAUCAUCCCAUCCUUGAUUAACCAUUGCACUUUGUGUUUCAGGGUAGUGCAAUUUUCGGUAGAGUGACCAGCAAUCCCAUAAUGGUAAUCAUAGUGGGCGGUGGGAUCAUACCACUUAGGGUAAGGUGGCUUGAGGGGUUCCAAUUUACUUCGAGCAAUCAAAUGACUGUUGUAGAGCUCCUUAUAUAAUUCCGUAUAAGUCAUUAGAAUUGGGUCAAAAACAGGUUUCUCACAAGUGGUUCGUUGCUCCCGCGAGCCACCAAUGGGGUUAGUUGGGCGAUUUUGGGGUCUUGGGGUAGGUUGAAUGUUAGGACUAUACAUGGUAUUUUGGGGUUUAUGAGGGGUUUGAUAUGUUUGGGGAUAUGAUGGUUGUGUAAAUGGUUGGUAUGGGUGAAAGGAAGUGUUAUUUAUAGCGAGGUGAUAUGGCAGAUAUUCUGGUGGUGGGUAAGGUGAAUAACCUCUAAGUUGCUAUCUAUCAAAGCUCACAGCUUGAGCUUCAGUUUUUUUUUCUUUGGGACUCUUUUGCUAGAUGCUUCAUUUCUUUCUAGCUUGCCAUUCUUGAUGGCACUCUCAAUGAUUUCUCCCGAGAUUACCAUAUCAGCAAAAUUUUUCAUUGCAUUCCCUAUCAUCUUUUCAUAAUAGGGAGGUUUUAAAGUGCUAACAAACAGCACUGUAGUUUUUUUCUCAGUCAGAGGAGGUUGUACCUAAGAAGCAACAUCCCUCCACCUCUGGGCAUACUCUUUAAAAGACUCGUUCACUUUUUUCUCCAGAUUCUGUAAAGACAAACGAUCAGGGGCCAAAUCGAUGAUAUGUCGAUAUUGACCGAUGAAGUCAUGUGCCAUAUCGCUCCGAGAGCGAAUGCGAGUUCUGUCUAGCUGAACAUACCAUCAGCCGUAGAGCCAGUAAGACUGUCCUGAAAAACAUGCAUCAAGAGUUUUUCAUCAUGUGCAUGAGCUACCAUCUUCUUGCAAUACAUGGUGAUAUGGGUUUUGGGGCACUUUGUACCAUCAUAUUUUUCAAAUUUUGGCACUUUAAACUUAUGGGGCAUAACCACAUCAGGAACUAGGCAGAGCCCAGCAGCAUCAACUGACCCAUAAAAGCUAAAUCCUUCCACAGCCCGUAGCCUUUGCUCUAGCAUGCUUAUUUUGGAGCUUUCCUGAACUUCCGCUCUUAUCUUUUCUUUCUCCUUCUCUUUUAAAUCAUCUAGAUCAGGAAUUAGUUCUGCUACCUUUUCAGUGAAGAUAGGAUUUACAUAGCUAUUAUACUGCCCUGGGUUAAAACCUGAUGGCAUUCCAGGAUAUGUCGAAUAUGCGAAGUGUUGUGAUGGGACCUCUUGAGCAGACUGGGCUUGAGGUGGGCCAAAACCUGGAGGAUACAAAGGGUCAACCAUUUCUUGUAAUGGGGGAACUUGCUGGCUUGUAUUUUCUUCAACUCCUUUUCCUUUAUUCAUGUUAUUAAGAGCCUCCAGAAUCUUGUUUAGCUCAAUUUCAAUCUUCUCCUAUGCUUUUUUCUUUAAUCUUGGAUUUUGCUAUUGCCUGUCUGGAUUGUGUGUCAUGGAAGAUUUUCGCUAGAUGGAGCUAUCCUGGAACCUUGAGUAUCAAAUCUUAGAAUUAGUAAAUUUGCAUGAUCAUCACAUGGUUACUUUGUUAAGUGUAAUGAAUGGGAAUGCAAUGAAUGAAAAAUGCAUGUAUGCAAAGAACAUUUGCCUUAAAACAGUAUUCAACUAAAAAAUUUCAUUUAUUCUAAAAGAACUUUGAUCUACGUUGAGUUUAUCAUCCUAAAAUUAUAGCCAUAAAAUUGCUUGAUCUGUUCAUUCUGGCUUUGGCUUCUUCUAUGAAGUUCAAGAGACGCUGUCCAUGUUCUCUUACUGAGGCCACUACUUGUCUUAAUGCCUCUGGCUCUUCCACCAUCUCUCUUGCCUUACAUACCCCUUUAUGGAUUUGGGUUGUUAAGUGCUCAAUGUAUUUUUGCCUUCCUAAGUUCUCUCUUUUACCACACCAGACUUGGUAUGAUAAUUCUCUAUAUUCUCUAACCAAUGCAGCGAUGUGGUCUCCUUGUUCAUCCAACUUUUGACUUAGCCUGCUCAAAUAAUUGUUUAGCAUGUUAAUUUCUACCAAUGCUUCGGUGCUUUCUUCUUCCAAUUCGGCAUACUGUUGUUUCAAUCUUGCAUUUUCCUCAGUCAACUCGACAAUGGUUAUCUCUUUGGGUCUUUCUUUCACACAUAGCCUCUUAUGCUCCUGGUGUAACUUUGCUAGGUCUUCAGUAGCUGUAUCUCGUUCUCUAGCAAUCUUGUGAACUUUAACUUCAUAACUUUUGACUCUACCCUUCCACUGGGCUUUUUCUUCUUGAAGUUUCUGAAUCUCUUGCUUUAACUUGCUCUUUUCAGACUGAAAUUCUUUUGUUGCCAGCUCUAAUUUUGAUGGUGUUUCUUCAAGUUUUUCUUCUAUUGAUGGUUGAGAGAUUUCAUAAGUGAAUACCAUUUCUUGUCUUCUCUUUGUUCUCCAAACCAAGUAACCUAUGAUGACUUUUUCAGUGAACAGUCCAGGACUCACUCUUCGAGGAUUUUUCCAUGCUUUAAUCAUCUCAUUCAUCAUUUGAAAUGCUUUAGGCUCAUUGUAAGAGAAAUCUAACUGAUGAAUCCCAUAAGUCAUUGGAAUAAACUGUUCUCCCCCCAAUUGCCUUCUCUCUAGGAGUGGUGCAUAAUUCGUUACUCCCCAUAAACCCAGAAGUGGAACCACUGUACUAUCCCCACAUUGAUCCAACAUAGGCUCACGAUUCAUCCAUGAGGCCAACCAUCUCACCCUGGUACUUUCCAACUUUUGUAAGAAAGUUAUCCAUUCUUGUUUAGACUUCCACUUUGACCACCCACUUUCAUAGAAUUCUUUGAUUGAAAAAUGAUUACGGAUGUAAAGCUUCGAGAAAGCACCAUUUCCUUGUUCAAAAUGGCUUUCAUCCAUAAGUACAAUAACUGUAUGCAUCCUAUGAAACGCCCUCCAUUCUGACGACAAUAACUCAAAGAUUUGAUAGUCUCUGCUAAUAUUACCGUUGAAAGAUUAUAGCCAUUGAUCACACUUUCGAAGAAAUCAACCACCGCUAUCUCAAUAUGUCCCAAAACCUUUGGAAAGAUUACCAGUCUGUAUAUAGCCAAGGUAAAUACAUCUAACCCUCGUUUUUCAUUGGCAUGUUGCAUCAGAAACUCAUGAAAAAACUUCUAAGGUAGGCAGACCUGUUCUUGUUUCUUCUUCGUAUGAGAAUCCACAAUUUCCUUAUCUAUCCCCAUGAGUUGAGCCAGACUUUUAAGAAAUCCUGACUUAUGUUUUUUGACAUAUAUCUUGUCAAGAGUCUUGAGAUGCAAACCCAACAAGACCAAAUAUUCUUCUAUGGUGGGAGUCAUUUUAGCUUUGUUAAAGAUGAAACACUUGUAUACAGGAUCCCAGAAUUGUGUUGCAGCUCUAAUUAGUUGAUCAUCAACAACCACUGCUAGAAGGUGUGCUAUAUGCCCAUGUUUCUGACAAAACUGCUCUUGUCUUGACGGACUCAUUUUCUUCCAGAUAUCAACCAAAUCCCCUAAAUUGUUCUGUUUAAGGAGGAUAGAUGUUUCUUGAGGUAGAGUAAAAUCAUACCCAAUUGUCAAGCAAUCUCCCAUCUUCAGUUGAAUCUUUUCUGACUGGGCCCUUACUUCAUUAGGUGUCCCACAGGGUGCUAAUACUGAUGAAGAACAAAUUAAGCAUUCACUGGCAUCCAUGAAAAAAAUUUGUUGAAGACCGUUUUUUCAAGCAAAUGUUCUUUAUGCAACUUUAUGAUAUGCGUAAGAACCAAUGCAAAAGAAUAAGAAAAAGGUUAGUAUACCCAGAAAAAGAACAAAUAACUAAGUAAAAUUACACAAAGUAAAAAGGGAUGAACCCUAUGCUUUUGGUCAAUUCUAAAAGGGAAGAGUGAUGGCUCUAUCUAUAGGUUAGGCUCUCUUAAGGUUCACUAUAUGUAGUUUUAGGGUCAAAGUCUAAAGGUCCUCAAAUUGUUCCUUACAUCCUUGUCCAUUACAGACUAGUAAGGCACCCUAAUCCUCACCCAUUACAAGCUACAAGCGAAAAAGGCUCAAUUUGAGAGGGAGUAUUUCGCUAGCCACUACGGGGGCAUUAGACCUCACGAAAGCAAUAGGUACUUUACUCCCUCCUAGAGGGAUGGAGCUCGGGUGUAGAGCUCAUGUUAUGCACAUGCAUAUGAAUCACAUAAUUAAUAAGGUAAAUAAACAUGAAUGAAUAUUAACACAUAUAUACAAACAGGUUCAAUUUUAUUAGGCUUUUGGAUAACACAAAUUAUUUACAAGUUUGCUGCCAGUAGCUAUUAAAGUGUCUUAAAUGGGGACACUUUUUUCAAAUGGUCACAAAAUCCUAUACACUUUGAGUUUUUAGCUGAAUUUUAUUGUGCAUGCCCACAAAAAUACAAGGAUCACGUUUACCAAGUUUGGGGCCAAAACUCCCUCUAAAAAAAUUUUAAAAAAUCCCGAACCGUAAAAAGUUUCAAAAAUCAUGAAAAAUAGAAAACGAGUCGUCUUGCCAUGAAACUUCACAUGAAGGCUUAAGGCAUCAUUGUAUGAAUUUACAAGCCAUAAAAAUGGCAUUGGCAUGGCAAAAAUAUGAAGAUGUGCCUAAACCCACCUACAACCCUAUCGAUCCAGGGCUUGCGCAUCCCGCCUUUCUGGCCAGCGUAGUGCCCGCCCGCCCGCCCGCCCGCCCGUUCCUUUCGUCGGUUGGCUUAGGCAUACGAAGUUCAUUCCCAGUCUAAGAUCUGACUGGAUUGAGGGUUAUGGUAGCAGGAUCAACAGCACGCUGAGGGGGACCCGACCAAUCCCCGACUUACGAAUCCUGCCCCUCUGGCCGGCUGAGCGCCCACACACUCGUUUCAUGGGUUGACUUAGGCAUACGGAGUUCAUUCCCAGUCUAAGCAUAAGGAGUUCAUUCCCAGUCUAAGAUCAGACCAGACCGAGGGUUGCAGGUGCACAUGCUAGGCUCGGGCAUGUGCUGGAGCCACAUUUGUUUUCGCUCGGGGCACCAUCGCUGGAGAACCUGACCGGCGAUAUUGGGGUUUCGGUGAUUGGGGGGGUCGGGGGGUGUGCGCACAUGAUGUGUGAUGGGUGCUGGUACUUGGCUCUUAUAUUGGCCCCUUAUCCCUCAUCAAACCUCGAGAACUCACACCCCCUUAAAGAGCAUUUGAGAUUUUACAGGUUUGCUGCCAGUAGCCAUUAAAGUGUCUGAAAUGGGGACACUUUUUUCAAAAGGUCACAAAAUCCUGUACACUUCAAGUUUUUAGCUGAAUUUUUUUGUGCAUGCCAAAAAAAAUACAAGGAUCAUGUCUACCAAGUUUGGGGCCAAAACUCCUUUUGAAAAAGCUUUAAAAAAAUCUUGAACCGUAAAAAGUUUCAAAAAUCGUGAAAAAUAGAAAAAAGUCGUCUUGCCAUAAAACUUCACAUGAAGGCUUAAGGGGCCAUUGUAUGAAUUUACAAGCCAUAAAAAUUGCAUUGGCACUAUAGAAAUAUGAAGAUGUGCCUAAACCCACCUACCACCCUAUCGAUCCACGGCUUGCGCAUCCCGCCUCUCUGGCCGGCGUAGUUAUCGCACGCCCGCCCGCUCGUUUUAUCUGUUGGCUUAGGCAUACGGAGUACAUUCUGAGUCUAAGAUCGGAACAGACCAAGGGUUGCGGUAGUAGGAUCGACAGCAUGCAGAGGGGGACCCGGUCGAUCCCCGGCUUGCGCAUCCUACCCCUCUGGCCGGCUGAGCGCCCGUACGCCUGUUUCGUGGGUUGACUUAGGCAUACGGAGUUCAUUCCCAGCCUAAGAUCAGAUCAGACCGAGUGUUGCGGGUGCACAUGCUAGGCUCGGGCAUGUGCUGGUGCCAUUUUGUUUUUCACCCGGGGCACCAUCGUCGGAGCAUCUUCGGAGAGCCUGACCAACGGCAUUAGGGUUCCGGCGAUUGAGGGGGCCGGGGGUGUGCGCACAUGAUGUGCGAUGGGUGCUGGUACUUGGCCCUUAUAUUGGCCCCCUAUCCCUCAUCAAACCUCGAGAACUCACACCCCCUUAAAGAGCAUUUGAGAUUUUACAGGUUUGCUGCUAGUAGCCAUUAAAGUAUCUGAAAUGGGGACACCUUUUUCAAAUGGUCACAAAAUCCUGUACACUUCGAGUUUUUAGCUGAAUUUUUUUGAGCAUGCCAAAAAAAAUACAAGGAUCACGUCUACCAAGUUUGGGGCCAAAAUUCCUUCUGAAAAAUUUUUUAAAAAAUCUCGAACCGUAAAAAGUUUUAAAAAUCGUGAAAAAUAAAAAACGAGUCGUCUUGCCAGGAAACUUCACAUGAAGGCUUAAGGGAUCGUUGUAUGAAUUUACAAGCCAUAAAAAUGGCAUUGGCAUGGCAUAAAUAUGAAGAUGUGCCGAAACGCACCUACCACCCUAUCGAUUCAUGGCUUGCGCAUCCUGCCCCUCUGGUCGGCUGAGCGCCCGUACGCUCGUUUCGUGGGUUGACUUAGGCAUACGGAGUUCAUUCCCAGUCUAAGAUCAGAUCGGAUUGAGGGUUGCGGGUGCACAUGCUGGGCUCAAGAAUGCGCUGGUGCCACAUUUUUUUUCGCCCGGGGCUCCAUCGUCGGAGCAUCGUCGAAAAACCUGAUCGGCGACAUUGGGGUUCCGACGAUUGUGGGGAUCGGGGGGGUGUGCGCACAUGAUAUGCGAUGGGUGCUGGUACUUGGCCCUUAUAUUAGCCCCCUAUCCCUCAUCAAACCUCGAGAACUCACACCCCCUUAAAGAACAUUUGAGAUUUUAUAGGUUUGCUGCCAGUAGCUGUCAUAACGUCUAGAUCCGGGGAUCUAUCGCUAGACAUUGACUUUUAGGAGUCGCCACCAAUCUUUUUUAUCUAGGUGCGAUUGGCCACCUAAAGAAUCUGUCCUUUCAGGGAACACCUAAGUUUAAGGGCCCCUAAAAGAAUAGGUUCAGGUCUACUAACCAGAACAGAGUUCGGGAGUUCGGUUACGUGUGAGGAAGGUUAUAGCACCCUCACAACGCCCAUCAAAAGAUGGUACCAGCAUAACUUUGUGUUAUCCAAAUAGCCUUAAAAUUUUACCAAGUAAUUAAUUAUUGGAAAUUAUUCUCAAUUGACUCUAAUACUUUUAGCAAAAAAUUGAGAAAAUUCCCUCACCUCAAGAGUAUGCAAGAAAAACUACUGUUUCACUUGCAGAGGCUCCGUCGUCGGAUUAUUUAAAGAAAAAUCAAAAUCAAAAUUAAAAUAAAAAGGAAGAAAAGAAUGAUUGUUCUUGCGCAGGGAAAAUUGAUACUUUCAACUUUUCCCUAAAAAUAUUCUUUUGAAACUUUAAUUUAGAGGAAGAUUGAUACUUUCAACUUUCCUCAAAAAUUGAUUUUUGAAAAUUAUUUUAAGGCAAAUUGAUACUUUCAACUUUUCCCCAAAAAUAUUUUUUUUGGAAAUUUUAAUUUUCAAGGAAAAUUGAUACUUUCAACUUUUACUCAAAAAUAUUUUUGGAAACUUUGAUUUUCAAGGAAAAUUGAUACUUUCAACUUUUCCUCAAAAACCUUUUUUUUGAAAUUUUAUUUUUAAGGAAUAUUAAUACUUUCAACUUUUCCCCAAAAAUAUUUUUUUAGAAACUUUGAUUUUCAAGGAAGAUUGAUACUUUCAACUUUUCCUCAAAAACCCUUUUUUUGAAAUUUUAUUUUUAAGGAAAAUUGAUACUUUCAACUUUUCCCCAAAAUUUUUUUUUUUUGGAAACUUUAUUUUUAAGGAAAAUUGAUAAGGAAAAUUGAUACUUUCAACUUUUCCCCAAAAAUAAUUUUUUUGAUUUUUAUUUAAAGAAAAUAAAAUAAUAAAAUAAAAUAAAAGUGAAAAUAAAAAUAAAAUAAAAUAAAGAAAAGUAAAACAAAAAUAAAAAAAUAAAAUAAAGGUAAAAAGGAUACUAAAUAAACCUAAUCUAAUAAAUAAAAAAAAAACUGGAGCGGCUCGGAGUAUGGCUCGGCUCGACUCGGCUCAAGGAAGAGAAAACGGCUCGAAGAAGCAGCUUUGAACCUCGGCUCGGCUCGGCUAUCGGCUCGGAGGGGGGAGACACUCGCGGGUCAGGAAACGGGUCGACGCUCGGGUCGGGUCGGAUCUCAGCAAAACGUGCGGAUCCUCUAGGUCACUUAACGUAAAAACGACGUUGUUUUGGGAGGGUAUAUAAGGCUCUUCCCUCUAUUUUUUGGUAGAAAGAUCCUCCCCUCUCUCUCUUUUCUUCCUUUUUCUCUCGCUUCUCUCUAAAAAGGCCGAAGAACUCCAAUUGAAUUUUCACCAGAUUCUGGAAAAUUUCGCCAGAAUUUGGGUUUUUCGUCGAAAGUUAGCCGGAAGUUCAUCGAAGGUUGGUCUGUUUCUGGGAUCCUUCGUCGGAAACUGGGCAGCUCACUGAAAACUUCAAAGUUGACCAGAAUUUUCGUCGAAAAAUGCAACUUUCACCGAAAAAUUCAAUCGAAAUCUGGAAUUUUCCAGAAAUUCCCAAAAAAAAAAAUGCCAAAAAUCUUCAAAAAAUUUUUGCUAAUUCCCAGAACCCUUCUAAACCUUUUCUUAGCUUUCUAUACGCCCCUUUUCUCUCAAAUCAGUGGCUUUGCUCACUGUUCUUUUCUGUGUUUUGCUUCUGUUCCAGGAGGUCCUUUUUAUAGGGAUUGAUCAGGAGUUCCUGAUCAAUCCCAAUUCCUCUUUGGACGAGGAUUCAAUCUUUGAAUCCAAUCUGGACUCUUCUGAUUGAAUCCCCAUUCACAGUAGGAUUCUUCAGCCUUCAAUCACAGCCCCAAAAAAAGAAAAAAAAUAAUAAUAAUCAGAUAAACGAAAAGAAAAAAUUAACAGAUAAUUAAAAAUAAAAUAAGAUAAAUCCAAAAAAUAUUACAAGAUAAAAAAAAUAAUAAAUAAAUAAAUUAUAAUAUAAUAAUAAAUAUAUAACUAUAUAAAUAAAAUACAUAUAAAUAUUAACAAAAAAAUAAAUAAAGAUAUACAUAUAUUAAUACAUAGUAAUAAUAAAUAAAUAAUAAAAUGCCUAAAAUACAAAAGAAAAAAAAUAAAAAUAAAAAUAAUACAAAAUAAGAACCGAAUUGGGCUUACCCAUUUGGGCCAAGGACCAAUUGAUCUGGGCCUGGACCAAAUUGGGUGUCUACAGCUGCCCCUCUUUGCACAUUUUCUGUGAAACAGAAAAUUGCGCAAAGACGUAGACACCCAAUCAAGACUCAACUCAACAUUUUCAUUUUUUUUGUUUUUUUGUUUUUUUUUUGUUUUGUUUUUGACCAAAGCUCUCUAAACAGAGGCUCAACGACUUGAGAAACAUAAAUUGCUCCUUUUAAACAGAGGCACCAUGACUUGGAAAAGUAAAUUGCUCCUCUAAACAGAGGCACCAUGACUUUUGGAAAUAAAUUGCUCCUCUAAACAGAGGCACCACGACUUUUUGGAAAGUAAAUUGCUCCUCGACAAACAUGUCCAAAGGAGUUGAAAGUUGUGUUGAAGGAAUUUCAGGAGAUUAUGCCCAAAGGUCUUAUAAUCAACCCUGAUACCAAAAGACAUCCUAUUUCAAGGAUUAGGACCUUACCUGACAAGUUUCCUCUCAAUUUGCAAAAUAUCUUCAUAUCUGUCUUCUCUAUGUGGGAUGUUGGAACACCCCUGCUUCUUGAAUUUAUACACUAUCCUUUCUGAAAGUAGUGCAUGCUAUGCAAUGCAUAUGAAUUCAAUGCAUGCUAUGCAGAUGUUGGCCAAUUAAUUCCUAUUCAAUGUAUGGUACUCAGGUUUCUCAAGCUCUUUUUUUUUCUUGGGCAUCAAACCUUUUGAUUCUUUAAAGAUCCAAUUACACUGCUCUUCUAAGAUCAAGCCAGUGUAGCUCUUAAUUGUCUCUUCCACUCACAUUCUUCUUGUAAGAAAUCUUUUCCCAGAUUCAAUGUCCUAAUCAGGAACUGAACAUCUCGAUUUUGCCUUUAUCACUCUUGACUUAUUCAAUGUAAUGUAAAAAAUCUUUCAUGUUGUUUUUCAUUUAUCAAUCAUUAUUUUAAACUCAAAAAGUAAGAAUGCAUUUGCACAUUUCUUCCAUGGUGGGGUAUUAAGAAGAAAAGGAUCUGAAUGGUGAGAAACAGUCAUAUAAAAAGACAUAAAGAAUGAAAUAGAAUGUCUCUUAUUAGCAAAAUGUUGACUAAUUUCAGCCAAGGGAGAAUUACAAGGAUAGGCAUGGGGACAAAGCCCAAAAUGAACAAUCAGAUAAUCAUGAUAACACAUCUCAAAGUUUUUUUUGAAAACCCAAUCCUCUGAUGUAUUUAACAACUUGGAACUCUUUCGAAUUUGCUAGCCUCUAUAUCAGCGGACUUUAAAAUUCGAUGCUGUAUUCUCCUUAUCUAAGCUGCCUUUUCAGGUUUUCAACUUAGACAAACCCCCUAUGACUCAAACCGCCCUUUUAGGGUUUUCGCCUUGAGUCUUCCUUUUUCAUUCACUUUUUUUUUUUUUCAUUUUUUUCAUUUUUUUUUAAGCAUAGUAUUUCUUCACAACAUCAGAAUUUAUAAGAUGGGGUAAAUCAUUUCCAUCCAUCUCAGUGAGUAUCAGCGCUCCACCCGAAAAGCCCGUCUCACCACAUACGAUCCUUCCCAAUUCGGAGUCCAUUUUCCUCUACUAUCGUGUUGGAUUGGGAGAAUUCUUUUCAAGACCAACUCUCUUUCUCGAAAGCAACGAGGUCGAAUUUUCUUAUCAUGAGCCCUCAUCAUUCUUCUUUGAUACAGCUGACCAUGGCACAGUGCAGUCAAUCUCUUUUCUUCUAUGAAAUUUAACUGCUCAUAACAUUCUCGAAUCCAUUCGGCUUUUCCUAACUCAACUUCUUUUAAAACUCUCAAAGAGGGGAUCUCUACUUCCACUGGUAGUACAGCUUCCAUCCCAUAAACCAAAGAAAAUGGGGUUACCCCAGUAGAGGUGCGAACUGACGUUCGAUAUGCAUGUAAUGCAAAUGGCAACUUCUCAUGCCAAUCUUUGUAAGUUUCAGUCAUUUUCUCCAAAAUCCUCUUUAUGUUCUUAUUGGCUGCCUCAACUGCCCCAUUCAUCUUCGGACGGUAUGGUGCCGAGUUAUGAUGCCUGAUCUUGUAUUGAACACAUACUUCUUGCAUCAUCUUACUAUUUAGAUUCUUGGCAUUGUCUGAGAUAAUUCUCUUUGGAAGUCCAUAUCUACAGAUGAUCUCCUUUUUUAUGAACUUGCAAACCACAGAGCGUGUCACAUUUGCAUAUGAUGCUGCCUCUACCCAUUUUGUGAAGUAAUCUAUCAUCACAAAAAUGAAUCUAUGCCCGUUAGAAGCUUUUGGGGUGAUUGGACCAAUAACAUCCAUGCUCCACAUUGAAAAUGGCCAUGGUGGUGCCAUAACAUGUAAAGCAGAUGGCGGAGCAUGAAUCUUAUCAGCAUAUAUCUGGCAUUUAUGGCAUUUACGAGCAUAAUCAAUGCAAUCAUUCUCCAUCGUCAACCAGUAAUAUCCCGCUCUCAUGAUCUGUCUUGCCAUCAUAUGUCCACUAGUAUGCGCCCCACAUAUUCCAUCAUGCACCUCUUUAAUGAUUUUCUUCGCUUCAGUCUCAUUUACACAUCUCAAUAAUACUUGAUCUUUGCUUCUUUUGUACAGGACAUCCCCAUCCAGGAAGAAGCUCAUAGCCAAUCUUCGGAUGACCCUUUUAUCAUUUUUUGUUGCUUGAACUGGAUACUGCUGAUCCUUGACAUACUGUAAGAUGUCAUAAUACCAGGGCUUUCCAUCUUCUUCUCCCUCUACAUUAGAACAAUAAGCUGGUAUAUCUUUAACAUCUAACUUGAUGGGCUGAAUAUCGAUAUUAUCAUUAAUUCGAAUCAUCGCAGCCAGAGUAGCCAAUGCGUCAGCAAUCAAAUUUUCUUCUCAGGGUAAGUGAUCAAACUGGAUAUCUUCAAAUUGUUUCAUCAACUCUAAAAUAUAUUUAUGAUACAGAAUAAGUUUUGAAUCUCUCAUCUUCCAUUCUCCUUUCAACUGAUAUAUGACUAGAGUUGAGUCUCUAAACACUUUCAGUACUUUCACUCUUCUAUCUAUAGCAGCUUGCAAACCCAUGACACAUGCUUCAUAUUCAGCGAUGUUAUUUGUGCAAUUGAAAUUUAACCUCGUUGUUACAGGACAGAAUUGUUCUUCUGGAGAAAUCAGAAUUGCCCCAAUUCCAUGCCCCAAGGCAUUAGCAGUUCCAUCAAAGUACAUUCUCCAACAUUUUCCUAUAUGCUCCCCUUCCUCCGGUUGAGAAAUAGUCAUUAAGUCUUCGUCAGGGAAUUCCAGCUUCAUCGGCUCAUACUCUUCAGUAGCACGAUCUGCAAGAAAUUUUGCUAUAGCGCCUCAUUUUAUUGCUUUUUGGCUCACGUAUAUAAUAUCGUAUUUCGAAAGCAUUACUUGCCAUCUAGCGAUUCUCCCAGACAAAGAAGGCUUCUCGAAGAUAUACUUAAUGGGAUCCAGUUUCGCUAUGAGCCACGUAGUGUGAUAGAGCAUAUACUAUCUGAGUCUUUUGGCAGUCCAUGCUAAUGCACAACACAUUUUCUCUAAUGAAGAAUACUUGGAUUCAUAUUCAGUGAACUUUUUACUCAGAUAGUAAAUAGCUCUCUCUUUCGGCUAGCCUCGUCUUGCUGUCCCAGCACACAUCCCAUUGAACCUUCACAUACAGUUAAGUAUAAGAUUAAAGGUUUCCCUGGAACAGGUGGCACCAAUACUGGAGGGUUCGAUAAAUAUUGCUUAAUUUUAUCAAAUGCCUCUUGACAUUCUUCAUUCCAUUUCCCAGGAUUAUUCUUACGGAGAAGCUUAAAUAUGGGAUCACAUUUGUAAGUAAGCUGAGAGAUGAACCGAGAAAUGUAGUUCAAUCUCCCUAAAAACCUCGAACUUCUUUUGGUGUGCUAGGAGGUGACAAAUUCUGGAUGACCCGUAUCUUAUCGGAUCGACUUCAAUUCCUCUUUCAACUGACCACAAAGCCUAGCAACUUCCCUGACUUUACCCCAAAUGUGCACUUGGCUGGGUUAAAUUGAGCUGAAAUUUCUCAAUCUUCAAAUAACUUUCUGAGGCUAGUAACAUGAUCUUCAUCCUCACAAGACUUUUGCAAUCAUAUCGUCUACAUACACCUCAAUCUCUUGUGCAUCAUGUCAUGAAGAGUGUUACCAUGGGCUCUUGAUAUGUUGCCCCAGCAUUCUUUAGCCCAAAAAGGCAUGACUUAUAGCAGAAAGGUUCCCCACAUGGUCAUAAAAGUAGUCUUUUCCAUAUCCUCCGCAGGCCAUUUUAUCUGAUUAUACCCGAAAAAACCAUCCAUAAAGGAGAAAUCGAAUGCUUAGCGUGUUAUCUACCAGUGAUGUCAAUAUGAGGCAAAGGAAAGUUAUCUUUUGGGCUAGCCUUAUUUAAGUCCGAUAGUCUACACACAUUCAUACUUUCCAUCUUUUUUAGGAACUGGGCGACUAUAUUGGCUACCCAUUCUGGAUACUUAGCCACUUGUAGAAACCUGCAUCAAAUUGUUUCUUCACCUCCUCUUUAAUCUUUAGUAGCAUUUCGGGCUUCAUCCGUCUUCAAUUUCUGCUAACUGGCUUACAUUCUGGCUUUAAGGUAACCUGUGCUCCACUAUUUCUUGCUCAGCCUGGGCAUAUCCUGGUAAGACCAAGCAAAUAUAUCUACAAAUUCUCGAAGUAGGUCUGCCAAUCGUUGCCUAUCUCCAGAUGAAAGUGAAGUGCCCAUUCUAACCUCUUUCUUAUUUUCUUCAUCUCCCAGAUUCACUAAGUCCACUACCUCCUGAUGAGGCUCAAUUGGCUUAUUCUCUUGUUCAAUCAUCCUCAUUAGGUCCGGAGGUAUAACAUAUUCUUCAAAAUUUUCUUCAUUGUCAAGUUCAUCAGUGUUAAUUGAAUUCUCAAAGCUAACCUCUUGAUUGUUAUCAUGAUUAUCUUCAUGUUCAUUUAAAGACCUGCAAUUGAAUGAAAUGGGAUAUGUUGGCAAGAUGUGCUUGGAGAGAUGGAAAUAAUGAAGACACAAGAAGAAAUGAAUGAAAAUGCAUACUUCCUAAUUUUUAUUAAAAAUAAUAAAUGAUGAAUGGCCCGAACAAAAAAGAUCACCCCAAUGCCUUGGGCAAUAGCUAUUGGGAUGUUACAAUUACAUUGCAUCUAAAUCAAAAGUCAAAGGCAUCUCGAUGGCACUCCAAUUAUUGAGCUCAAAAUCUGGUGGACAAAGGCGAACCCACUCCUCUUGAUUAACCCUCACUUCAUCUUCAACAGCAUUAAUGGCUAACUGGGCAAAAUCGUCUUCCACACUUUUUCUUACAUCUGGGUACAUGAAUCCUCCAGGUCUGAAGGUUUCAUACAAGUGUGGGAUAAACAUCAGUCUUGCUGUCUUUCUUGAUGGCCUUCCUUUGACUUCCCACUCUGCCAUCUCAUAGCCUAGGCCUACCCUGUCGCUAUUGUCUAUUAUUGUCGGAGGCUCUUUAAUUCCCUGCAAGUUUUUGCCUAGCCCAAGUCCUGGAUACCAACCCUUGUUGAUGACUUGGCUCACCACUAUUUUUGAAAAAGGCUGAUUUUGAAAACCUUCACCUACAGAAUUGACCAAUUCAAAAGAUCGAUAGGAGCAUUCCAAUGCUUCUUCGGUAGCCUCUACGUAUGGAGUGUUCAAUGGUUGGGUCACUAGCAUGUCUUCCUCCCCAACUACCACUACCAAUUGACCUUCUACAUUGAACUUGAUCUUCUGGUGCAAAGUAGAAGGCACAGCUCUGCCAUGUGAAUCCAUGGUCUUCCUAACAGACAGCUGUAGGAUGGAAAGAUAUCCAUCACUUGAAAUUUUAUAUUAAAGGUGCAUGGCCCAAUUUGUAAAGGCAUUUCAAUAUCCCCAGAACUUUUUUUUGGUCCCAUCAAAGGCUCUCACAAUCAUCUGACUAUCCCUCAUAUGAGAAUAAUCAAUGGGUAGCCUUGCCAAAGUUGACAUAGGCAUGACGUUGAUAGCAGAGCCAUUAUCGAUAAGGACCUUGGCUAUAAUAUGGCUCUUGCACUUGACUGUGAUAUGUAGAGCCUUGGCAUUUCUUUUUCCUUCCAAAGGAAUCUCAUCCUCGUUGAAUGAAAUGUGAUUUGGCAUGACUAAAUUUCCAGCCAGGUGGUUCACAUAUUCAACAGAUACAUUAUGUGCCACGUAUGCCUGAUUCAACACUUUCAGUAGGGCAUUUCGGUGUGGCUCUGAGUUCAGCAACAGUGAUAAUAAUGAGAUUCGAGCUGGCAUUUUAUUCAACUGUUCCACAACAGAAUACUCACUAUGUUUUACCAGCUUCAAGAAUUCACAAACCUCUCUUUCUGAUACUGGCUUUGGCUGAUCUUCUUCAGGUUCUAUCUCAGGAUUAUUCCAUCUUUCUCCUUCUUUAGCUUUCUCCCUUCUAGCCUUCUCUAGCAUUUCUGGAGUGUAACAUCUCCCACUUCGAGUAAUGCCUCCUACACCAGUAAUAUUGGAAGCAUCGACUUUGGAGACUUCUUCUUUCUGUCCCUGAACUACAGUGUCACAGCCAUAUCUCCAGGGUACAGCUUUAUCAUCUUUGUAUGGAAAAAGAGUCGGACUUUAAAAGUUAUCAGCCUGGGGAAGAGUUUGUCUAUGACUGACUUUGGUUUGUUCCCACACUGAAUUGUCACUGGUUUUGGAAACAGCUUUACAGGCCUAUCAGUCAUGUGCACCUCAACAUUCUUCAAGUCUUCUUUUUCUUCAUAGAUCUCCAUCUGAUGUGAAUCCAAGAGUUUUUGCACCUCCUAGUGAAACUGCUCACAGGUCUCAAUGGAAUGACCCAUUGCCCCAUUAUGAUACUUACAACUAGUACCAGCUAUAUAUGCUCCAUGAUAUCUGUGUGGACUUACCAGUUGUAUCAUGUCUGCUUUUCGUAAAACAUCGAACAGUUGGCUGAGAGGUGUCUUAAUAUUUGCCACUUUCUUCUUCACAUGACGCUCCUGUUCUUCACCUAUAGCAUUCACAUUAUGAUCCGGUAAAGGAUUACCACUAACAUUCGACGCAGUCAUCCCUCCAGUAUCAAAGCAAAUCAUCCCAUCCUUGAUCAACCGUUGCACUUUGUGUUUCAGGGUAGUGCAAUUUUUGGUAGAGUGACCAGCAAUCCCAUAAUGGUAAUCACAGUGGGCGGUGGGAUCAUACCACUUAGGGUAAGGUGGCUUGAGGGGUUCCAAUUUACUUGGAGCAAUCAAAUGACUGUUGUAGAGCUCCUUAUAUAAUUCCAUAUAAGUCAUUGGAAUUGGGUCAAAAAUGGGUUUCUCACGAGUGGUUCGUUGCUCCCGCGAGCCACCAAUGGGGUUAGUUGGGCGAUUUUGGGGUCUUGGGGUAGGUUGAAUGUUAGGACUAUACAUGGUAUUUUGGGGUCUAUGAGGGGUUUGAUAUGUUUGGGGAUAUGGUGGUUGUGUAAAUGGUUGGUAUGGGUGAAAGGAAGUGUUAUUUACAGCGAGGUGAUAUGGCAGAUAUUCUGGUGGUGGGUAAGGUGAAUAACCUCUAAGUUGCUGUCUAUCAAAGCUCACAGCCUGAGCUUCAGUUUCUUUUUUCUUCGGGACUCUUUUGCUAGAUGCUUCAUUUCCUUCUAGCUUGCCAUUCUUGAUGGCACUCUCAAUGAUUUCUCCGAGAUUACCAUAUCAGUAAAAUUUUUCGUUGCAUUCCCUAUCAUCUUUUCAUAAUAGGAGGUUUUAAAGUGCUAACAAACAGCACUGUAGUUUCUUUCUCAGUCAGAGGAGGUUGUACCUGAGAAGCAACAUCCCUCCACCUCUGGGCAUACUCUUUAAAAGACUCGUUUGCUUUUUUCUCCAGAUUCUGUAAAGACAAACGAUCAGGGGCCAAAUCGAUGAUAUGUCGAUAUUGACCGAUGAAGUCAUGUGCCAUAUCGCUCUAAGAGCGAAUGCGAGUUCUGUCCAGCUGAACAUACCAUCUGGCCGCAGAGCCAGUAAGAUUGUCCUGAAAAACAUGCAUCAAGAGUUUUUCAUCAUGUGCAUGAGCUGCCAUCUUCCUGCAAUACAUGGUGAUGUGGGUUUUGGGGCACUUUGUACCGUCAUAUUUUUCAAAUUUUGGCACUUUAAACUUAUGGGGAAUAACCACAUCAGGAACUAGGCAGAGCCUAGCAGCAUCAACUGACCCAUAAAAGCUAAAUCCUUCCACAGCCCGUAGCCUUUGCUCUAGCAUGCUUAUCUUGGAGCUUUCCUGAACUUUCGCUCUUAUCUUUUCUUUCUCCUUCUCUUUUAAAUCAUCUAGAUCAGGAAUUGGUUCUGCUGCCUUUUCAGUGAAGAUAGGAUUUACAUAGCUGUUAUACUGCCCUGGGUUGAAAGCUGAUGGCAUUCCAGGAUAUGUCGAAUAUGCGAAGUGUUGUGGUGGGACCUCUUGAGCAGACUGGGCUUGAGGUGGGCCAAAACCUGGAGGAUACAAAGGGUCAACCAUUUCUUGUAAUGGGGGAACUUGCUGGCUUGUAUUUUCUUCAACUCUUUUUCCUUUAUUCAUGUUAUUAAGAGCCUCCAGAAUCUUGCUUAGCUCACUUUCAAUCUUCUCCUGUGCUUUUUCUAUCUUUUCAAAUCUAUGGGAAUUUUUCUGCUCCAUUUGCCUUGCUCUGGAUCUUGUGUUGUGUCGAUGGGCAGGAUUUUCGCUAGAUGGAGCUAUCCUGGAACCUUGAGUACCAUAUCUUAGAAUUAGUAAAUUUGCAUGAUCAUCACAUGGUUACUUUGUUAAGUGUAAUGAAUGGGAAUGCAAUGAAUGAAAAAUGCAUGUAUGCAAAGAACAUUUGCCUUAAAACGGUAUUCAACUAAAAAAUUUCAUUUAUUCCAAAAAAACUUUGAUCUACAUUGAGUUUAUCAUCCUAGAAUUAUAGCCAUAAAAUUGCUUGAUCUGUUCAUACUGGGCUCUGGCUUCUUCUAUGAAGUUCAAGAGAUGCUGUCCAUGUUCUCCUACUAGGGCCACAACUUGUCAUAAUGCCUCUGCCUCUUCCACCAUCUCUCUUGCCUUACAUACCCCUUUAUGGAUUUGGGUUGUUAAGUGCUCAAUGUAUUUCUGCCUUCCUAAGUUCUCUCUUUUACCACACCAGACUUGGUAUGAUAAUUCUCUAUGUUCUCUAACCAAUGCAGCGAUAUGGUCUUCUUGUUCAUCCAACUUUUGACUUAGCCUGCUCAAAUAACUGUUUAGCAUGUUAAUUUCUGCCUGUGCUUCGAUGCUUUCUUCUUCCAAUUCGGCAUACUCUUGUUUCAAUCUUGCAUUUUCCUCAGUCAGCUCGACAAUGGUUAUCUCUUUGGCUCUUUCUCUCACACAUAGCCUCUUAUGCUCCUGGUGUAACUUUGCUAGGUCUUCAGUAGCUGUAUCUCGUUCUCUAGCAAUCUUGUGAACUUUAACUUCAUAACUUUCGGCUCUACCCUUCCACUGGGCUUUUUCUUCUUGAAGUUUCUGAAUCUCUUGCUUUAACUUGCUCUUUUCAGACUCAAAUUCUUUUGUUGCCAGCUCUAAUUCUGAUGGUGUCUCUUCAAGUUUUUCUUCUGUUGGUGGUUGAGAGAUUUCAUAAGUGAAUACCAUUUCUUGUCUUCUCUUUGUUCUCCAAACCAAGUAACCUGGGGUGACUUUUUCAGUGAACGGUCUAGGACUCACUCUUCGGGGAUUUUUCCAUGCUUUAAUCAUCUCAUUCAUCCUUUGAAAUGCUUUAGGCUCACUGUAAGAGAAAUCUAACUGAUGAAGCCCAUAAGUCAUAGGAAUAAACUGUUUUCCCCCCAAUUGCCUUCUCACUAGGAGUGGUGCAUAAUUCGUUACUCCCUAUAAACCCAGAAGUGGAACCACUGUACUAUCCCCACAUUGAUACAACAUAGGCUCACGAUUCAUCCAUGGGGCCAACCAUCUCACCCUGGUACUUUCCAACUUUUGUAAGAAAGUUAUCCAUUCUUGUUUAGACUUCGCUUUGACCACCCACUUUCGCAGAAUUCUUUGAUCAAAAAUGAUUACGGAUGUAAAGCUUCGAGAAAGCACCAUUUCCUUGUUCAAAAUGGCUUUUCAUCCAUAAGUACAAUAACUGUAUGCAUCCUAUGAAAUGCCCUCCAUUUCGACGACAAUAACUCAAAGAUCUGAUAGUCUCUGCUAAUAUUACCGUUGAAGGAUUACAGCCAUUGAUCACACUUUCGAAGAAAUCAACCACCGCUAUCUCAAUAUGUCCCAAAACCUUUGGAAAGAUUACCAGUCCGUAUAUAGCCAAGGCAAAUACAUCUAACCCUCGUUCUUCAUUGGCAUGUUGCAUCAGAAACUCAUGAAAAAACUUCCAAGGUAGGCAGACCUGUUCUUGUUUCUUCUUCGUAUGAGAAUCCACAAUUUCCUUAUCUAUCCCCAUGAGUUGAGCCAGACUUUUACGAAAUCCUGACUUAUGUUUUUUGACAUAUAUCUUGUCAGGAGUCUUGAGAUGCAAACCCAACAAGACCGAAUAUUCUUCUAUGGUGGGAGUCAUAUCAGCUUCGUUAAAGAUGAAACACUUGUAUGCAGGAUCCCAGAAUUGUGUUGCAGCUCUAAUUAGUUGAUCAUCAACAACCACUGCUAGAAGGUGUGCUAUAUGCCCAUGUUUCUGACAAAACUGCUCUUGUCUUGACGGACUCAUUUUCUUCCAGAUAUCAACCAAAUCCCCUAAAUUGUUCUGUUUGAGGAGGAUAGAUGUUUCUUGAGGCAGAGUAGAAUCAUACCCAAUUGGCAAGCAAUCUCCCAUCUUCAGUUGAAUCUUUUCUGACUGGGCCCUUACUUCAUUAGGUGUCCCACAGGGUGCUAAUACUGAUGAAGAACAAACUAAGCGUUCAUUGGCAUCCAUGAAAAAAAUUUGUUGAAGACCAUUUUUUCAAGCAAAUGUUCUUUAUGCAACUUUAUGAUAUGCGUAUGAACCAAUGCAAAAGAAUAAGAAAAAGGUUAGUAUACCCAAAAAAGAACAAAUAACUAAGUAAAAUUACACAAAGUAAAAAGGGAUGAACCCUAUGCUUUUGGUCAAUUCUAAAAGGGAAGAGUGAUGGCUCUAUCUAUAGGUUAGGCUCUCUUAAGGUUCACUAUAUGCGGUUUUAGGGUCAAAGUCUAAAGGUCCUCAAAUUGUUCCUUACAUCCUUGUCCAUUACAGACUAGUAAGGCACCCUAAUCCUCACCCAUUACAGGCUACAAGCGAAAAAGGUUCAAUUUGAGUGGGAGUAUUUCGCUAGCCACUGCGGAGGCAUUAGACCUCACGAAAGCAAUAGGUACUUUACUCCCUCCUAGAGGGACGGAGCUCGGGUGUAGAGCUCAUGUUAUUGCACAUGCAUAUGAAUGACAUAAUUAAUAAGGUAAAUAAACAUGAAUGAAUAAUAACACAUAUAUACAAACAGGUUCAAUUUUAUUAGGCUUUUGGAUAACACAAAUUAUUUGCUGGCCUGACUCUCAGUUCCCCAGCGGAGUCGACAAGGCUGUCAUAACGUCUAGAUCCGGGGAUCUAUCGCUAGACAUUGACUUUUAGGAGUCGCCACCAAUCUUUUUUAUCUAGGUGCGAUUGGCCACCUAAAGAAAUCUAUCCUUUCAGGGAACACCUAAGUUUAAGGGCCCCUAAAAGAAUAAGUUCAGGUCUACUAACCAGAAUAGAGUUCGGGAGUUCGGUUACGUGUGAGGAAGGUUAUAGCACCCUCACAACACCCAUGAAAAGAUGGUACCAGCAUAACUUUGUGUUAUCCAAAUAGCCUUAAAAUUUUACCAAGUAAUUAAUUAUUGGAAAUUAUUCUCAAUUGACUCUAAUACUUUUAGCAGAAAAUUGAGAAAAUUCCCUCACCUCAAGAGUAUGCAAGAAAAACUACUGUUUCACUUGCAGAGGCUCCGUCGUCGGAUUAUUUAAAGAAAAAUCAAAAUCAAAAUUAAAAUAAAAAGGAAGAAAAGAAUGAUUGUUCUUGCGCAGGGAAAAUUGAUACUUUCAACUUUUCCCUAAAAAUAUUCUUUUGAAACUUUAAUUUAGAGAAGAUUGAUACUUUCAACUUUUCCUCAAAAAUUGAUUUUUUGAAAAUUUAUUUUUAAGGAAAAUUGAUACUUUCAACUUUUCCCCAAAAAUUUUUUUUUUUGGAAAUUUUGAUUUUCAAGGAAAAUUGAUACUUUCAACUUUUCCCCAAAAAUAUUUUUUUGGAAACUUUGAUUUUCAAGGAAGAUUGAUACUUUCAACUUUUCCUCAAAAACCUUUUUUUUGAAAUUUUAUUUUUAAGGAAAAUUGAUACUUUCAACUUUUCCCCAAAAAUAUUUUUUUUUUGGAAACUUUAUUUUUAAGGAAAAUUGAUACUUUCAACUUUUCCCCAAAAACAUUUUUUUUUGGAAAUUUAUUUUUAAGGAAAAUUGAUACUUUCAACUUUUCCCCAAAAAUAUUUUUUUUUAUUUUUAUUUAAAGAAAAUAAAAUAAUAAAACAAAAUAAAAGUGAAAAUAAAAUAAAAUAAAAUAAAGAAAGAAAAGUAAAACAAAAAUAAAAUAAAAUAAAAUAAAAAAUAAAAUAAAGGUAAAAAGGAUACUAAAUAAACCUAAUCUAAUAAAUAAUAAAUAAAUAAAUAAAUAAAAAUCUGGAGCGGCUCAGACUAAGGCUUGGCUCGGCUCGACUCAAGGAAGAGAAAACGGCUCGGAGAAGCAGCUUGGAACCUCAGCUCGGCUCGGCUAUCGGCUCAGAGGGGGGAGACACGCGCUGGUCAAGAAGCGGGUCGACGUUCGGGUCGGGUCGGAUCUCGACAAAACGCGCGGAUCCUCUCAGUUACUUAAUGCAAAAAUGACGUCAUUUUGGGAGGGUAUAUAAGGCUCUUCCCUCUGUUUUUUGGCAGAAAGCUCCUCCCCUCUCUCUCUUUCUUCCUUUUUCUCUCGCUUCUCUCUAAAAAGGCCGAAAAACUCCGGUUGAAUUUUCACCAGAUUCUAGAAAAUUUCACCGAAAUCUGAGUUUUUCGUCGGAAGUUAGCAGGAAGUUCACCGAAAGUUGUCGAUUUCUGGGAUCCUUCGUCGGAAACUAGGCAGCUCGCUGGAAACUUCAAAGUUGGCCGGAAUUUUCACCGAAAAAUGCAACUUUCGUCGAAAAAUUCAACCGAAAUUUGGAAUUUUCCAGAAAUUCCCAAAAAAAAAAAUGCCAAAAAUCUUUAAAAAAUUUUUGCUAAUUCCCAGAACCCUUCUAAACCUUUUCUUAGCUUUCUAUACGCCCCUUUUCUCUCAAAUCAGUGGCUUUGCUCACUGUUCUUUUCUAUGUUUUGCUUCUGUUCCAAGAGGUCCUUUUUAUAGGGAUUGAUCAGUCCCAAUUCCUCUUUGGACGGGGAUUCAAUCUUUGAAUCCAAUCUGGACUCUUCUAAUUGAAUCCCCAUUCACAGUAGGAUUCUUCAGCCUUCAAUCACAGCCCCAAAAAAGAAAAAAAAAUAAUAAUCAGAUAAACGAAAAAGAAAAAAAAUUAACAGAUAAUUAAAAAUAAAAUAAGAUAAAUCCAAAAAAUAUUACAAGAUAAAAAAUAAUAAAUAAAUAAAUUAUAAUAUAAUAAUAAAUAUAUAACUAUAUAAAUAAAAUACAUAUAAAUAUUAACAAAAAAAAUAAAGAUAUACAUAUAUUAAUACAUAGUAAUAAUAAAUAAAUAAUAAAAUACCUAAAAUACAAAAGAAAAAAAAUAAAAAUAAAAAUAAUACAAAAUAAGAACCAAAUUAGGCUUACCCAUUUGGGCCAGGACCAAUUGAUCCGGGCCUGGACCAAAUUGGGUGUCUACAGUAGCCAUUAAAGUGUCUAAAAUGGGGACACCUUUUUCAAAAUGGUCACAAAAUCCUGUACACUUCGACUUUUUAGCUGAAUUUUUUUGUGCAUGCCAACAAAAAUACAAGGAUCACAUCUACCAAGUUUGGGACCAAAAAUCCUUCUAAAAAAAUUUUAAAAAAAUCUCGAACUGUAAAAAGUUUCCAAAAUCAUGAAAAAUAGAAAAUGAGUUGUCUUGCCAUGAAACUUCACAUGAAGGCUUAAGGGACCAUUGUAUGAAUUUACAAGCCAUAAAAAUGGCAUUGGCAUGGCAAAAAUAUGAAGAUGUGCCUAAACCCACCUACCACCCUAUCGAUCCACGGCUUGCACAUCCCGCCUCUCUGGAUGGCGUAGUGCCCACCCGUCCGCUUGCUUGUUUCAUCGGUUGGCUUAGGCAUACGGAGUUAAUUCCCAGUCUAAGAUUGGACCGGACCGAUGGUUGUGACAGCAGGAUCGGAAGGAUGCUGAGGGGGACCCGACCAAUCCCCGGCUUGCGCAUCCUGCCCCUCUGGCCGACUGAGCACCCACACGCUCGUUUCAUGGGUUGACUUAGGCAUAUAGAGUUCAUUCCCAGUCAAGCAUAUGGAGUUCAUUCCAGUCUAAGAUCGGACCGGACCGGGGGUUAUGGUUGCACAUGCUGGGCUCGGGCAUGAGCUGGUGUCGUAUUCUUUUUCGCUCGGGGCACCAUCGCCGGAGAACUUGACCGGUAGCAUUGGGGUUCCAGCGAUUAGGGGGGCCGGGGGGGUGUGCGCACAUAAUGUGCGAUGGCUGCUGGUACUUGGCCCUUAUAUUGGCCCCCUAUCCCUCAUCAAACCUUGAGAACUCACACCCCCUUAAAGAGCAUUUGAGAUUUUACAGGUUUGCUGCCAGUAGCCAUUAAAAUGUCUGAAAUGGGAACACUUUUUUCAAGUGGUCACAAAAUCCUAUACACUUUGAGUUUUUAGUUGAAUUUUUUUGUGCAUGCCCAUAAAAAUACAAGGAUCACGUCUACGAAGUUUGGGGCCAAAACUUCUUCUGAAAAAAUUUAAAAAAAUCCCGAAUCUAAAAGGUUUUGAAAAUCAUGAAAAAUAGAAAACGAGUCGUCUUUCCAUGAAACUUCACAUGAAGGCUUAAGGGACCAUUGUAUGAAUUUACAAGCCAUAAAAAUGGCAUUGGCAGGGUAGAAAUAUGAAGAUGUGCCUAAACCUACCUACCACCCUAUCGAUCCACAGCUUACGCAUCCCGACUUUCUGGCCGGUGUAGUGCCCGCCCACCCGCCCGUUCGUUUCGUCGGUUGGCUUAGGCAUACGGAGUUCAUUCCCAGUCUAAGAUCGAUUGGACCGAGGGUUGCAGCAGCAGGAUUGGCAGCACGCUGAGGGGGACCUGGCCGAUCCCUGGCUUGCGCAUCCUACCGCUCUGGUCGGCUGAGCGCCCGCACGCUCGUUUCGUGGGUUGACUUUGGCAUACGGAGUUCAUUCCCAGUCUAAGAUUGGAUCAGACUGAGGGUCACAGGUGCACAUGCUGGGCUCGGGCAUGUGCUGGUGCAGCAUUUUUUUUUGCUUGGGGCACCAUCGCCGGAGCAUCGUCGGAGAACCUGACCGAUGGCAUUAGGGUUCCGGAGAUUGUGGGGGCCGGGGGGGGUGUGCGCACAUGAUGUGCGAUGGGUGCAGGUACUUGGCCCUUAUAUUGGCCCCCUAACCCUCAUCAAACCUCGAGAACUCACACCCCCUUAAAGAGCAUUUGAGAUUUUAUAGGUUUACUGCCAGUAGCCAUUAAAGUGUCUGAAAUGGGGACACUUUUUUCAAAUGGUCACAAAAUCCUGUACACUUAGUGUUUUUGGCUGAAUUUUUUUAUGCAUGCCAAUAAAAAUACAGGGAUCACGUCUACUAAGUUUAGGGCCAAAACUCCAUCUGGAAAAAUUAAAAAAAAUCCCAAACCGUAAAAAGUUUUAAAAAUCGUGAAAAAUAGAAAACGACUCGUCUUGCCAUGAAACUUCACAUGAAGGCUUAAGGGACCAUUGUAUGAAUUUACAAGCCAUAAAAAUGGCAUUGGCAUGGCUGAAAUAGGAAGAUGUGCAUAAACCCACCUACCACCCUAUCCAUCCACGGCUUGCGCAUCCCGCCUCUUUGGCGGCGUAGUGCCCGCCCACCCGUCGCUCAUUUCGUCGGUUGGCUUAGGCAUACGGAGUUCAUUCCCAGUCUAAGAUUGGACCGGACAGAGGGCUGAGGAAGCAGAAUCGAUAGCACAUUGAGGGGGACUCGACCGAUCCCCGGCUUACGCAUCCUACCCCUCUGGCCGGUUGAACGCCCGCACGCUCGUUUCGUGGGUUGACUUAGGCAUACGGAGUUCAUUCCCAGUCUAAGAUCAGACCGGACCGAGGGUUGUGGGUGCACAUGCUGGGCUAGGGCAUGUGCUGGUGCCGUAUUUUUUUCGCUCUGGGCAUCAUCGUCGGGGCAUCGUCGGAGAACCUGACCGACAGCAUUGGGGUUCCGGCGAUUGGGGGGGCCGGGGUGGUGUGCGAUGGGUGCUGGUAUUUGGCCCUUAUAUUGGCCCCCUAUCCCUCAUCAAACCUCGAGAACUAACACCCCCUUAAAGAGCAUUUGAGAUUUUACAGGUUUACUGUCACUAGCCAUUAAAGUGUCUAAAAUGGGGACACUUUUUUCAAAUGGUCACAAAAUCCUAUACACUUCGAGUUUUUCGCUGAAUUUUUUUGUGCAUGCCAAAAAAAAUACAAGGAUCACGUCUACCAAGUUUGGGGCUAAAACUCCUUCUGAAAAAAUUUUAAAAAAAUCCCGAACCGUAAAAAGUUUUAAAAAUCAUGAAAAAUAGAAAACGAGUCGUCUUGCCGUGAAACUUCACAUGAAGGCUUAAGGGACCAUUGUAUGAAUUUACAAGCCAUAAAAAUGGCAUUGGCAGGGCAGAAAUAUGAAGAUGUGCCUAAACCCACCUACCACCCUUUUGAUCCACGGCUUGCGCAUCCCGCCUCUCUGGCCAGCGUAGUGCCCGCCUGUCUACCCGCUUGUUUUGUCGGUUAGCUUAGGCAGACGGAGUUUAUUCCCAAUCUAAGAUCGAACCAGACCGAGGGUUGUGCCAAUAGGAUUGGCAGGACACUGAGGGGGACCCGACCGAUCCUCGACUUGCGCAUCCUGCCCCUCUGGCCGGUUGAGCGCCCGCACGCUCAUUCCAUGGGUUGACUUAGGCAUACAGAAUUCAUUCCCAAUCUAAGCAUACGGAGUUCAUUCCCAGUCUAAGAUCGGACCAGACCGAGGGUUACGGGUGCACAUGCUGGGCUCGAGAAUGUGCUGGUGCAGCAUUUUUUUUCGCUCGGGCGACCAUCACCGGAGCAUCACCGAAGAACCUGACCGACGGCAUUGGGGUUCCGACGAUUGGAAGGUCUGGGUGGUGUGCACACAUGAUGUGCGAUGGGUGCUGGUAGUUGGCCCUUAUAUUUGCCCCCUAUCCCUCAUCAAACCUCGAGAACUCACACCCCUUUAAAGAGCAUUUGAGAUUUUACAGGUUUGCUGCAAGUAGCCAUUAAAGUGUCUAAAAUGGGGACACUUUUUUCAAAUGGUCACAAAAUCCUAUACACUUUGAGUUUUUAGUAUAAUUUUUUUUUGCAUGCCCACAAAAAUACAAGGAUCACAUCUACCAAGUUUGGGGCCAAAAAUGCUCCUGAAAAAAUUAAAAAAAAUCCUGAACCGUAAAAAGUUUUAAAAAUCGUGAAAAAUAGAAAACGAGUUGUCUUGCCAUGAAACUUCACAUGAAUGCUUAAGGGACCGUUGUAUGAAUUUACAAGGCAUAAAAAUGGCAUUGGCAGGGCAAAAAUAUGAAGAUGUGCCUAAACCCAACUACCAGCCUAUCGAUCUACGACUUGCGCAUCCCGCCUCUCUGGCUGACGUAGUGUCCGCCCGCCCGCCCACCCGCUCGUUUCAUCGGUUGGCUUAGGCAUACGGAGUUCAUUCCCAGUCUAAGAUCAGACCGGACUAAGGGUUGCGGUAGCAAGAUCGGUAGGACGAUGAGGGGGACCCGACCGAUUCCCAGCUUGCGCAUACUACCCCUCUGGCCGGCUGAGCGUCCGCACGCUCGUUUCAUGGGUUGACUUAGGCAUACAAAGUUCAUUCCUAGUCUAAGAUCGGACCGGACGGAGGGUUGCGGGUGCACAUGCUGGGCUCAAGCAUGUGCUGGUGCCAUAUUUUUUUUCGCCCGGGGCACCAUCGCCGGAGCAUCGUCGGAGAACCUGACCGGCGGCAUAGGGGUUCCGGCGAUUGGGGGGGCUGAGGGGGUGUGUGCCCAUUACAUGCGAUGGGUGCUGCUACGUAGCCCUUUAUAUUGGCCCCCUAUCCCUCAUCCAACCUUGAGAACUCACACCCCCUUAAAGAGCAUUUGAGAUUUUACAGGUUUGCUACCAGUAGCCAUUAAAGUGUCUGAAAUGGGGACACUUUUUUCAAAUGGUCACAAAAUUCGGUACACUUCGAGUUUUUGGCUGAAUUUUUUUGUGCAUGCCAAUAAAAAUACAAGGAUCACGUCUACCAAGUUUGGGGCCAAAACGCCUUCUGAAAAGUAGAAAACGAGUCGUCUUGCCAUGAAACUUCACAUGAAGGCUUAAGGGACCAUUGUAUGAAUUUACAAGCCAUAAAAAUGGCAUGCAUGGUAGAAAUAUUAAGAUGUGCCUAAACCCACCUACCACCCUAUCCAUCCAUGACUUGCGCAACCCGUCUCUCUAGGCGACGUAGUGCCCGCCUGCCCGCCUGCUCAUUUCGUCGGUUGGCUUAGGCAUACGGAGUUCAUUCCCAGUCUAAGAUCAGACUAGACUGAGGGUUGCGGUAGUAGAAUUGGCACCACACUGAAGGGGACCGGGCCGAUCCCCGGCUUGUACAUCCUACCCCUCUGGUUGACUGAAUGCCCGUACGCUCGUUUCGUGGGUUGACUUAGGCAUACGGAGUUCAUUCCCUGUCUAAAAUUGAACCAGACCAAGGGUUUCGGGUGCACAUGCUGGGCUCGAGCAUGUGCUGGUAUCGUAUUUUUUUCGCCCGGGGCACCAUAGUUGGAGCAUCAUCGGAGAACAUGGCCGACGGCAUUGGGGUUCCGACGAUUAGGGGGCCGGGGGGUGUGCACACAUGAUGUACGAUGGGUGCUGGUACUUGGCCCUUAUAUUGGCCCCCUAUCCCUCAUCAAACUUUGAGAACUCACACCCCCUUAAAGAGCUUUUGAGAUUUUACAGGUUUGCUGCCAGUAGCCGUUAAAGGGUCUGAAAUGGGGACACUUUUUUCAAAUUAUCACAAAAUCCUGUACACUUUGAGUUCAUUCCCAGUCUAAGAUCGGACCGGACUGAGGGUUGCGGCAGCAAGAUCGGCAGCACGUAGAGGGGGACCCGACCGAUCCCCGGCUUGCUCAUCCUGCCCUCUGGCCGGCUGAGCGCCCGCACGCUCGUUUCGUGGGUUGACUUAGGCAUACGGAGUUCAUUCCCAGUCUAAGCAUACAGAGUUCAUUCCUAGUCUAAGAUCAGACCAGAUCGAGGGUUACGGGUGCACAUGCUGGGCUCGAGCAUGUGCUGCUGCUGCAUUUUUUUUCGCCCGGGGCACCAUCACCGGAGAACCUGACCGGUGGCAUUGGGGUUCCGGCGAUUGGGGGGGUGUGCGCACAUGAUGUCUGAUGGGUGCUGGUACUGGGCCUUAUAUUGGCCAUCUAUCCCUCAUUAAACCUUGAGAACUCACACCCCCUGAAAAAGCAUUUGAGAUUUUACAAGUUUGCUGCCAGUAGCCAUUAAAGUGUCUGAAAUGGGGACACUUUUUUCAAAUGGUCACAAAAUCUUGUACACUUCGAGUUUUUAGCUGAAUUUUUUUGGGCAUGCCAACAAAAAUACAAGGAUAACGUCUACCAAGUUUGGGGCCAAAACUUCUUCUGAUAAAAUUUUAAAAAAAUCUCGAACCGUAAAAAGUUUCAAAAAUUGGGAAAAAUAGAAAACGAGACGCCUUGCCAUGAAGCUUCACAUGAAGGCUUAAGGGAGCAUUGUAUGAAUUUACAAGCCAUAAAAGUGGCAUUGGCAUGGCAAAAAUAUGAAAUGGAGCCUAAACCACCUACCACCCUAUCGAUCCACGGGCUUAUGCAUCCCGCUCUCUCUGGCUGGCGUAGUGCCCAGCCCGCCCGCCCGCUCAUUUCGUCGGUUGCUUAGGCACACGGAGUCAUUCCCAGUCUAAGAUCAGAUUGACGAGGGUGCGGUGCACCUGCUGCGCUCAGGCAUGUCUGUGCCUAUUUUUUUUCACCUGGGCACCAUCGCCGAGCAUCGCGUAGAAACCUGACCGCGGGCAUUGGGUUUCCGACGAUUGGGGAAUGGGGGGUGGCGCAACAUGAUGUGCGAUGGGUGCUGAUACUUUGCCCUUAUAUUGGCCCCUAUCCCUUCAUCAAAACCUCAAGAACUCACACCCCCUUAAAGAGCAUUUGAGAUUUUACAAGUUUGCUCCAAGUAAGCCAUUAAAGUGUCUGAAAUGGGGACACUUUUUUCAAAUGGUCACAAAAUCCUGUAAAUUUUGAGUUUUUAGCUGAAUUUUUUUAUGCAUGCCAAGAAAAGUACAAGGAUCACGUCUACCAACUUUGUGGCCAGAACUCCAUCUGAAAAAAUUUUUAAAAAAUCUCGAACCUUAAAAAGUUUCAAAAAUCGUGAAAAAUAGAAAACGAGUCAUCUUGCCAUGAAACUUCACAUGAAGGCUUAAGGGACCAUUGUAGGAAUUUACAAGCCAUAAAAAUGGCAUUGGCAUGGCAGAAAUAUGAAGAUGUGCCUAAACCCACCUACCACACUAUCGAUCCACGGCUUGUCUAUCCCGCCUCUCUGGUCGGCGUAGUGCCCGCCCGUCCGCCCGCUCGUUUCGUCUAUUGGCUUAAGCAAACGGAGUUCAUUCCCAAUCUAAGAUCAGAUCGGACCAAAGGUUGUGGCAACAGGAUCGGUAGCACACAGAGGGGGACCCGACCGAUCCCCAGCUUGCGCAUCCUACCCCUCUGGCCGGCUGAGCGCCCGCACGCUCGUUUCAUGGGUUGACUUAGGCAUACAGAGUUCAUUCCCAGUCUAAGCAUACAGAGUUCAUUCCCAAUCUAAGAUCAGAUCGGAUCAAGGGUUGCGGCAACAGGAUCGGUAGCACACAAAGGGGGACCCGACCGAUCCCUGGCUUACGCAUCCUGCCCCUCUGGCCGGCUGAGCGCCCGCACGCUCAUUUCAUGGGUUGACUUAGGCAUACGAAGUUCAUUCCUAGUCUAAGCAUACGGAGUUCAUUCCCAGUCUAAGAUCAAAUUGGACCGACGGUUGCGGGUGAACAUGUUGGGUUCGGGCAUAGGCUGGUGCCAUAUUUUUUUUUGCCCGGGCCACUAUCACCAGAGAACGUGGCCGACGGCAUUGGGGUUCCGAUGAUUGGGGGAGCCGGGGGCUAUGCGCACAUGAUGUGAGAUGGGUGCUGGUACUUGGCCCUUAUAUUGGCCCCCUAUCCCUCAUCAAACCUCGAGAACUCACACCCCCUUAAAGAGCAUUUGAGAUUUUACAGGUUUGCUGCCAGUAGCCAUUAAAGUGUCUGAAAUGGGGACACUUUUUUCAAAUGGACACAAAAUCCUGUACACUUCGAGUUUUUGGCUGAAUUUUUUUGUGCAUGCCAAUAAAAAUACAAGGAUCACGUCUACCAAUUUGGGGCCAAAACUCCUUCUGAAAAAAUUUUUAAAACAUCUUGAACCGUAAAAAGUUUCAAAAAUCAUGAAAAGUAGAAAACGAGUCGUCUUGCCAUGAAACUUCGCAUGAAGGCUUAAGGGACCAUUUUAUGAAUUUGCAAGCCAUAAAAAUGGCAUUGGCAUGGCAGAAAUAUUAAGAUGUGCCUAAACCCACCUACCACCCUAUCUAUCCACGACUUGUGCAUCCCGCCUCUCUGGUCGGCGUAGUGCCCGCCCGCCCACCCGUUCGUUUCGUCGGUUGGCUUAGGCAUACGAAGUUCAUUCCCAAUCUAAGAUCGAACUGGACUGAGGGUUGUGGCAGCAGAAUCGGCACCACACUGAGGGGGACUGAGCCGAUCCCCGGCUUGUGCAUCCUACCCCUCUGGCCGGCUAAACGCCCGUACGCUCGUUUCGUGAGUUGACUUAGGCAUACAGAGUUCAUUCCCAGUCUAAAAUCGAACUAGACCGAGGGUUUCUGGUGCACAUGUUAGGCUCGGGCAUGUGCUGGUACCGUAUUUUUUUUCCCCCGGGGCACCGUGGUUGGAGCAUCGUCGGAGAACAUGGCCGAUGGCAUUGGCGUUCCGGCGAUUAGGGGGGUCGGAGGGGGUGUGCGCACAUGAUGUACGAUGGGUGCUGGUACUUGGCCUUAUAUUGGCCCCCUAUCCCUCAUUAAACCUCGAGAACUCACACCUCCUUAAAGAGCAAUUGAGAUUUUACAGGUUUGCUGCCAGUAGCCAUUAAAGUGUCUGAAAUGUGGACACUUUUUUCAAAUGGUCACAAAAUCCUGUACACUUCGAGUUUUUAGCUGAAUUUUUUUGUGCAUGCCAAAAAAAAUACAAGGAUAAUGUCUACCAAGUUUGGGGCUAAAACUUCUUCUGAUAAAAUUUUAAAAAAAUCUCGAACCGUAAAAAGUUUCAAAAAUCGUUAAAAAUAGAAAACGAGUCGUCUUGCCAUGAAACUUCACAUGAAGGCUUAAGGGAGCAUUGUACGAAUUUACAAGCCAUAAAAGUGGCAUUCGCAUGGCCAAAAUAUGAAGAUGUGCCUAAACCCACCUACCACCCUAUCGAUCCACGGCUUGCGCAUCCCGCCUCUCUGGCCGGCGUAGUGCCCGCCUGCCCGCCCGCCCGCUCAUUUCAUCGGUUGGCUUAGGCACAUGGAGUUCAGUCCCAGUCUAAGAUCACACCGGACCGAGGGUUGCGGGUUCACUUGUUGGGCUCAGGCAUGUGUUGGUGCCGUAUUUUUUUUCAUCUGGGGCACCAUCGCCGGAGAAACUGACUGACGGCAUUGGGGUUCCGACGAUUGGGGGGAACGGGGGGGUGUGCACACAUUAUGUUCGAUGGGUGCUGAUACUUUGCCCUUAUAUUGGCCCCUAUCCCUCAUCAAACCUCGAGAACUCACACCCCCUUAAUGAGCAUUUGAGAUUUUACAGGUUUGCUACCAGUAGCCAUUAAAGUGUCUGAAAUGGGGACACUUUUUUCAAAUGGUCACAAAAUCCUGUAAACUUUGAGUGUUUAGCUGAAUUUUUUUAUGCAUGCCAAAAAAGGUACAAGGAUCACGUCUACCAAGUUUGUGGCCAGAACUCCAUCUGAAAAAAUUUUAAAAAAAUCCUGAACCUUAAAAAGUUUCAAAAAUCAUGAAAAAUAGAAAAUGAGUCGUCUUGCAAUGAAACUUCACAUGAAGGCUUAAGGGACCAUUGUAGGAAUUUAAAAGCCAUAAAAAUGGCAUUGGCACGGCAGAAAUAUGAAGGUGUGCCUAAACCCACCUACCACACUAUCGAUCCACGGCUUGUCUAUCCCGUCUCUCUGGCCGGGGUAGUGCCUGCCCGCCCGCCCGCUCGUUUCGUCGAUUGGCUUAAGCAUACAGAGUUCAUUCCCAGUCUAAGAUCAAAUCGGAUCGAGGGUUACGGCAACAGGAUCGGUAGCACGUAAAGGGGGACCCGACUGAUUCCCCGCUUGUGCAUCCUACACCUCUGGCCGACUGAGCGCCCGCACGCUCGUUCCGUGGGUUGACUUAGGCAUACGGAGUUCAUUCCCAGUCUAAGCAUACAGAGUUCCUUCCCAGUCUAAGAUCAGAUUGGAUCGAGGGUUGCGGUAGCAGGAUCGGCAGCACACAAAGGGGGACCCGACUGAUCCUCGGCUUACGCAUCUUGCCCCUCUGGCCGGCUGAGCGCCCGCACGCUCAUUUCAUGGGUUGACUUAGGCAUACGGAGUUCAUUCCUAGUCUAAGCAUACGGAGUUCAUUCCCAGUCUAAGAUUGAACUAGACCGACGAUUGCGGGUGCACAUGCUGGGCUCGGGCAUGGGUUGGUGUCGUAUUUUUUUUUGCCCGGGACACUAUCGCCGGAGAACGUGACCGACGGCAUUGGGGUUCCGAUGAUUGGGGGGUCGAGGGGUGUGCGCACAUGAUGUGAGAUGGGUGCUGGUACUUGGCCCUUAUAUAGCCCCCUAUCCCUCAUCAAACCUCAAGAACUCACACCCCCUUAAAGAGCAUUUGAGAUUUUACAGGUUUGCUGCCAAUAGCCAUUAAAGUGUCUGAAAUGGGGAUAUUUUUUUCAAAUGGUCACAAAAUCCUGUACACUUCGAGUUUUUAGCUGAAUUUUAUUGUGCAUGCCAACAAAAAUACGAGGAUCACGUCUACCAAGUUUGGGGCCAAAACACCUUCUGAAAAAAGUUUAAAAAAAUCUCGAACCGUAAAAAGUUUCAAAAAAUCGUGAAAAUUAGAAAAUGAGUCGUCUUGCCAUGAAACUUCACAUGAAGGCUUAAGGGACCAUUGUAUGAAUUUACAAGCCAUAAAAAUGGCAUUGGCAUGGCUGAAAUAUGAAGAUGUGCCUAAACCCACCUACCACCCUAUCGAUCCACGGCUUGCGCAUCCCGCCUCUCUGGCCGACGUAGUGCCCUCCCGCCUGCCAGCUCAUUUUGUCGGUUGGCUUAGGCAUACGGAGUUCAUUCCUAGUCUAAGAUCUGAUCGGAUCAGGGUUGCGGCAGCAGGAUCGACGGCACACAGAGGGGGACCCGACUGAUCCUCGACUUGUGCAUCCUGCCCCUCUGGUCGGUUGAGCGCCUGCCCACUUGUUUCGUCGGUUGGCUUAGGCAUACAGAGUUCAUUCCCAGUCUAAGAUCAGAUCGGACCGAGGGUUACGGUAGCAGGAUCGACAGCACGCUGAGAGGAACUGGGCCGAUCCCCCGCUUGUGCAUCCUGCCCCUCUGGCCAGCUGAGCACUCACACGCUUGUUUCGUGGGUUGACUUAGGCAUACAGAGUUCAUUCCCAGUCUAAGAUCGGACCAGACCGAGGGUUACGGGUGCACAUGCUAGGCUCGAGCAUGUGCUGGUGCUACAUUUUUUUUCACUCGGGGCACAAUCGUCGGAGCAUCGCCAGAGAACCUGACCGAUGGCAUUGGGGUUCCGACGAUUUAGGGGGGUCGGGGGGUGUGCGCAGAUGAUGUGCGAUGGGUGCUGGUACUUGGCCCUUAUGUUGGCCCCCUAUCCCUCAUCAAACCUCAAGAACUCACACCCCCUUAAAGAGCAUUUGGGAUUUUACAGGUUUGCUGCCAGGUUCCAUUAAAGUGUCUAAAAUGGGGACACUUUUUUCAAAUGGUCACAAAAUCCUGUACACUUCGAGUUUUUAGCUGAAUUUUUUUGUGCAUGCUAACAAAAAUACAAGGAUCACAUCUACCAAGUUUGUUUCCAAAACCUGGUUCUGAAAAAAUUUUAAAAAAAUCCUGAACCGUAAAAAGUUUCCAAAAUCGUUAAAAAUAGAGAACGAGUCAUCUUGCCAUGAAACUUCACAUGAAGGCUUAAGAGACAUUGUAGAAUUUACAAGCAUAAAAAUGGCAAUUGGCAUGGAAAAAUAUGAAGAUUUGCCUAAACCCACCUACGACCCUAUCGAUCCACGGCUUGCGCAUCUUGCCUCUUUGCCGACGUAGUACCCGUCCACCGGCCCGAUCGUUUCAUCAAUUGGCUUAGGCAUAUGGAGUUCAUUCCCAGUCUAGGAUCAGACCAAACUGAGGGUUGCGGUCGCAAGAUCGGUAGCACACAGAGGGGGACCCGAUCGAUCCCCGGCUUGCGCAUCCUACCCUCUGGCCGGCUGAGCGCCUGCACGCUCCUUUCAUGGAUUGACUUAGGCAUACGGAGUUCAUUCCCAGUCUAAGCAUGCGAAGUUCAUUCCCAGUCUAAGAUCGGACCGGACCGAGGGUUGCGGGUGCACAUGCUGGGCUCGAGCAUGUGCUGGUGCCACAUUUUUUUUCACUCGGGCCACCAUCGCCGGAGCAUCACCGGAGAACCUGACUGGCGGCAUUGGGGAUACACCGAUUAGAGGGGCCGGGGGGUGUGCGCACAUGAUGUGUGAUGGGUGCUGGUACUUGGCCCUUAUAUUGGCCCCUAUCCCUCAUCAAACUUCGAGAACUCACACCCCCUUAAAGAGCAUUUGAGAUUUUACAGGUUUGCUGCCAGUAGCCAUUAAAGUGUUUGAAAUGGGGACACUUUUUUCAAAUGGUCACAAAAUCCUGUACACUUCGAGUUUUUAGCUGAAUUUUUUUAUGCAUGCCAAAAAAAAUACAAGGAUCACGCCUACCAAGUUUGGGGCCAAAAAUCCUUCUGAAAAAAUUUUAAAAAAAUCCUGAACCGUAAAAGUUUUAAAAACCGUAAAAAAUAGAAAACAAGUCGUCUUGCCAUGAAACUUCACAUGAAGGCUUAAGGGACCACUGUAUGAAUUUACAAGCCAUAAAAAUGGCAUUGGCAUGGCAGAAAUAUGAAGAUGUGCCUAAACCCACCUACCACCCUAUCGAUCCACUACUUGCGCAUCUCGCCUCUCUGGCCGACAUAGUACCAGUCCGCCCGCCCGAUCGUUUCAUCGGUUGGCUUAGGCAUACGGAGUUCAUUCCUAGUCUAGGAUCAGAUCAGACCUAGGUUUGUAGUAGCAGUAUCAACAGCAUGCAGAGGGGGACCCGAUCGAUCCCCGACUUGCGCAUCCCGCCCUCUGACCGACUGAGCGCCCGCACGCUCGUUUCAUGGGUUGACUUAGGCAUACGGAGUUCAUUCCCAGUCUAAGCAUGCGGAGUUCAUUCCCAGUCUAAGAUCAGAUCAGACCGAGGGUUGCCGGUGCACAUGCUGGGCUUGCGCAUGUGCUGGUGCCGCAUUUUUUUUCACCCGGGCCACCAUCGUCGGAGCAUCGCCAGAGAACCUAACUGGCGACAUUGGGGAUACGGCGAUUGGAGGGACCGGGGGGGUGUGUGCACAUGAUGUGUGAUGGGUGCUGGUACUUGGCCCUUAAAUUGGCCCCCUAUCCCUCAUCAAACCUUGAGAACUCACACCCCCUUAAAGAGCAUUUGAGAUUUUACAGGUUUGCUGCCAGUAGCCAUUAAUGUGUCUAAAAUGGGGACACUUUUUUCAAAUGGUCACAAAAUCCUGUACACUUCGAGUUUUUAGCUGAAUUUUUUUAUGCAUGCCAACAAAAAUACAAGGAUCAUAUCUACCAAGUUUGGGGCUAAAAAUCCUUCUGAAAAAAUUUUAAAAAAAUACCGAACCGUAAAAAGUUUUAAAAACUAUGAAAAAUAAAAAACAAGUCGUCUUGCCAUGAAACUUCACAUGAAGGAUUAAGGGACCAUUGUAUGAAUUUACAAGCCAUAAAAAUGGAAUUGGCUUGGCAGAAAUAUGAAGAUGUGCCUAAACCCACCUACCACCCUAUCGAUCCACGGCUUGCGCAUCCCGCCUCUAUGGCCGACAUAGUGCUCGCCCGCCCACCCGCUCUUUUCGUCGGUUGGUUUAAGCAUACGGAGUUCAUUCCUAGUCUAAGAUUGGACCGGACUGAGGGUUGUGGCAGUAGGAUCGACAGCAUGCAGAGGGGGACCCGGCUGAUCCUUGAUGUGUGCAUCAUGCCCCUCUGGCCGGCUGAGUACCCGUAUGCUCUUUUUGUGGGUUGACUUAGGCAUACGGAGUUCAUUCCCAGUCUAAGAUCGGACCAGAUUGAGGGUUGUGGGUGCACAUGUUGGGCUCGAGCAUGUGUUGGUGCCACAUUUUUAUCGCCCGGGGCACCAUCGCCGGAGAACCUGAUCGGCGGCAUUGGGGUUUCGACGAUUGGAGGGCACGGGGGGGUGUGUGCACAUGAUGUGCGAUGGGUGCUGGUACUUGGCCUUUAUAUUGGCCCCCUAUCCCUCAUCAAACCUCAAGAAUUCACACCCCCUUAAAGAGCAUUUGAGAUUUUACAGGUUUGCUGCCUGUAGCCAUUAAAGUGUCUGAAAUGGGGACACUUUUUUCAACUGGUCACAAAAUCCUAUACACUUCGAGUUGGGCAUGCCAAAAAAAAUACAAGGAUCACGUCUACCAAGUUUGGGGCCAAAAAUCCUUCUAAAAAAAUUUUAAAAAAAUCUACAAUCGUAAAAAGUUUUGAAAAUCGUGAAGAAUAGAAAACGAGUCAUCUUGCCAUGAAACUUCACAUGAAGGCUUAAGGGACCAUUGUAUGAAUUUACAAGCCAUAAAAAUGGCAUUGGCAUUGUAGAAAUAUGAAGAUGUGCCUAAACCCACCUACCACCGUAUCGAUCCACGGCUUUCGCAUCCCGCCUCUUUGGCUGGCAUAGUGCCCGCCUGCCCUCCCGCUCAUUUCGUCGGUUGGCUUAGGCAUACGAAGUUCAUUCCCAGUCUAUGAUGGGAUCGAACCGAGGGUUGUGGCAGCAGUAUCGGUAGCACGAUGAGGGGGACUCGAUCGAUCCCCGGCUUGUGCAUCUUGCCCCUCUGACCGGCUGAGCCCGUACGCUCAUUUCGUGGGUUGACUUAGGCAUAAUGAGUUCAUUCCCAGUCUUAGAUCGGACCGGACCGAGGGUUGCAGGUGCAUAUGCUGGGCUCGAGCAUGUGCUGGUGCCUUAUUUUUUUUUGCCCGGGGCACCAUCGUCGGGGCAUCGUCGGAGAACUUGACCGGCGGCAUUGGGGUUCCGACGAUUGGGGGGGCCGGGAGGUGUGCGCACAUGAUGUGUGAUGGGUGCUGGUACUUGGCCCUUAUAUUGGCCCCCUAUCCCUCAUCAAACCUCGAGAACUCACACCCCCUUAAAGAGCAUUUGAGAUUUUACAGGUUUGCUACCAAUAGCCAUUAAAGUGUCUGAAAUGGAGACACUUUUUUCAAAUGGUCACAAAAUCCUGUACACUUCGAGUUUUUAGCUGAAUUUUUUUGUGCAUGGCAACAAAAAUGCAAGGCUCACGUCUGCCAAGUUUGGGCCCAAAACUCCUUCUGAAAAAAUUUUCAAAAAAUCCUAAAAUGUUUUAAAAAUCUUGAAAAAUAGAAAAUGAGUCGUCUUGCCAUGAAACAUCACAUGAAGCAUUAAGGGACCAUUGUAUGAAUUUACAAGCCAUAAAAAUGGCAUUGGCAUGGCAGAAAUAUUAAUAUGUGCCUAAACCCACCACCACCCUAUCGAUCCACGGCUUGCGCAUCCCACCUCUCUAGCCGGCGUAGUGCCCGCCCUCCCGCCCGCUCGUUUCGUCAGUUGGCUUAGGCAUAUGGAGUUCAUUCCCAGUCUAGGAUUAGACUAGAUCAAGGGUUGUGGUAGCAGGAUCGGUAGCACAUUGAGGGGGACCCGACUGAUCCCCAACUUGCGCAUCCUGGCCCUCCGACCGGCUCAGCACCCGCACGCUCAUUUCAUGGGUUGACUUAGGCAUACGGAGUUCAUUCCUAGUCUAACCGUACGGAGUUCAUUCCCAGUCUAAGAUCAAACUGGAUCGAGGGUUGUAGGUGCACAUGCUGGGUUAGGGCAUGUGCUGGUGCCGUAUUUUUUUUCGCUCAGGGCACCAUCGUUGGACAACCUGACCGGUGGCAUUGGGGUUCUGGCGAUUGGGGGGUGGGGGGUGUGCGCAAAUGAUAUGCGAUGGGUACUGGUACUUGGCCCUAUUUAUUGGCCCCCUAUCCCCCAUCAAACCUCGAGAACUCACACCCACUUAAAGAGCAUUUGAGAUUUUACAGGUUUGCUGCCAGUAGCAAUUAAAGUGUCUGAAAUGGGGACAUUUUUUUCAAAUGGUCACAAACUUUGAGUUUUUAGCUGAAUUUUUUUGUGCAUGCCAAAAAAAAAAACAAGGAUCAUGUCUACCAAGUUCGGGGCCAAAAAUCCUUCUAAAAAAAUUAAAAAAAAAAACCCAAAUCGUAAAAAGUUUUAAAAAUCGUGAAAAAUAAAAAACGAGUUUUCUUGCCAAGAAACUUCACAUGAAGGCUUAAGGGACCAUUCUAUGAAUUUACAAGCCAUAAAAAUGGUAUUGGGAUGGCAGAAAUAUGAAGAUGUGCCUAAACCCACCUACCACGCUAUCGAUCCAUGGCUUGCACAUCCCGUCUCUCUGGCAGACGAAGUGCUCGCUCGCCCGCUCGCUCGUUUCGUCGAUUGGCUUAGGCAUACAGAGUUUAUUCCCAGUCUAAGAUUGGACCGGACCGAGGGUUGCGGUAGCAGGAUUGACAGCACGUUGAGGGGGACCCUACCGAUCCCUAGCUUGCACAUCCUACCCCUCUAGCCAACUGAGCGCCCGCACGCUCGUUUCAUGGGUUGACUUAGGCAUACGGAGUUCAUUCCCAGUCUAAGAUCGGACCGGAUCGAGGGUUGCGGGUGCACAUGCUGGGCUCGAGCAUGUGCUGGUGCCGUAUUUUUUUUCGCCCGACGCACCGUCAGCAUUGAGGUUCAGGAGAUUGGGCGACCAGGGGUGUGCGCACUUGAUGUGCGAUGGUUGCUGGUACUUGGCCCUUAUAUUGGCCCCCAUCCCUCAUCAAACCUCAAGAACUCACACCCCUUAAAGAGUGUUUGAGAUUUUACAAGUUUGCUGUCAGUAGCCAUUAAAGUGUCUGAAAUGAGGACACUCUUUUUAAAUGGUCACAAAAUCCUAUACACUUCGAGUUUUUAGUUGAAUUUUUUUGUGCAUGCCAACAAAAAUACAAGGAUCACGUCUACCAACUUUGGGGCCAAAACGCCUUCUGAAAAAAUUUUAAAAAUAUCCCGAACCAUAAAAAGUUUCAAAAAUCGUGAAAAAUAAAAAACGAGUCGUCUUGCCAUGAAAAUUCAAAUGAAGGCUUAAAGGACUGUUGUAUGAAUUUUCUAACCAUAAAAAUGGCAUUGGCAUGGCAGAAAUUUGAAGAUGUGCCUAAACCCACCUACCACCCUAUCGAUCCAUGGCUUGCGCAUCCCGCCUCUCUGGCCGGCGUAGCGCCCGCCCGCCCGCCCGCUCGUUUCGUCGUUUGGCUUAGGCAUAAGGAGUUCAUUCCUGGUCUAAGACCAGACUGGACCGAGUGCGGUAACAGGAUCAGUAGCACACUGAGGGUGACCCGACCGAUCCCCGGCUUACGCAUCUUGCCCCUCUGGCCGGCUGAACGCCCGCACGUUCGUUUCGUGGGUUGACUUAGGCAUACGGAGUUCAUUCCCAGUCUAAGCAUACGGAGUUCAUUCCCAGUCUAAGAUCGGAUCGGACCGAGGGUUGCAGUUGCACAUGCUGGGCUUGCGCAUAUGCUGGUGUCGCAUUAUUUUCGCUCGAGGCACCAACGUCGGAGAACCUGACCUGCGGCAUUGGGGUUUCGGCGAUUGGGGGGGUGUGCGCACGUGAUGUGCGAUGGGUGCUGGUACUUAUCCCUUAUAUUGGCCCCCUAUCCCUCAUCAAACUUGGAGAACUCACACCCCCUUAAAGUGCAUUUGAGAUUUUACAGGUUUGCUGCCAGUAGCCAUUAAAAUGUCCGAAAUGGGGACACUUUUUCAAAUUGUCACAAAAUCCAGUACACUUCGAGUUUCUAGCUGAAUUUUUUUAUGCAUGCCAAAAAAAUGUAAGGAUCACGUCUACCAGGUUUGGGGCCAAAACUCCAUCUGAAAAAAUUUUUAAAAAAUCUUGAAUCGUAAAAAGUUUUGCAAAUCAUGAAAAAUAGAAAACGAGUCGUCUUGCCGUGAAACUUCACAUGAAGGCUUAAGGGACCAUUGUAUGAAUUUACAAGCCAUAAAAAUGGCAAUGGCAUGACAAAUAUGUGAAGAUGUGCCUAAACCCACCUACCACCCUAUCGAUCCACGGCUUGCGCAUCCCGCUUCUCUGGCCGACGUAGUGCCCGCCCGCUCGCUCGCUCGUUUCGUCGGUUGGCUUAAGCAUAAGGAGUUCAUUCCCAGUCUAAGAAUGAACCAGACUGAGGGUUACGGUACCAAGAUUGGCAGCACACUGAGAGGGAUCCGACCGAUCCUUGACUUGCGCAUCUUGACCCUCUGGCCAACUGAGCGCCCGCACGCUCGUUUCAUGGGUUGACUUAGGCAUACGGAGUUCAUUCCCAGUCUAAGCAUACGGAGUUCAUUCCCAGUUUAGGCAUAUGGAGUUCAUUCCCAGUCUAAGAUCGGAUCGGACCGAGGGUUACGGGUGCACAUGCUGGGCUCGGGCAUGUGCUGGUGCCGUAUUUUUUUCGCUCAUGGCACCAUCGUCGGAGAACCUGACUGGCGGCAUUAGGGUUCCGGCGAUUGGGGGGGUGUGCGCACAUGAUGUGCGAUGGCUGCUGGUACUUGGCCCUUAUAUUGGCCCCCUAUCCCUCAACAAACCUCGAGAACUCACACCCCCUUACAGAGCAUUUGAGAUUUUACAGGUUUUCUGCCAGUAGCCAUUAAAGUGUCUGAAAUGGGGACACUUUUUUCAAAUGGUCACAAACUUCGAGUUUUUAGCUGAAUUUUUUUGUGCAUGCCAAUAAAAAUACAAGGAUCACGUCUACCAAGUUUGUGGCCAAAACACCUUCUGAAAAAAUUUUAAAAAAAUCUCGAACUGUAAAAAGUUUCAAAAACCGUGAAAAAUAGAAAACGAGUCGUCUUGCCAUGAAACUUCACAUGAAGGCUUAAGGGACCAUUGUAUGAAUUUACAGGCCAUAAAAAUGGCAUUGGCAUGAAAAGAAUAUGAAGAUGUGCCUAAACCCACCUACCACCUAUUGAUCCACGGCUUGCGCAUCCCACCUCUCUGGCCGACGUAGUGCACGCCCGCCCGCCCGCUCGUUUCGUCGAUUUGCGUAGGCAUACGGAGUUCAUUCCCAGUCUAAGAUCAGACCAGACCAAGGGUUACAGCAGUAGGAUCGGCAGCACGCAGAGGGGGAACCCGACCGAUCCCCAGCUUGCGCAUCCUGCCCCUCUGGCUGCUGAGCGCCCAAACGCUCGUUUCGAAGGUUGACUUAGGCGUACGGAGUUCAUUCCCAGUCUAAGCAUACGGAGUUCAUUCCCAGUCUAAGAUCGGACCGGACUGAGAGUUACGGGUGCACAUGUUGGGCUCGAGCAUGUGCUGGUGCCGCAUUUUUUUCGCCUGAGCCACCAUCGCCUGAGCAUCGCCAGAGAACUUGAUCGACGGCAUUGGGGUUCCGACAAUUGGGGGGGCCGAGGGGAGGUGUGCGCACAGGAUGUGUGAUGGGUGCUGGUACUUGGCCCUGAUAUUGGCCCCUAUCCCUCUAUCAAACCUCAAGAACUCACACCCCCUUAAAGAGCUUUGAGGAUUUUACAGGUUUGCUGCCAGUAGCAAUUAAAGUGUGCUGAAAUGGGGACACUUUUUUCAAUGGUCACAAACUUUGAGUUUUUUAGCUGAAUUUUUUUGUGCAUGCCAACAAAUACAAGGAUCAUGUCUACCAAGUUUGGGGGGCCCAAAAUCCUUCUGAAAAAAUUUUUAAAAAAUCUCGAACCGUAAAAAAGUUUCAAAAACUGUGAAAAUAGAAAACGAGUCAUCUUGCAUGAAACUUCACAAGAAGGCUUAAGGACCAUUGCAUGAAUUACAAGCCAUAAAAAUGGCAUUGGGAUGGCAAAAUAUGAAGAUGUGCCUAAACCCACAUACCACCCUACCGAUCCAUGACUUGCGCAUCCCGCCUCUUUGGCCGACGUAGUGCCUGCCUUCCUGCCUGCUCGUUUCGUCGGUUGGCUUAGGCAUACAGAGUUCAUUCCCAAUCUAAGAUCAGACUGGACUGAGGGUUGCGGUAGCAGGAUCAGUCAGCUUGCGCAUCCUGCCCCUCUGGCUGGCUGAGCGCCCGUAUGCUCGUUUCGUGGGUUGACUUAGGCAUACAGAGUUGAUUCCUAGUCUAAGCAUACGGAGUUCAUUCCCAGUCUAAGAUCGAACCAGACCAAGGGUUGCGGGUGCACAUGCUGGGCUCGGGCAUGUGCUAGUGCCGUAUUUUUUUUUGCCCGAGGCACCAUCGUCGGAGCAUCACCGUAGAACCUGACUGACGACAUUGGGGUUCUGGCGAUUGGGGGGGCCUGGGGGGCUGUGCGCACAUAAUGUGCGAUGGGUGUUGGUACUUGGCCCUUAUAUUAGCCCCCUAUCCCUCAUCAAACCUCGAGAACUCACACCCCCUUAAAAAGCAUUUGAGAUUUUACAGGUUUACUGCCAGUAGCCAUUAAAGUGUCUGAAAUGGGGACACUUUUUUCAAAUGGUCACAAAAUCCUGUACACUUCGAGUUUUUAGCUGAAUUUUGUUGUCAUGCCAACAAAAAUACAAGGAUCACGUCUACCAAGUUUGGGGCCAAAACUCCUUCUGAAAAAAUUUUAAAAGAACCCAAACCGUAAAAAGUUUCAAAAAUUGUGAAAAAUAGAAAAUGAGUCGUCUUGCCAAGAAACUUCACAUGAAGGCUUAAGGGACCAUUGUAUGAAUUUACAAGCCAUAAAAAUGGUAUUGGGAUGGCAGAAAUAUGAAGAUGUGCCUAAACCCACCUACCACGCUAUCGAUCGACGGCUUGCGCAUCCCGCCUCUCUGGUCGGCGUAAUGCCCGCCCACCUACCUGCUCGUUUCGUUGGUUGGCAUAGGCAUACGGAGUUCAUUCCCAGUCUAAGACCAGACUGGACCAAGGGUUACGGCAGUACGAUUGGCAGCCUGUUGAGGGGGACCCAGCCGAUCCCCUGCUUGCGCAUCCUGCUCCUCUAGCCGACUGAGCACCUGCACGCUCUUUUCGUGGGUUGACUUAGGCAUACGGAGUUCAUUCCAAGUCCAAGAUCGGACUGGACCGAGGGUUGUAGGUGCGUAUGCUGCGCUCGAGCAUGUGCUGGUGCCACAUUCUUUUUCGCCCGGUGCACCAUCGCCGGAGAACCUAACUGGCGGUAUUGGGGUUCCAACGAUUCGGGGGGGCCAGGGGGUGUGUGCACAUGAUGUGCGAUGGGUGUUGGUACUUGGCCCUUAUAUUGGCCCCCUAUCCCUCAUCAAACCUCGAGAACUCACACCCCCUUAAAAAGCAUUUGAAAUUUUACAGGUUUGCUGCCAGUAGCCAUUAAAGUGUCUGAAAUGGGGACACUUUUUUCAAAUGGUCACAAAAUCCUGUACACUUCGAUUUUUGAGCAGAAUUUUUUUGUACAUGCCAACAAAAAUACAAGGAUCACGCAUACCAAGUUUGGGUCCAGAACUCAUUCUGAAAAAAUUUUAAAAAAAUCUCGAACCGUAAAAAGUUUUAAAAAUCGUGAAAAAUAAAAAAUGAGUUGUCUUGCCAUGAAACUUCACAAGAAGGCUUAAGCGACCAUUGUGUGAAUUUACAAGCCAUAAAAAAUGGCAUUGGCAUGGCAGAAAUAUGAAGAUGUGCCUAAACCCACCUACCAUCCUAUUGAUCCACGACUUGCGCAUCCCGCCUCUCUGGCCGGCAUAGUGCCCGCCCGCCUUCCUGCUCGUUUCUUCGAUUGGCUUAGGCAUAUGGAGUUCAUUCCCAGUCUAAGAUCGGACCAAACCGAGGGUUGCAGCAGCAGGAUCGACAGCACGUUGAGGGGGACCCGACCGAUCCUCGGCUUGCGCAUCCUGCCCCUCCGGCUGAGCGCCCGCACACUCGUUUCGUGGGUUGACUUAGGCAUACAGAGUUCAUUCCCCGUCUAAGAUCGGAGGGGAUCGAGGGUUGCGGGGGCACAUGCUGGGCUCGGGCAUGUGCUAGUGCUGCAUUUUUUUUUGCCCAGGGCACCAUCACCGGAGAACCUGACCAACGGCAUUGAGGUUCCGGCGAUUGGGGGGGUGGGGGUGUGCGCACAUUAUGUGUGAUGGGUGCUGGUACUUGGCCCUUAUAUUCGCCCCCUAUCCCUCAACAAACCUCGAGAACUCACACCCCCUUAAAGAGCAUUUGAGAUUUUACAGGUUUGCUGCCAAUAGCAAUUAAAGUGUUUGAAAUGGGGACACUUUUUUCAAAUGGUCACAAACUUUGAGUUUUUAGCUGAAUUUUUUUGUGCAUGGCAAAAAAAAAUACAAGGAUCAUGUCUACCAAGUUUGGGGCUAAAACUCCUUCUGAAAAAAUAUUAAAAAAAUCUCAAACCGUAAAAAGUUUCAAAAAUCAAGAAAAAUAGAAAAUGAGUUGUCUUGCCAUGAAACUUCACAUGAAGGCUUAAGGGACCAUUGUAUGAAUUUACAAGCCAUAAAUUUGGCAUUGGCAUGGCGGAAAUAUGAAGAUGUGCCUAAACCCACCUACCACCCUAUUGAUCCAUGGCUUGCGCAUCCCGUAACUCUGGCCGGCGUAGUGCCCGCCUGCUCGCCCACUCGUUUCGUCGGUUGGCUUAGGCAUACGGAGUUCAUUCCCAGUCUAAGAUCGGACCGGAUGGAGGGUUACGACAGUAGGAUUGGCAGCACGUUGAGGGGGACCCGAUCAAUCCCCGGCUUGCGCAUUCUGCCCCUCUGGCUGGCUGAGCGCCCGUACACUCGUUUCAUGGGUUGACUUAGGCAUACAAAGUUAAUUCCCAGUCUAAGAUCAGAGCGGAUCGAGGGUUGUGGGUGCACAUGCUGGGCUCGGGCUUGUGCUGGUGCCGCAUCUUUUUUUGCACGGGCACUAUCGUCGGAGCAUCGUCGGAGAACCUGACCAGCGGCAAUGGGGUUCCGGCAAUUGGAGGGGCCGGGGGGUGGGGUGUACACACAUGAUGCGCAAUGGGUGCUGGUACUUGGCCCUUAUAUUGGCCCCCUAUCCCUGAUCAAACCUCGAGAGCUCACACCCCCUUAAAGAGCAUUUGAGAUUUUACAGGUUUUUGCCAGUAGCCAUUAAAGUGUUUGGAAUGGGGACACUUUUUUCAAAUGGUCACAAAAUCCUGUACACUUCGAGUUUUUAGCUGAAUUUUUUUGUGCAUGCCAACAAAAAUACAAGGAUCAUGUCUACCAUGUUUGGGGCCAAAACUCCUUCUGAAAAAACUUUAAAAAUUCUCGGGCAUGUGCUGGUGCCACAUUUUUUUUCGUUGGGGGCACCAUCGUCGGAGCAUCACCGGAGAACCUGACCGGCGGCAUUGGGGUUCCGGCGAUUAGGGGGGCCGAGGGGGUGUGUGCACAUGAUGUGUGAUGGGUGCUGGUACUUGGCUCUUAUAUUGGCCCCCUAUCACUCAUCAAACCUCGAAAACUCACACCCCCUUAAAGAGCAUUUGAGAUUUUACAGGUUUGCUGCCAGUAGCCAUUAAAGUGUCUGAAAUGGGGACACUUUUUCCAAAUGGUCACAAAAUCCUGUACACUAUGAGUUUUUAGUUGAAUUUUUUUGUGCAUGCCAAAAAAAAUACAAGGAUCGUGUCUACCAAGUUUGGGACCAAAACUCCUUCUGAAAAUUUUUUUAAAAAAUCUCGAACCGUAAAAAGUUUCGAAAAUCGUGAAAAAUAGAAAACGAUUCGUCUUGCCAUGAAACUUCACAUGAAGGCUUAAGGGACCAUUGUAUGAAUUUACAAGCCAUAAAAAAGGCAUUGGCAUGACAAAAAUAUGAAGAUGUGCCUAAACCCACCUACCACCCUAUCGAUCCAUGACUCACGAAUCCCAUCUCUCUGAUCGGUAUAGUGCCCGCCCACCCGCCCGCUUGUUACAUCGGUUGACUUAGGCGUACGGAGUUCAUUCCCAGUCUAAGAUUGGAUUGGAUCAAGGGUUGCAACAGCAGGAUCGGGAACAUGCAGAGGGGGACCCGACAGAUCCCCGACUUGUGCAUCCUACCCAUCGGGCUGGCUGAGCGCCCGCACGUUCGUUUCCUGUGUUGACUUAGGCAUACGGAGUUCAUUCCCAGUCUAAGCAUACGAAGUUCUUUCCCAGUCUAAGAUCAGACCGGACUGAGGGUUACGGGUGCACAUCCUGGGCUCGGGUAUGUGCUGGUACCACAUUUGUUUUCACCCGGGGCACCAUCGUCGUAGAACCUGACUGACGGCAUUGGGGUUUCGACGAUUGGGGGGGUGAGGGGGUGCACACAUGAUGUGCGAUGGGUGCUGGUACUUGGCCCUUAUAUUGACCCCCUAUCCCUCAUCAAAGUCCGAGAACUCACACCCCCUUAAAGAGCAUUUGAGAUUUUACAGGCUUGCUGUCAGUAGCUAUUAAAGUGUCUGAAAUGGGGACACUUUUUUCAAAUGGUCACAAAAUCCUAUGCACUUCGAGUUUUUAUCUAAAUUUUUUUGUGCAUGCCCAAAAAAAUACAAGGAUCACGUCUACCAAGUUUGCGGCCAAAACUCCCUCUGAAAAAAUUUAAAAAAAUCUCGAUUCGUAAAAAGUUCCAAAAAUCGUGAAAAAUAGAAAACGAGUCGUCUUGCCAUGAAACUUCACAUGAAGGCUUAAGGCACCAUUGUAUGAAUUUACAAGCAAUAAAAGGCAUUGGCAUGGCAGAAAUAUGAAGCUGUGCCUAAACCCACCUACCAACCUAUCGAUCCACGACUUGCGCAUCCCGUCUCUUUGGUCGGCGUACAGCCCGCCCGUCCGCCUGCUGGUUUCAUCGGUUUGCUUAGGCAUACGGUGCUCAUUCCUAGUCUAAGAUCAGACCAGACUGAGGGUUGCGGCAGUAGGAUCGGCAGCACGCUAAGGGCGACCCGGUCGAUCCCCGGAUUGUGCAUCUCGCCCCUCUGGCCGGUUGAACGCCCACACGCUCAUUUUAUGGGUUGACUUAGGCAUACGGAGUUCAUUCCUAGUCUAAGAUCGGACCGAACCGAGGGUUAUGGGUGCAAAUGCUUGGCUCGGGCAUGUGUUGGUGCCGUAUCUUUUUUCUCCUAUGGCACCAUCGCCGGAGCAUCAUCGGAGAACCUGACCGACGACAUUGGGAGGGGCCGGGGGUGUGCACACAUGAUGUGCGAUGGGUGCUGGUACUUGGCCCUUAUAUCGGCCCCCUAUCCCUCAUCAAACCCCAAGAACUCACACCCCCUUAAAGAGCAUUUGAGAUUUUACAAGUUUGCUGCCAGUAGCCAUUAAAGUGUCUGAAAUGGGGACACUUUUUUCAAAUGGUCACAAAAUCCUAUGCACUUCGAGUUUUUGUCUGAAUUUUUUUGUGCAUGCCCAAAAAAAUACAAAGAUCACAUCUACCAAGUUUGGGGCCAAAACUCCCUCUGAAAAAAUUUAAAAAAAUCUCGAAUCGUAAAAAGUUCCAAAAAUCAUGAAAAAUAGAAAACGAGUCGUCUUGCCAUGAAACUUCACAUGAAGGCUUAAGGGACCAUUGUAUGAAUUUACAAGCCAUAAAAAUGGCAUUGGCUUGGCAGAAAUAUGAAGAUGUGCCUAAACCCACCUACCACCCAAUCGAUCCACGGCUUGCGCAUCCCGCCUCUUUGGCUGGCGUAGUGCCCGCCCGUCCGCCUGCUGGUUUCGUCAGUUUGCUUAGGCAUACGGUGUUCAUUCCCAGUCUAGGAUCAAACCAAACCGAGGGUUGCGGCAGUAGGAUCGAUAGCACGCUAAGGGGGACCCUAUCGAUCCCCGGAUUGUGCAUCCCGCCCCUCUAGCCGGUUGAGCGCCCGUAAGCUCGUUUUAUGGGUUGACAUAGGCAUACGGAGUUCAUUCCCAGUCUAUGAUCAGACCGAACCGAGGGUUACGGGUGCAAAUGUUGGGCUCGAGCAUGUGGUGGUGCCGUAUUUUUUUUCGCCUGGGGCAUCAUCGCUGGAGCAUCAUUGGAGAACCUGACCAGCGACAUUGGGGUUCUGGUGAUUGGGGGGGCCGAGGGGUUGUGCACACAUGAUGUGCGAUGGGUGCUGGUACUUGGCCCUUAUAUUGGCCCCCUAUCCCUCAUCAAACCUCGAGAACUCACACCCACUUAAAGAGCAUUUGAUAUUUUACAGGUUUGCUGCCAGUAGCCAUUAAAGUGUUUGAAAUGGGGACACUUUUUUCUAAUGGUCACAAAAUCUUGUACACUUCGAGUUUUUAGCUGAAUUUUUUGUGCAUGCCAAAAAAAAUACAAGGAUCAUGUCUACCAAGUUUGGAGCCAAAACUCCUUCUGAAAAAAUUUUAAAAAAAAUCUUGAACCGUAAAAAGUUUUGAAAAUCGUGAAAAAUAGAAAACGAGUCGUCUUGCCAUGACACUUCACAUGAAGGCUUAAGGGACCAUUGUAUGAAUUUACAAGCCAUAAAAGUGGCAUUGGCACGGCAAAAAUAUGAAGAUGUGCCUAAACCCACCUACCACCCUAUCGAUCAACGGCUUGCGCAUCCCGCCUCUCUAGUCGACGUAGUGCCGCCCGCCACCCGCUCUUUUUGUCGGUUGUCUUAGGCAUACGGAGUUCAUUCCCAGUCUAAGAUCGAUCCGAACCAAAGGUUGCAGCAGUAGGAUCGACAGCACACUGAGGGGGACACAGCCGAUCCCUGGCUUGCGCAUCCUGCCCCUCUGACCGACUGAGCGUCCGCACGCUUUUUUCGUGGGUUGACUUAGGCAUACGGAGUUCAUUCACAGUCUAAGAUCAGACCGGACCGAGGGUUAUGGGUGCACAUGCUGGGCUCGGGCAUGUGUUGGUGCCACAUUUUUUUUCGCUCGAGGCACCAUCGCCGGAUCAUCGUCGGAGAACCUGACCAGCGGCAUUGGGGUUCCGGCGAUUGGGAGGGCCGAGGGGGUGAGCGCACAUGAUGUGCGAUGGGUGCUAGUACUUGGCCCUUAUAUUGGCCCCCUAUCCCUCAUCGGACAUCGAGAACUCACCCCCCCUUAAAGAGUAUUUGGGAUUUUACAGGUUUGCUGCCAGUAGCCAUUAAAGUGUUUGAAAUGGGGACACUUUUUUCAAAUUGUCACAAAAUCCUGUACACUUCGAGUUUUUAGCUGGAUUUUUUUAUGCAUGCCAACAAAAAUGCAAGGAUCACGUCUACCAAGUUUUGGGCCAAAACACCUUCUGAAAAAAUUUUAAAAAAUCUCGAACCGUAAAAAGUUUCAAAAAUCGUGAAAAAUAAAAAAUGAGUCGUCUUGCCACGAAACGUCACAUGAAGGUUUAAGGGACCAUUUUAUGAAUUUACAAGCCAUAAAAAUGGCAUUGGCAUGGCAGAAAUAUGAAGAUGUGCCUAAACUCACCUACCAUCCUAUCGAUCCACGGCUUGCGCAUCUCGCCUGUCUAGUCGCCAUAGUGCCCGCCCGCUCAUUUUGUCUGUUGGCUUAGGCAUACGGAGUUCAUUCCCAGUCUAAGAUUAGACCAGACCUAGGGUUGCAGCACCAUCGUCGGAGCAUCGUCGGAGAACCUGACCGGUGGCAUUGGGGUUCCGGUGAUUGAGGGGCCCGAAGGGAGUAUGCGCACAUGAUGUGCGAUGGGUGCUGGUACUUGGCCCUUAUAUUGGCCCCCUAUCCCUCAUCAAACCUCGAGAACUCACUCCCCCUUAAAGAGCGUUUGAGAUUUUACAGGUUUGCUGCUAGUAGCCAUUAAAGUGUCUGAAAUGGGGACACUUUUUCAAAUGGGUCACAAAUCCUGUACACUUCGAGUUUUUAGGCUGAAUUUUUGUGCAUGCCAAAAAAAAUACAAGGAUCAUGUCUACAAAGUUUGGGACCAAAACCCCUUUUGAAAAAAUUUUAAAAAAAUCUCGAAUCGUAAAAAGUUUCAAAAAUCGUGAAAAAUAGAAAACGAGUGGUCUUGCCAUGAAACUUCACAUGAUGGCUUAAGGGACCAUUGCAUGUUUUUACAAGCCAUAAAAAUGGCAUUGGCAUGGCAGAAAUAUGAAGAUGUGCCUAAACCCAUUUACCACAACAUCGAUCCAUGGCUUGCGCAUCCCGCCUCUCUGGCCGGCAUAGUGCCCGCCCGACCGCCCACUCGUUUUGUCAGUUGGCUUAGGCAUACGAAUUUCAUUCCCAGUCUAAGACUGGAUCAGACCGAGGGUUGAGGUAGCAGGAUCGGUAGCACGCAGAGGGGGACCCGACCGAUCCCCGACUUGCGCAUCCUACCCCUCUGACCGGCUAAGCACCCGCACGCUCGUUUCAUCUGUUGACUUAGGCAUACGGAGUUCAUUCCCAGUCUAAGAUUGGAUCAGACCGAGGGUUUUGGGUGCACAUGCGAGCUCAGCCACGUACCAGUGUCAUAUUUUUUUCGCCCGAGGUACCAUCGCCAGAGCAUCGUCAGAGAACCUGACCGGCGGCAUUGGGGUUUCGGUGAUUGGGGGGCCCGAGGGGAGUGUGCGCACAUGAUGUGCGAUGGGUGCUGGUACUUGGCCCUUAUAUUGGCCCCCUAUCCCUCAUCAAACCUUGAGACUCACAACCCCUUAAAGAGCAUUUGAGAUUUUACAGGUUUGCUGCCAGUAGCCAUUAAAGUGUUUGAAAUGGGGACACUUUUUUCAAAUGGUCACAAAAUCCUGUACACUUCGAGUUUUUAGCUGAAUUUUUUUGUGCAUGUGAGCAAAAAUACAAUGAUCACGUCUACCUAAUUUGGGUCCAAAACUCCUUCUGAAAAAAUUUUAAAAAAAUCCCGAAUCGUAAAAAGUUUCAAAAAUCAUGAAAAAUAGAAAACGAGUCGUCUUGCCCUGAAACUUCACAUGAAGGCUUAAGGGACCAUUGUAUGAAUUUAUAAGCCAUAAAAAUGGCAUUGGAACGGUAGAAAUAUGAAUAUGUGCCUAAACCCACCUACCACCCAAUCGAUCCACGGCUUGCGCAUCCCGCCUCUCUGGCCGGCAUUGUGCCCGCCUGCCCGCCCACUCGUUUCCUCGGUUGGCUUAGGCAUACGGAGUUCAUUCCCAAUCUAAGAUUGGAUCAGACUGAGGGUUGAGGUAGCAGGAUUGGCAGCACACUAAGGGGGACCCGGCCGAUCCCCGGCAUGCGCAUCUUGCCACUUUGGCCGACUGAGCGCCCGCACGCUCGUUUCGUGGGUUGACUUAGGCAUACGGAGUUCAUUCCUAGUCUAAGCAUACGGAGUUCAUUCCUAGUCUAAGAUCAGACCGGACCGAGGGUUGCAGGUGCACAUGCUGGGCUCGGGCAUCGUUGGUGUCGUAUUUUUUUCGCCCAGGGCACCAUCGCCGGAGCAUCGUCGGAGAACCUGAUCGGCAACAUUGGGGUUCUGGGAUUGAGGGGGGCCGGGGGGUGUGCGCACAUGAUGUGCGAUGGGUGCUGGUACUUGGCCCUUAUAUUGGCCCCCUAUCUCUCAUCAAACCUCGAGAACUCACAUCCCCUUAAAGAGCAUUUGAGAUUUUAUAGGUUGGCUGCUAGUAGCCAUUAAAGUGUCUAAAAUGGGGACACUUUUUUCGAAUGGUCAAAAAAUCCUAUACACGUCGAGUUUUUAGCUGAAUUCUUUUGUGCAUGCCCACAAAAACACAAGGAUCACGUCUACGAAGUUUGGGGCCAAAACUCCAUCUAAAAAAAUUAUAAAAAUCCCAAACCGUAAAAAGUUUCGAAAAUCAUGAAAAAUAGAAAACGAGUCAUCUUGCCAUGAAACUUCACAUGAAGGCUUAAGGGACCAUUGUAUGAAUUUACAAGCCAUAAAAAUGGCAUUGGCACAGCAAAAAUUUGAAGAUGUGCCUAAACCCACCUACCACCCUAUCGAUCCAUGGCUUGCGCAUCCUGCCUCUCCGGCUGGCGUAGUGCCCGACCGCCUGUUCGUUUCGUUGGUUGGCUUUGGCAUACGAAAUUCAUUCCCAGUCUAAGAUCGGUCUGAACCGAGGGUUCCAGCAGCAGGAUCGGCAGCACGUUGAGGAGGACCUGGUCGAUCCCCGACUUGCGCAUCCUGCCCUUCUGGACGGUUGAACGCCCGCAUGCUCAUUUCGUGGGUUGACUUAGGCAUACGGAGUUCAUUCCCAGUCUAAGCAUAAGGAGUUCAUUCCUAGUAUAAGAUCAGACCGGACCGAGGGUUCCGGGUGCACAUGUUGGGCUCGAGCAUGUGCUGGUGCCGCAUUUGUUUUCACCCGGGGCACCAUCGCCGGAGAACCAGACCGGCGGCAUUAGGGUUCCAGCGAUUGGGGGGCCGGGGGUGUGCGCACAUGAUGUGCGAUGGGUGCUGGUACUUGGCCCUUAUAUUGGCCCCCUAUCCCUCAUCAAACCUUGAGAACUCACACACCCUUAAAGAGCAUUUGAGAUUUUACAGGUUUGCUGCCAGUAGCCAUUAAAGUGUCUUAAAUAGGGACAUUUUUUUCAAAUGGUCACAAAAUCCUGUACACUUCGAGUUUGUAGCUGAAUAUUUUUGUGCAUGCAAUAAAAAAUACAAGGAUCAUGUCUACCAUUUUUGGGGCCAAAACUCCUUCUGAAAAAAUUUUAAAAAAAUCCCGAAUCGUAAAAUGUUUCAAAAAUCGUGAAAAAUAGAAAACGAGUCGUCUUGCCAUGAAACUUCACAUGAAGGCUUAAGGGACCAUUGUAUGAAUUUACAAGCCAUAAAAAUGGCAUUGGCGUGGCAAAAAUAUGAAGAUGUGCCUAAACCCUCCUACUACCCUAUCGAUCCACGGCUUGCGCAUCCCGCCUCUCUGGCCGGUGUAGUGCCUGCUCACCCGCUCGUUUCGUCGAUUGGCUUAUGCAUACGGAGUUCAUUCCCAUUCUAAGAUUGAACCAAAUUGAAGGUUGCGGUAGCAGGAUCGACAGCACGCUAAGGGUGACCUGACCGAUCCCAGGCUUGUGCAUCCUACCCCUCUGGUCGGCUGAGCACCCGCACGCUCGUUUCGUGGGUUGACUUAGGCAUACAGAGUUCAUUCCCAGUCUAAGCAUACGGAGUUCAUUCCCAGUAUAAGAUCCGAUCAGACCGAGGGUUAUGGGUGCACAUGCUGGGCUCGAGCAUGUGCUGGUGCCGUAUUUUUUUCGCCUGGGCCACCAUCGCCGGAGCAUCACCGAAGAACCUGACCGGUGACAUUGGGGUUUCGAUGAUUGGGGGGGCGAGGGCCGGUGUGCGCACAUGAUGUGCGAUGGGUGCUGGUACUUGGCCCUUAUAUUGGCCCCUUAUCCUUCAUCAAACCGCGAAAACUCACACCCCUUUAAAGAGCAUGUGCUGAGCGCCCGCACGCUCGUUUUGUCUGUUGGCUUAGGCAUACGGAGUUCAUUCCCAAUCUAAGAUCAGACCGAACCAAGGGUUGUGAUAGCAGGAUCAGUAGCAUGCAGAGGGGGACCCGACGGAUCCCCGGGUUGUGCAUCCUGCCCCUCUGGCUGGCUGAACGCCUAUACGCUCGUUCCAUGGGUUGACUUAGGCAUACGGAGUUCAUUCCCAGUCUAAGCAUACAGAGUUCAUUCCCAGUCUAAGAUCGGACUGGACCGAAGGUUACGGGUGCACAUGCUGGGCUCAGGCAUAUGCUUGUGCCACAUUUUUUUCGCCCAAGGCACCAUUGCCGGAGCAUCGUCGAAGAACCUAACCGGCGGCAUUGGGGUUCCAACGAUUGGGGGGGCCGUGGGGGGUGUGCGCACAUGAUGUGCGAUGGGUACUGGUACUUGGCCUUUAUAUUGGCCCCCUAUCCCUUAUCAAACCUCGAGAACUCACACCCCCUUAAAAAGCAUUUGAGAUUUUACAGGUAUGCUGGCAGUAGCCAUUAAAGUGUCUGAAAUGGAGACACUUUUUUUGAAUGGUUACAAAAUCCUAUGCACUUCGAGUUUCGAGUUGAAUUUUUUUGUGCAUGCUAACAAAAAUACAAGGAUCACGUUUACCAAGCUUGGGGCCAAAACUCAUUCUGAAAAAAUUUAAAAAAAAAUCUGGAACCGUAAAAAGUUUUGAAAAUCGUGAAAAAUAAAAAACGAGUCGUCUUGCUAUGAAACUUCACAUGAUGGCUUAGGGGACCAUUGUAUGAAUUUACAAGCCAUAAAAAUGGAAUUGUCCUAAAGCCAACUACGACCUUAUCGAUCCACGGCUUGUGCAUCCUACCUCUCUCAGCCGAAGUAGUGCCCGUCCGGCCGCCCGCUCGUUNNNNNNNNNNNNNNNNNNNNNNNNNNNNNNNNNNNNNNNNNNNNNNNNNNNNNNNNNNNNNNNNNNNNNNNNNNNNNNNNNNNNNNNNNNNNNNNNNNNNNNNNNNNNNNNNNNNNNNNNNNNNNNNNNNNNNNNNNNNNNNNNNNNNNNNNNNNNNNNNNNNNNNNNNNNNNNNNNNNNNNNNNNNNNNNNNNNNNNNNNNNNNNNNNNNNNNNNNNNNNNNNNNNNNNNNNNNNNNNNNNNNNNNNNNNNNNNNNNNNNNNNNNNNNNNNNNNNNNNNNNNNNNNNNNNNNNNNNNNNNNNNNNNNNNNNNNNNNNNNNNNNNNNNNNNNNNNNNNNNNNNNNNNNNNNNNNNNNNNNNNNNNNNNNNNNNNNNNNNNNNNNNNNNNNNNNNNNNNNNNNNNNNNNNNNNNNNNNNNNNNNNNNNNNNNNNNNNNNNNNNNNNNNNNNNNNNNNNNNNNNNNNNNNNNNNNNNNNNNNNNNNNNNNNNNNNNNNNNNNNNNNNNNNNNNNNNNNNNNNNNNNNNNNNNNNNNNNNNNNNNNNNNNNNNNNNNNNNNNNNNNNNNNNNNNNNNNNNNNNNNNNNNNNNNNNNNNNNNNNNNNNNNNNNNNNNNNNNNNNNNNNNNNNNNNNNNNNNNNNNNNNNNNNNNNNNNNNNNNNNNNNNNNNNNNNNNNNNNNNNNNNNNNNNNNNNNNNNNNNNNNNNNNNNNNNNNNNNNNNNNNNNNNNNNNNNNNNNNNNNNNNNNNNNNNNNNNNNNNNNNNNNNNNNNNNNNNNNNNNNNNNNNNNNNNNNNNNNNNNNNNNNNNNNNNNNNNNNNNNNNNNNNNNNNNNNNNNNNNNNNNNNNNNNNNNNNNNNNNNNNNNNNNNNNNNNNNNNNNNNNNNNNNNNNNNNNNNNNNNNNNNNNNNNNNNNNNNNNNNNNNNNNNNNNNNNNNNNNNNNNNNNNNNNNNNNNNNNNNNNNNNNNNNNNNNNNNNNNNNNNNNNNNNNNNNNNNNNNNNGCGGUGGCAGGAUCGGUAGCACACAAAGGGGGACUCGAUCGAUCCCCGGCUUAUGCAUCCUACCCCUCUGGCCGGCUGAGCGCCCGUACGCUCAUUUCGUGGGUUGACUUAGGCAUACGGAGUUCAUUCCUAGUUUAAGCAUACGGAGUUCAUUCCCAGUCUAAGAUCAAACCGGACCGACGGUUGCGGGUGCACAUGCUGGGCUCGGGCAUGGGCUGGUGCCAUAUUUUUUUUUGCUCGGGCCACUAUCAUCGAAGAACGUGGCCGACGGCAUUGGGGUUUCGAUGAUUGGGGGGCCGGGGGCUGUGCGCACAUGAUGUGAGAUGGGUGCUGGUACUUGGCCCUUAUAUUGGCCCCCUAUCCCUCAUCAAACCUCGAGAACUCACACCCCCUUAAAGAGCAUUUGAGAUUUUAUAGGUUUGCUGCCAGUAGCCAUUAAAGUGUCUAAAAUGGGGACACUUUUUUCAAAUGGUCACAAAAUCCUGUACACUUCGAGUUUUUGGCUCAAUUUUUUUGUGCAUGCCAAUAAAAAUACAAGGAUCACGUCUACCAAGUUUGGGGCCAAAACUCCUUCUGAAAAAAUUUUUAAAAAAUCCUGAACCGUAAAAAGUUUCAAAAAUCAUGUAAAGUAGAAAACGAGUCGUCUUGCCAUGAAACUUCGCAUGAAGGCUUAAGGGACCAUUGUAUGAAUUUGCAAGCCAUAAAAAUGGCAUUGGCAUGGCAGAAAUAUUAAGAUGUGCCUAAACCAACCUACCACCCUAUCCAUCCACGACUUGCGCAUCCUGCCUCUCUGGUCGGCGUAGUGCCCGCCCGCCCACCCGUUCGUUUCGUCGGUUGGCUUAGGCAUACGGAGUUCAUUCCCAGUCUAAGAUCCAAUCAGACUGAGGGUUGUGGCCGCACAAUCAGCACCACACUGAGGGGGAUCGGGCCGAUCCCCGGCUUGUGCAUCCUACCCCUCUGGCCGGCUGAACGCCCGUACGCUCGUUUUGUGGGUUGACUUAGGCAUACAAAGUUCAUUCCCAGUCUAAAAUCAGACCAGACUGAGGGUUUUGGGUGCACAUGCUGGGCUCGGGCAUGUGCUGGUGCCGUAUUUUUUUUCCCCCGGGGCACCGUCGUUGGAGCAUCGUCAAAGAACAUGGCCGAUGGCAUUGGGGUUCCGACGAUUAAGGGGGCCAGAGGGGGUGUGCACACAUGAUGUACGAUGGGUGCUGGUACUUGGCCCUUAUAUUGGCCCCCUAUCCCUCAUCAAACCUUGGGAACUCACACCCCCUUAAAGAGCUUUUGAGAUUUUACAAGUUUGCUGCCAGUAGCCGUUAAAAGGUAUGAAAUGGGGACAUUUUUUUCAAAUUAUCACAAAAUCCUGUACACUUUGAGUUCAUUCCUAGUCUAAGAUCGGACCAGACUGAGGGUUGCGGUAGCAGGAUCGGCAACACAUAGAGGGGGACCCGACUGAUCCCCGGCUUGCGCAUCCUGCCCUAUGGCCGGUUGAGCGCCCGCACGCUCGUUUCGUGGGUUGACUUAGACAUACGGAGUUCAUUCGCAGUCUAAGCAUACGGAGUUCAUUUGCAGUCUAAGCAUAUGGAGUUCAUUCCCAGUCUAAGAUCGGAUCGGAUUGAGGGUUACGGGUGCACAAGCUAGGCUCGGGCAUGUGCUGGUGUCGCAUUUUUUUCGCCCGUGGCACCGUCGUCGGAGAACCUGACCGGUGGCAUUGGGGUUCCGAUGAUUGGGGGCGGGGGGGUGUGCACACACAAUGUGUGAUGGGUGGUGGUACUUGGCCUUAUAUUGGCCCCCUAUCCCUCAUUAAACCUCGAGAACUCACACCUCCUUAAAGAGCAAUUGAGAUUUUACAGGUUUGCUACCAGUAGCCAUUAAAGUGUCUGAAAUGAGGACACUUUUUUCAAAUGGUCACAAAAUCCUGUACACUUCGAGUUUUUAGCUGAAUUUUUUUGUGCAUGCCAACAAAAAUACAAAGAUAACGUCUACCAAGUUUGGGGCCAAAAAUUCUUCUGAUAAAAUUUUAAAAAAAUCUUGAACCGUAAAAAGUUUCAAAAAUCAUUAAAACUAGAAACGAGUCAUCUUGCCAUGAAACUUCACAUGAAGGCUUAAGGGAGCAUUGUACGAAUUUACAAGCCAUAAAAGUGGCAUUCGCAUGGAAAAAAUAUGAAGAUGUGCCUAAACCCACCUACCACCCUAUCGAUCCAUGGCUUGCGCAUCUCGCCUCUCUGGACGGCGUAGUGCCCGUCUGCCCGCCUGCUCAUUUCGUCGGUUGGCUUAGGCACACAGAGUUCAUUCCCAGUCUAAGAUCAGACCGGACCGAGGGUUGCGGGUGCACUUCCUGGGCUCAGGCAUGUGCUGGUGCCGCAUUUUUUUUCACCUAGGGCGCCAUCACCGGAGCAUCGCCGGAGAACCUGACCAGCGGCAUUGGGGUUCCGGCGAUUGGGGGGAACGAGGGGGUGUGCGCACAUUAUGUGUGAUGAGUGCUGAUACUUUGCCCUUAUAUUGGCCCCUAUCCCUCAUCAAACCUCGAGAACUCACACCCCCUUAAUGAGCAUUUGAGAUUUUACAGGUUUGCUACCAGUAGCCAUUAAAGUGUCUGAAAUGGGGACACUUUUUUGAAAUUGUCACAAAAUCCUGUAAACUUUCAGUUUUUAGCUGAAUUUUUUUAUGCAUGCCAAAAAAAGUACAAGGAUCAAGUCUACCAAGUUUGUGGCUAGCACUCCAUCUGAAAAAAUUUUAAAAAAAUCCCGAACCUUAAAAAGUUUUAAAAAUCGUGAAAAAUAGAAAACGAGUCGUCUUGCCAUGAAACUUCACAUGAAGGCUUAAGGGACCAUUGUAGGAAUUUACAAGCCAUAAAAAUGGCAUUGGCAUGGUAGAAAUAUGAAGAUGUGCCUAAACCCACCUACCACACUAUCGAUCCACGACUUGUCUAUCCCGCCUCUCUGGCCGGCCUAGUGCCCGCCCGUCCGCCCGCUCAUUUCGUCGAUUGGCUUAAGCAUACGGAGUUCAUUCCCAGUCUAAGAUCAGACCGGAUCGAGGGUUGUGGCAACAGGAUCAGUAGCAUAUAAAGGGGGACCCGACCAAUUCUCGGCUUGUGCAUCCUGUGCCUCUGGCCGACUGAGUGCCCGCACGCUCGUUUCAUGGGUUGACUUAGGCAUACGCAGUUCAUUCCCAGUCUAAGCAUACAGAGUUCAUUCCCAGUCUAAGAUCAAAUUGGAUUGAGGGUUGCGACAGCAGGAUCGGCAGCACACAAAGGGGGACCCGACCGAUCCCCGGCUUACGCAUCCUGCCCCUCUGGCCGGUUGAGCGACCGCACGCUCAUUUCGUAGGUUGACUUAGGCAUACGGAGUUCAUUCCUAGUCUAAGCAUACGGAGUUCAUUCCCAGUCUAAGAUUGAACUGGAUCGAAAAUUGCGAGUGCACAAGCAAGGCUCGGGCAUGGGCUGGUGCCGUAUUUUUUUUCGCUCGAGACACUAUCGCUGGAGAACGUGACCGGCGGCAUUGGGGUUCCGAUGAUUGGGGGGGCCGAGGGGUGUGCGCACAUGAUGUGAGAUGGGUGCUGGUACUUGGCCCUUAUAUUGGCCCCCUAUCCCUCAUCAAACCUCGAGAACUCACACCCCCUUAAAGAGCAUUUGAGAUUUUACAGGUUUGCUGCCAGUAGCCAUUAAAGUGUCUAAAAUGGGGACACUUUUUUCAAAUGGUCACAAAAUCCUGUACACUUCGAGUUUUUGGCUCAAUUUUUUUGUGCAUGCCAAUAAAAAUACAAGGAUCACAUCUACCAAGUUUAGGGCCAAAACUCCUUCUAAAAAAAUUUUUAAAAAAUCCUGAACCGUAAAAAGUUUCAAAAAUCAUGAAAAGUAGAAAAUGAGUCGUCUUGCCAUGAAACUUCGCAUGAAGGCUUAAGGGACCAUUGUAUGAAUUUACAAGCCAUAAAAAUGGCAUUGGCAUGGCAAAAAUAUGAAGAUGUGCCUAAACCCACCUACCACCCUAUCGAUCCACGGCUUACGCAUCCCGCCUCUCUGGCCGACGUAGUGCCCUCCUACCUGCCAGCUCAUUUCGUCGGUUGGCUUAGGCAUACAAAGUUCAUUCCUAGUCUAAGAUAUGAUCAGAUCGAGGGUUGCGGCAGCAGGAUCGACAGCACACAGAGGGGGACCCGACCGAUCCUUGACUUGUGCAUCCUACCCCUCUGGUCGGCUGAGCGCCUGCCCACUCGUUUCGUCGGUUGGCUUAGGCAUACGGAGUUCAUUCCCAGUCUAAGAUCAGAUCAAAUCGAGGGUUACAGUAGCAGGAUCGAUAGCACGCUGAGGGUAACCGGGCCGAUCCCCCGCUUGCGCAUCCUGCCCCUCUGGCCAACUGAGCACUCACACGCUGGUUUCGUGGGUUGACUUAGGCAUACGGAGUUCAUUCCCAGUCUAAGAUCGGACCAGACCGAGGGUUAUGGGUGCACAUGCUGGGCUCGGGCAUGUGCUGGUGCUACAUUUUUUUUCACUCGGGGCACCAUCGUCGGAGCAUCGCCAGAGAACCUGAUCGAUGGCAUUGGGGUUCCGACGAUUUGGGGGGGUCGAGGGUAUGCGCAGAUGAUGUGCGAUGGGUGCUGGUACUUAGCCCUUAUGUUGGCCCCCUAUCCCUCAUCAAACCUCAAGAACUCACACCCCCUUAAAGAGCAUUUGGGAUUUUAUAGGUUUGCUGCCAGUAGCCAUUAAAGUGUCUAAAAUGGGGACAUUUUUUUCAAAUGGUCACAAAAUCCUGUACACUUCGAGUUUUUAGCUGAAUUUUUUUAUGCAUGCUAACAAAAAUACAAGGAUCAUGUCUACCAAGUUUGUUUCCAAAACCUGGUUCUGAAAAAUUAUUUAAAAAAUCCUUAACCGUAAAAAGUUUCCAAAAUCGUUAAAAAUAGAGAACGAGUCAUCUUGCCAUAAAACUUCACAUGAAGGCUUAAGAGACCAUUGUAUGAAUUUACAAGCCAUAAAAAUGGCAUUGGCAUGGAAAAAAUAUGAAGAUGUGCCUAAACCCACCUACGACCCUAUCGAUCCACGGCUUGCGCAUCCCGCCUCUUUGGCCGACGUAGUACCCGCCCGCCCGAUCGUUUCAUCGAUUGGCUUAGGCAUACGGAGUUCAUUCCUAGUCUAGGAUCAGACUGAACCGAGGGUUACGGUUGCAGGAUCGGUAGCACGUAGAGGGGGACCCGAUCGAUCCCUAGCUUGCGCAUCCUACCCUCUGGCCGGCUGAGCGCCUGCUCGCUCGUUUCAUGGGUUGACUUAGGCAUACAAAGUUCAUUCCCAGCCUAAGCAUGCAGAGUUCAUUCCCAGUCUAAGAUCGGAUCGGACCGAGGGUUGCGGGUGCACAUGCUGGGCUCGAGCAUGUGCUGGUGCCGCAUUUUUUUUCACUCGGGCCACCAUCAUCGGAGCAUCGUCGGAGAACCUGACUGGCGGCAUUGGGGAUACGCCGAUUGGAGGGGCCGGGGGGUGUGUGCACAUGAUGUGUGAUGGGUGCUGGUACUUGGCCCUUAUAUUGGCCCCCUAUCCCUCAUCAAACUUCCAGAACUCACACCCCCUUAAAGAGCAUUUGAGAUUUUACAGGUUUGCUGCCAGUAGCUAUUAAAGUGUCUAGAAUGGGGACACUUUUUUCAAAUGGUCACAAAAUCCUGUACACUUUGAGUUUUUAGCUGAAUUUUUUUAUGCAUGCCAAAAAAAAUACAAGGAUCACGUCUACCAAGUUUGGGGCCAAAACUCCUUCUGAAAAAAUUUUAAAAGAAAUCCCAAACCGUAAAAAGUUUUAAAAACCGUAAAAAAUAGAAAACAAGUCGUCUUGCCAUGAAACUUCACAUGAACGCUUAAGGGACCAUUGUAUGAAUUUACAAGCCAUAAAAAUGGCAUUGGCAUGGCAAAAAUAUGAAGAUGUGCCUAAACCCACCUACCACCCUAUCGAUCCACUACUUGCGCAUCUCGCUUCUCUGGCUGACGUAGUACCCGCCCGCCCGAUCGUUUCAUCGGUUGGCUUAGGCAUAUAGAGUUCAUUCCUAGUCUAGGAUUAGAUCAGACCGAGGUUUGAGGUAGCAGUAUCGACAGCGUGCAGAGGGGGACCCGAUCGAUCCUCGACUUACGCAUCCUGCCCUCUGACCGACUGAGCGCCCGCACGCUCGUUUCAUAGGUUGACUUAGGCAUAUGGAGUUCAUUCCCAGUCUAAGCAUGCAGAGUUCAUUCCCAGUCUAAGAUCAGACCAGACCGAGGGUUGUCGGUGCACAUGCUGGGCUUAGGCAUGUGCUGGUGCGGCAUUUCUUUUCACCCGGGCCACCAUCGCCAGAGCAUCGCCAGAGAACCUGACUGGCGGCAUUGAGGAUACGGCAAUUGGAGAGGCCGGGGGGGUGUGUGCACAGGAUGUGCGAUGGGUGCUGGUACUUGGCCCUUAAAUUGGCCCCCUAUCCCUCAUCAAACCUCGAGAACUCACACCCCCUUAAAGAGCAUUUGAAAUUUUACAGGUUUACUGCCAGUAGCCAUUAAUGUGUCUAAAAUGGGGACACUUUUUUCAAAUGGUCACAAAAUCCUGUACACUUUGAGUUUUUAGCUGAAUUUUUUUAUGCAUGCCAACAAAAAUACAAGGAUCACGUCUACCAAGUUUGGGGCUAAAACUCCUUCUGAAAAAAUUUUUAAAAAAAUACCGAAUCGUAAAAAGUUUUAAAAACUGUGAAAAAUAGAAAACAUGUCGUCUUGCCAUGAAACUUCACAUGAAGGCUUAACGGACCAUUGUAUGAAUUUACAAGCCAUAAAAAUGGAAUUGUCUUGGCAGAAAUAUGAAGAUGUGCCUAAACCCACCUACCACCCUAUCGAUCCACGGCUUGCGCAUCCUGCCUCUAUGGUCGACAUAGUGCCCGCCCGCCCACCUGCUCGUUUCGUCAGUUGGUUUAAGCAUACGGAGUUCAUUCCUAGUCUAAGAUUGGACCGGACUGAGGGUUGUGGUAGUAGGAUCGGCAGCACGCAGAAGGGGACCCAGCUGAUCCCCGAUGUGUGCAUCAUGCCCCUCUGGCCGGCUGAGCGCCCGCAUGCUCUUUUUGUGGGUCGACUUAGGCAUACGGAGUUCAUUCCCAGUCUAAGAUCGGACCAGAUUGAGGGUUGUGGGUGCACAUGUUGGGUUCGAGCAUGUGCUGGUGCCACAUUUUUUUCGCUCGGGGCACCGUCACCGGAGAACCUAAUCGACGGCAUUGGGGUUUCGACGAUUGGAGGGCGCGGGGGGGGGGUGUGCGCACAUGAUGUGCGAUGGGUGCUGGUACUUGGCCCUUAUAUUGGCCCCCUAUCCCUCAUCAAACCGUAAGAACUCACACCCCCUUAAAGAGCAUUUGAGAUUUUACAGGUUUGCUACCAGUAGCCAUUAAAGUGUCUGAAAUGGGGACACUUUUUUCAACUGGUCACAAAAUCUUAUACACUUCGAGUUUUUAGCUUAAUUUUUUUGGGCAGGCCAACAAAAAUACAAGGAUCACGUCUACCAAGUUUGGGAUAAAAAAUACUUCUAAAAAAAUUUUAAAAAAAUCUGCAACCGUAAAAAGUUUUGACAAUCGUAAACAAUAGAAAAUGAGUCAUCUUGCCAUGAAAUUUCACAUGAAGGCUUAAGGGACCAUUGUAUGAAUUUACAAGCCAUAAAAAUGGCAUUGGCAUUGCAGAAAUAUGAAGAUGUGCCUAAACCCACCUACCACCGUAUCGAUCCACGGCUUACGCAUCCCGCCUCUCUGGCUGGCAUAGUGCCCGCCUGUCCUCCCGCUCGUUUCGUCGGUUGGCUUAGGCAUACGGAGUUCAUUCCCAGUCUAAGAUGGGACUGAACCAGGGGUUGCGGCAGCAGGAUCGGUAGCACGAUGAGGGGGACCCAAUCGAUCCCCGGCUUGCGCAUCCUACCCCUCUGGCCGGCUGAGCCCGUACGCUCAUUCCGUGGGUUGACUUAGGCAUACAGAGUUCAUUCCCAAUCUUAGAUCGGACCAGACCGAGGGUUGCGGGUGCACAUGCUGGGCUCGAGCAUGUGCUGGUGCCUUAUUUUUUUUUCUCCCAGGGCACCAUCGUCGAAGCAUCAUCAGAGAACUUGACCGGCGGCAUUAGGGUUCCGGUGAUUGGGGGGCCGGGAGGGUGUGCGCACAUGAUGUGCGAUGGGUGCUGGUACUUGGCCCUUAUAUUGGCUCCCUGUCCCUCAUCAAACCUUGAGAACUCACACCCCCUUAAAGAGCAUUUGAGAUUUUACAGGUUUGCUACCAGUAGCCAUUAAAGUGUCUGAAAUGGGGACACUUUUUUCAAAUGGUCACAAAAUCCUGUACACUUCGAGUUUUUAGCUGAAUUUUUUUGUGCAUGCCAAAAAAAAACAAGGAUCAUGUCCACCAAGUUUGGGGCCAAAACUCCUUCUGAAAAAUUUUUUAAAAAAUCUCGAUCCGUAAAAAGUUUCAAAAAUCAUGAAAAAUAGAAAACGAGUCAUCUUGCCAUGAAACUUCCCAUGAAGGCUUAAGGGACCAUUGUAUGAAUUUACAAGCCAUAAAAAUGGCAUUGGCAUGGCAGAAAUAUGAAGAUGUGCCUAAACCCACCUACCACCCUAUCGAUCCACGGCUUGCGCAUCCCGCCUCUCUGGGCGGCGUAGUGCCCACCCGUCCGCCCACUCAUUUCAUCGGUUGGCUUAGGCAUACGGAGCUCAUUCCCAGUCUAAGAUCAGAUCGAAUGCUGAGGGGGACCCGAUCGAUCCUCGGCUUGCACAUCCUGCCCCAUUGGCCGGCUGUGCGCCCGCACGCUCGUUUCGUAGGUUGACUUAGGCAUACAAAGCUCAUUCCUAGUCUAAGAUCGAUCAGACCGAGGGUUACGAGUGCACAUGUUGGGCUCGAACAUAUGCGGGUGUCGCAUUUUUUUUUGCCCGGGGCACCAUCGUCGGAGAACCUGAACGACGACAUUAGGGUUCUGACGAUUGGGGGGUGCCGGGGGGUGUGCGCACAUGAUGUGCGAUGGGUGCUGGUACUUGGAACUUAUAUUGGCCCCCUAUCCCUCAUCAAACCUUGAUAACUCACACCCCCUUAAAGAGCAUUUGAGAUUUUACAGGUUUGCUGCCAGUAGCCAUUAAAGUGUCUGAAAUGGGGACAUUUUUUUCAAAUGGUCACAAAAUCCUGUACACUUCAAGUUUUUAGCUGAAUUUUUGUGUGCAUGCCAACAAAAAUACAAGGAUCACAUCUACCAUUUUUAGGGCCAAAACUCUUUCUAAAAAAAUUUAAAAAAAAUCCCAAACCGUAAAAAGUUUUAAAAAUGAUGAAAAAUAGAAAACGAAUCGUCUUGUCAUGAAACUUCACAUGAAGGCUUAAGGGACCAUUGUAUGAAUUUACGAGCCAAAAAAAUGGGAUUGGCAUGGUAGAAAUAUGAAGAUGUGCCUAAACCCACCUACCACCCUAUCGAUCCAUGGCUUGCGCAUCCCGCCUCUCUGGUCGGCGUAGUGCCCACUCGUUCGCUCGUUUCGUCGAUUGGCUUAGGCAUACGGAGUUCAUUCCCAGUCUAAGAUCAGAUCGGACUGAGGGUUACGGUAGUAGGAUCGGUAGCACGCUGAGGGGGACCCGACCGAUCCCCAACUUGCGCAUCCUGCCCCUCUGGCUGGCUGAGCGCCCGCAGGCUCAUUUCGUGGGUUGACUUAGGCAUACGGAGUUCAUUCCUAGUUUAAGAUCGGAUCGGACUGAGGGUUGUGGGUGCACAUGCUGGGCUCGGGCAUGUGCUGGUGUCGCAUUUUGUUUUGCCCGGGGCACCUUCGUCGGAGCAUCGUCGGAGAACCUGACUGGCGGCAUUGGGGUUCCUGUGAUUAGGGGGCGGGGGGGUGUGCGCACGUGAUGUGCGAUGGGUGCUGGUACUUGGCCCUUAUAUUGGCCCCCUAUCCCUCAUCAAACCUUGAGAACUCACACCCCCUUAAAGAGCAUUUGAGAUUUUACAGGUUUGCUGCUAGUAGCCAUUAAAGUGUCUGAAAUGGGGACACUUUUUUCAAAUGGUCACAAAAUCCUAUACACUUUGCGUUUUUGACUGAAUUUUUUUAUGCAUGCCCACAAAAAUACAAGGAUCACGUCUACCAAGUUUGGGGCCAAAAUCCCUUCUGAAAAAAUUUAAAAAAAUCCCAAACCAUAAAAAGUUUCAAAAAUCGUGAAAAAUAGAAAACGAGUCAUCUUGCCAUGAAACUUCACAUGAAGGCUUAAGGGACCAUUGUAUGAAUUUACAUGCCAUAAAAAUGGCAUUGGCAUGGUAGAAAUAUGAAGAUGUGCCUAAACCCACCUACUACCCUAUCGAUCCACGGUGUCAUGAGCCAACCUUGUAUUGGGCCAUGACCAGGACUUAGGUUUCCAUGAGCCACCCAUGUAUAGGGCCAUGGUUGGGUAGAUCCCUUGUGCUAAGAAAAGUGUCUCAUUUCAAACAUUGUAAUGGUUACUGGUAGCAUAACUCUAAAAUCUCUUAGGCUCUUUAGGGGGGUGAGCCGACAGCGUAGUGUUGGGCUGUCUCACCGGUUGCUAUGCGAGUUUAGGCCACCCACCAAGGGCUGCCCCUCUGGCCUUGGUGAUGGUGGGAAGUCCUAAUGUAUGAUUCCCAUUUAUAAUAAAACUCACCCCGAUUGAAUGUCCCAAUUGUUACCUCGAUGUGUUUUCUCUUUUUCUCAGUGCGAAUAUGCCUUCUUGUGUGUGUGUGCUUGAGAUUGAACUCGAUAUAUUGUGUCUUAUUGUGAAUGCUUGGGACUAACCAUGGCUUAUGGUUAUUUGUUCAGAUAUCGAUCUAUUGAAGGCUGACUUGGUUGGGAGCACCCAUUCAAGUGUCGCAUGGUCUAUUGCUUGUUGAGAGAAAGCUUAGUCCGUGACACAUGGUAUCAGAGCACAGUUAAGAAGUGCUAGAAAAAUGGAUAAGAUGGCCACAAGUGGUGGACCCAAUCAUCAACAAAGAAUUGAGGAACUUGAGGCCGUGGUGGCUGCAAUGAAGAUUCAUAUGGCGACUAAAGACCGAGUGAGGGAGAUCGAGAUAACCCAGCAAGAGUUGUCCGAUACUCUCCACAACGUAAGCAAAGAGGCUAGAGAUGCCUUGAACAUUCUCCAAAAGGAGUUUGAAGAGCUCAGAGCACAGGUGAGCAUUCUAUAAAUGGCUGUGGCCAGAUCGGGUUCGUGCUCGAUGGAAAGGGGAAAAAGGCCCAAGGUGUCGGAGCCUCAAUGCUAUGAGGGGGCAAGGGAUGCUAAGGAACUUGAAAAUUUCUUGUUUGACAUAGAGCAGUACUUCCGAGCUGUACACACAGAUUCAGAGGAAGACAAGGUGACAAUGGCAUCGAUGUACCUCGUAGGGGAUACCAAGCUGUGGUGGCACUCCAAGUUUGUCGAUGACGAGUGCUCGAUUAAGACUUGGACAGAUCUGAAGCGAGAAUUGAAAAACCAAUUCUUCCCUGAGAAUGUGGAGUACAUAGCUCGAAGGAGACUUCGAGAGUUGGUGCAAACAGGAACGGUGCAAGAGUUUGUAAGGAGCUUUUCUACCCUGAUGUUGGAUAUUUGGGACAUGUCCGAAAAGGAUAAGAUGUUCUAUUUUCUUGAGGGCCUCAAGCUUUGGGCAAGGAUAGAACUAAAAAGGCAGAAAGUGCAAGACGUGGCCCCGGCUAUGGCUGCAGCUGAACGUCUUCACGAUUACAAUGAUGGCUUUUCAAAAUGAAAAAAUCCUCCAUCAGCUGGCAGUAGUUUUAACUUUGGGAGUAAGGGAAAGAUGACUAGGUUAGACCGGCCUUUCAGUGGGGGAUCAGACAGGAGGUCUUUUGGUCAAGAUAGCACCCAACCCAAGACAAGCAACGCAGGGAUUUUUAAGCCUAGGCAACUGUUAGCCUGCUUUCUUUGCAAGGGGUCACAUCGGGUGGCUGAAUAUCCGCACAGGGGAGCCCUUAAUGCUUUAAGGACCUCGUCUCAAGAGUCUACAAAAGCACCAGAGAGUGUUGAAGAAGCUGAAGAGGAGCCAGCCAGGAUGGGUUCAAUAAGGUUCCUUAAUGCCCUUCGCACCCAAUUGAACACUAUAAAGAAAGAGUAGAGUAGAGGCUUGAUGUAUGUGAACUUGAUGAUCAAUGAGAAAGCCACCAAGGCCAUGGUGGCUACGGGUGCAACCGACACUUUCAUCACACCAGAAGAAGCAAAAAGGUGUGGUCUUCAGAUUAGUAAAGACUGUGGAUGAAUGAAGGCAGUCAAUUCACCAGCCUUUGCGAUCAGUGGAAGCUCCAAGAGUGUGACAACCCGAUUGGGGCCAUGGAAAGGGAAAGUAGACUUUACAGUUUCCCCCAUGGAUGACUUUGAUGUUGUUCUCGAUUGGACUUCAUGAUGUUGGCUCAGGUCAUCCUUAUCCCCGCCGCUAGCUGCUUGUUGUUCUUAGGGGAACACCCAUGUGUGGUGCCAGCCAACAUCUUACCAAAGAGUGGGAAGAAAAUGAUUUCUGCUUUGCAGUUCAAGAAAGGGGUAAAGAGAGGGGAACCCUCCUUUGUGGUGGUAUCGAUCUACAAAGAAGGGUCAGAAGUAGAACCAAUACCUGAUGGUGUGGAAAACGUGUUGGAAGAAUUCGAAGAGGUAAUGCCAUAGAUGUUGCCUAAGGUUUUACCCCCUUGACGAGCAAUGGACCAUGAAAUUGAGCUCCUCCCAGGAGCGAAACCCCCUGCUAAAGCUCUCUACCACAUGGCCCCACCAAAGUUGGCCGAACUAAGAAAGCAGCUAGAUGAGCUGCUACAAGCUGGGUUCAUCAGACCAUCAAAGGCUCCUUUCGGAGCGUCAAUGCUAUUUCAAAAGAAGCAUGAUGGAAGUUUACGAUUAUGUGUUGACUACAGGGCCCUGAACAAAGUCACCAUAAGAAACAAAUAUCCCAUUCCCCUUAUAACAGACUUGUUUGAUCAAUUGAGCCGGGCUAAGUACUUCUCCAAAUUGGACCUGAGAUCUGGCUACCAUCAGGUCAGAAUCGUUGAGGGAGAUGAGCCAAAGACCAAUUGUGUGACACGGUAUGGUGCAUUUGAAUUUCUUAUUAUGCCCUUUGGACUGACCAAUGCUCCUGCCACAUUUUGUACAUUGAUGAAUCAGGUGUUCCAUGACUACUUAGACAAAUUUGUAGUCAUCAUUUAGACGAUAUAGUGGUAUAUAGCUCCACCUUGGAAGAACAUCAAGAGCACCUGCGCCAGGUACUUCAAAGAUUACAAGACCAUCAGUUAUACAUAAAAAGGGAGAAGUGUGCAUUUGCUCAAACCUAAAUCCAUUUUCUCGAUCACAUUGUCGAACGUGGCCACAUUCAAAUAGACAUGGAAAAGGUUAGGGCCAUCAAGGAGUGGACAACACCGAAGAACAUUAGUGAACUUCGCUCAUUUUUGGGACUAGCCAAUUAUUAUAGAAGGUUUAUGGAAGGGUACUCUCGCAAGACCAUGGCCCUCACGAAGCUAUUGAAGAAGGAGCGUAAAUGGUGUUAGACGAAUGAGUGCCAAGAGGCCUUUGAGGGAUUGAAGGAUGCUAUUAUGAAAGAUCCCAUCUUAGCUCUCCCUAAUAUUGAAAAGCCCUUCGAAGUUUAGACGGAUGCAUCUGAUUUUGCUAUUGGAGGAGUGCUUUUGCAAUAACAUCACCCAGUAGCAUUUGAAAGUAGGAAGCUAAGUGAAGCUGAAAGAAAAUAUACAGCCCAGGAAAAAGAACUCCUGGCGGUGGUUCACUGCUUGAGGGCUUGGUGACAUUACUUGUUGGGUUCACACUUUGUCGUGAAGACAGACAAUACGGCUGUUAGCCAUUUUCUCACCCAACCAAGGCUUACGGUAAAACAAGCUAGGUGGUAGGAAUUUUUAGCGAAAUUCGACUUUUGUUUUGAGCACACCGCUGGAAAGACCAAUCAAGUGGCUGAUGCAUUGAGCAGGCGAGCAGAUUAGUAGCCCUUAGAAGAAUUACCCUAAUGGUGGCUAGCAGAGCCACUACAGACAUUCACAAGUUGAUUGGAGAUCACUUAGGGAAGGACCCGCAAGCUUGUGCCAUCCUGAACCUCAUGGAAGAAGGGAAAUCCAAGUACUUCUGGCAAGAAAAUGGGGUCUUAUGGACCAAGGGGCCUCGAGUGUUUGUGCCAAGAGUAGAAAGUCUGAGACAGAUGCUAAUGAGGGAAUGUCAUGACACACCAUGGGUGGGACACCCGGGUUGGCAACGCACUUUGGCGUUAUUGAAACAGGGAUAGUAUUGGCCUCACAUGCGACAAGAUGUGAUAGACUAUACGAAGACUUGCCUCAUUUGCCAACAAGACAAGGUUGAAAGAAGGAAACCUGCAGGCAUGCUUGAACCACUACCAGUACCCACCAGAUCGUGGGAAAGCAUCUCCCUCGAUUUUAUUUCAAGCCUACCCAAGGUUGGUGACCUUGAAGCUAUUUUGGUGGUGAUUGACCGGUUCUCUAAGUAUGCCACAUUCAUUCUCGCUCACAAGUAUUGCACUAUGGAAGACACAGCUCGACUAUUGUUCCAACAUGUGGUCAAAUACUGGGGCCUCCCUCAAAACAUUAUCAGCGAUCGAGAUCCGAGAUUCAUGAGGUCCUUUUGGAGAGAACUUUUCAAGAUAUUGGGGUCCCAACUCAACAUCUCCUUAAGCUAUCACCCUCAAACCGAUGGUCAAACGGAACGGUUCAACGGAUUAUUGGAGGAAUACUUGAGGCAUUUUGUUCAAGCCAAUCAGAAAGACUGGCCUUCAUUAUUGGACGUGGCUCAACUCUGCUUUAAUUCCAACAAAAGCUCUUCCACCAAUAAGAGCCCAUUUGAGGUGGUCACCGGACAAUUACCAAGGCUACCCCACACUUCCUUGGAACAAUAUGGAGGAAAGAAUUCGAGAGCCUUCAAUCUCAGCAAAGAGUGGAAGCAAAACAUAGAGAUUACGCAAGCCUACCUGGAGAAAGCGUCAAAGAGGAUGAAAAAAUUGGCAGACAAGGGUCGUAGAGCUUAACAUUUUCAAGUUGGUGAUUUGGUUCUUGUCCGACUAGUUCCUGAACAAACCAGGUUCUUGAGAAAGAGAGAUCGUAGACUGGUGCGCAAAUAUGAAGGUUUAGUAAGGGUCCUUUCCAAUGUGAGGAAUACUUCUUACAAAAUCAACCCACCAAAGUGGAUGAAGGUGCACCCAGUAUUUCAUGUGAGUAACCUAAAACCUUUCCAUGUAGAUCCUACAGAUGCUAGUCGAAAGGAGCCAACCAGAGCUGCCAUCUCCAUGAAGCCACCCUUAGAGCAUCAAGUCAAAGAGAUCUUAGCUGACAGGGAAACCAAGAUAUCUUGAAAACUAGUUUGGGAGUACUAGUGAAGUGGGAGGGAUUAGGACUAGAAGAAACCAGUUGAGAGAGAGAACAUGACCUCCAGAGAUUUCAAAGGAAGAUCGAAGAAUUUCAAGCCAGCAAGUCGACAAGGACGUCGAUAGAAUAGGUGGGGGGAGGAUGUCUUGAGCCAACCUUGUAUAAGGCCAUGACCAGGACUUAGGUUACCAUGAGCCACCCAUGUAUAGGGCCAUGGCCGGGUAGAUCCCUUGUGCUAGGAAAAGUGUCCCCAUUUCAAACAUUGUAAUGGUUACUGGUAGCAUAGCUCUAAAAUCUCUAAGGCUCUUUAGGGGGAUGAGCCAGUAGCGUAGUGUUGGGCUGUCUCACCGGUUACAAUGCGAGCUUAGGCCACCCACCAAGGGCUGUCCCCCUGGCCCUGGUGAUGGUUGGAGGUCUCGAUGUAUGAUUCCUAUUUAUAAUAAAACUCACCCCGAUUGAAUGUCCCGAUUGUUGCCUCGAUGUGUUUUCUCUUUUUCUCGAUGCGAAUAUGCCUUAUUGUGAAUGCUUGGGACUAACCAUGGCUUAUGGUUAUUUGUUCAGAUAUCGAUCUAUUGAAGGUUGACUUGGUUAGGAGCACCCAUUCAAGGGCUGCACGGUCUAUUGCUUGUUGAGAGAAAGCUUACUCCGUGAGACACGGCUUACGUAUCCCGCCUCACUGGCUGGUGUAGUGUCAGCCCGCUCGUUUCGUCGAUUGGCUUAGGCAUACGGAGUUCAGUACUAGUCUAAGAUCAGACUGGACUGAGGGUUGCAACAGCAGGAUCGGCAGCACGCUGAGGGGGACCCAGUCGAUCCCUAGCUUGCGCAUCCAACCCUCUGGCCGACUGAGCGCCCACACGCUCGUUUCGUGGGUUGACUUAGGCAUACGGAGUUCAUUCCCAGUCUAAGCAUACGAAGUUCAUUCCCAGUCUAAGAUCAGAUUGGACUGAGGGUUGUGGCCACACAUGCUGGGCUCGGGCAUGGGCUGGUGCCGCAUUUUUUUUCGCCCGGGCCACCAUCGUCGGAGUAACGCCAAAGAACAUGACUGGCGGCAUUGGGGUUCCGGCGAUUCGGGGGGCCAGGGGGUGUGCGCACAUGAUGUGCGAUAGGUGCUGGUACUUGGCCCUUAUAUUGGCUCCCUAUCCCUCAUCAAACCUCGAGAACUCACACCCCUUAAAGAGCAUUUGAGAUUUUACAGGUUUGCUGCCAGUAGCCAUUAAAGUGUCUGAAAUGGGGACACUUUUUUCAAAUGGUCACAAAAUCCUAUACACUACGAGUUUUUAGCUGAAUUUUUUUAUGCAUGCCAACAAAAAUACAAGGAUCAAGUCUACCAAGUUUGGGGCCAAAACUCCUUAUGAAAAAAUUUGAAACAAUCUCGAACCAUAAAAAGUUUCGAAAAUCAUGAAAAAUAGAAAACGAGUCGUCUUGCCUUGAAACUUCACAUGAAGGCUUAAGGGACCAUAGUAUGAAUUUACAAGCCAUAAAAAUGGCAUUGGCAUUGCAAAAAUAUGAAGAUGUACGAAAACCCACCUACGACCUUAUCGAUCCACGGCUUGCGCAUCCCGCCUCUCUGGCUUGCGUAGUGCCCACUCGCCCGCCCGUUUGUUUCAUCGGUUGGCUUAGCCAUACGGAGUUCAUUCCCUGUCUAAGAUCAGACUAGACCGAGGGCUGCGACAGCAGGAUUGGCAGCAAGCUGAGGGGGACUUGGUCGAUCCCCGGCUUGCUCAUCCUGCCCCUCUAGCUGGCUGAAUGCCCGCACGCUCAUUUCAUUGGGUUGACUUAGGCAUACAGAGUUCAUUCCCAGUAUAAGAUCAGACCGGAUCGAAGGUUGCGGGUGCACAUGCAGGGUUUGGGCAUGUGCUGGUGUUGCAUUUUUUUUCACCCGGGGCACCAUCGCUGGAGCAUCGCUGGAGAACCUGACUGACAGCAUUGGGGUUCCGGUGAUUGGGGGGGUCGGGGGGUGUGCGCACAUGAUGUACGAUGGGUGCUGGUACUUGGCCCUUAUAUUGGCCCCCUAUCCCUCAUCAAACCUUGAGAACUCACACCCCUUAAAGAGCAUUUGAGAUUUUACAGGUUUGCUGCCAGUAGCCAUUAAAGUGUCUGAAAUGGGGACACUUUUUUCAAAUGGUCACAAAAUCCUAUACACUACGAGUUUUUAGCUGAAUUUUUUUAUGCAUGCCAACAAAAAUACAAGGAUCACGUCUACCAAGUUUAGGGCCAAAACUCCUUCUGAAAAAAUUUGAAAACAAUCUCGAACCAUAAAAAGUUUCGAAAAUUGUGAAAAAUAGAAAACGAGUCGUCUUGCCUUGAAACUUCACAUGAAGGCUUAAGGGACCAUAGUAUGAAUUUACAAGCCAUAAAAAUGGCAUUGGCAUUGCAAAAAUAUGAAGAUGUACCAAAACCCACCUAUGACCUUAUCAAUCAACGGCUUGCGCAUCCCGCCUCUCUGGCUUGCGUAGUGCCUGCCCGCCUGCUCAUUUCAUUGGUUGGCUUAGCCAGACGGAGUUCAUUCCCUAUCUAAGAAGAGACUAAACUGAGGGUGGCAGCAGUAGGAUCAAUAGCACGCUGAGGGAGACCUGGCUGAUCCCCUGCUUGCGCAUCUUACCCCUCUGGCCGGCUGAACGCCCCCACGCUCGUUUCGUGGGUUGACUUAGGCAUACGGAGUUCUUUCCCAGUCUAAGAUCAGACCGGAUUGAGGGUUGCAAAUGCACAAGUUGGGCUGGGGCAUGUGCUGGUGCUGCAUUUUUUUCCCCUGGGGCAUCAUUGCUGGAUCAUCACCGGAGAACCUGACCGACGGCAUUGGGGUUCCGACGAUUGGGGAGGCCGGGGGGUGUGCGCACAUGAUGUGUGAUGGGUGCUGGUACUUGGCCCUUAUAUUGGCCCCCUAUCCCUUAUCAAACCUCGAGAACUCACACCCCCUUAAAGAGCAUUUGAGGUUUUACAGGUUUGCUGCUAGUAGCCAUUAAAGUGUCUGAAAUGGGGACACUUUUUUCAAAUGGUCACAAAAUCUUGUACACUUCGAGUUUUUAGCUGAAUUUUUUUGUGAAUGCCAACAAAAAUGCAAGGAUCACGUCUACCAAGUUUGGGCCCAAAAAUCCUUCUGAAAAAAUUUUCAAAAAAUCCUAAACCCUAAAAAGUUUCAAAAAUCAUGAAAAAUAGAAAACGAGUCGUCUUGCCAUGAAACAUCACAUGAAGCAUUAAGGGACCAUUGCAUGAAUUUACAAGCCAUAAAAAUGGCAUUGGCAUGGCAGAAAUAUGAAUAUGUGCCUAAACCCACCUACCACCCUAUCGAUCCAUGGCUUGCGCAUCCCACCUCUCUGACCGGCGUAGUGCCCGCCCGUCCGCCCACUCGUUUCGUCGGUUGGCUUAGGCAUACGGAGUUCAUUCCCAGUCUAAGAUUAGACUAGACCAAGGGUUACGGUAGUAGGAUCGGCAGCACGUUGAGGGGGACCCGGCCGAUCCCCAGCUAACGCAUCCUGGCCCUCCGGCCGGCUGAGCACCCGCACGCUCGUUUCGUGGGUUGACUUAUGCAUACGGAGUUCAUUCCUAGUCUAACCAUACGGAGUUCAUUCCCAAUCUAAGAUUGGACUGGACCGAGGGUUGCAGGUGCACAUGCUGGGCUAGGGCAUGUGCUGGUGCCAUAUUUUUUUUCGCUCGAGGCGCCAUCGUCGGACAAGCUGACCGGUGGCAUUGGGGUUCCGGCGAUUGGGGGGGUGGGGGGUGUGCGCAAAUGUGCGAUGGGUACUGGUACUUGGCCCUAUUUAUUGGCCCCCAAUCCCCCAUCAAACCUCGAGAACUCACACCCACUUAAAGAGCAUUUGAGAUUUUACAGGUUUGCUGCCAGUAGCAAUUAAAGUGUCUGAAAUGGGGACAUUUUUUUCAAAUGGUCACAAACUUUGAGUUUUUAGCUGAAUUUUUUUGUGCAUGCCAACAAAAAUACAAGGAUCACGUCUACCAAGUUUGGGGCCAAAAAUCCUUCUGAAAAAAUUUAAAAAAAACCCAAACCGUAAAAAGUUACAAAAAUCGUGAAAAAUAAAAAAUGAGUUGUCUUGCGAAGAAACUUCACAUAAAGGCUUAAGGGACCGUUGUAUGAAUUUACAAGCCAUAAAAUGGUAUUGGGAUGGCAGAAAUAUGAAGAUGUGCCUAAACCCACCUACCACGCUAUCGAUCCAUGGCUUGCGCAUCCCGUCUCUCUGGCCGACGUAGUGCCCGCUCGCCCGCCCGCUCAUUUCGUCGGUUGGCUUAGGCAUACGGAGUUUAUUCCCAGUCUAAGAUCAGAUCAGAUCGAGGGUUCCGGUAGAAGGAUCGACAGCACGCUGAGGGGGACCCUACCGAUCCCUGGCUUGCACAUCCUGCCCCUUUAGCCGGCUGAGCGUCCGCACGCUCGUUUCAUGGGUUGACUUAGGCAUAUAGAGUUCAUUCCCAGUCUAAGAUCGGACCCAACCGAGGGUUGCGAGUGAACAUGCUGGGCUCGGGCAUGUGUUGGUGCCGUAUUUUUUUUCGCCCGACGCACUGUCAGCAUUGAGGUUCAGGCGAUUGGGGGGCCGGGGGUGUGCGCACUUGAUGUGCGAUGGUUGCUGGUACUUGGCCCUUAUAUUGGCCCCUAUCCCUCAUCAAUCCUCGAGAACUCACACCCCUUAAAGAGCAUUUGAGAUUUUACAGGUUUGCUGUCAGUAGCCAUUAAAGUGUCUGAAAUGGGGACAUUUUUUUUAAAUGGUCACAAAAUCCUAUGCACUUCGAGUUUUUAGUUGAAUUUUUUUGUGCAUGCUAACAAAAAUACAAGGAUCACAUCUUCCAAGAUUGGGGCCAAAACGUCUUCUGAAAAAAUUUUAAAAAUAUCCCGAACCGUAAAAAGUUUUGAAAAUUGUGAAAAAUAGAAAACGAGUCGUCUUGCCAUGAAAAUUCAAAUGAAGGCUUAAGGGACUAUUGUAUGAAUUUUCCAGCCAUAAAAAUGGCAUUGGCAUGGCAGAAAUUUGAAGAUGUGCCUAAACCCACCUACCACCCUAUCGAUCCACGACUUGCGCAUCCCACCUCUCUAACUGGCAUAGUGCCCACCCACUCGCCCGCUCAUUUCGUCAUUUGGCUUAGGCAUAAGGAGUUCAUUCCCGGUCUAAGACCAGACUGGACUGAGGGUUGUGGUAGCAGGAUCUGCAGCACACUGAGGGGGACCCGACCGAUCCCCGGCUUAUGCAUCUUGCCCCUCUGGCCGACUGAGCGCCCGCACGCUCGUUUCGUGGGUUGACUUAGGCAUACGGAGUUCAUUCCCAGUCUAAGCAUACGGAGUUCAUUCCCAGUCUAAGAUCGGAUCAGACCGAGGGUUGCGGUUGCACAUGCUGCACUCGCGCAUGUGCUGGUGCCGCAUUAUUUUCGCUUGAGGCACCAACGUCGGAGAACCUAACCGGCGACAUUGGGUUUCCGGCGAUUGGGGGGUAUGCGCACAUGAUGUGCGAUGGGUGGUGGUACUUAUCCCUUAUAUUAGCCCCCUAUCCCUCAUCAAACCUGGAGAACUCACACCCCCUUAAAGUGCAUUUGAGAUUUUACAGGUUUGCUGCCAGUAGCCAUUAAAGUGUCUGAAAUGGGGAAACUUUUUCAAAUUGUCACAAAAUCCAGUACACUUCGAGUUUCUAGCUGAAUUUUUUUUUGCAUGCCAAAAAAAAUGCAGGGAUCACGUCUACCAGGUUUGGGGCCAAAACUCCAUCUAAAAAAAUUUUUAAAAAAUCUCGAACCGUAAAAAGUUUUGCAAAUCAUGAAAAAUAGAAAACGAGUCGUCUUGCCAUGAAACUUCACAUGAAGGCUUAAGGGACCAUUGUAUGAAUUUACAAGCCAUAAAAAUGGCAAUGGCAUGACAAAAAUAUGAAGAUGUGCCUAAACCCACCUACCACCCUAUCGAUCCAUGGCUUGCGCAUCCCGCUUCUCUGGCCGGCAUAGUGCCCGCCCGAUCGCCCGUUCGUUUCGUCGGUUGGCUUAGGCAUAAGGAGUUCAUUCCCAGUCUAAGAAUGAACCAGACCGAGGGUUGCAGUACCAAGAUUGGCAGCACGCUGAGGGGGAUCCAACCGAUCCCCAGCUUGCACAUCUUGCCCCUCUGGCCGACUGAGCGCCCGUACGCUCGUUUCAUGGGUUGACUUAGGCAUACGGAGUUCAUUCCCAGUCUAAGCAUACGGAGUUCAUUCCCAAUCUAGGCAUACAAAGUUCAUUCCCAGUCUAAGAUCGGAUCGGACCGAGGGUUACGGGUGCACAUGCUGGGCUCGGGCAUGUGCUGGUGUCAUAUUUUUUUCGCUCAUGGCACCGUCGUCAGAGAACUUGACCGGCGGCAUUGGGGUUCCGACGAUUGGGGGGUGUACGCACAUGAUGUGCGAUGGCUGCUGGUACUUGGCCCUUAUAUUGGUCCCCUAUCCGUCAACAAACCUAGAGAACUCACACCCCCUUAAAGAGCAUUUGAGAUUUUACAGGUUUGCUGCCAGUAGCCAUUAAAGUGUCUGAAAUGGGGACACUUUUUUCAAAUGGUCACAAACUUCGAGUUUUUAGCUGAAUUUUUUUGUGCAUGCCAGCAAAAAUACAAGGAUCAUGUCUACCAAGUUUGGGGCCAAAACACCUUCUGAAAAAAUUUAAAAAAAUCUCGAACCGUAAAAAGUUUCAAAAAUCGUGAAAAAUAGAAAACGAGUCGUCUUGGCAUGAAACUUCACAUGAAGGCUUAAGGGACCAUUGUAUGAAUUUACAGGCCAUAAAAAUGGCAUUGGCAUGGCAAAAAUAUGAAGAUGUGCCUAAACCCACCUACCACCCUAUUGAUCCACGACUUGUGCAUCCCACCUCUCUGGCCGACGUAGUGCUCGUCUGCCCGCCCGCUCGUUUCGUCGGUUUGCGUAGGCAUACAGAGUUCAUUCCCAGUCUAAGAUUAGACCAGACCAAGGGUUACGGCAGUAGGAUCGGCAGCACGCAGAGGGGGAACCCGACCGAUCCCCGGCUUGCGCAUCCUGCCCCUCUGGCCGGCUGAGCCCCCAAACGCUCGUUUCGAAGGUUGACUUAGGCGUACGGAGUUCAUUCCCAAUCUAAGCAUAUGGAGUUCAUUCCCAAUCUAAGAUCGGACCGAACUGAGAGUUACGGGUGCACAUGCUAGGCUCGAGCAUGUGCUGGUGUCGCAUUUUUUUCACCCGAGCCACCAUCACUUGAGCAUCGCUAGAGAACUUGAUCGGCAGCAUUGGCGUUCCGGCAAUUGGGGGGGCCGAGGGGAGGUGUGCGCAUAGGAUGUGUGAUGGGUGCUAGUACUUGGCCCUGAUAUUGGCCCCCUAUCCCUCAUCAAACCUCAAGAACUCACACCCCCUUCAAGAGCAUUAGAGAUUUUACAGGUUUGCUCUAAAAUGGGGACACUUUUUUCAAAUGGUCACAAACUUUGAGUUUUUAGCUUAGUUUUUUUGUGCAUGCCAACAAAAAUACAAGGAUCACGUCUACGAAGUUUGGCGCCAAAAAUCCAUCUGAAAAAAUUUUUAAAAAAUCCCGAACCGUAAAAAGUUUCAAAAAUCGUGAAAAAUAAAAAACGAGUCGUCUUGCCAUGAAACUUCACAUGAAGGCUUAAGGGACCAUUGCAUGAAUUUACAAGCCAUAAAAAUGGCAUUGGGAUGGAAAAAAUAUGAAGAUGUGCCUAAACCCACAUACCACCCUACCGAUCCACGACUUGCGCAUCCCGCCUCUUUGGCCGGCGUAGUGCCCGCCUUCCUGCCUGCUCGUUUCGUCGGUUGGCUUAGGCAUACAGAGUUCAUUCCCAAUCUAAGAUCAGACUGGACUGAGAGUUACGGUAGCAGGAUCAGUCGGCUUGCGCAUCCUGCCCCUCUGGCUGGCUGAGCGCCCGCAUGCUCGUUUCGUGGGUCGACUUAGGCAUACGGAGUUGAUUCCCAGUCUAAGCAUACGGAGUUCAUUCCCAGUCUAAGAUCGAAUCGGAUCGAGGGUUACGGGUGCACAUACUGGGCUCGGGCAUGUGCUGGUGCCGCAUUUUUUUUUGCCCAGGGCACCAUCGUCGGAGCAUCACCGUAGAACCUGACUGACGGCAUUGGGGUUUCGGUGAUUGGGGGGGCCUGGGGGGCUGUGCGCACAUAAUGUGCGAUGGGUGUUGGUACUUGGCCCUUAUAUUAGCCCCCUAUCCCCCAUCAAACCUUGAGAACUCACACAUUCUUAAAGAGCAUUUGAGAAUUUACAGGUUUACUGCCAGUAGCCAUUAAAGUGUCUUAAAUGGGGACACUUUUUUCAAAUGGUCACAAAAUCCUAUACACUUCAAGUUUUUAGUUGAAUUUUUUUGUGCAUGCCAAAAAAAAUACAAGGACCACGUCUACCAAGUUUGGGACCAAAACCCCUUUUGAAAAAAUUUUAAAAAAAUCUCGAACCGUAAAAAGUUUCAAAAAUCAUGAAAAAUAGAAAACGGGUGGUCUUGCCAUGAAACUUCACAUGAAGGCUUAAGGGACCAUUGCAUGAAUUUACAAGCCAUAAAAAUGGCAUUGGCAUGGCAGAAAUAUGAAGAUGUGCCUAAACCCAUCUACCACAACAUCGAUCCACGGCUUGCGCAUCCCGUCUCUCUGGCCGACGUAGUGCCCGCCCGCCCACCCACUCAUUUCGUCGGUUGGCUUAGGCAUACGGAGUUCAUUCCCAGUCUAAGAUCAGACCGGACCGAGGGUAGCAGCAGCAAGAUUGGCAGCACACUGAGGGGGACUUAGCCGAUCCCCGGCUUGCGCAUCCUGCCCCUCUGGCCGACUGAGUGCCCGCACGCUCCUUUCAUGAGUUGACUUAAGCAUACGAAAUUCAUUCCCAGCCUAGGCAUACGGAGUUCAUUCCGAGUCCAAGAUCGGACCAGACCGAUGGUUGCGGGUGCACAUGCUAGGCUCGGGCAUGUGCUGGUGCUUCAUUUUUUUCGGACGGGGCACCAUCGCCAGAGCAUCGUCAGAGAACCUGACCGACGGCAUUGGGGUUCCGAUGAUUGGGGAGGCCGGGGGGGUGUGCGCACAUGAUGUGCGAUGUGUGCUGGUACUUGGCCCUUAUAUUGGCCCCUUAUCCCUCAUCAAACCUCAAGAACUCACACCCCCUUAAAGAGCAUUUGACAUUUUACAGGUUUGCUGCCAAUAGCCAUUAAAGUGUCUAAAAUGGGGACACUUUUUUCAAAUGGUCACAAAAUCCUGUACACUUCGAGUUUUUAGCUGAAUUUUUUUGUGCAUGUGAACAAAAAUACAAGGAUCACAUCUACCUAGUUUGGGGCCAAAACUCCAUCUGAAAAAAUUUUAAAAAAAUCUCGAAUCGUAAAAAAUUUCAAAAAUCAUGAAAAAUAGAAAACGAGUCGUCUUGCCAUGAAACCUCACAUGAAGGCUUAAGGGACCAUUGUAUGAAUUUAGAUGCCAUAAAAAUGGCAUUGGCAUGGUAGAAAUAUGAAGUUGUGCCUAAACCCACCCACCACCCUAUCGAUCAACGGCUUGCGCAUCCCGCCUCUCUGGCCGGCGUAGUGCCUGCUCGUCCGCUCGUUUCGUCGAUUGGCUUCGGCACACGGAGUUCAUUCCCAGUCUAAGAUCAGACCGGCUGAGGGUUGCAGCCGCAGGAUCAGCAGCACGUUGAGGGGGACCCGGUCGAUCCCCGGCUUGCGCAUCCUGCCCUCUGGCCGGUUGAGUGCCCGCACGUUCGUUUUGUGGGUUGACUUAGGCAUACGGAGUUCAUUCCCAGUCUAAGAUCAGACCGGACCGAGGGUUGGGGGUGUACAUGCUAGGCUCAGGCAUGUGCUGGUGCCAUAUUGUUUUUUGUCCGAGGCACCAUCGCUAGAGCAUCAUCGGUUGACCGGCGGCAUUGGGUUUCCGGCGAUUGGGGGGGCCGGGGGGGUGUGCGCACAAGAUGUGCGAUGGGUGCUUGUACUUGACCCUUAUAUUGGCCCCCUAUCCCUCAUCAAACCUUGAGAACUCACACCCCCUUAAAGAGCAUUUGAUAUUUUACAGGUUGGCUACCAGUAGCCAUUAAAGUGUCUGAAAUGGGGACACUUUUUUCAAAUGGUCACAAAAUCCUGUACACUUCGAGUUUUUAGCUGAAUUUUUUUUGUGCAUGUGAACAAAAAUACAAUGAUCACAUUUACCUAGUUUGGGGCCAAAACUCCAUCUGAAAAAAUUUUUAAAAAAUCUUGAAUCGUAAAAAGUUUCAAAAAUCAUGAAAAAUAGAAAACGAGUCGUCUUGCCAUGAAACCUCACAUGAAGGCUUAAGGGACCAUUGUAUGAAUUUACAAGCCAUAAAAAUGGCAUUGGCAUGGUAGAAAUAUGAAGUUUUGCCUAAACCCACCCAUCACCCUAUCAAUCAACAGCUUGCACGUCCCAUCUCUCUGGUCGGCGUAGUGCCCGGUCGUCCGCUCGUUUCGUCGAUUGGCUUCGGCAUACGGAGUUCAUUCCCAGUCUAAGAUCAGACCGGCUGAGGGUUGCAGCAGCAGGAUCAGCAGCACGUUGAGGGCAACCUAGUCGAUUCCCGGUUUACGCAUCUUGCCCCUCUAGCCGACUGAGUGCCCGCACGCUCGUUUCGUGGGUUGACUUAGGCAUACGGAGUUCAUUCCCAGUCUAAGAUCAGGCCGGACCGAGGGUUGCAGGUGCACAUGCUAGGCUCGAGCUUGCGUUGGUGUCGCAUUUUUUUCGCCCAGGGCACCAUCGCCGGAGCAUCGUUGGAGAACCUGACCGGCGACAUUGGGGUUCUGAGGAUUGAGGGGGGCCGGGGGGUGUGCGCACAUGAUGUGCGAUGGGUGCUGGUACUUGGCCCUUAUAUUGGCCCCCUAUCUCUCAUCAAACCUCGAGAACUCACACCCCCUUAAAGAGCAUUUGAGAUUUUACAGGUUGGCUGCUAGUAGCCAUUAAAGUGUCUAAAAUGAGGACACUUUUUUCAAAUGGUCAAAAAAUCCUAUACACGUCGAGUUUUUAGCUGAAUUCUUUUGUGCAUGCCCACAAAAAUACAAGGAUCACGUCUACCAAGUUUGGGGCCAAAACUCCUUCUAAAAAAAUUUAAAAAAAUCCCAAACCAUAAAAAGUUUCAAAAAUCAUGAAAAAUAGAAAACGAGUCAUCUUGCCAUGAAACUGCACAUGAAGGCUUAAGGGACCAUUGUAUGAAUUUACAAGCCAUAAAAACGGCAUUGGCACAGCAAAAAUUUGAAGAUGUGCCUAAACCCACCUACCACCCUAUCGAUCCACGGCUUGCGCAUCCUGCCUCUCUGGCUGGUGUAGUGCCCGACCGCCUGUUCGUUUCGUCGGUUGGCUUUGGCAUACGAAAUUCAUUCCCAGUCUAAGAUCGAUCUGAACUGAGGGUCCGACAGCAGGAUUGGCAGCACGCUGAGUCAGACCUAGUCGAUCCCCGACUUGGGCAUCCUGCCCCUCUGGCCGGCUGAACGCCCGCACGCUCAUUUCGUGGGUUGACUUAGGCAUGCGGAGUUCAUUCCCAGUCUAAGCAUAAGGAAUUCAUUCCCAGUCUAAGAUUAGAUCGGAACGAGGGUUUCGGGUCCACAUGCUGGGCUCGGGCAUGUGCUGGUGCCGCAUUUGUUUUCGCCCGGGGCACCAUCGCCAGAGACUGUGACCGGCGGCAUUGGGGUUCCGACGAUUGGGGGGGCCGGGGGUGUGCGCACAUAAUGUGCGAUGGGUGCUGGUACUUGGCCCUUAUAUUGGGCCCCUAUCCCUCAGCAAACCUCGAGAACUCACACCCCCUUAAAGAGCAUUUGAGAUUUUACAGGUUUGCUGCCAGUAGCCAUUAAAGUGUCUGAAAUAGGCACACUUUUUUCAAAUGGUCACAAAAUCCUAUACACUUCGAGUUUGAAGCUGAAUAUUUUUGUGCAUGCAAUAAAAAAUACAAGGAUCACGUCUACCAAGUUUGGGUCCAAAACUCCUUCUGAAAAAAUUUAAAAAAAAUCUCGAACCGUAAAAUGUUUUAAAAAUCGUGAAAAAUAGAAAACGAGUCGUCUUGCCAUGAAACUUCACAUGAAGGCUUAAGGGACCAUUGUAUGAAUUUACAAGCCAUAAAAUGGCAUUGGCAUGGAAAAAAUAUGAAGAUGUGCCUAANNNNNNNNNNNNNNNNNNNNNNNNNNNNNNNNNNNNNNNNNNNNNNNNNNNNNNNNNNNNNNNNNNNNNNNNNNNNNNNNNNNNNNNNNNNNNNNNNNNNNNNNNNNNNNNNNNNNNNNNNNNNNNNNNNNNNNNNNNNNNNNNNNNNNNNNNNNNNNNNNNNNNNNNNNNNNNNNNNNNNNNNNNNNNNNNNNNNNNNNNNNNNNNNNNNNNNNNNNNNNNNNNNNNNNNNNNNNNNNNNNNNNNNNNNNNNNNNNNNNNNNNNNNNNNNNNNNNNNNNNNNNNNNNNNNNNNNNNNNNNNNNNNNNNNNNNNNNNNNNNNNNNNNNNNNNNNNNNNNNNNNNNNNNNNNNNNNNNNNNNNNNNNNNNNNNNNNNNNNNNNNNNNNNNNNNNNNNNNNNNNNNNNNNNNNNNNNNNNNNNNNNNNNNNNNNNNNNNNNNNNNNNNNNNNNNNNNNNNNNNNNNNNNNNNNNNNNNNNNNNNNNNNNNNNNNNNNNNNNNNNNNNNNNNNNNNNNNNNNNNNNNNNNNNNNNNNNNNNNNNNNNNNNNNNNNNNNNNNNNNNNNNNNNNNNNNNNNNNNNNNNNNNNNNNNNNNNNNNNNNNNNNNNNNNNNNNNNNNNNNNNNNNNNNNNNNNNNNNNNNNNNNNNNNNNNNNNNNNNNNNNNNNNNNNNNNNNNNNNNNNNNNNNNNNNNNNNNNNNNNNNNNNNNNNNNNNNNNNNNNNNNNNNNNNNNNNNNNNNNNNNNNNNNNNNNNNNNNNNNNNNNNNNNNNNNNNNNNNNNNNNNNNNNNNNNNNNNNNNNNNNNNNNNNNNNNNNNNNNNNNNNNNNNNNNNNNNNNNNNNNNNNNNNNNNNNNNNNNNNNNNNNNNNNNNNNNNNNNNNNNNNNNNNNNNNNNNNNNNNNNNNNNNNNNNNNNNNNNNNNNNNNNNNNNNNNNNNNNNNNNNNNNNNNNNNNNNNNNNNNNNNNNNNNNNNNNNNNNNNNNNNNNNNNNNNNNNNNNNNAUCCCGUCUCUCUGGUCGACGUAGUGCCCGCUCGCCCGCCUGCUCGUUUCGUCAGUUGGCUUAGGCAUACGGAGUUCAUUCCUGUCUAAGAUCGGACCGGACCGACGGUUGCGGGUGCACAUGCUGGGCUCGGGCAUGUGUUAGUGUCGUAUUUUUUUUCGCCCGGGGCACCAUCACCGAACCAUCGUCAAAGAACCUGACCGGCGGCAUUGGGGUUCCAAUGAUUGAACGGGGCCAGGGGGUGUGCGCACAUGAUGUGCGUUGGGUGCUGGUACUUGGCCCUUAUAUUGGCCCCCCAUCCCUCAUCAAACCUCGAGAACUCACACCCCCUUAAAGGGCAUUUGAGAUUUUACAGGUUUGCUUCACAUGAAACUUCACAUGAAGGCUCACAGGACCAUUGUCUGAAUUUACAAGUCCUAAAAAUGGCAUUGGCAUGGUAGAAAUAUGAAGAUAUACCUAAACCCACCAACCACCCUAUCGAUCCACGGCUUGCGCAUCCUGCCUCUCUGGCCGGCGUAGUGCCCACCUGCUUGUUUCGUCGGUUGGCAUAGGCAUACGGAGUUCAUUCCUCGUCUAAGAUCAGACCGGACCGAGGGUUGCGGCAGUAGGAUCGGCAGCACGCUGAGGGGGACCCAGUCGAUCCCCGACUUGCGCAUCCUGCCCCUUUGGUCGGCUGAGCGCCCGCAUGCUCGUUUCGUCGGUUGACUUAGGCAUACGAAGUUCAUUCCCAGUCUAAGAUCGACUCCGACUGAGGGUUGUGGGUGCACAUGCUGUGCUGGUGCCGCAUUUUUUUUCACCCAGCCACCGUCGCCAGAGCAUCGCCAGAGAACCUAACUGGCGGUAUUGGGGUUCCGACGAUUGGAGGGGCCGAGGGGUGUGCGACAUGAUGUGCGAUGGGUGCUGGUACUUGGCCCUUAUAUUGGCCCCUAUCCCUCAUCAAACCUCAAGAACUCACACCCCCAUAAAGAGCAUUUGAGAUUUUACAGGUUUGCUGCCAGUAGCUAUUAAAGUGUCUGAAAUGGGGACAUUUUUUUCAAAUGGUCACAAAAUCCUAUACACUUCGAGUUUUUAGCUGAAUUUUUUUGUGCAUGCCAAAAAAAAAUACAAGGAACACGUCUACCAAGUUUGGGGCCAAAAAUCCUUCUAAAAAAAUUUUAAAAAAAUCCCGAACCGUAAAAAGUUUCAAAAAUUAUGAAAAAUAGAAAAUAAGUCGUCUUGCCAUGAAACUUCAAAUGAAGGCUUAAGGGACCAUUGUAUGAAUUUACAAGCCAUAAAAAUGGCAUUGGCAUUGUAGAAAUAUGAAGAUAUGCCUAAACCCACCUACCACCUUAUUGAUCCAUGGCUUGCGCAUCCCGCCUCUCUGGCCGGCCGUAGUUGCCCGCCCGCCCGACCCACUCGUUUGUGGUUGGCUUAGGCAUACGGAGUUCAUUCCCAGUCUAAGAUUAGACAGAGCUGAGGGUUACAACAGCAGGAUCAACAGCACAUAGAGGUUGACCCGAUCGAUCCCCUACUUUGGCCGCAUCCUGCCCCUCUGGCCGGCUGAAGCCCGGCACGCUCAGUUUCGUGGGUUGACUAGCAUACGGAGGUUAUUCCCAGUCUAAGCAUGCGGAGUUCAUUCCCAAUCUAAGAUCAGACUGGACUGAGGGUUGCAGGUGCGCAUGCUGGACUCGAGCAUGUGCUGGUGUCGAUUUUUUUUUCACCCGGGGCACAAUCGUCGGAGCAUCCGCGGAGAACGCUGACGAGUGGCAUGUGGGUUCCGACGAUGGCUUGGGCCGGGGGGUGCGCACGUGAUGUACGAUGGGUGGCUGGUACUUGGCAACUUAUAUUGGCCCUCUAUCCCUCAUCAAACCUCGAGAACUCACACACCCCUUAAAGAGGCAUUUGAGAUUUUAAGGUUUGCUGGCCAGUAGGCGCAUUAAAGUGUUCGAAAUGGGGACACUUUUUUUGAAAUGGUCCACAAAAUACUGUACACUUCAAGUUUUUAGCCGAAUUUUUUUUGGCAUGCCAAAUUAAAAUACAAAGGAUCACAUUCUACAAAGUUUUGGGGCCAAAAAUCCUUUUUUCUUUGAAAAACUUUUUAAAAAAAUUCUCAAAACCAUAAAAAGUUUAAAAAAUCAAUGAAAAUAGAAAACGAAUCGUCUUGCCAUGAAAGUUCGCAUGAAGGCUAGGGACCGUUGUAUGACUUUACAAGCCAUAAAAAUGGCAUUGGCACGGCAGAAAUAUGAAGAUGUGCCUAAACCCACCUACCACCCUAUCGAUCACGGCUUGCGCAUCCCGUCUCUCUGGCCGGCGUAGUGCCCGCCCGCCCGACCGCUCGUUUCAUCGGUUGGCUUAGGCAUACGGAGUUCAUUCCUAGUCUAAGAAUGAACUGGAAUGAGGGUUGCGGUAGCAGGAUCGGCAGCAGGCUGAGAGGGACACUGUCGAUCCCCUGCUUGCGCAUCCUGCCCCUCUGGCCGACUGAGCGCCCGCACGCUCGUUUCAUGAGUUGACUUAGGCCUACGGAGUUCAUUCCCAAUCUAAGCAUACAGAGUUCAUUCCCAAUCCAAGAUUGGACCGGAUCGAGGGUUGCGGGUGCACAUGCUGGGCUCCGGCAUGUGCUGGUGCCAUAUUUUUCUUCGCCCGGGCCACCAUCACCGGAGAACCUGACCAGCGGCACUAGGGUUUCGGCGAUUGGGGGGACGGGGGGUGUGCACACAUGAUGUGCGAUGGGUGCUGGUACUUGGCCCUUAUAUUGGCCCCUUAUCCCUCAUCAAACCUUAAGAACUCACACCCCCCUAAAGAGCAUUUGAGAUUUUACAGGUUUGCUGCCAGUAGCCAUUAAAGUGUCUGAAAUGGGGACACUUUUUUCAAAUGGUCACAAAAUCCUGUACACUUCAAGUUUUUAGCUGAAUUUUUUUGUGCAUGCCAAAAAAAUGCAAGGAUCAUGUCUACCAAGUUUGGGGCCAAAACUCCUUCUGAAAAAAAUUCACAAAAAUCCCGAACUGUAAAAAGUUUCAAAAAUCGUGAAAAAUAGAAAACGAGUCAUCUUGCCAUGAAACUUCACAUGAAGGCUUAAGGGACCAUUGUAUGAAUUUACAAGCCAUAAAAAUGGCAUUGGCAUGGCUGAAAUAUGAAGAUGUGCCUAAACCCACCUAGCACCCUAUCGAUCCACGGCUUGCGUAUCCCACUUCUUUGGUCGACGUAGUGCCUGCCCGCCCGCGCGCUCUUUUCGUCGGUUGGCUUAGGCAUAGGAGUUCAUUCCCAGUCUAAGAUCGGACCGGACCGAGGGUUGCAGGUGCACAUACUGGGCUCAAGCAUGUGCUGGUGCCGCAUUUCUUUUUGCCCGGGGCACCAUCACCGGAGCAUCGUCAGUGAACUUGACCGGCGAAAUUGGGGUUCCGAUGAUUGGGGGUGGCCGGGGGGUGUGUGCGCACAUGAUGUGCGAUGGGUGCUGGUACUUGGCUCUUAUAUUGGCCCCCCAUCCCUCAUCAAACCUCGAGAACUCACACCCCUUAAAGAGCAUUUGAGAUUUUAUAGGUUUGCUGCCAGUAGCCAUUAAAGUGUCUGAAAUGGGGUUCCUUUUUUCAAAUGGUCACAAAAUCCUGUACACUUCGAGUUUUUAGCUGAAUUUUUUUAUGCAUGCCAAAAAAGUACAAGGAUCAUGUCUAGCAAGUUUGGGACCAAAACUCCUUUUGAAAAAAUUUUAAAAAAAAUCCCGACCCUUAAAAAGUUUCAAAAAUCGUGAAAAAUAGUAAACGAGUCGUCUUGCCAUGAAACUUCACAUGAUGGCUUAAGGGACCAUUGUAUGAAUUUACAAGCCAUAAAAAAGGCAUUGGCAUGGCAGAAAUAUGAAGAUGUGCCUAAACCCACCUACCACCCUAUUGAUCCAUGGCUUGCGCAUCCCGCCUCUCUGGCCGACGUAGUGCCCGCCCGCCCGCCCGCUUGUUUCGUCGGUUGGCUUAGGCAUAUGGAGUUCAUUCCCAGUCUAAGAUCAGAUCGGAUAGAGGGUUACAGCAGCAUGAUUGGAAACACGUUGAGAGGGACCCAAUCGAUGCCCAGCUUGCGCAUCCUGCCCCUAUGGCCGGUUGAGCGCCCGUACACUCAUUACGUGGGUUGACUUAGGCAUACGGAGUUCAUUCCCAGUCUAAGCAUACGAAGUUCAUUCCCAGUCUAAGAUCGAACCAGACCCGAGGGUUGUAGGUGCACAUGCUGGGCUCGGGCAUGUGCUGGUGUCACAUUUUUUUUCGCCCAGGGCACCAUCGUCGCAGCAUCGCUGAGAACCUGACUGGCGACAUUGGGGUUCUGGCGAUUGGAGGGGUCGGGGGGUGUGCUCACAUGUUGUGCGAUGGGUGCUGGUACUUGGCCCUUAUAUUGGACCCAUAUCCCUCAUCAAAACUCAAGAACUCACCCCCCCUGAAAGAGCAUUUGAGAUUUUACAUGUUUGCUACCAGUAGCCAUUAAAGUGUCUGAAAUGGGGACACUUUUUUGAAAUGGUCACAAAAUCCUGUACAGUUCGAGUUUUUAGCUGAAUUUUUUUGUGCAUGCCAACAAAAAUACAGGGAUCACGUCUACCAAGUUUUGGGCCAAAAAUCCUUUUGAAAAAAUUUUAAAAAAAUCCCGAAUCGUAAAAGGUUUCAAAAAUCAUGAAAAAUAGAAAACGAGUCGUCUUGCCAUGAAACUUCACAUGAAGGCUUAAGGGACCAUUGUAUGAAUUUACAAGCCAUAAAAAUGGCAUUGGCAUGGCAGAAAUAUGAAGAUGUUCCUAAACCCACCUACCACCCUAUCGAUCCACGGCUUGCGCAUCACGCCUCUCUGGCCGACGUAGUGCCCGCUCACCCGCCCGCCCGCUCAUUUCAUCGGUUGGCUUAGGCAUACGAAGUUCUUUCCCAGUCUAAGAUCGGACCAGACCAAGGUUUACAGUAGCAGGAUCGGCAGCACGCAGAGGGUGACUCGACCGAUCCCCGGCUUACGAUGAGGAACCAUUGUAUGAAUUUACAAGCCAUAAAAAUGUCAUUCGCAUAUCAGAAAUAUGAAGAUGUGCCUAAACUCACCUACCACCCUAUCGAUCCACGGCUUGCGCAUCCCACCACUCUGGUCGGCAUAGUGCCCACCCGCCCACCCGCUCGUUUAAUCGGUUGGCUUAGGCAUACGGAGUUCAUUCUCAGUCUAAGAUCGGACCAGACUGAGGGUUACAGUAGUAGGAUCGGUAGCGCGCUGAGGGGGACCUGGUCGAUCCCCGGCUUGCGCAUCCUGCCCCUCUGGUCGGCUGAGCGCCCGCACGCUUGUUUCGUGGGUUGACUUAGGCACACGGAGUUCAUUCUCAGUCUAAGAUCUGACUAGACUGAGGGUUGUGUGUGCACAUGCUGCACUCGGGCAUGUGCUGGUGCCGUAUUUUUUUUUGCUCGGGGCACCAUCGCCAGACCAUCGUCGGAGAACCUGACCGGUGGCAUUGGGGUUCCGACGACUGGGGGUGUCGGGGGGGUGUGCGCACAUGAUGUGUGAUGGGUGCUGGCACUUGGCCCUUAUAUUGGCCCCCUAUCCCUCAUCAAACCUCGAUAACUCACACCCCCUUAAAGUGCAUUUGAGAUUUUACAGGUUUGCUGCCAGUAGCCAUUAAAGUGUCUGAAAUGGGGACAAUUUUUUCAAGUAGUCACAAAAUCUUGUACACUUCGAGUUUUUAGCUGAAUUGUUUUAUGCAUGCCAACAAAAAUACAAGGAUCACAUCUACCAAGUUUGGGGCCAAAACGCCUUCUAAAAUAAUUUUAAAAAAAUCUCGAACCGUAAAAAGUUUCAAAAAUGUGAAAAAUAGAAAACGAGUCGUCUUGCCAUGAAACUUCACAAGAAGGCUUAAGGGACCAUUGUAUGAAUUUACAAGCCAUAAAAAUGGCAUUGGCAUGGUAGAAAUAUGAAGAUGUGCCUAAACCCACCUACCACGCUAUCGAUCCACGGCUUGUGCUUUCCCGCCUCUCUGGCCGGCGUAGUGCCUGCCCGCCCGCCCGCUCAUUUUGUCGGUUGGCUUAGGCAUACGGAGUUCAUUCCCAGUCUAAGAUCAGACCGGACUGAGGGUUGCGGUAGAAGGAUUGGCAGCACAUUAAGGGGGACCCAGCCGAUCCCCGGCUUGUGCAUCUUGCCCCUCUGGUCGACUGAGCGCCCGUACGCUCAGUUCGUGGGUUGACUUAGGCAUACGGAGUUCGUUCCCAGUCUAAGCAUACGAAAUUCAUUCCCAGUCUAAGAUUGAACUGGACCAAGGGUUGAGGGUGCAAUGUUGGGCUCGGGCAUGUGCUGGUGCCACAUUUUUUUUCGCCCGAGGCACCAUCACCGGAGCAUCGCCAGAGAACCUGAUCGGUGGCAUUAGGGUUCUGACGAUUUGGGGUCGGGGCUGUGUGCACAUGAUGUGCGAUGGGUGCCGGUACUUGGCCCUUAUAUUGGCCCCCUAUCCCUCAUCAAACCUCGAGAACUCACACCCACUUAAAGAGCAUUUGAGAUUUUACAGGUUUGCUGCUAGUAACCAUUAAAGUGUCCGAAAUGAGGACACUUUUUUCAAAUGGUCACAAAAUCCUGUACACUUCGAAUUUUUAGGUGAAAUUUUUUGUGCAUGCCAACAAAAAUACAAGGAUCAUGUCUACCAAGUUUGGGGCCAAAACUCCUUCUGAAAAAAUUUAAAAAAAAUCCCGAACCAUAAAAAGUUUCAAAAAUUGUGAAAACUAGAAAACGAGUCGUCUUGCCAUGAAACUUCACAUGAAGGCUAAAGGGACCAUUGUAUGAAUUUACAAGCCAUAAAAAUGGCAUUGGCAUGGCAGAAAUAUGAAGAUGUGCCUAAACCCACCUAGCACCCUAUCGAUCCACGGCUUACGCACCCCGCCUCUCUGGCCGGUGUAGUGCCCGCCCGUCCGUCCGUCCGUCGGUUCGUUUCGUCGGUUGGCUUAGGCAUAUGGAGUUCAUUCCUGGUCUAAGAUCAGACCAGAUCGAAGGUUGUGGCAGCAGGAUCGGUAGCACGCUGAGGGGGACCCAGUCGAUCCCUGACUUGUGCAUCCUGCCCCUUUGGCCGACUGAGCACCCGUACGCUCGUUUCAUGGGUUGACUUAGGCAUAUGAAGUUCAUUCCCAGUCUAAGGUCGAAUCGGACUAAGGGUUACAGGUGCACAUGCUGGGCUCGGGCAUGUGCUGGUGCGCAUUUUUUUUCGCCUGGGCACCAUCGUCGGAGCAUCGUCGAAGAACCUGACCGGUGGCAUUGGGGUUCCGAUGAUUGCAGGGCCGGGGGGGUGCGCACAUGAUGUGCGAUGGGUGCUGGUACUUGGCCCUUAUAUUGGCCCCCUAUCCCUCAUCAAACCUCGAGAACUGACACCCCCUUAAAGAGCAUUUGAGAUUUCACAGGUUUGCUGCCAGUAGUCACUAAAGUGUCUGAAAUGGGGACACAUUUUUCAAAUGGUCACAAAAUCCUAUACACUUUGAGUUUUUAUCUGAAUUUUUUUUAGCAUGCCCACAAAAAUACAGGGAUCAUGUCUACCAGGUUUGGGGCCAAAAAACCUUUUGAAAAAAUUUAAAAAAAUCCCGAACCAUAAAAACUUUCAAAAAUCGUGAAAAAUAGAAAACGAGUCGUCUUGCCAUGAAACUUCACAUGAAAGCUUAAGGGACCAUUGUAUGAACUUACAAGCCAUAAAAAUGGCAUUGGCAUGGUAGAAAUAUGAAGAUGUGCCUAAACCCACCUACCACCCUAUCAAUUCACAGCUUGUGUAUCCCGCCUCUCUGGCCGGCGUAGUGCCCGCCCAUCUGCUUGUUGGUUUUGUCGGUCCACUUAGGCAUACGGAGUUCAUUCCCAGUCUAAGAUUAGACCGGAUUAAGGGUUGCGAUAGCAGGAACGGCAGCACGUUGAGGGGGACCCGAUCAAUCCCCGACUUGCACAUCCUGCCCCUCUGGCAGGUUGAGCGCCCGCACACUCAUUUUGUGGGUUGACUUAGGCAUAAGGAGUUCAUUUCCAGUCUAAGAUCAGACAGGACCGAGGGUUACGGGUGCACAUGCUGGGCCCGAGCAUGUGCCGGUGCCAUAUUUUUUUUCGCCCGGGGCACCAUGGCUGGAGCAUCGUCAGAGAACCUGACCGACGGCAUUGGGGUUUCGGCGAUUGGGGGGUUCGGGGGGUGUGCGCACAUGAUGUGCGAUGGGUGCUGGUACUUCACCCUUAUAUUGGCCCCUAUUCCUCAUCAAACCUCGAGAACGCACACCCCCUUAAAGAGCAUUUGAGCUUUUAUAGGUUUGCUGCCAGUAGCCAUUAAAGUGUCUAAAAUCUUGUACACUUCGAGUUUUUAGCUGAAUUUUUUUGUGUAUGCCAAAAAAAAAUACAAGGAUCACUUCUAUGAGGUUUGGGGCCAAAACUCCUUCUGAAAAAUUUUAAAAAAAUCUUGAACCGUAAAAAGUUUUGAAAAUCGUGAAAAAUAGAGAACGAGUCAUCUUGCCAUGAAACUUCACAUGAAGGCUUAAGGGACCAUUGUAUGAAUUUACAAGCCAUAAAAGUGGCAUUGGCAUGGCAAAAAUAUGAAGAUGUGCUUAAACCCACCUACCACCCUAUCGAUCCACGGCUUGCACAUCCUGCCUCUCUGGCCGACGUAGAGCCACCGACCACCUGCUCAUUUCGUCGGUUGUCUUAGGCAUACGGAGUUCAUUCCCAGUCUAAGAUAAGAUCAGACUGAGUGUUGCGACAGCAAGAUCGAUAACACGCUGAGGGGGACACGACCGAUCCCUGGCUUGCGCAUCCUGCCCCUCUGGCCGACUGAGCGACUGCACGCUCGUUUCGUGGGUUGACUUAGGCAUACGGAGUUCAUUCCCAGUCUAAGAUCAGACCAGACCGAGGGUUAUGGUUGCACAUAUUGGGCUCGGGCAUGUGCUGGUGUCGCAUUUUUUUUCGCCUGGGGCACUAUCGCCGAAGCAUCAUCGGAGAACCUGACCGACGGCAUUAGGGUUCCGACGAUUGGGGGGGCGACGGGGUGUGCGCACAUCAUGUGCGAUGGGUGCUGGUACUUGGCCCUUAUAUUGGCCCCCUAUCCCUCAUCAAACCUUGAGAACUCAUGCCCCUUAAAGAGCAUUUGAGAUUUUACAGGUUUGCUGCCAGUAGCCAUUAAAGUGUCUGAAAUGGGGACACUUUUUUCAAAUGGUCACAAAAUCCUAUACACUUUGAGUUUUUAGCUGAAUUCUUUUGUGCGUGCCCACAAAAAUACAAGGAUCACAUCUACCAAGUUUGGGGCCAAAACUCCGUCUGAAAAAAUUUUAAAAAAUCCCGAACUGUAAAAAGUUUCAAAUAUCGUGAAAAAUAAGAAACGAGUUGUCUCGCCAUGAAACUUCACAUGAAGGCUUAAGGGACCAUUGUAUGAAUUUACAAGCCAUAAAAAUGGCAUUGGCAUGGCAUAAAUAUGAAGAUGUGCCUAAACCCACCUACCACCCUAUCGAUCCACGGCUUGCGCAUCCCACCUCUUUGGUCGGCAUAGUGCCCGCCCACCCGCACGCUCGUUUCGUCGGUUGGCCUAGGCAUACGGAGUUCAUUCCUAGUGUAAGAUCGAGCCAGAUUGAGGGUUGUGGCAGCAGGAUCGGUAGCACGCUGAGCGGGACCCGGUCGAUCCUUGGCUUGGGCAUCCUGCCCCUCUGGCCGGCUGAGCGCCCGCACGCUCGUUUCGUGGGUUGUCUUAGGCAUACGGAGUUCAUUCCCAGUCUAAGAUCGGACCAGACUGAGGGUUGCAGCAUCAGGAUUGGCAGCACACUAAAGGGGACCCGAUCGAUCCCCGGCAUGCGCAUCCUACCCCUCUGGUCGGUUGAACGCCCAUACACUCGUUUUGUGGGUUGACUUAGGCAUACGGAGUUCAUUCCCAGUCUAAGCAUACAGAGUUCAUUCCCAGUCUAAGAUUGGAUUGGACCGUGGGUUGCGGGUGCACAUGCAGGGCUUGGGCAUGUGCUGGUGUUGCAUUUUUUUUUGCUCGGGGCACCAUCGCCGGAGCAUCGUUGGAAAACCUGACCGACGGCAUUGGGGUUCCGUGCGAUUGGGGGGGUUGUGCGCACAUGAUGUGUGAUGGGUGCUGGUCCUUGGCCCUUAUAUUGGCCCCCUAUCCCUCAUCAAACCUCCAGAACUCACACCCCCUUAAAUAGCAUUUGAGAUUUUACAGGUUUGCUGCUAGUAGCCAUUAAAGUGUUCGAAAUGGGAAAAUUUUUUUCAAAUGGCCACAAAAUCCUCUACACUUCGAGUUUUUAGCUGAAUUGUUUUGUGCAUGCCCAUAAAAAUAACAGGAUCAUGUCUACCAAGUUUGGGACCAAAACUCCUUCUGAAAAAAUUUAAAAAAAUCUUGAACCGUAAAAACUUUCAAAAAUUGUGAAAAAUAGAAAACGGGUCGUCUUGCCAUGAAACUUCACAUGAAUCCUUAAGGGACCAUUGUAUGAAUUUACAAGCCAUAAAAAUGGCAUUGGCAUGGCAGAAAUAUGAAGAUGUGCCUAAACCCGCCUACCACUCUAUCGAUCCACGGCUUGCGCAUCCUGCCUCUUUGGCCGACGUUGUGCCCACCCGCCUGCCCGCUUGUUUCAUCGGUCGGCUUAGGCAUACGGAGUUCAUUCCCAGUCUAAGAUCAGACCAUACUGAGGGUUGCGGUAGCAGGAUCGACAGCACGCUAAGGGGGACCUGGUCGAUCCCCGGCUUGCACAUCUACCCCUCUGGCCGGUUGAGCGCCCGCACGCUCGUUUCGUGGGUUGACUUAGACAUACAGAGUUCAUUUCCAGUCUAAGAUCGGACCAGACUGACGGUUGCGGGUGCAUAUACUGGGCUCGGGCAUGUGCUGGUGUCAUAUUUUUUUCCCCUGGGGCAUCAUCGUCGGAGCAUCGUCGAAGAACCUGACCGACGGCAUUGGGGUUCCGGCGGUUGGGGGGGCCGGGGGGUGUGUGCACAUGAUGUACGUUGGGUGCUGGCACUUGGCCCUUAUAUUGGCUCCCUAUCCCUCAUCAAACCUCGAGAACUCACACCCCCUUAAAGAGCAUUUGAGAUUUUACAGGUUUGCUGCCAGUAGCCAUUAAAGUGUCUGAAAUGGGGACACUUUUUUCAAAUAGUCACAAAAUCCUGUACACUUCGAGUUUUUAGCUGAAUACUUUUGUGCAUGCCAAAAAAAGUACAAGGAACCUGUCUACCAAGUUUGGGGCCAAAACCCUUCCUGAAAAAAUUUUAAAAAAAUCUCGAACCGUAAAAAGUUUUAAAAAUGCUAAAAAAUAGAAAGUGAGUCGUCUUGCCAUGAAACUUCACAUGAAGGCUUAAGGGACCAUUGUAUGAAUUUACAAGCCAUAAAAAUGGCAUUGGCAUGGCGGAAAUAUCAAGAUGUGCCUAAACCCACCUACCACCCUAUCGAUCCAUGGCUUGCGCAUCCCGCCUCUCUGGUCGGUGUAGUGCCCGCCCGUCCGCCCGCUCAUUUCUUCGAUUGGCUUAGGCAUACGGAGUUAAUUCCCAAUCUAAGAUCGGACCAGACCGAGGGUUGCAGCAGCAGGAUCGACAGCACGAUGAGGGGGACCCAGUCGAUCCCCAGCUUGCACAUCCUGCCUCUCUGGACGGCAGAGCACCCGUACGCUCGUUUCGUGGGUUGACUUAGGCAUACGGAGUUCAUUCCUAGUCUAAGAUCAGACUAGACCGAGGGUUGCAGGUGCAAAUGCUGGGCACGGGCAUGUGCUAGUGUCAUAUUUUUUUUCACCCGGGGCACCAUCGUCGGAGAACCUGACCGACGGCAUUGGGGUUCCGACGAUUGGGGGGUCGGGGGCUGUGUGCACAUGAUGUGCAGUGGGUGCUGGUUCUUGGCCCUUAUAUUGGCCCCCUAUCCCUCAUCAAACCUCGAGAACUCACACCCCUUAAACAACAUUUGAGAUUUUAUAGGUUUGCUGCCAGUAGCCAUUAAAGUGUCUGAAAUGGGGACACUUUUUUCAAAUGGUCAAAAAAUCCUGUGCACUUUGCGUUUUUUAUGCAUGCCAACAAAAAUACAAGGGUCACGUCUACCAAGUUUGGGGCAAAAACGCCAUCUAAAAAAUGUUUAAAAAAAUCCUGAAUCAUAAAAAGUUUCAAAAAUCGUGAAAAAUAGAAAACGAGUCGUCUUGCCAUGAAACUUCACAUUAAGGGUUAAGGGACCAUUGUAUGAAUUUACAAGCCAUAAAAAUGGCAUUGGCAUGGCAGAAAUAUGAAGAUGUGCCUAAACCCACCUACCACUCUAUCGAUCCACGGAUUGUGCAUCCUGCCUCCCUGGCCGGCGUAGUGUCCGCCCACCCGCCUGCUUGUUUCGACGGUUGGCUUAGGCAUACGGAGUUCAUUCCCAGUCUAAGAUUGGACUGGACUGAGGGUUGCGGUAGUAGGAUCGGUAGCACGUAGAUGGGUACCCGACCGAUUCUUGGCUUGUGCAUCCUGCCCCUCUGGCCGACUGAGCGCUCGCACGCUCCUUUCGUGGGUUGACUUAGGCAUACGGAGUUCAUUCCCAGUCAAAGCAUACGGAGUUCAUUCCCAGUCUAAGAUCAGACUGAACCGAGGGUUGUGGGUGCACAUGCUGGGAUCGGGCAUGUGCUGGUGCCACAAUUUUUUUUCGCCUGGGGCACCAUCGGUGGAGCAUCGCUGGGGAACCUGACCGAUGGCAUUGGGGUUCCGUCGAUUGGGGGGGCCGGGGGGUAUGCGCACGUGAUGUGCGAUAGGUGCUGGUACUUGGCCCUUAUAUUGGCCCCCUAUCCCUCGUCAAACCUCGAGAACUCACACCCCCUUAAACAGCAUUUGAGAUUUUACAGGUUUGCUGCCAGUAGCCGUUAAAGUGUCUGAAAUGGGGACACUUUUUUCAAAUGGUGACAAAAUCCUAUACACUUCGAGUUUUUAGCUGAAUUUUUUUGUGCAUGCCCAUAAAAAUACAAGGAUCAUGUCUACCAAGUUUGGGGCCAAAACACCUUCUGAAAAAAGUUAAAAAAAUCCCGAACCGUAAAAAGGUUCGAAUAUCAUGAAAAAUAGAAAAUGAGUCGUCUUGCCAUGAAACUUCACAUGAAGGCUUAAGGGACCAUUGUAUGAAUUUACAAGCCAUAAGAAUGGCAUUGGCAAGGCAGAAAUAUGAAGAUGUGCCUAAACCCACCAACCACCCUAUCGAUCCACGGCUUGCGCAUCAUGCCUCUCUGGCCGACGUAGUGCCCGCCCGCCCGCUCACUCAUUUCGUCGGUUGGCUUAGGCAUACGGAGUUCAUUCCCAGUCUAAGAUCAUAUCGGACUGAGGGUUGCGAUAGCAGGAUUGGUAGCACGCUGAGGGGGACUCGGUCGAUCCCCGACUUGCGUAUCCUGCCCCUCUGGCCGGCUGAGCGCCCGUACGCUCGUUUCGUGGGUCGACUUAGGCAUACUUUGUUCACUCCCAGCCUAAGAUCGGACCAGACCGAGGGUUGCGGGUGCACAUGCUGGGCUCGGGCAUAUGCUGGUGCCGCAUUUUUUUCGCCCGGGGCACCAUCGUCAGAGCAUUGUCGAAGAACCUGACCGGCGGCAUUGGGGUUCCGAUGAUUGGGGGGGCUGGGGGAGGUGUACGCACAUGAUGUGUGAUGGGUGCUGGUACUUGGCUCUUAUAUUGGCCCCCUAUCCCUCAUCAAAGCUCAAGAACUCACAUCCCCUUAAAGAGCAUUUGAGAUUUUACAGGUUUGCUGCCAGUAGCAAUUAAAGUGUCUGAAAUGGGGACACUUUUUUCAAAUGGUCACAAAAUCCUGUACACUUUGAGUUUUUAGCUGAAUUUUUUUGUGCAAGCCAACAAAAAUACAAGGAUCACGUCUACCAAGUUUGGGGCCAAAACCCCUUCUGAAAAAAUUUUAAAAAAAUCUCGAACCGUAAAAAGUUUAAAAAAUCGUGAAAAAUAGAAAACGAGUCGUCUUGCCAUGAAACUUCACAUGAAGGCUUAGGGGACCAUUGUAUGAAUUUACAAGCCAUAAAAAUGGCAUUGGCAUGGCAGAAAUAUGAAGAUGUGCCAAUACCCACUUACCACCCAAGCGAUCCACGGCUUGGGCAUCCCGCCUCUCUGGUUGGCAUGGUGCCCGCCCACCUGCCUGCUUGUGUUGUCGGUUGGGUUAGGUAUACGGAGUUCAUUCCCAGUCUAAGAUGGGACCGGACUGAGGGUUAUGGCAGCAGUAUCGGCAGCACGCUAAGGGGGACCCGACCGAUCCUCGAGUUGCGCAUCCUGCCCUUCUGGCCAGCUGAGCGCCCGCACGCUCGUUUCGUGGCUUAACUUAGGCAUAGGAGUUCAUUCCCAGUCUAAGAUCGGACCGAACCGAGGGUUACGGGUGCACAUGCUGGGCUCGGGCAUGUGCUGGUGCCACAUUUUUUUUCACUCGGGGCUCCAUCGCCGGAGCAUCGUCGGAGAACCUGACCGGCGGCAUUGGGGUUUCGAUGAUUGGGGGGGCCGGGAGGGGGGUGUGCGCACAUGAUGUGCAAUGGGUGCUGGUACUUGGCCCUUAUAUUAGCCUCUUAUCCCUCAUCGAACCUCGAGAACUCACACCCCCUUAAAGAGAGUUUGAGAUUUUACAAGUUUGCUGCCAGUAGCUGUUAAAGAGUCUGAAAUGGGGACAUUUUUUUCAAAUGGUCAGAAAAUCCUGCACACUUUGAGUUUUUAGCUGAAUUUUUUUGUGCAUGCCAACAAAAAUACAAGGAUCACAUCUACCAAGUUUGGGGCCGAAACUACUUCUGAAAAAAUUUUAAGAAAAUCUCGAACCGUAAAAAGUUUCAAAAUCGUGAAAAAUAGAAAAUGAGUCGUCUUGCCAUGAAACUUGACAAGAAGGCUUAAGGGACCAUUGUAUGAUUUUACAAGCCAUAAAAAUGGCAUUAGCAUGGUAGAAAUAUGAAGAUGUGCCUAAGCCCACCUACCACCCUAUUGAUCCACGGCUUGCGCUUCCCGCCUCUCUGGCCGACGUAGUGCCCGCCCGCUCGUUUCGACGAUUGGCUUAGGCAUACGGAGUUCAUUAUAAGUCUAAGAUCAGACCAGAUUGAGGGUUAUGGCAGCAGGAUUGGCAGCACACUGAGGGGGACCCGGCCGAUCCCCGGCUUGCGCAUCCUGCCCCUCUGGCCGGCUGAGCGCCCGCACGCUCGUUUCGUGGGUUGACCUAGGCAUAUGGAGUUCAUUCCCAGUCUAAGCAUACGGAGUUCAUUCCCAGUCUAACAUCGAACUGGAGUGAGGGUUAUGGGUGCACAUGCUGGGCUCGGGCAUGUGCUGGUGCCGUAUUUUUUUUUGCCCGAGGCACCAUCGUCGGAGCAUCGUCGGAGAACUUGACCGGCGGCAUUGGGGUUUUGGUGAUUGGGGUGGCCGGGGGGGUGUGCACACAUGAUCUGCAAUGGGUGCUGGUACUUGGCCCUUAUAUUGGCCCCUAUCCCUCAUCAAACCUCGAGAACUCACACCCCCUUAAAGAGCAUUUGAGAUUUUACAGGUUUGCUACCUGUAGCCAUUAAAGUGUCCAAAAUGGGGACAUUUUUUUCGAAUGGUCACAAAAUCUUGUACACUUUGAGUUUCUAGCUAAAUUUUUUUGUGCAUGCCAACAAAAAUACAAGGAUCACGUCUACAAAGUUUGGGGCCAAAACUCCUUUUGAAAAAAUUUUAAAAAAAUCCCGAACCGUAAAAAUUUUAAAAAUCGUAAAAAAUAGAAAAUGAGUCGUCUUGCCAUGAAACUUCAAAUGAAGGCUUAAGGGACCAUUGUAUGAAUUUACAAGCCAGAAAAAUGGCAUUGGUAUGGUAGAAAUAUGAAGAUGUGCCUAAACCCACCUACCACCCUAUCGAUGCACGGCUUGAGCAUCCCGCCUCUUUGGUCGGAUUAGUGCUUGCCCGCCCGCCCGCCCGCUCUUUUCGUCAGUUGGCUUAGGCAUACGGAGUUCAUUCCCAAUCUAAGAUCGACCCAGAUUGAGGGUUGUGGCAGCAGGAUCGACAGCACGCUGAGGCAGACCCGAUCGAUCCCCGGCUUGUGCAUCCUGCCCCUCUGGCCGGCUGAGCACCCAUACGCUCAUUUCGUGGGUUGACUUAGGGAUACGAAGUUCAUUCCCAGUCUAAGCAUACGGAGUUCAUUCCUAGUCUAAGAUCAGACCAGACCGUGGGUUGCGGGUGCACAUGCUGGGCUCGGGCAUGUGCUGGUGCCGUAUUUUUUUUUGCUCGGGGCACCAUCGUCGGAGCAUCGCUGAAGAACCUGACCAGCGACAUUGGGGUUCCGACGAUUAGGGGGGCCGGGGGGGUGUGCGCACAUGAUGUGUGAUGGGUGCUGGUACUUGGCCCUUAUAUUAGCCCCCCUAUCCCUCAUCAAACCUCGAGAACUCACCACCCCUUAAAGUGCAUUUGAGUUUUUAUAGGUUUGCUGCCAGUAGCCAUUAAAGUGUCUGAAAUGGGGACACUUUUUUCAAAUGGUCACCGAAUCCUGUACACUUCGAGUUUUUAGCUAAACUUUUUUGUGCAUGCCCACAAAAAUACAAGGACCAUGUCUAAAAAGUUUGGGGCCACAACCCCUUCUGAAAAAAUUUAAAAAAAUCCCGAACCGUAAAAAGAUUCCAAAAUCGUGAAAAAUAGAAAACGAGUCGUCUUGCCAUGAAACUUCACAUGAAGGCUUAAGGGACCAUUGUAUGAAUUUACAAGCCAUAAAAAUGGCAUUGGCAUGGCAAAAAUAUGAAGGUGUGCCUAAACCCACCUACCACCCUAUCGAUCCACGGCUUGAGCAUCCCACCUCUCUGGCCGACGUAGUGCUCGCCCGCCCGCCAGCUCGUUUCAUCGAUUGGCUUAGGCAUACGAAGUUCAUUCCCAGUCUAAGAUCAGACCAGACUGAGGGUUGUGGCAGCAGGAUUGGCAGUAUACUGAGAGGGACCUGGCCGAUCAUCGGCUUGCCAUGAAACUUCACAUGAAGGCUUAAGGGACCAUUGUAUGAAUUUGCAAGCCAUAAAAAUGGUAUUGGCAUGGUAGAAAUAUCAAGAUGUGCCUAAACCCACCUACCACCCUAUCGAUCCACGGCUUGCGCAUCCCACUUCUCUGGUCGAAGCAGUGCCCACCCGCCCGCCCGCUCGUUUCGUCGGUUGGCUUAGGCAUACAGAGUUCAUUCCCAGUCUAAGAUUGGACCAGAUCGAGGGUUGCAGCAGCAGGAUCGGCAGCACGCUGAGGGAGACCCGGACGAUCCCCGACUUAUGCAUCCUGCCCCUCUCGUCGACUAAGCACCCGUAAGCUCGUCUCGAGGGUUAACUUAGGCAUACGGAGUUCAUUCCCAGUCUAAGCAUAUGGAGUUCAUUCCCAGUCUAAGAUCGGAUCGGAUCGAGGGUUGCGGGUGCACAUGCUGGGCUCAUGCAUGUGCUGGUGCCAAAUUGUUUUUCACCCGGGGCACUAUCGUCGGAGUGUCGCCGGAGAACCUGAGCGACCGAGGGUUGUGCGCACAUGAUGUGCGAUGGGUGAUGGUACUUGGCCCUUAUAUUGGCCCCCUAUCCCUCAUCAAACCUCGAGAACUCACACCCCCUUAAUGAACAUUUGAGAUUUUAUAGGUUUGUUGCCAGUAGCAAUUAAAGUGUCUAAAAUGGGGACACUUUUUCAAAUGGUCACAAAAUCCUGUACACUUCAAGUUUUUAGCUGAAUUUUUUUAUGCAUGCCAACAAAAAUGCAAGGAUCACGUCUACCAAGUUUGGGGCCAAAACUCCUUCUGAAAAAUUUUAAAAAAAUCUCAAACAGUAAAAAGUUUCAAAAAUCUUGAAAAAUAGAAAACGAGUCGUCUUGCCAUGAAACUUCACAUGAAGGCUUAAAGGACCAUUGUAUGAGUUUACAAGCUAGAGAACCUGACCGGUGGCAUUGGUGUUUCAGUGAUUGGGGGGAUUGGGGGGGUGUGCACACAUGAUGUGCAAUGGGUGCUGGUACUUGGCCCUUAUAUUGGCCCCCUAUCCCUCAUCAAACCUCGAGAACUCACACGCCCUUAAAAAUGGCAUUGGCAUGGCAGAAAUAUGAAGAUGUGCCUAAACCCACCUACCACCCUAUCAAUCGACGGCUUGCGCAUCCCGCCUCUCUGGCGGGCGUAGAGCCUGCCCGUCUGCCAGCCCGCUCGUUUCAUCGGUUGGCUUAGGCAUACAAAGUUCAUUCCCAGUCUAAGAUCGGACCAGAUCGAGGGUUACGGCAGUAGGAUUGGUAGCACGAUGAAGGGGACCCGGCCAGACCCGGCUUGCACAUCCUGCCCCUCUGGCCGGCUAAGCGCCCGCACGCUCAUUUCAUGGGUUGACUUAGGCAUACGGAGUUCAUUCCCAGUCUAAGCAUAUGGAGUUCAUUCCCAAUCUAAGAUCAGAUCGGACCGAGGGUUGAGGGUGUACAUGCUGGGCUCGAGCAUGUGUUGGUGCCAUAUUUUUUUUCACUCGGGGCACCAUCGUCGAAGUUCAUUCCCAGUCUAAGCAUAUGGAGUUCAUUCCCAAAAAUAUGAAGAUGUGCCUAUACCCACCUACCACCCUAGUGAUCCACGGUUUGGGCAUCCCGCCUCUCUGGUCGGCUUAAUGCCCGCCCGCCCGCCCGCCCGCCCGCUCGUUUCGUCGGUUGGGUUAGGUAUAUGGUGUUCAUUCCUAGUCUAAGAUCAGACCGGAUCGAGGGUUGUGGCAGUAGGAUUGGCAGCACAUUGAGAGGGACCUGGCCGAUCCCCGGCUUGCGCAUCCUGCCCCUCUAGCCAGCUGAGCGCCCGUACGCUCGUUUCGUGGGUUGACUUAGGCAUAUAGAGUUCAUUCCCAGUUAAAGAUGGGACCGAACCGAGGGUUGCAGAUGCACAUGCUGGGCUCGGGCAUGUACUGGUGUCACAUUUUUUUUUUGCCUGGGGUACCAUCGUCGGAGCAUCGUCACAGAACCUGACCGGCGGCAAUGGGGUUCCGGCGAUUGGGGGGGUCGGGAGAGGGGUGUGCGCACAUGAUGUGCAAUGGGUGCUGGUACUUGGCCCUUAUAUUAGCCCCCUAUCCCUCAUCAAACCUCGAGAACUCACACCCCCUUAAAAAGCAUUUGAGAUUUUACAGGUUUGCUGCCAGUAGCCAUUAAAGUGUCUGAAAUAGGGACACUUUUUUUAAAUGGCCACAAAAUCCUGUACACUUUGAUUUUUUAGCUAAAUUUUUUUGUGCAUGCCAACAAAAAUACAGGGAUCACGUCUACCAAGUUUGGGGCCAAAACUCCUUCUAAAAAAAAUUUAAAAAAAUCUCGAAUCGUAAAAAGUUUUAAAAAUCGUGAAAAAUAGAAAACGAGUCGUCUUGCCAUGAAACUUCACAAGAAGGCUUAAGGGACCAUUGUAUGAUUUUACAAGCCAUAAAAAUGGCAUUGGCAUGGCAGAAAUAUGAAUAUGUGCCUAAACCCACCUACCACCCUAUCGAUCCACGGCUUGCGCAUCUUGCCUCUCUAGUCGACGUAGUGCCCGCACGCUCGUUUCGUCGAUAGCACGCAGAGGGGGACCCAGCCGAUCCCCGGCUUACGCAUCCUGCCCCUCUGGAUGACUGAGCGCCCGCACGCUCGUUUCGUGGGUUGACUUAGGCAUAGGAGUUCAUUCCCAGUCUAAGAUGAGAUCGGACUGAGGGUUGCGGGUGCACAUGCUAGGCUCGGGCAUGUGCAGGUGUCGCAUUUUUUUUUGCCCGGGGCACCAUCGCCAAAGAACCUGACCAGCGACAUUGGGGUUCCGGCGAUUGGGGGGCGGGGGGUGUGCACACAUGAUGUGCGAUGGGUGCUGGUACUUGGCCCUUAUAUUGGCCCCUUAUCCCUCAUCAAACCUCGAGAACUCACACCCCCUUAAAGAGCAUUUGAGAUUUUACAGGUUUGCUGCUAGUAGCCAUUAAAGUGUCUGAAAUGGGGACACUUUUUUCAAAUGGUCACAAAAUCCUAUACACUUUGAGUUUUUAGCUGAAUUUUUUUUUGCAUGCCAAAAAAAUACAAGGAUCACGUCUACCAAGUUUGGGGCAAAACUCCUUCUGAAAAAAUUUUAAAAAAAUCCCGAAUCAUAAAAAGUUUGAAAAAUUAUGAAAAAUAGAAAACGAGUCGUCUUGCAUUGAAACGUCACAUGAAGGCUUAAGGGACCAUUGUAUGAAUUUACAAUGGCAUUGGCAUGGCAAAAAUAUGAAGAUGUCCCUAAACCAACCUACCACCCUAUCGAUUAAUGCCUUGCACAUCUCGCCUCUUUGGCCGACGUAGUGCCCGCCUGCCCAUCCGCUCGUUUUGACGGUUGGAUUAGGCAUUCAGAGUUCAUUCCCAGUCUAAGAUCGGACUGGGCUGAGGGAUGUGGUAGUAGGAUCGGUGGCACGUAGAGGGGGACCCGACCGAUCCCCGGCUUGCGCAUCCUGCCCCUCUGGCCGGCUGAGCGCACGCACUUUCAUUUUGUGGGUUGACUUAGGCAUAUGGAGUUCAUUCUUAGUCUAAGAUCAGACCGGAUCGAGGGUUGUGGGUGCACAUGCUGGGCUCGGGCAUGCGCAGGUGACGCAUUUUUUUUCGCCCGGGCCACCAUCGCUGGAGCAUCGUCGGAGAACCUGACCAGCGGCAUUGGGGUUCCGGCGAUUGGGGGGCCGGAGGGGUGUGCGCACAUGAUGUGCGAUUGGUGCUGGUACUUGGCCCUUAUAUUGACCCCCUAUCCCUCAUCAAACCUCAAGAAGUCACACCCCCUUAAAAAGCAUUUGAGAUUUUACAAGUUUGCUGCCAGUAGCCAUUAAAGUCUCUUAAAUGGGGACACUUUUUUCAAAUGGUCACAAAAUCCUGUACACUUCUAGUUUUUAGCUGAAUUUUUUUGUGCAUGCCAACAAAAAUACAAGGAUCAUGUAUACCAAGUUUGGGGCCAAAACUCCUUUUGAAACAAUUUUAAAAAAAUCCUGAACCGUAAAAAGUUUUGAAAAUCAUGAAAAAUAGAAAACGAGUCGUCUUGCCAUGAAACUUCAAAUUUAGGCUUAAGGGACCAUUGUAUGAAUUUACAAGCCAUAAAAAUUUCAUUCGCAAGGCAAAAAUAUGAAGAUGUGCCUAAACCCACCUACCACCCUAUCGAUCCACGGCUUGCGCAUCCCGUCUCUCUGGCCGGCGUAGUGCCCUCCCGCCCGCCUGCUCGUUUUGUCGGCUGGCUUAGGCAUACGGAUUUCAUUCCUAGUCUAAGAUCAGAUCGGGUGGAGCUUUUCGGCAACAGGAUCGACAUCCCACUGAAGGGGACCCGACCGAUCCCCGGCUUGCGCAUCCUACCCCUCUGGCUGGCUGAGCACCCGCACGUUCGUUUCGUGGGUUGACUUAGGCAUACGGAGUUAAUUCCCAGUCUAAGGAUACAGAGUUCAUUCUCAGUAUAAGAUCAGACCGGACCGAGGGUUGCGGGUGCACAUGCUGGGCUCGAGCAUGUGCCGGUGUCGUAUUUUUUUUCGUUCGGGCCCCCAUCAUCAAAGAUUGGGGGGCGGCGGGUGUGCGUACAUGAUGUGCGAUGGGUGCUGGUACUUGGCCCUUAUAUUGGCCCCCUAUCCCUCAUCAAACUUCGAGAAUUCACACCCCCUUAAAGAGCAUUUGAGAUUUCACAGGUUUGCUGCCAGUAGCCAUUAAAGUGUCUGAAAUGGGGACACUUUUUUCAAAUUGUCACAAAAUCCUAUACAAUUCGAGUCUUGUGCUGAAUUUUUUUGUGCAUGCCAAUAAAAAUAAAAGGAUCACAUCUACCAAGUUUGGGGCCAAAACUCCUUCUGAAAAAAUUUUAAAAAAAUCUCGAACCAUAAAAAGUUUCGAAAAUCAUGAAAAAUAGAAAACGAGUCGUCUUGCCAUGAAACUUCACAUGAAGGCUUAAGGGACCAUUGUAUGAAUUUACAAGCCAUAAAAAUUUCAUUGGCAUGAUAGAAAUAUGAAGAUGUGCCUAAACCCGCCUACCACCCUAUCGAUCCACGACUUGCGCAUCCCGCCUCUUUGGCUGGCGUAGUGCCCGCCCGCCCUCUCGUUUCGUCAGUUCGCUUAGGCAUACAAAGUUCAUUCCCAAUCUAAGAUCAAACUGGGCUGAAGGUUGCGACAACAGGAUUGGUAGCACGCUGAAGGGGACCCGACCGAUCCCCAGCUUGCGCAUCCUGCCCCUCUGGCCGGCUGAGCGCCCGCACGCUCAUUUUAUCGGUUGACUUAGGCAUACGGAGUUCAUUCCCAGUCCAAGGAUACAGAGUGCAUUCCUAGUCUAAGAUCGGACCGGACGGAGGGUUGCGGGUGCACAGGCUAGGCUCGAGCAUGUGUUGGUGCCGCAUUUUGUUUCGCUCGGGCCCCCAUCGUCGGAGAUUGGGGGGCGAGGGGUGUGCGCACAUGAUGUGCGAUGGCUGCUGGUACUUGGCCCUUAUAUUGGCCCCUUAUCCCUCAUCAAACUUCGAGAACUCACACCCCUUUAAAGGGCAUUUGAGGUUUUACAUGUUUGCUGCCAGUAGCCAUUAAAGUGUCUGAAAUGGGGACACUUUUUUCAAAUUGUCACAAAAUCCUGUACACUUCAAUUUUUUUGUUGAAUUUUUUUAUGCAUGCCAACAAAAAUACAAGCAUCACGUCUACCAAGUUUGGGGCCAAAAAUCCUUCUGAAAAAGUUUUUAAAAAAUCUCGAACCAUAAAAAGUUUUGAAAAUCAUGAAAAAUAGAAAACGGGUGGUCUUGCCAUGAAACUUCACAUGAAAGGUUAAGGGACCGUUGUAUGAAUUUACAAGCCAUUAAAAUGGCAUUGGCAUGGCAGAAAUAUGAAGAUGUGCCUAAACCCGCCAGCACCCUAUCGAUCGAUGGCUUGCGCAUCCCACCUCUCUAGCCGGCGUAGUGCCCGCCCGCCUGCUCGUUUCGUCGGUUGGCUUAGGCAUACGAAGUUCAUUCCCAGUCUAAGAUCAAACCAGACUGAGGGUUGUAGCAGCAGGAUCAGUAGCACGCUGAGGGGGACCCGGCCUAUCCCCAGCUUGUGCAUCCUGCCCCACUGGCCGGUUGAGCACCCGCAUGCUCUUUUCCUAGGUUGACUUAGGCAUACGGAGUUCAUUCCCAGUCUAAGAUGGGAUGAACCAAGGGUGGCGGGUGCACAUUUUGGGCUCGAGCAUGUGCUGGUGCCGCAUUGUUUUUCGCCUGGGGCACCAUCGCUGGAGAACCUGACCGGUGGCAUUGGGGUUCCGACGAUUGGGGGGCCGGCGGGGGUGUGCGCACAUGAUGUCCAAUAGGUGCUGGUACUUGGCCCGUAUAUUGGCCCCCUAUCCCUCAUCAAACCUCAAGAACUCACACCCCCUUAAAGAGCAUUUGAGAUUUUACAGGUUUGCUGCUAGUAGCCAUUAAAGUGUCUGAAAUGGGGACACUUCUUUCAAAUGGUCACAAAAUCCUAUACACUUCGAGUUUUUAGCUGAAUUUUUUUGUGCAUGCCCAAAAAAAAAAAACAAGGAUGACGUGUACCAAGUUUGGGGCCAAAACGCCUUCUGAAAAAAUCUAAAAAAAUCCCAAAUCGUAAAAAGUUUCAAAAAUCAUGAAAAAUAGAAAACGAGUCGUCUUGGCAUUAAACUUCACACGAAGGCUUAAGGGACCAUUGUAUGAAUUUACAAGCCAUAAAAAUGGCAUUGGCAUGGCAAAAAUAUGAAGAUGUGCCUAAACCCACCUACCACCUAUCGAUCCACGGCUUACGCAUCCCACCUCUCUAGCCGGUGAAGUGCCCGCCCGCCUGCCCGUCCACCCGCCCGCUCGUUUCGUCGGUUCGCUUGGGCAUAUGGAGUUCAUUCCCAGUCUAAGAUCGGACCAGACCGAGUGUUGCAGCAUCAGGAUCGACAGCACGCAGAGGGUGACCCGAUCGAUCCCCAGCUUGCGCAUCCUACCCCUCUAGCUGGUUGAGUGCCCAUACGCUCGUUUAGUGGGUUGACUUAGGCAUACGGAGUUCAUUCCCAGUCUAAGCAUACGGAGUUCAUUCCCAGUCUAAGAUCAGACCAGAUCGAGGGUUGCGGGUGCACAUGCUGGGCUCGGGCAUGUGCUGGUGCUGGAGCGUCGCUAGAGAACCUGACUGAUGGCAUUGGGGUUCCGACGAUUGGGGGGGCUGAGGGGUGUGCGCACAUGAUGUGCGAUGGGUGCUGGUACUUGGCCCUUAUACUGGGCCCCUAUCCCUCAUCAAACCUUGAGACCUCACACCCCUUUAAAGAGCAUUUGAGAUUUUACAGGUUUGCUGCCAGUAGCCAUUAAAGUGUCUGAAAUGGGGACACUUUUUUCAAAUGGUCACAAAAUCUUGUACACUUCGAGUUUUUAGCUGAAUUUUUUUGUGCAUGCCAAUAAAAAUACAAGGAUCACGCCUACCAAGUUUGGGGCCAAAACUCCUUUUGAAAAAAUUUUUAAAAAAUCCUGAACCAUAAAAAGUUUUAAAAAUCAUGAAAAAUAGAAAACGAGUCGUCUUGCCAUGACACUACAUAUGAAGGCUUAAGGGACCAUUGUAUGAAUUGACAACAAGCCAUAAAAAUGCCAUUGGCAUGGCAGAAAUAUGAAGAUGUGCCUAAACCCACCUACCACCCUAUCGAUCCACGACUUACGCAUCCCGCCUCUCUGGCCGUCGUAGUUCCCGCCCGCCCGACUGCUCGUUUCAUCGGUUGGCUUAGGCAUACGAAGUUCAUUACCAGUCUAAGAUCAGACCAGACCUAAGGUUACGAUAGUAGGAUCAGCAGCACGCUGAGGGGGACCCAGCCAAUCCUCGACUUGCACAUCUUGCCCCUCUGGCCUGCUGAGCGCCCGCACGCUCGUUUCGUGGGUUGACUUAGGCAUACGGAGUUCAUUCCCAAUCUAAGAUUGGACCAGACCGAGGGUUCGAAGUGCACAUACUGGGCUCGAGCAUGUGCUGGUGCCACAUUUUUUUUUGCCCGGGGCAUCAUCGCCGGAGCAUCAUCGGAGAACCUGACCGACAGCAUUGGGGUUCCGACGAUUGGGGGGGCCGGGGGGUGUGCACACAUGAUGUGCUGGUACUUGGCCCUUAUAUUGGCCCCCUAUCCCUCAUCAAACCUCAAGAACUCACACCCCUUUAAAGAGCAUUUGAGAUUUUACAGGUUUGCUGCCAGUAGCCAUUAAAAUGUCUCAAAUGGGGACACUUUUUUCAAAUGGUCACAAAAUCCUGUACACUUCGAGUUUUUAGCUGAAUUUUUUUUUGCAUGCCAAAAAAAUACAAGGAUCACGUCUACCAAGUUGGGGCUAAAACUCCUUCUGAAAAAAUUUUAAAAAAAUCCCGAACCGUAAAAAGCUUCAAAAAUCUUGAAAAAUAGAAAACGAGUCAUCUUGCCAUGAAACCUCAUAUGAAGGCUUAAGGGACCAUUGUUGAAUUUACAAGCCAUAAAAAUGGCUUCGGCAUGGAAAAAAUAUGAAGAUGUGCCUAAACCCACCUACCACCCUAUCGAUCCACGGCUUGCGCAUCCCGUCUCUCUGGCCGGGGUAUUGCCCGCCCGCCCACUCGUUUCAUCGAUUGCCUUAGGCAUACGGAGUUCAUUCCCAGUCUAAGAUUGGACCGGACUGAGGGUUACGGCAUAAGGAUCGCCAGCACGUAGAGGGGGACCCAGUCGAUCCCAGGCUUGCGCAUCCUACCUCUCUGGCCGGCUGAGCGCCCACACGCUCGUUUCGUAGGUUGACUUAGGCAUACGGAGUUCAUUCCCAGUCUAAGAUCGGACCGGACCGAGGGUUGUGGGUGCACAUGCUGGGCUUGGGCAUGUGCUGGUGCCGUAUUUUUUUUUCGCCCGGGGCACCAUCGUCGGAGAACCUGACCGAUGGCAUUGGGGUUCCGGCGAUUGGGGGGCGAGGGGGGUGUACGCACAUGAUGUGCGAUGGGUGCUGGUACUUGGUCCUUAUAUUCACCCCCUAUCCCUCAUCAAACCUCGAGAACUCACACCCCCUUAAAGAGCAUUUGAGAUUUUACAGGUUUGCUGCCAGUAGCCAUUAAAGUGUUUAAAAUGGGGACAUUUUUUUCAAAUGGUCACAAAAUCCUGUACAAUUUGAGUUUUUAGCUUAAUUUUUUUGUCCAUCCCAACAAAAAUAAAAGGAUCACAUCUACCAAGUUUGGGGCCAAAACUUCUUCUGAAAAUUUAAAAAAAAAUCUCGAACUGUAAAAAUUUUAAAAAUUAUGAAAAAUAGAAAACGAGUCAUCUUGCCAUGAAACUUCACAUGAAGGCUUAAGGGACCAUUGUAUGAAUUUACAAGCCAUAAAAAUGGCAUUGGCAUGGUAGAAAUAUGAAGAUGUGCCUAAACCCACCGACCACCCUAUCGAUCCAUGGAUUGUGUAUCCCACCUCUCGGGCAUGUGGUAGUGCCGCAUUUUUUUUCGUCCAGGGCACCAUCGUCGAAGCAUCAUCGGAGAACCUGACCGGCGGCAUUAGGGUUCCGAUGAUUGGGGGGGCCGGGGGGUGUGCGCGCACAUGAUGUGUGUUGGGUGCUGGUACUUGGCCCUUAUAUUGGCCCCCUAUCCUUCAUCAAACCUCGAGAACUCACACCCCCUUAAGGACCAUUUGAGAUUUUACAGGUUUGCUGCCAGUGGCCAUUAAAGUGUCUGAAAUGGGGACACUUUUUUCAAAUGGUAACAAAAUCCUAUACAAUUCAAGUUUUGUAGCUGGAUUCUUUAUGCAUGCCAACCAAAAAUAAAGGGAUGACAGUUCUACCAAGUUUGGGCCAAAACUCCUUUUGAAAAAAUUUUAAAAAAAAUCCUCGAACCAUAAAACGUUUUGAAAAUUUGUAAAAAAUAGAAAACGAGUCGUCUUGCCAUGAAACUUCAACAUGAAGGCUUAAGGGACCAUUGUAUGGAAUGUUACAAGCCAUAAAAAUGGCAUUGGCAUGGCAGAAAAUGAAGAUGUGCCUAAACCCAACCUACCACCCUAUCGAUCCACGGCUUUACGCACCCGCCUCUCUGGCCAAGCGUAGUGCCUCCGCCCGCCCUGCUCGAUUUCGUCAGUUCGUUUAGGUAUAUGAAGUUCAUUCCAGUCUAAGAUGGACCAAACCGGGAGUGUUGCAGUAGCAGGAUCAGCAGCACGUAGAGGGGGACCCGACCGAUCCUCGGCUUACGCAUCUUGCCCCUGUGGUCGACAUAGCCCCCGCAAGCUUGUUUCGUGGGUUGACUUAGGCAUACGGAGUUCAUUCCCAGUCUAAGAUCAAAUCGGACCAAGAGUUGCGGGUGCACAUGCUGGGCUCGGCUAUGUGCUGGUGCCAUAUUUUUUUUCACUCGGGGCACCAUCACCGGAGCAUCGUCGAAGAACCUGACCGACGGCAUUGGGUUUCCGACGAUUGGGGUGGCCGGGGGGUGUGCGCACAUGAUGUGCGAUGGGUGCUGGUACUUGGCCCUUAAAUUGGCCCCCUAUCCCUCAUCAAACCUCCAGAACUCAAUCCCCCUUAAAGAGGAUUUGAGAUUUUACAGGUUUGCUGCCACUAGCCAUUAAAGUGUAUGAAAUGGGGACACUUUUUUCAAAUGGUCACAAAAUCCUGUACACUUCGAGUUUUUGGCUGAAUUUUUUUGUGCAAGCCAACAAAAAUACAAGGAUCAUGUCUACUAAGUUUGGGACCAAAAAUCCUUCUGAAAAAAUUUAAAAAAAGUCUUGAACCGUAAAAAGUUUCAAAAAUCGUGAAAAAUAGAAAACGAGUCGUCUUGCCAUGAAACUUCACAUGAAGGCUUGAGGGACCAUUGUAUGAAUUUACAAGCCAUAAAAAUGGCAUUGGCAUGGCAAAAAUAUGAAGAUGUGCCUAAACCCACCUACCACCCUAUCGAUCCACGGAUUGCGCAUCCCACCUCUCUGGCCGGUGUAGUGCCCGCCCACCCGCUCGUUUCGUCGGUUGGCUUAGGCAUACGGAGUUCAUUCCUAGUCUAAGAUUGGGCCAGACCGAGGGUUGCGGCAGUAGGAUUGGCAGCACAUAAAGGGGACCCAACCGAUCCUCGGCAUACGAAUCCUGCCCCUCUGGCCGACUGAGCACCCGCACGUUCAUUUUGUGGGUUGACUUAGGCAUACGGAGUUCAUUCCCAGUCUAAGCAUAUGGAGUUCAUUCCCAAUCUAAGAUCGGAUCGGACCAAGGGUUGCGGGUGCACAUGUUGGGCUCGGGUAUGUGUUGGUGCCGUAAUUUUUUUCGCCUGGGCCACCAUCACCGCAGAACCUGACUGGCGGCAUUUGGGUUCUGGGGAUUGGGCGGGCAGGGGGUGUGCGCACAUGAUGUGCGAUGGGUGCUGGUACUUGGCCCUUAUAUUGGCCCCCUAUCCCUCAUCAAACCUCGAGAAGUCACACCCUCUUGAAGAGUAUCAGAGAUUUUACAGGUUUCUGCCAGUAGCCAUUAAAGUGUCUGAAAUGGGGACACUUUUUUCAAAUGGUCACAAAAUCCUGUACACUUCGAGUUUUUAGCUGAAUGUUUUUGUGCAUGCCAAAAAAAAUACAACGAUCUCAUCUACCAAGUAUGGGGCUAAAAAUUCUUCUGAAAAAAUUUUAAAAAAAAUCUUGAACCGUAAAAAGUUUCUAAAAUCGUGAAAAUAGAAAACGAGUCGUCUUGCCAUGAAACUUCAAAUGAAGGCUUAAGGGACCAUUUUAUGAAUUUACAAGCCAUAAAAAUGGCAUUGGCAUGGCAGAAAUAUGAAGAUGUGCCUAAACCCACCUACCACCCUAUCGAUCCGCGACUUGCGCAUCCCGUCUCUCUGGCCAACGUAGUACCCUUUCGCCCGCUCGUUUCGUCGGUUGGCUUAGGCAUACGGAGUUCAUUCCCAGGCUAAGAUCAGACUGGACUGAGGGUUGCGGCAGUAGGAUCGACAGCACGCAGAAAAGGACCCGGUCGAUCCUCGACUUGUGCAUCCUACCCCUCUGGUCGACUGAGCGCCCGCACGCUCGUUUCACGGGUUGACUUAGGCAUACAGAGUUGAUUCCCAGUAUAAGAUCUAAUCGAAUCGAGGUUGCGGGUUCACAUGCUGGGCUCGAGCAUUUGCUGGUGUCACAUUUUUUUUCGCCCGGGGCACCAUCGCCGUAGAACCUGACCGACGGCAUUGGGUUCCAGCGAUUGGGGGGCGGGGGGUGUGCGUACAUGAUGUGCGAUGCGUGCUGGUACUUGGCCCUUAUAUUGGCCCCCUAUCCCUCAUCAAACCUUAAGAACUCACACCUCCUUAAAGAGCAUUUGAGAUUUUACAGGUUUGCUGCAAGUAGCCAUUAAAGUGUCUGAAAUGGGGACACUGUUUUCAAGUGGUCACAAAAUCCUAUACCCUUCGAGUUUUUAGCUGAAUGUUUUUGUGCUUGCCAAGAAAAAUACAAGAAUCACAUCUAUCAAGUUUGGGGCCAAAAGUCCUUCUGAAAAAAUUUUAAAAAAAUCUCGAACCGUAAAAAGUUUCAAAAAUCAUGAAAAAUAAAAAACGAGUCGUCUUGCCAUGAAACUUCACAUGAAGGCUUAAGGGACCAUUGUAUGAAUUUAUAAGCCAUAAAAAUGGCAUUGCCAUGGCAGAAAUAUGAAGAUGUGCCUAAACCCACCUACCACCCUAUCGAUCCACGACUUGCGCAUCCCGUCUCUCUGGCCGGCGUAGUGCCCGCCCGUCGCCCGCUCGUUUCGUCGGUUGGCUAACGCAUACGAACUUCAUUCCCAGUGUAAGAUCAGAUCGAACCGAUGGUUGCAGUAGCAGGAUCAACAGUUGCGAAGGGGGACCCGGUCGAUCCCCGGCUAGCGCAUCCUGCCCCUCUGGCCGACUGAGCGCCCGCACGCUCAUUUCAUGGGUAGACUUAGGUAUACGGAGUUCAUUCCCAAUCUAAGCAUCAUAUCAGACCGAGGGUUGCGGUUGCACAUGCUGGGCUUGGGCUUGUGCUGGUGCUACAUUUUUUUUCACCCGGGCCACCAUCGUCGGAGCAUCACCGGAGAACCUGACCGGCGGCAUUGGGGUUCCGACGAUUGGAGGGGCGGGGGGUGUGUGUGCACACAUGAUGUGCGAUGCGUGCUGUUACUUGGCCCUUAUAUUGGACCCCUAUGCCUCAUCAAACCUCAAGAACUCACACCCCCUUAAAGAGCAUUUGAGAUUUUACAGGUUUGCUGCCAGUAGCCAUUAAAGUCUCUAAAAUGGGAAAACUUUUUUCAAAUGGUCACAAAAUCUUGUACACUUCGAGUUUUUAGCUGAAUUUUUUUGUGCAUGCCAAAAAAAAUACAAGGAUCACAUCUACCAAGUUUGGGGCCAAAAUUCCUUUUGAAAAAAUUUUAAAAAAAUCCCGAACCAUAAACAGUUUCAAAAAUCGUGAAAAAUAGAAAACGAGUCGUCUUGCCAUGAAACUUCACAUGAAGGCUUAAGGGACCACUGUACGAAUUUACAAGCCAUAAAAAUUGCAUUGGCAUGGUAGAAAUAUGAAGAUGUGCCUAAACCCCCUACCACCCUAUCGAUCCACGGCUUGCGCAUCCCGCCUCUCUGGUCGAUGUAGUGCCCGCCCGCCCGCUCGUUUCGUCGGUUGACUUAGGCAUACGGAGUUCAUUCCCAGUCUAAGAUUAGACCGGACUAAGGGUUGCAGCAGCAAGAUCGGUAGCAUGCAGAAGGGGACCCGGUCGAUCCCCGACUUCCGCUUCCUGCCCCUUUGGCCGGCUGAGCGCCCACACGCUCGUUUCCUGGGUUGACUUAGCCAUACGGAGUUCAUUUCCAGUCUAAGCAUACAGAGUUCAUUCCCAGUCUAAGAUCAAAUUGGACCGAGGGUUGCGGGUGCUUAUCCUGGGCUCGGGUAUGUGCUGGUGCCGCAUUUUUUUUUCCCAAGCCACCAUCACCGGAGCAUCAUCAGAGAACCUGACCGGCGGCAUUGGGGUUCCAGCGAUUGGGGGGGCAGGGGGGUGUGUGCACACAUGAUGUGCGAUGGGUGCUGGUACUUGGCCCUUAUAUUGGCCCCCUAUCCCUCAUCAAACCUAGAGAACUCACACCCCCUUAAAGAGCAUUUGAGAUUUUACAGGUUUGCUACUAGUAGCCAUUAAAGUGUCUAAAAUGGGGACACUUUUUUCAAAUGGUCACAAAAUCCUGUACACUUUGAGUUUUUAGCUGAAUUUUUUUGUGCAUGCCAACAAAAGUACAAGGAUCACGUCUACCAAGUUUGGGAGCAAAACUCCUCCUGAAAAAAUUUUGAAAAAAAUCUUGAACCGUAAAAAGUUUUGAAAAUCAUGAAAAAUAGAAAAUGAGUCGUCUUGCCAUGAAACUUCACAUGAAGGCUUAAGGGACCAUUGUAUGAAUUUACAAGCCAUAAAAAUGGCAUUGGCAUGGCAGAAAUAUGAAGAUGUGCCUAAACCCACCUACCACCGUAUCGAUCCACGGCUUGCGCAUCCCGGCCCGCUCUGGUCGCGUACGUGCCCGCCGGCCGUCCGCUCGUUUCGUCCGGUUGGAUUAGGCAUACAGCGUUCGAUUCCCAUUCUAGAGAUCUUGAUCCUAGACCGAGGGUUGGCGGCACGCAGAUCGACGGCAUCGCAGAGGUGGACUCGACCGAUCCCGACUUGCGCAUCCUGCCCCUCUGGCUGGCUAAGCGGCCGCUAGACGCUCGUUUCAUGGGUUGACUUAGGCAUACGGAGUUCAUUCCCAGUCUAAGAUCCGACUGGAUUGAGGGUUAUGGGUGCACAUGCUAGGCUCAGGCAUGUGCUGGUCCCACAUUUUUUUUCGCCCGGGGCACCAUCAUUGGACCAUCGUCGAAGAACCUGAUCGACGGCAUUGGGGUUCCGACGAUUAGGAGGUCGGGGGGGGUGUGUGCACAUGAUGUGUGAUGGGUGCCGGUACUUGGCCUUUAUAUUGGCCCCCUAUCCCUCAUCAAACCUCAAGAACUCACACCCCCUUAAAGAGCAUUUGAGAUUUUAUAGGUUUGUUGUCAGUAGCCAUUAAAGUGUCUGAAAUGGGGACACUUUUUUCAAAUGGUCACAAAAUCCUGUACAGUUCAAGUUUUUAGCUGAAUUUUUUUGUGCAUGCCAAAAAAAUACAAGGAUCACGUCUACCAUGUUUGGGGCCAAAACUCCUUCUGAAAAAAUUUUAAAAAAAUCCCGAACUGUAAAAAGUUUCAAAAAUCAUGAAAAAUAGAAAACGAGUCGUCUUGCCAUGAAACCUCACAUGAAGGCUUAAGGGACCAUUAUAUGAAUUUACGAGCCAUAAAAAUGGCAUUGGCAUGACGGAAAUAUGAAUAUGUUCCUAAACCAACCUACCACCGUAUCGAUACAGGGCUUCGCAUCCCGCCUCUCUGGCCGACGUUGUGCCCGCCUGCCCGCCCGCUCAUUUUGUCGGUUGGCUUAGGCAUACGGGGUUCAUUCCCAGUGUAAGAUCAGAUCAGACUGAGGGUUGCGGUAGUAGGAUCGACAGCACACAGAGGGGGACCCGGUCGAUCCCCGGUUUGCGCAUUCUACCCCUCUGGCCAGCUGAGCGCCCGCACGCUCAUUCAUGGGUUGACUGAGGCUUACAGAGUUCAUUCCCAGUCUAAGAUGGGACCGAACCGAGGGUUGUGGGUGCACAUGCUGGGCUUGGGCAUGUGCUGGUGCUGUAUUUUUUUUUUGCCCAGGCCAACAUCGCCAUCGCCAGAGCAUCGACGGAGAACCUGCCCGACGACAUUGGGGUUCCAGCGAUUGGGGGGCGGGGGUGGUGUGCGCACAUGAUGUGCGAUGGGUGCUGGUACUUGGCCCUUAUAUUGGCCCCCUAUCCCUUAUCAAACCUCGAGAACUCACACCCGCUUAAAGAGCAUUUGAGAUUUUACAGGUUUGUUGUCAGUAGCCAUUAAAGUGUCUAAAAUGGAGACACUUUUUUCAAAUGGUCACAAAAUCUUGUACACUUCGAGUUUUUACUUGAAUUGUUUUGUGCAUGCCAAAAAAAAUACAAGGAUCAUGUCUACCAGGUUUGGGGCCAAAACACCUUCUGAAAAAAUUUUGAAAAAAUCACGAACUGUAAAAAGUUUCAAAAAUCAUGAAAAAUAAAAAACAAGUCGUCUUGCCAUGAAACUUCACAUGAUGGCUUAAGGGACCAUUGGUAGGGCAGAAAAUAUGAAGAUGUGCCUAAACCCACCUACCGCCCUAUCGAUCCACGGCUUGCGCAUCCCGCCUCUUUGGCCGACGUAGUGCCCGCCCACCGCUUCGUUUCGUUCGGUUGGCUUAGGCAUACUGAGUUCAUUCCCAGUCUGAGAUUGGAUCAGACUGAGGGAUGUGGCAGCAGGAUCGGUAGCACGUAGAGGGGGACCCAGUCGAUCCCCGGCAUGUGCAUCCUGCCCCUCUGGCCAGCUGAGUGCCCGCACGCUCAUUUCGUGGGUUGACUUAGGCAUACGAAGUUUAUUCCCAGUCUAAGAUCGGAUCAGACCGAGGGUUGUGGGUGCACAUGCUGGUCUCGAGCAUGUGCUGGUCCCCAUUUUUUUUGCCUGGGGCACCAUCACCGAACAUCGUCGGAGAACCUGAUCAGCGGUAUUGGGGUUCUGACGAUUGGGGGGGCCGGGGGGUGUGCGCACAUGAUGUACGAUGGGUGCUGGUACUUGGCCCUUAUAUUGGCCCCCUAUCCCUCAUCAAACCUUGAGAACUCAAACCCCCUUAAAGAGCAUUUGAGAUUUUACAGGUUUCCUACCAGUAGCCAUUAAAGUGUCUGAAAUGGGGACACUUUUUUCAAAUGGUCACAAAAUCCUGUACACUUCGAGUUUUUAGCUGAAUUUUUUUGUGCACACCAAAAAAAAUACAAGGAUCACGUCUACCAAGUUUGGGGCCAAAACUCCAUCUGAAAAAAUUUUAAAAAAAUCUGGAACCGUAAAAAGUUUUAAACAUCGUGAAAAAUAGAAAACAAGUCGUCUUGCCAUCAAACUUCACAUGAAGGCUUGAGGGACCAUUGUAUGAAUUUACAAGCCAUAAAAAUGGCAUUGGCAUGGCAGAAAUAUGAAGAUGUGCCUAAACCCACCUACCACCCUAUCGAUCCACGGCUUGCGCGUCCCGUCUUUCUGGCUGGCGUAGUGCCAGCCCACCCGCUCAUUUCGUUGGUUGGCUUAGGCAUACAGAGUUCAUUCCCAGUCUAAGAUCAAACCGGAUAGAGGGUUGCAGCAACAAGAUCAGCAGCACACUAAGAGGGACCCAGCCGAUCCCUGGCUUUUGCAUCCUCCCCCUCUGGCCGGCAGAGCGCUCGCACGCUCGUUUCGUGGGUUGACUUAGGCAUACGGAGUUCAUUUCCAGUCUAAGAUCGGACCAAACUGAGGGUUGCGGGUGCAUAUGUUGGCUCAGGAAUGUGCUUGUGCCGUAUUUUUUUUCACCCGGGGCACCAUCGCCAAAGCAUCGUCGGAGAACCUAACCGACAGCAUUGGGGUUUCGACGAUUGGGGGGGCCGGGGGGUGUAUGCGCACAUGAUGUGUGAUGGGUGCUGAUACUUGGCCCUUAUUUUUGCCCCCUAUCCCUCAUCAAACCUCGAGAACUCACACCCCCUUAAAUAGCAUUUGAGAUUUUACAGGUUUGCUGCCAGUAGCCAUUAAACUGUCUGAAAUGGGGACACUUUUUUUCAAAAUAGAAAACGGAGUCUUCUUCGCCAUGAAACUUCACAUGAAGUCUUAANNNNNNNNNNNNNNNNNNNNNNNNNNNNNNNNNNNNNNNNNNNNNNNNNNNNNNNNNNNNNNNNNNNNNNNNNNNNNNNNNNNNNNNNNNNNNNNNNNNNNNNNNNNNNNNNNNNNNNNNNNNNNNNNNNNNNNNNNNNNNNNNNNNNNNNNNNNNNNNNNNNNNNNNNNNNNNNNNNNNNNNNNNNNNNNNNNNNNNNNNNNNNNNNNNNNNNNNNNNNNNNNNNNNNNNNNNNNNNNNNNNNNNNNNNNNNNNNNNNNNNNNNNNNNNNNNNNNNNNNNNNNNNNNNNNNNNNNNNNNNNNNNNNNNNNNNNNNNNNNNNNNNNNNNNNNNNNNNNNNNNNNNNNNNNNNNNNNNNNNNNNNNNNNNNNNNNNNNNNNNNNNNNNNNNNNNNNNNNNNNNNNNNNNNNNNNNNNNNNNNNNNNNNNNNNNNNNNNNNNNNNNNNNNNNNNNNNNNNNNNNNNNNNNNNNNNNNNNNNNNNNNNNNNNNNNNNNNNNNNNNNNNNNNNNNNNNNNNNNNNNNNNNNNNNNNNNNNNNNNNNNNNNNNNNNNNNNNNNNNNNNNNNNNNNNNNNNNNNNNNNNNNNNNNNNNNNNNNNNNNNNNNNNNNNNNNNNNNNNNNNNNNNNNNNNNNNNNNNNNNNNNNNNNNNNNNNNNNNNNNNNNNNNNNNNNNNNNNNNNNNNNNNNNNNNNNNNNNNNNNNNNNNNNNNNNNNNNNNNNNNNNNNNNNNNNNNNNNNNNNNNNNNNNNNNNNNNNNNNNNNNNNNNNNNNNNNNNNNNNNNNNNNNNNNNNNNNNNNNNNNNNNNNNNNNNNNNNNNNNNNNNNNNNNNNNNNNNNNNNNNNNNNNNNNNNNNNNNNNNNNNNNNNNNNNNNNNNNNNNNNNNNNNNNNNNNNNNNNNNNNNNNNNNNNNNNNNNNNNNNNNNNNNNNNNNNNNNNNNNNNNNNNNNNNNNNNNNNNNNNNNNNNNNNNNNNNNNNNNNNNNNNNNNNNNNNNNNNNNNCCGGAGAACCUGACCAAAUGGCAUUGGGAUUCCGACGAUUGGGGGGCGGGGGGUGGGUGCGUACAUGAUGUUUGCGAUCGGUGCUGGUACUUGGCCCUUUAUUAGCCCCCUAUCCCUCAUCAAACCUCGAGAACUCACACCCCUUAAAGAGCAUUUGAGAUUUUACAGGUUUGCUUCCAGUAGCCAUUAAAGUGUCUGAAAUGGGGACACUUUUUUAAAAUGGUCACAAAAUCCUAUACACUUCGAGUUUUUAGCUGAACUUUUUUAUGCAUGCCCACAAAAAGACAAGGAUCAUGUCUACCAAGUUUGGGCCAAAACUCCUUCUGAAAAAAUUUAAAAAAACCUCGAACCGUAAAAAGUUUCAAAAAUCAUGUAAAAUAGAAAACGAGUCGUCUUGCCAUGAAACUUCACAUGAAGGCUUAAGGGACCAUUGUAUGAAUUUACAAGCCAUAAAAAUGGCAUUGCCACGGCAGAAAUAUGAAGAUGUGCCUAAACCCACCUACCACCCUAUCGAUCCAUGGCUUGCGCAUCCCGCCUCUCUGGCCGGCGUAGUGCUCGCCCGACCGCCCGAUCGUUUCGUCGGUUGGCUUGGGUAUACGGAGUUCAUUCCCAGUCUACGAUUGGAUUGGAUCGAGGGUUGCAGCAGCAGGAUUGGCAGCACACUGAGGGGGACUCGAUCGAUCUCGGGCUUGCUCAUCCUGCCCCACUGGGCGGCUGAGCACCCGUACGCUCAUUCCGUGGGUUGACUUAGGCAUAUGGAGUUCAUUCCCAGUCUAAGAUCGGACCAGACCGAGGGUUGUAGGUGCAGAUGUUGGGCUCGGGCAUGUGCUGGUGCCACAUUUUUUUUCGCCUGGGCACCAUCGUUGGAGCAUUGUCGGAGAACCUGACCGACAGCAUUGGGGUUCCGACGAUUGGGGGGGCCGGGGGGUGUGCGAACAUGAUGUGUGAUGGGUGCUGGUACUUGGCCCUUAUAUUGGCCCCCUAUCCCUCAUCAAACCUCGAGAACUCACACCCACUUAAAGAGCAUUUGAGAUUUUACGGGUUUGCUACCAGUAGCCAUUAAAGUGUUUGAAAUGGGGACACUUUUUUGAAAUGGUCACAAAAACCUGUACACUUCGAGUUUUUAGCUGAAUUGUUUUGUGCAUGCCAACAAAAAUACAAGGAUCACAUCUACCAUGUUUGGCGCCAAAACUCCUUCUGAAAAAAUUUUAAAAAAAUCUCGAACCGUAAAAAGUUUCAAAAAUCAUGAAAAAUAGAAAACGAGUCGUCUUGCCAUGAAACUUCACAUGAAGGCUUAAGGGACCAUUGUAUGAAUUUACAAGCCAUAAAAAUGGCAUUUCGCAUGGCAGAAAUAUGAUGAUGUGCUUAAACCCACCUACCACCCUACUGAUCCACGAUUUGCGCAUCCCGUCUCUCUGGCCGACGUAGUGCCCGCCCGCCCGCCCGCUCGUUUCGUCGGUUGGCUUAGGCGUACGGAGUUCAUUCCCAGUCUAAGAUCAGACUGGACUGAGGGUUGUGACAGCAGGAUCGGUAGCAUGGUAAGCGGGGGACCCGACCGAUCCUCGGUUUACCCAUCCUGCCCCUCUGGCCGGCUGAGCGCCCGCACGCUCGUUUCGUGGGUUGACUUCAGCUUACGGAGUUCAUUCCUAGUCUAAGAUCAGAUGGACCGACGGUUACGAGUGCACAUGCUGGGCUCAAGUAUGUGCUGGUGCCGUAUUUUUUUCGCCCGGGGUGCCAUCGUCGGAGAACCCGACCAACGGCACUGGGGUUCCAGCGAUUGAGGGGGGCCGGGGGGUGCGCACACAUGAUGUGCGAUGGGUGCUGGUACUUGGCCCUUAUAUUGGCCCCCUCUCCCUUAUCAAUCCUUGAGAACUCACACCCCCUUAAAGAGCAUUUGAGAUUUUACAGGUUUGCUGCCAGUAGCCAUUAAAGUGUCUAAAAUGGGGACACUUUUUUCAAAUGGUCACAAAAUCCUGUACACUUGGAGUUUUUAGCUGAAUUUUUUUGUGAAUGCCAAAAAAAAUACAAGGAUCACGUCUACCAAGUUUGGGGCCAAAACUCCUUCUGAAAAAAUUUUAAAAAAAUCUUGAACCGUAAAAUGUUUCAAAAAUCAUGAAAAAUAGAAAACGAGUCGUCUUGCCAUGAAACUUCACAUGAAGGCUCAAGGGACAUUGUCUGAAUUUACAAGCCAUAAAAAUGGCAUUGGCACGGUAGAAAUAUGAAGAUGUGCCUAAACCCACCUAUCGAUCCACGGCUUGCGCAUCCCGCCUCUAUGGCCAGCGUAGUGCCCGUCGGCCCGCCCGCUCGUUUCGUCUGUUGGCUUAGGCAUACAGAGUUCAUUCCCACUCUAAGAUCAGGCCGGACCGAGGGCUGUGGCAGCAGGAUCGGUAGGACACUGAGGGGGACCUGACCGAUCCCCGGCUUGCACAUCCUGUCCCUCUGGCCGGCUGAGCACCCGCACGCUCGUUUCAUUGGUUGACUUAGGCAUACGGAGUUCAUUUCCAGUUUAAGCAUACGGAGUUCAUUCCCAGUCUAAGAUCGGACUGGAUCGAGGGUUGCAGGUGCACAUGUUGGGCUUGGGCAUGUGCUGGUGCCGUAUUUUUUUUUGCCCGAGGUACCAUCGCUGGAGCAUCGUCGGAGAACCUGACCGGCAGCAUUGGGGUUCCGGUGAUGGGGGGGCCGUGGGGUGUGCGCACAUGAUUUGUGAUGGGUGCGGGUACUUGGCCCUUAUAUUGACCCCCUAUCGCUCAUCAAACCUUGAGAACUCACACCCCCUUAAAGAGCAUUUGAGAUUUUACAGGUUUGCUGCCAGUAGCCAUUAAAGUGUCUAAAAUGGGGACACUUUUUUCAAAUGCUCACAAAAUCCUUUACACUUCGAGUUUUUCGCUAAAUUGUUUUGUGCAUGCCAACAAAAAUACAAGGAUCACAUCUACCAAGUUUGGGACCAAAACUCCUUUUGAAAAAAUUUUAAAAAAUUCUCGAACUGUAAAAGUUUCAGAAAUCAUGAAAAAUAGAAAACGAGUCAUCUUGCCAUGAAAGUUCACAUGAAGGCUUAAGGGACCAUUGUAUGAAUUUACAAGCCAUAAAAAUGGCGUUGGCAUGACAGAAAUAUGAAGAUGUGCCUAAACCCACCUACCACUCAAUUGAUCCACGGCUUGCGCAUCCCGCCUCUCUAGCCGGCGUAGUGCCCACCCGCCCGCCCGCUCGUUUCGUCGAUUGGCUUAGGCAUACGGAGUUCAUUCCCAAUCUAAGAUCGGACCAAACUGAGGGUUGUGGCAGCAGGAUUGACAGCACGAUGAGGGGGACCCGAUCGAUCCCCGGCUUGCGCAUCCUGCCCCUCUGGCCGGCUGAGCGCCCGCACGCUCGUUUGGUGGGUUGACUUAGGCAUACAGAGUUCAUUCCCAGUCUAAGAUCGAACCAGAUCGAGGGUUGCAGGUGCACAUGCUGGGCUCGGGUAUGUGCUGGUGUUGCAUUUUUUUUCACCUGGGGCACCAUCGUUGGACAACCUGAUCGACGGCAUUGAGGUUCCGAUGAUUGAUGGGCCCGGGGGGGUGUGCACACAUGAUGUGCGAUGGCUGCUGGUACUUGGCCCUUAUAUUGGCCCCCUAUCCCUCAUCAAACCUUGAGAACUCACACCCCCUUAAAGAGCAUUUGAGAUUUUACAGAUUUGCUGCCAGUAGCCAUUAAAGUGUCUGUAAUGGGGACACUUUUUUCAAAUGGUCACAAAAUCCUGUACACUUUGAGUUUUUAGCUGAAUUGUUUUGUGCAUGCCAACAAAAAUACAAGAUCACGGUCUACCAAGUUGGGGCCAAACUCUUUCUGAAAAAAUUUAAAAAAAUCUCGAACCGUAAAAAGUUUCAAAAAAUCAUGAAAAAUAGAAAUCGAGUCAUUCUUGCCAUGAAACUUCACGUGAUGGCUUAAGGGCCAUUGUAUGAAUUUACAAGCCAUAAAAAUGUUGGCACUUAGAAUAUGAAGAUGUGCCUAACCCACCUACCACCUAUCGAUCCACGGCUGCGCAUCCGUCUCUCUGGCCGACGUAGUGCCGCGCUGCCGCAUUGUCGUUUCAUCGUUGGCUUAGGCAUAUCGGAGUUCAUUUUCGUCUAAGAUCGGACAGACUGAGGGUUGCAGCACAGGAUCGAUAGCAGCUAAGAAGGGACUCACGGACCUGGCUUGCGACUCCUGCCCUCUGUACUGAGGGCCCGCACGCUCUUCGUGGUUGACUUUAGGCAUACGGAUGUUCAUCCCAUCUAAGAUCAGAAGUGCAUCCAGGGUUACGGGUGCACAUGCUAGGCUCGGGCAUGUGUUGGUGCCGCAUUUUUUUCGCUCGGGCCACCAUCGUCGGAGCAUCACCGAAGAACCUGACUGGCGGCAUUGGGGUUCCGGUGAUUGGGGGGCUCGGGGGGCUCGGGGGGGCUGUGCGCACAUGUUGUGCGAUGGGUGCUGGUAGUUGGCCCUUAUAUUGGCCCCCUAUCCCUCAUCAAAGUGUCUGGAAUGGGGACACUUUUUUCAAAUGGUCACAAAAUCCUGUACACUUCGAGUUUUUAGCUGAAUUUUUUUGUGCAUGCCAAGAAAAAUACAAGAUCACGCCUACCAAGUUUGGGGCCAAAACUCCUUCUGAGAAAAUUUUAAAAAAAUCCCGAGCCGUAAAAAGUUUCAAAAAUCAUGAAAAAUAGAAAACAAGUCGUCUUGCCAUGACACUUCACAUGAAGGCUUAAGGGACCAUUGUAUGAAUUUACAAGUCAUAAAAAUGGCAUUGGCAUGGCAGAAAUAUGAAGAUGUGCCAAAACCCACCUAUUAAGGCUUGCGCAUCCUGCCUUUUUGGCAGGCGUAGUGCCCGCCUACCCACCCGCUCAUUUCGUCAGUUGGCUUAGGCAUAUGGAGUUCAUUCCCAGUCUAAGAUUAGACCGAACCGAGGGUUGUGGCAGCAGGAUCGACAGCACGCUGAAGGGGACCCGACCGAUCCACGGCUUGCACAUCCUACCCUCUGGCUGGCUGAGCGCCCGCACGCUUGUUUCAUGGGUUGACUUCAGCAAACGGAGUUCAUUCCCAGUCUAAGAUCAGACCGGAUCGAUGGUUGCGGGUACACAUGUUGGGCUCGGGCAUGUGCUGGUGCCGUAUUUUUUUUUGCUCGGGGUACCAUCACCGAAGAACCUGACCGACGGCAUUGGGGUUCCGGCGAUUGGGGAGGCCGGGGGGUGUGCGCACAUGAUGUACGGUGGGUGCUGGUACUUGGCCCUUAUAUUGGCCCCCUAUCCCUCAUCAAACCUCAAGAACUCACACCCCCUUAAAGAGCAUUUGAGAUUUUACAGGUUUGCUGCCAGUAGCAAUUAAAGUGUCUAAAAUGUGAACACUUUUUUCAAAUGGUCACAAAAUCCUGUACACUUCGAGUUUUUACCUGAAUUGUUUUGUGCAUGCCAACAAAAAUACAAGGAUCACGUCUAGUAAAUUUGGGGCCAAAACUCCUUCUGAAAAUAUUUAAAAAAUAUCCCGAACCGUAAAAAGUUUCAAAAAUCAUGAAAACUAGAAAACGAGUCGUCUUGCCAUGAAACUUCACAUGAAGGCUUAAGGGACCAUUGUAUGAAUUUACAAGCAUAAAAAUGGCAUUGGCACAGCAAAAAUAUGAAGAUAUGGCUAAACCCACCUACCACCCAAUCGAUCCACGACUUGCGCAUCCCGCCUCUCUGGCCGGCGUAGUGCCCGCCCGCUCGCCCGCUCGUUUCGUCAGUUGGCUUAGGCAUACGGAGUUCAUUCCCAGUCUAAGGUUAGAUCGGACUGAAGGUUGCUGCAGCAGGAUCUGCAGCACGUAAAGGGGGACCCGGCCAAUCCCCGACUUGCGCAUCCUACCCCUCUGGCCGGCUGAGCGCCCGCACGCUCAAUUCGUGGGUUGACUUAGGCAUAUAGAGUUCAUUCCCAAUCGAAGCAUAUGAAGUUCAUUCCCAGUCUAAGAGCGGAUCGGCCCGAGGGUUCCGGGUGCACAUGCUAGGCUCGGGCAUGUACUGGUGCCACAUUUUUUUUGCCCGGGCCACAAUCACCGGAGCAUCGCCGGAGUACCUGACCGGCGGCAUUGUGGUUCCGGCGAUUGAGGGGGCCGGGGGGUGUGCGCACAUGAUGUGCGAUGGGUACUGGUACUUGGCCCUUAUAUUGGCCCCCUGUCCCUCAUCGAACCUCGAGAACUCACACCCCCUUAAAGAGCAUUUGAGAUUUUAUAGGUUUGCUACCAGUAGCCAUUAAAGUGUCUGAAAUGGGGACACUUUUUUCAAAUGGUCACAAAAUCCUGUACACUUCGAGUUUUUAGCUGAAUUUUUUUGUGCAUGCCAAAAAAAAUACAAGGAUCAUGUCUCCCAAGUUUGGGGCCAAAACUCCUUCUGAAAAAACUUUAAAAAAAUCUUGAACCGUAAAAAUUUUCAAAAAUAGUGAAAAAUAAAAAACGAGUCGUCUUGCCAUGAAACUUCACAUGAAGGCUUAAGGGACCAUUGUAUGAAUUUACAAGCCAUAAAAUCUGCAUUGGCAUGGUAGAAAUAUGAAGAUGUGCCGAAACCCGCCUACCACCCUAUCGAUCCACGGCUUGCGCAUCCCGCCUCUCUAGGUGGCGUAGUGCCCGCCCGCCCACUCGUUUCGUUGGUUGGCUUAGGCGUACCGAGUUCAUUCCUAGUCUAAGAUCAGAUCAGAUCGAGGGUUGUGGCAGCAGGAUCGGCAGCACGCAGAGAGGGACCCGAUCGAUCUCCGGCUUGCGCAACCUGCCCCUCUGGCCGACUGAGUGCCCGCACGCUCAUUUCGUGGGUUGACUUAGGCAUACGAAGUUUAUUCCCAGUCUAAGAUCAGACCGGACCGAGGGUUGCGGGUGCACAUGCUAGGCUCGUGCAUGUGCUGAUGUCGUAUUUUUUUUUCCCCGGGCCACCAUCGCCGAAGCAUCGUCGGAGAACCUGACCGGCGGCAUUGGGGUUUCGGAGAUUGGGGGGGCCGAGGGGGUGUGCGCACAUGAUGUGCGAUGGGUGCUGGUACUUGGCCCUUAUAUUGGCCCCCUAUCCCUCAUCAAACCUCGAGAACUCACACCCCCAUAAAGAGCAUUUGAGAUUUUACAGGUUUGCUACCAGUAGCCAUUAAAGUGUCUAAAAUGGGGACACUUUUUUCAAAUGACCACAAAAUCCUGUACACUUCGAGUUUUUAGCUGAAUUUUUUUGUCCAUGCCAACAAAAAUACAAGGAUCACGUCUACCAAGUUUGGGGCCAAAAAUACUUCUGAAAAAAGUUUUAUAAAAUCCCGAACCGUAAAAAGUUUCAAAAAUCAUGAAAAAUAAAAAACGAGUCGUCUUGCCAUGAAACUUCACAUGAAGGCUUAAGGGACCAUUGUAUGAAUUUACAAGCCAUAAAAAUGGCAUUGGCACAGCAAAAAUAUAAAGAUGUGCCUAAACCCACCUACCACCCUAUCAAUCCACGGCUUGCGCAUCCCGUCUCUCUGGCCGGCGUAGUGCCCGCCCACCCGCCCGCUCGUUUCGUCAGUUGGCUUAGGCAUACAGAGUUCAUUCCCAGUUUAAGAUCGGAUCAGACUAAGGGAUGAGGCAGCAGGAUCGACAGCACUCGGAGGGGGACCCGACCGAUCCCCGGCUUGCGCAUCCUACCCCUUUGGCCGGCUGAGCGCCCGCACGCUCGUUUCGUGGGUUGACUUAGGCAUACGGAGUUAAUUCCUAGUCUAAGCAUACGGAUUUCAUUCUCAGUCUAAGAUCGGACUGGACUGAGGGUUGCGGGUGCACAUGCUGGGCUUGGGCAUGUGAUGGUGUCGCAAUUUUUUUCGCCCGGGGCACCAUUGCUGAAGCAUCAUCGGAGAACCUGACCGGUGGCAUUGGGGUUCCGACGAUUGGGGGGCCGGGGGGUGUGCGCACAUGAUGUGCAAUGGGUGCUGGUACUUGGCCCGUAUAUUGCUCCCAUAUCCCUCAUCAAACCUCAAAAACUCACACCCCCUUAAAGAGCAUUUGAGAUUUUACAGGUUUGCUGCCAGUAGCCUUUAAAGUGUCUGAAAUGGGGACACUUUUUUCAAAUGGUCACAAAAUCCUGUACACUUCGAGUUUUUAGCUGAAUGUUUUUGGGCAUGCCAACAAAAAUACAAGGAUCACAUCUACCAAGUUUGGGGCAAAAACUCCUUCUGAAAAAAUUUUAAAAAAACACCGAACCGUAAAAAGUUUCAAAAAUCUUGAAAUAUAGAAAACAAGUUGUCUUGCCAUAAAACUUCACAUGAAGGCUUAAGGGACCAUUGUAUGAAUUUACAAGCCAUAAAAAUGGCAUUGGCAUGGUAGAAAUAUGAAGCUGUGCCUCAACCCACCUACCACCCUAUCGAUCCACAGCUUGCGCAUCCCACCUCUCUAGCCGGCGUAGUGCCCACCCGCCCGCCCGUUCGUUUCGUCGGUUGGCUUAGGCAUACGGAGUUCAUUCCCACUCUAAGGUCAGACCGGAUCGACGGUUAUGGCCGCAAGAUCGGCAGCACGUAGAGGGGGACCCGAUCGAAUCCCGACUUGCGUAUCCUGCCCCUCUGGCCGGCUGAGCGCCCGUACGCUUGUUUCGUGGGUUGACUUAGGCAUAUGGAGUUCAUUCCCAGUCUAAGCAUACGGAGUUUAUUCCCAGUCUAAGGUCGAACUGGACCGAGGGUUGCGAGUGCACAUGCUGGGCUCAGGCAUGUGCUGGUGCCAUAUUUUUUUUCGCCCGGGCCACCAUCGCCGGAGCAUCGUCGGAGAACCUAACAGGCGGCAUUGGGGUUUCGGCGAUUGGAGAGGGUCGCAGGGGUGUGCACACAUGAUGUGCGAUGGGCACUAGUACUUCGCCCUUAUAUUGGCCCCCUACCCUCAUCAAACCUUGAGAAGUCACACCCCUUUAAAGAGCAUUUGAGAUUUUACAGGUUUGCUACCAGUAGCCAUUAAAGUGUCUGAAAUGUGGAGACUUUUUUCAAAUGGUCACAAAAUCCUGUAUACUUCGAGUUUUUAGCUGAAUUUUUUUUUUUUUGCAUGCCAAAAAAAAUUCAAGGAUCAUGUCUACCAAGUUUGGGGCCAAAGCUCCUUCUGAAAAAAUUUUUAAAAAAUCCCAAAUCGUAACAAGUUUCAAAAAUCGUGAAAAAUAGAAAACGGGUCGUCUUGCCAUGAAACUUCACAUGAAGGCUUAAGGGACCAUUGUAUGAAUUUACAAGCCAUAAAAAUGGCAUUGGCAUGGCAAAAAUAUGAAGAUGUGCCUAAACCCACCUACCACACUAUUGAUCCACGGCUUGCGCAUCUCGCCUCUCUGGCAGGCAUAGUGUCCGCCCACCCGCUUGCUCGUUUGUCGGUUGAAUUAGGCAUACGGAGUUCAUUCCCAGUCUAAGGCUGAACCGCACCGAGUGUUGCGGUAGUAGGAUCGAUAGCACGUAGAGGGGGACCUGGCUGAUCCCUAGCUUGCGCAUCCUGCCCCUCUGGCCGGCUGAGCGCCUGCACGCUCAUUUUAUGGGUUGACUUAGGCAUACGGAGUUCAUUCCCAGUCUAAGCAUAUGCUGGUGCAUAUGGGUUUUAUUGGUUGUGGGUGCACAUGCUGGGCUCAGGCAUAUGCUGGUGCCACAUUUUUUUUCACCCGGGGCACCAUCGCCAGAGAACCUGACCGGUGGCAUUGGGGUUCCGACGAUUGGGGGGUGGGGGGGGAGGGGUGUGCGCACAUGAUGUGCGAUGGGUGAUGGUACUUGGCCCUUAUAUUGUCCCCCUAUCCCUCAUCAAACCUCGAGAACUCACACCCCCUUAAAGAGCAUUUGAGAUUUUAUAGGUUUGCUGCCAGUAGCCCUUAAAGUGUCUGAAAUGGGGACACAUUUUUCAAAUGGUCACAAAAUCCUACACACUUUGAGUUUUUAGCUAAAUUUUUUUGUGCAAGCCAACAAAAAUACAAGGAUCACAUCCCCCAAGUUUGGGGCCAAAACUCCUUCUUAAAAAUAUUUUAAAAAAUCCUGAACCGUAAAAAGUUUUAAAAAUUAUGAAAAAUAGAAAACGAGUCGUCUUUCCAUGAAACUUCACAUGAAGGCUUAAAGGACCAUUGCAAGAAUUUAAAAGCCAUAAAAAUGGCAUUGGCAUGGCAAAAAUAUGAAGAUGUGCCUAAACCCACCUACCGCCCUAUCGAUCGACGGCUUGUGCGUCCCGUCUCUCGGGCCGACGUAGUGGUCGCCCACCCGCCCGCCCGCUCGUUUCGUCGGUUGGCUUGGGCAUACGGAGUUCAUUCCCAGUCUAAGAUCAAAUCAGACCGAGGGUUAUUGUAGCAGGAUUGAAAGCACAUAGAGGGGGACCCGAUCGAUCCUCGGCUUGCGCAUCCUACCCCUCUAGUCGGCUGAGUGCCCGCACGCUCGUUUCGUGGGUUGGCUUAGGCAUACGGAGUUCAUUCCCAGUCUAAGAUCGGACCGGACCGAGGGUUGUAGGUGCACAUGCUGGGCUCGAGAAUGUGCUGGUGCCAUAAUUUUUUUCUCUCUAGGCACCAUCGUUGGAGCAUUAUCGGAGAACCUGACCAUCAAAGCAUUAAGGUUCUAGCGAUUGGGGGGGCCGGGGGGGUGUGCGCACAUGAUGUGUGAUGGGUGCUCGUACUUGGCCAUUAUAUUGGUCCCCUAUCCCUCAUCAAACCUCGAGAACUCACACCCACAUAAAAAGCAUUUGAGAUUUUACAGGUUUGCUGCCAGUAGCCAUUAAAGUGUCUAAAAUGGGGACACUUUUUUCAAAUGACCACAAAAUCCUAUACACUUCGAGUCUUUGGCUGAAUUUUUUUGUGCAUGCCAACAAAAAUACAGGGAUCACGUCUACCAAGUUUGGGCCAAAAAUCCUUCUGAAAAAAUUUGAAAAAAAUACCGAACUGAAAAAAGUUUCAAAAAUCAUGAAAAUUAGAAAACGAGUCAUCUUGCCAUGAAACUUCACAUGAAGGCUUAAGGGACCGUUGUAUGAAUUUACAAGCCAUAAAAAUGGCAUUGGCAUGGCAUAAAUAUGAAGAGGUGCCUAAACCCACCUACCACCCUAUUGAAUCACGGCUUUCGUAUCCCGCCUCUCUGGCCGGUUUAGUGCCCGCCCCCCCGCCCGCUCGUUUCGUCGGUUGGCUUAGGCAUACGGAGUUCAUUCCCAGUCUAAGAUCGAACUGGACUGAGGGUCAUGGUAGUAGGAUCGAUAGCACACAAAGGGGGACCCGGUCGAUCCUUGACUUGCGCAUCUUGCCCUUCUGGCCGGUUGAGCGCCCGCACGCUCGUUUCGUGGGUUGACUUAGGAAUACGGAAUUCAUUCCCAAUCUAAGCAUAAAGAGUUCAUUCCCAGUCUAAGAUCAAACCGGACCGAGGGUUACAGGUGCACAAGAUAGCCUCGGGCAUACACUGGUGUCGUAUUUUUUUUCGCCCGGGGCACCAUCGUCAGGGAACCUGACCGGUGGCAUUGGGGUUCCGACGAUUAUGGGGCGGGGGGUGUGUGGACAUGAUGUGCAAUGGGUGCUGGUACUUGGCCCUUAUAUUGGCCCCUUAUCCCUCCUCAAACCUCGAGAAUUUACACCCCCUUAAAGAGCAUUUGAGAUUUUACAGGUUUGCUGCCAGUAGCCAUUAAAGUGUCUGAAAUGGAGACACUUUUUUCAAAUGGUCACAAAAUCCUGUACACUUUGAGUUUUUAGCUGAAUUUUUUUUGCAUGCCAACAAAAAUAUAAGGAUCACGUCUACCAAGUUUGGGGCCAAAAAUCCUUCUAAAAAAAUUUUAAAAAAAUCUUGAACCAUAAAAAGUUUCGAAACACAUGAAAAAUAAAAAAUGAGUCAUCUUGCCAUGAAACUUCAAAUGAAGGCUUAAGGGACCACUGCAUGAAUUUACAAGCCAUAAAAAAGGCAUUGGCAUGGCAGAAAUAUGAAGAUGUGCCUAAACCCACCUACCACCCUAUCAAUCCACAGCUUGCACAUCCCGCCUCUCUGGCCGACGUAGUGUCCUCCCACCUGCCCGUUUGUUUCGUCGGUUGGCUUAGGCAUACGGAGUUCAUUGCCUGUCUAACAUCAGACCAGAUCGAAGGUUUUGGCAGCAAGAUCGGCAGCACGCAGAGGGGGACCCGACCGAUCCUCGGCUUGCGCAUCCUGCCCCUCUGGCAGACUGAGCGCCCGCACGCUCGUUUCGUGGGUUGACUUAGGCAUACAGAAUUCAUUCCAGUCUAAGCAUACGGAGUUCAUUCCCUGUCUAAGAUCGGACUGGAUCGAGGGUUACGGGUGCACAUGCUGGGCUUGGGCAUGUGCUGGUGCCGUAUUUUUUUUUGCUCGGGGAACCAUCGUCGGAGUAUCACCGGAGAACUUGAUCGAUGGCAUUGGGGUUCCGAUGAUUGGGGGGCCGGGGGGGUGUGCGCCCAUGAUGUGUGAUGGAUGCUUCUACUUGGCCCUUAUAUUGGCCCCCUAUCCCUCACCAAACCUCAAGAACUCACACCCAUUAAAGAGCAUUUGAGUUUCACAGGUUUGCUACCAGUAGCCAUUAAAGUGUCUAAAAUGGGGACACUUUUUUCAAAUGGUCACAAAAUCCUGUACACUUCGAGUUUUUAGCUGAAUUUUUUAUGCAUGCCCACAAAAAUACAAGGAUCACAUCUACCAAGUAUGGGGCCAAAUCUCCUUCUAAAAAAAUUUUUAAAAAAUCCCAAACUGAAAAAGGUUUCAAAAAUUGUGAAAAAUAGAAAACGAGUCGUCUUGCCUUGAAACUUCACAUGAAAGCUUAAGGGACCAUUCUAUGAAUUGUCAAGCCAUAAAAAUGGCAUUGGCAUGGUAGAAAUAAGAACAUGUGCCUAAACCCACCUACCACCCUAUUGAUCUAUGGCUUGCGCAUCCCGUCUCUCUGGCCGGCGUAGUGCCCGCCCGCCCGCCUGCUCGUUUCAUCGGUUGGCUUAGGCAUACAGAGUUCAUUCCCAGUCUAAGAUCAGACCAGACCAAGGGUUGCGACAGCAGGAUCGGUAGCACACUGAGGGGGACCCGAUCGAUCCUCGACUUACGCAUCUUGCCCCUCUGGCCGGCUGAGCGCCUGCAUGCUCGUUUUGUGGGUUGACUUAGGCAUGCGGAGUUCAUUCCCAGUCUAAGAUCAGACCAGACCAAGGGUUGUGGGUGUACAUGCUCGGCAUGGGCAUGUGCUGGUGCCACAUUUUUUUCACCUGGGGCACCAUCGCCGGAGCAUUGUCGAAGAACCUGACCGGCAGCAUUGGGGUUCCUCCGAUUGGGGGGUCGGGAAGGUGUGCGCACAUGAUGUGCGAUGGGUGCUGGUACCCUUAUAUUGGCCCCCUAUCCCUCAUCAAGCCUUGAGAACUCAAACCCGCUUAAAGAGCAUUUGAGAUUUUACAGGUUUGCUGCCAGUAGCCAUUAAAGUGUUUGAAAUGGGGACACUUCUUUCAAAUGGUCACAAAAUCCUGUACACUUAGAGUUUUUAGCUGAAUUUUUUUGUGCAUGCCAACCAAAAUACAAGGAUCAUGUCUACCACGUUUGGGGCCAAAACUCGUUCUGAAAAAAUUUUAAAAAAAUCUCGAACCAUAAAAAGUUUUGAAAAUUGUGAAAAAUAGAGAACGAGUCAUCUUGCCAUGAAACUUCACAUGAAGGCUUAAGGGACCAUUGUAUGAAUUUACAAGCCAUAAAAAUGGCAUUGGCAUGGUAGAAAUAUGAAGAUGUGACUAAACCCACCUACCACCCUAUCGAUCCACGGCUUGCGCAUCCCGCCUCUCUGGCCGACGUAGUGCCCCCCCGCCCGCCCGCUCGUUUUGUCGGUUGGCUUAGGCAUACUGAGUUCAUUCCCAGUGUAAGAUCGGAUCGAACAGAGGGUUGCUGCAGCAGGAUCGGUAGGACACUGUGGGGGACCCGACCGAUCCCCGGCUUGCGCAUCCUGCCCCUCUGGCCGACUGAACGCCCGCACGCUCAUUUCAUGAUUUGACUUAGGCAUCGGAGUUCAUUCCUAGUCUAAGAUCAGACCAGACCGAGGGUUGCGGGUGCACAUACUAGACUUGGGCAUGUGCUGGUGCCGCAUUUUUUUUUUUGCCUGGGGCACCAUCGUCGGAACAUCGUCGGAGAACCUGACCGACGGUAUUGGGGUUCCGACGAUUAGGGGGGCCAGGGGGCUGCGCACACAUGAUGUGUGAUGGCUGCUGGUACUUGGCCCUUAUAUUGGCCCCCUAUCCCUCAUCAAACCUUGAGAACUCACACCCCCUUAAAUAGCAUUUGAGAUUUUACAGGUUUGCUGCCAGUAGCCAUUAAAAUGCCUGAAAUGGGGACACUUUUUUCAAAUGGUCACAAAAUCCUAUGCACUUCGAGUUUUUAGCUGAUUUUUUUUGUGCAUGCCAACAAAAAUACAAGGAUCAUGUCUACCAAGUUUGGGGCCAAAACUCCUUCUGAAAAAAUUUUUAAAAAAUCUCGAACCGUAAAAAGUUUCAAAAAUUGUGAAAAAUAGAAAACGAGACGUCUUGCCAUGAAACUUCACGUGAAGGUUUAAAGGACCAUUGUAUGAAUUUAAAAACCAUAAAAAUGGCAUUGGCAUGGCGGAAAUAUAAAGAUGUGCCUAAACCCACCUACCACCCUAUCGAUGCAUGGCUUGCGCAUCCCGCCUCUCUGGUCGGCGUAGUGCCCACCCGCCACCCGCUCAUUUUAUCGGUUGGCUUAGGCAUACGGAGUUCAUUCCCAAUCUAAGAUUGGACUGUACCAAGGGUUGGGACAGUAGGAUCGACAGCAUGCUGAGGGGGACUCGGUUGAUCCUCGGCAUGCGUAUACUACCCCUCUGGCUGGUUGAACGCCCGCACGCUCGUUUUGUGGGUUGACUUAGGCAUACGGAGUUCAUUCCCAGUCUAAGAUCUGACCGAACCGAGGGUUACGGUAGCAGGAUUGGCAGCACACUGAGGGGAACUUGGCCGAUCCCUGGCUUGCGUAUCGUGCCUUUCUGGUCGGCUGAGCACCCGCACGCUUAUUUUGUGGGUUGACUUAUGCAUACGGAGUUCAUUCCCAGUCUAGGAUCAAACAGGAUCGAGGGUUGCUGGUGCACAUGUUGGGCUCGGGCAUGUGUUGGUGCAGCAUUUUUUUUCGCCCGGGCCACCAUCACCGAAGCAUUGCCAGAGAACCUGUCUAGCGGCAUUGGGGUUUCGAUGAUUGAGGGGCCGGGGGGGUGUGCGCACAUGAUGUGCAAUGGGUGCUGGUACUUGGCCCUUACAUUGGCCCCCUAUCCCUCAUCAAACCUCGAGAACUCACACCCCUUAAAGAGCAUUUGCGAUUUUACAGGUUUGCUGCCAGUAGCCAUUAAAGUGUCUGAAAUGGGGACACUUUUUUCAAUGGUCACAAAAUCCUGUACACUUCGAGUUUUUAGCUGAAUUUUUUUAUGCAUGCCAAAAAAAAUGCAAGGAUCAGGUAUACCAAGUUUGGGGCCAAAAAUCCUUUUGAAAAAAUUUUAAAAAAAUCCCGAACCGUAAAAAGUUUUGAAAAUCAUGAAAAAUAGAAAAUGAGUCGUCUUGCCAUGAAACUUCACAUGAAGGCUUAAGGGACCAUUGUAUGAAUUUACAAACCAUAAAAAUGGCAUUGGCAUGGCAGAAAUAUGAAGAUGUGCCUAAACCCACCUACCACCCUAUCGAUCCACGACUUGCGUAUCCCGCCUCUCUGGCCGACGUAGUGCCCGCCUGCCCGCCCGCUUGUUUCAUCGGUUGGCUUAGGCAUACGGAGUUCAUUCCUAGUCUAAGAUCAAACCGGACUGACGGUUGUGGCAAUAGGAUAGGCAGCAAGCAGAGGGGGACCCGACCGAUCCCCGGCUUGCGCAUCCUGCCCCUCUGGCCAGCUGAGCGCCCGCACGCUUGUUUCGUGGGUUGACUUAGGCAUACAGAGUUCAUUGCUAGUCUAAGAUCGGAUCGGACCGAGGGUUGCGAGUGCACAUGCCGAGCUGGGGCAUGUGUUGGUGCCGUAUUUUUUUUUUCGCCUGGGGCAGCAUCGUCGGAGCAUCACCAAAGAAACUAACCGGUGGCAUUUGGGUUCCGACGAUUGGGGGGCCUGGGGGGUGUGCGCACAUGAUGUGCGAUGGGUGCUGGUACUUAGCCCUUAUAUUGGCCCCCUAUCCCUCAUCAAACCUCGAGAACUCACACCCCUUUAAAGAGCAUUUGAGAUUUUACAGGUUUGCUGCCAGUAGCCAUUAAAGUGUCUGAAAUGGGGAAACUUUUUUCAAAUGGUAACAAAAUCCUGUACACUUCGAGUUUUUAGCUGAAUUGUUUUGUGCAUGCCAACAAAAAUACAAGGAUCAUGUCUACCAAGUUUGGGGCCAAAAUUCCUUCUGAAAAAAUUUUAAAAAAAUCCUGAACAGUAAAAAUUUUCAAAAAUCGUGAAAAAUAGAAAAUGAGUCGUCUUGCCAUGAAACUUCACAUGAAGGCUUAAGGGACUAUUGUAUGAAUUUACAAGAUAUAAAAAUGGCAUUGGCACCCCGAAAAUAUGAAGAUGUGCCUAAACCCACCUACCACCCUAUCGAUCCACGCCUUUCGCAUCCCGCCUCUUUGGCCGGCAUAGUGCCCGCCCGCCCACCCGUUCAUUUCAUCGGUUGGCUUAGACGUAUGGAGCAUCACUGAAGAACCUGACCGGUGGCAUUGGGGUUCCGACGAUUGAGGGGGUCAAGGGGAUGUGCGCACAUGAUGUGCGAUGGGUGCUGGUACUUGGCCCUUAUAUUGGCCCCCUAUCCCUCAUCAAACCUCGAGAACUCACUCCCCCUUAAAGAGCAUUUGAGAUUUUACAGGCUUGCUGCCAGUAGCCAUUAAAGUGUCUGAAAUGGGGACACUUUUUUCGAAUGGUCACAAAAUCCUGUAUGCUUCGAGUUUUUAGCUGAAUUGUUUUGUGCAUGCCAACAAAAAUUCAAGGAUCAUGUCUACCAAGUUUGGGGCCAAAACUCCUUCUGAAAAAAUUUUAAAAAAAUCCUGAACUGUAAAAAGUUUCAAAAAUCGUGAAAAAUAGAGAACGAGUUGUCUUGCCAUGAAACUUCACAUGAAGGCUUAAGGGACCAUUGUAUGAAUUUACAAGAUAUAAAAAUGGCAUUGGCACCAUGGAAAUAUGAAGAUGUGCCUAAACCCACCUACCACCCUAUCGAUCCACGGCUUGGGCAUCCCAUCUCUCUGGCCGGUGUAGUGCCCGCUCAGUUCGUCGGUUGGCUUAGGCAUACAGAGUUCAUUCCCAGUCUAAGACUGGCCAAACCAAGGGUUGUGGCAGCAAGAUCGAUAGUACGCUAAGAGGGACCCGAUCGAUCCCCGGCUUGCGCAUCCUACCCCAUUGGCUGGUUGAACGCCCGCACGCUAGUUUCGUGGGUUGACUUAGGCGUACGGAGUUCAUUCCCAGUCUAAGAUCGGAUCGGAUCGAGGGUUACGGGUGCACAUGUUGGGCUCGGGCAUGUGCUGGUGCCGCAUUUUCUUUCGCUCGAGGCACCAUCGCCAGAGCAUCGUCGGAGAACCUGACCGACGACAUUGGGUUUCUGACGAUUGGGGGGCCGGGGGGUGUGUGCAUAUGAUGUGCGAUGGGUGCUGGUACUUGGCCCUUUUAUUGGCCCCUUAUAACUCAUCAAACCUUGAGAACUCAUACCCCCUUAAAGAGCAUUUGAGAUUUUACAGGUUUGCUGGCAGUAGCCAUUAAAGUGUAUGAAAGGGACACUUUUUUCAAAUGGUCACAAAAUCCUCUACACUUCUAGUUUUUAGCUGAAUUUUUUUGUUCAUGGCAACAAAUAUACAAGGAUCACGUCUACCAAGUUUGGGACCAAAACGCUUUCUGAAAAAAUUUCAAAACAAUCCUGAACCGUAAAAAGUUUCGAAAAUCAUGAAAAAUAGAAAAUGAGUCGUCUUGCCAUGAAACUUCAUAUGAAGGCCUAAGGGACCAUUGUAUGAAUUUACAAGCCAUAAAAAUGGCAUUGGCACAGUAAAAAUGUGAAGAUGUGCCUAAACCCACCUACUACCCUAUCAAUCCAUGGCUUACGCAUCCCGCAUCUUUGGCCGACGUAGUGCCCGCCCGCCUGUCCGCUCAUUUCGUCGGUUGGCUUAGGCAUACGAAGUUCAUUCCCAGUCUAAGAUCAGACCGGACCGAAGGUUGUGGGUGCACAUGCUGGGCUCGAGCAUGUGCUGGUGCCGCCUUUUUUUUCGCUCGUGCCACCAUCGUCGGAGAACCUGACCGACGGAAUUGGGGUUCCGAUGAUUGGGGGGCGGGGGGUGUGUACGCACAUGAUGUGCGAUGGGUACUGGUACUUGGCCCUUAUAUUGGCACCCUAUAACUCAUCAAACCUCGAGACCUCACACCCCCUUAAAGAGCAUUUGAGAUUUUACAGGUUUGCUGCCAGUAGCCGUUAAAGUGUUUGAAAUGGGGACACUUUUUUCAAAUGGUCACAAAUUUCUGUACACUUCGAGUUUUUAGCUAAAUUGUUUUGUGCAAGCCAACAAAAAUACAAGGAUCACGUCUACCAAGUUUGGUCCCAAAACUCCUUCUGAAAAAAUUUUUAAAAAAUCCCGAACCGUAAAAAGUUUUAAAAAUCAUGAAAAAUAGAAAACGAGUCGUCUUGCCAUGAAACUUCACAUGAAGGCUUAAGGGACCACUGUUGAAUUUACAAGCCACAAAAAUGGCAUUGGCAUGGAAAAAAUAUGAAGAUGUGCCUAAACCCACCUACCACCCUAUCGAUCCACGGCUUACGCAUCCUGUCUCUAUGGCCGGCGUAGUACCCGCCCACCCGCCUGCUCGUUUCAUCGAUUGUCUUAGGCAUACGGAGUUCGUUCCCAGUCUAAGAUCAGACCAGACCUAGGGUUGUGGCAGUAGGAUCGACAGCACGCUGAGGGGGACCCAAACGAUCCCCAGGUUGUGCAUCCUGCCCCUCUGGUCGGUUGAGCGCCCGUAUGCUCGUUUCAUGGGUUGACUUAGGCAUACGGAGUUCACUCCCAGUCUAAGAUCAGACUGGACUGAGGGUUGCGGGUGCACAUGCUGGGCUCGGGCAUGUGCUGUUGUCGUAUUUUUUUUCACUCGGGCCACCAUCACCGGAGAACCUGACCGGCGGCAUUGGGGUUCCGACGGUUGGGGGCCGGGAGGGGUGUGGGUACUGAUACUUGGCCCUUAUAUUGGCCCCCUAUAACUCAUCAAACCUCAAGAGCUCACACCUUCUUAAAGAGCAUUUGAGAUUUUACAGGUUUGCUGCCAGUAGCCAUUAAAGUGUCUAAAAUGGGGACACUUUUUUCAAAUGGUUACAAAAUCCUGUACACUUCGAGUUUUUAGCUGAAUUUUUUUAUGCAUGCCAACAAAAAUACGAGGAUCACGUCUACCAAGUUUGGAGCCAAAACUCCUUCUAAAAAAAUUUUUAAAAAAUCUUGAACCGUAAAAAGUUUCAAACAUCGUGAAAAAUAGAAAACGAGUCGUCUUGCCAUGAAACUUCACAUGAAGGCUUAAGGGACCAUUGUAUGAAUUUACAAGCCAUGAAAAUGCCAUUGGCAUGGCAAAAAUAUGAAGAUGUGCCUAAACCCACCUACCACCCUAUUGAUCUACGGCUUGCGCAUCCCGCCUUUCUGGCUGGCGUAGUGCUUGCCUGCACGCUCAUUUCGUCGGUUGGCUUAAGCAUGCGGAGUUCAUUCUCAGUCUAAGAUCAAACCGGACAGAGGGUUACGGUAGUAGGAUCAGCAGCACGCUGAGGGGGACCCGGUCGAUCCCCGGCUUGCGCAUCCUGCCCCUCUGGCUGUUGGAACGCCCGCACGCUUGUUUCGUGCGUUGACUUAAGCAUACGGUGUUCAUUCCCAGUCUAAGAUUGGACCGGACCGAGGGUUGUGGGUGCACAUGCUGGGGUUGGGAAUGUGCUUGUGCCGUAUUUUUUUUCGCCCGAGGCACCAUCUCCAGAGCAUCGUCGGAGAACCUGACCGGCGACAUUGGGGUUCCGGCGAUUGGGGGGGCCGGGGGGGUGUGCGCACAUGAUGUGCAAUGGGUGCUGGUACUUGGCCCUUAUAUUGGCCCCCUAUACCUCAUCAAACCUCAAAAACUCACACCCCCUUUAAAAGCAUUUGAGAUUUUACAGGUUUGCUGCCAGUAGCCGUUAAAGUGUCUCAAAUGGGGACACUUUUUUCAAAUGGUCACAAAAUCCUGUACACUUCGAGUUUUUAGCUGAAUGUUUUUGUGCAUGCCAAGAAAAAUACAAGGAUCACGUCUACCAAGUUUGGGGCCAAAAAUCCUUCUGAAAAAAUUUGAAAAAAAUCUCGAACCGUAAAAAGUUUCAAAAAUUGUGAAAAAUAGAAAAUGAGUCGUCUUGCCAUGAAACUUCACAUUAAGGCUUAAGGGACCAUCGUAUGAAUUUACAAGCCAUUAAAAUGGCAUUGGCAUGGUAGAAAUAUGAAGAUGUGCCUAAACCCACCUACCACCCUAUCGAUCCACGGCUUGUGCAUCCCGCCUCUCUGGCCGGUGUAGUGCCCACCCGCCCGCCCGCUCGUUUCCUCGGUUGGCUUAGGCAUACGGAGUUCAUUCCUAGUCUAACAUCAGAGUGGAUUGAGGGUUGCGACAGCAGGAUCGGCAGUACGCUGAGGGGGACCCGACUGAUCCCCAGCUUGUGCAUCCAGCCACUCUGGUCGGUUGAGGGCCCGCACGCUCGUUUCGUGGGUUGGCUUAGGCAUACAAAGUUCAUUCCCAGUCUAAGAUUGGAUCGGACAAAAGGUUGCGGGUGCACAUGCUGGGCUUGGGCAUGUGCUGGUGCCAUACUUUUUUUCGCACGGGGCACUAUCGUCGGACCAUCGUUGGAGAACCUGACCGGCGGCAUUUGGGUUCCGACGAUUGAGGGUGCCGGAGGGGGGGGUGCGCACAAGAUGUGCACUGGUGCUGGUACUUGGCCCUUAUAUUGGUGCCCUAUCCUUCAUCAAACCUCGAGAACUCAUUCCCCUUANNNNNNNNNNNNNNNNNNNNNNNNNNNNNNNNNNNNNNNNNNNNNNNNNNNNNNNNNNNNNNNNNNNNNNNNNNNNNNNNNNNNNNNNNNNNNNNNNNNNNNNNNNNNNNNNNNNNNNNNNNNNNNNNNNNNNNNNNNNNNNNNNNNNNNNNNNNNNNNNNNNNNNNNNNNNNNNNNNNNNNNNNNNNNNNNNNNNNNNNNNNNNNNNNNNNNNNNNNNNNNNNNNNNNNNNNNNNNNNNNNNNNNNNNNNNNNNNNNNNNNNNNNNNNNNNNNNNNNNNNNNNNNNNNNNNNNNNNNNNNNNNNNNNNNNNNNNNNNNNNNNNNNNNNNNNNNNNNNNNNNNNNNNNNNNNNNNNNNNNNNNNNNNNNNNNNNNNNNNNNNNNNNNNNNNNNNNNNNNNNNNNNNNNNNNNNNNNNNNNNNNNNNNNNNNNNNNNNNNNNNNNNNNNNNNNNNNNNNNNNNNNNNNNNNNNNNNNNNNNNNNNNNNNNNNNNNNNNNNNNNNNNNNNNNNNNNNNNNNNNNNNNNNNNNNNNNNNNNNNNNNNNNNNNNNNNNNNNNNNNNNNNNNNNNNNNNNNNNNNNNNNNNNNNNNNNNNNNNNNNNNNNNNNNNNNNNNNNNNNNNNNNNNNNNNNNNNNNNNNNNNNNNNNNNNNNNNNNNNNNNNNNNNNNNNNNNNNNNNNNNNNNNNNNNNNNNNNNNNNNNNNNNNNNNNNNNNNNNNNNNNNNNNNNNNNNNNNNNNNNNNNNNNNNNNNNNNNNNNNNNNNNNNNNNNNNNNNNNNNNNNNNNNNNNNNNNNNNNNNNNNNNNNNNNNNNNNNNNNNNNNNNNNNNNNNNNNNNNNNNNNNNNNNNNNNNNNNNNNNNNNNNNNNNNNNNNNNNNNNNNNNNNNNNNNNNNNNNNNNNNNNNNNNNNNNNNNNNNNNNNNNNNNNNNNNNNNNNNNNNNNNNNNNNNNNNNNNNNNNNNNNNNNNNNNNNNNNNNNNNNNNNNNNNNNNNNNNNNNNCUCAAAUGCUCUUUAAGGGGUGUAGUUCUCAAGUUUGGAUGAGGGAUAGGAGGCCAAUAUAAGGGCCAAGUACGCACGCAUCGCACAUCAUAUGCGGCACACUCCCCGCGGCCCCCCAAUCACCAGAACCCAAUUGUCGCCUGUCAGGUUCUCUGGCGAUGCUCCGGCGUUGGUGGCGUGGGCGAAAAAAAAUGCGGCACUAGCACAUGCUUGAGCCAAGCAUGUGCACCGCCAACCCUAGGUCUGGUCCAAUCUUAGACUGGGAAUGAACUCUGUAUGCCUAAGUCAACCCACGAAAUGAAGUGCGGGCGCUCAGCCGAGCCCAAAGGGGCAGGAUGCCGCAAGCUGGGGAUGCGUCGAGUCCUCGCUUCAACAUGCUUGUCGAUCCUUGCUGUCCUGAUCUUAGACCUGGGAAAUGAACUCCUGUAUGCCUAAAGCCAACCGAUGAAACAGCGGGCGGGGCGGGCGGGCACUACGUCGGCCAGAGAGGCGGGAUGCGCAAGCCAUGGAUCGAUAGGGUGAUAGGUGGGUUUAGGCACAUCUUCAUAUUUCUGCCAUGCCAAUGCCAUUUUUAUGGCUUCUAAAUUCAUACAAUGGUCCCUUAAGCCUUGAUGUGAAGUUUCAUGGCAAGAUGACUCGUUUUCUAUUUUUCACGAUUUUUGAAACUUUUUACGGUUCAAGAUUUUUUUAAAUUUUUUCAGAAGGAUUUUUGGCCCCAAACUUGGUAGACGUGAUCCUUGUAUUUUUGUGGGCAUGCACAAAAAUAUUCAGCUAAAAACUUGAAGUGUAUAGGAUUUUGUGACCAUUUGAAAAAAGUGUCCCCAUUUAGACACUUUAAUGGUUUCUGGCAGCAAACCUGUAAAAUCUCAAAUGCUCUUUAAGGGGUUGUGAGUUCUCGAGGUUUGAUGAGGGAUAGGGGGCAAGUACCAGCACCCAUCGCAAAUCAUGUGCGCACACCCCCCCGGCCCCCCGAUUGUCGGAACCCCAAUGCCACCGGUAAAGGUUUUUUGUUUUCUCCGAUGAUGCCCUCCGGACGAUGGUGCCCGGGCAAAAAAAAAAUAAGGCACAGCAACAUGCUCGAUGCCCAAGCCAUGUGCACCCACAACCCUCGGUCGGUUUGAACUUAGAACUGGGAAUGACUCCGUAUGCUACGUCAACCUACGGAACGAGUGUACGGGCGCUCAACCGACCAGAGGGGCAGGAUGCACAAGCCAUGGAUCGGUAGGGUCCCCCUCUGCGUGUUGCCGAUCCUGCUGCUGCAACCUUCGGUCUAGUCUGGUCUUAGACUAGGAAUGAACUCCAUAUGCCUAAGCCACCGAUGAAAUACGAGCGGGCAGCGGGCGGGCACUACGCGGCAGAAGAGACGGGAUGCGCAAGGCCAUGGAUCGAUGGGUGGUAGGUGGGUUUAGGACAUCUUCAUAUUUUUGUCAUGCCAUUGCCAUUUUUAUGGCUUGUAAAUUCAUACAAUGGUCCCUUAAGCCUUCAUGUGUAGUUUCAUGGCAAGACGACUCAUUUUCUAUUUUUCAUGAUUUUCAAAAAAUUUUAUGGUUCGAGAUUUUUUUAAAAUUUUCUCAGAAGGAGUUUUGGCCCCAAACUUGGUAGACGUGAUCCUAAUAUUUUUUUUGGCGUGCACAAAAAAAUUCAAUUAAAAACUCAAAGUGUACAGGAUUUUGUGACCAUUUGAAAAAAAUAUCCCCAUUUCAGACACUUUAAUGGCUACUAGCAGCAAACCUGUAAAAUCUUAAAUGCUCUUUAAGGGGGAAUGAGUUCUCGAGGUUUGAUGAGGAUAGGGCACCAAUAUAAGGGCCAAGUACCAGCACCAGUGCACAUCUUGUGCGCACCCCCCCUCCGGCACCCUCAAUCGUCGGAACCAAAUGCCGCCGGUCAAGGUUCUCAACGAUGGUCCGACGAUAGUGCCCGUGCGAAAAAAAGUAUGGCACCAAGCAGAUGCCCCAAGCCCAGCAUGUGCACCCAUAACCUUCUGUCCGAUCCGAUCUUAGACUGGGAAUGAACUUUGUAUGCCUAAGCCAACCCACGAAACGAGCGUGCAGGCGCUCAACCGGCCAGAGUGGCAGGAUGUGCAAGCUGGGGAUCAGUCGGGUCCCCCUCAGCAUGCUAUCGAUCCUACUGCCGUAACCCUCGGUCCGGUCCGAUCUUAGACUAGGAAUGAACUCUGUAUGCCUAAGCCAACCGAUGAAACGAGCGGGCGGCUGGGCGGGCACUACGUCGGCCAAAGAGGCGGGACGCGCAAGCCGUGGAUCGAUAGGGUGGUAGGUGGGUUUAGGCACAUCUUCAUAUUUCUACCAUGCCAAUGCCAUUUUUAUGGCUUGUAAAUUCAUAUGAUGGUCCCUUAAGCCUUCAUGUGAAGUUUCAUGGCAAGACGACUCAUUUUCUAUUUUUCACAAUUUUUGAAACUUUUUACGGUUCGAGAUUUUUUUCAAAUUUUUUCAGAAGGAGUUUUAGCCCCAAACUUGGUAGACGUGAUCCUUGUAUUUUUCUUGGCAUGCACAAAAAAAUUCAGCUAAAAACUCGAAGUGUACAGGAUUUUGUGACCAUUUGAAAAAAGUGUCCCCAUUUAAGACACUUUAACGGCUACUGGCAGCAAACCUGUAAAAUCUCAAAUGCUUUUAAAGGGGGUGUGAGUUUCUGAGGUUUGAUGAGGUAUAGGGGGCCAAUAUAAGGGCCAAGUACCAGCACCCAUUGCACAUCAUGUGCGCACACCCCCCCGGCCCCCCCAAUUGCCGGAACCCCAAUGCCGCCGGUCAGGUUCUCUGACGAUGCUUUGGAGAUGGUGCCCCGGGCGAAAAAAAAUGUGGCACAAGCACAUUCCCAAUCCCAGCAUGUGCACCCACAACCCUCAGUCCGGUCCGAUCUUAGACUGGGAAUGAACUCCGUAUGCUUAAGUCAACCCACGAAACGAGUGUGUGGACGCUCCGCCGGCCAGAGGGGUAGGAUGCGUAAAUCGGGGAUCGAUCAGGUCUCCCUCAACGUGCUGCUGAUCCUACUGCGGCAACCCUCUAUCCGGUUUGAUCUUAUACUGGGAAUGAACUCCGUAUGCCUAAGCCAACCGACGAAAUGAGCGGGCGGGCGGGCACUACGCCAACCAGAGAGACGGGAUGCGCAAGCCGUGGAUCGAUAGGGUGGUAGGUGGGCUUAGGCACAUCUUCAUAUUUCUGCCAUGGCAAUGGCAUUUUUAUGGCUUGUAAAUUCAUACAAUGGUCCCUUAAGCCUUCAUGUGAAGUUUCAUGGCAAGACGACUCGUUUUCUAUUUUUCACGAUGUUUGAAACUUUUUACGAUUGAAGAUUUUUUUAAAAUUUUUUCAGAAGGAGUUUUGGCCCCAAACUUGGUAGACGUGAUCCUUGUAUUUUUGUUGGCAUGCAUAAAAAAAUUCAGCUAAAAACUCGAAGUGUACAGGAUUUUGUAACCAUUUGAAAAAAGUGUCCCCAUUUCAGACACUUUAAUGGCUACUGGCAGCAAACCUAUAAAAUCUCAAAUGCUCUUUAAGGGGGUGUGAGUUCUCGAGGUUUGAUGAGUUAUAGGGGCCAAUAUAAGGGCCAAGUACUAGUACCCACCGUACAUCAUGUGCGCACACCCCUCCCGUACCCAAUCGUCGGAACCCCAAUGCCGUCGGUCAGGUUCUCCGGAUAUGGUGGCCCGGGCGAAAAAAAAUACGACACCAGCACAUGCCCGAGCCCAGCAUGUGCACCCGCAACCCUCGGUCCGGUCUGAUCUUAAACUGGGAAUGAACUCCGUAUGCCUAAGUCAACCCACGAAACGAGCGUGCGGGCGCUCAACCGGCCAGAGGGGCAGGAUGCGGAAGCCGGGGAUCGUCUGGGUCCCCCUCAGCGUUCUGCCAAUCCUACUGCCACAACCCUAGGUCUAGUCUGAUCUUAGACUGGGAAUGAACUCCGUAUGCCUAAGCCAAUCGAUGAAACGAGCGGGCGGGUGGGCGGGCACUAUGCCGGCCAGAGAGGCGGGAUGCGUUAGCCGUUGAUCGAUAGGGUGGUAGGUGGGUUUUGGUACAUCUUCAUAUUUUUGCCAUGCCAAUGCCAUUUUUGUGGCUUGUAAAUUCAACAAUGGUCCCUUAAGCCUUCAUGUGAAGUUUCAUGGCAAGACGACUCGUUUUCUAUUUUUCAUGAUUUUUGAAAUUUUUUACGGUUCAGGAUUUUUUUAAAAUUUUUUCAGAAGGAGUUUUGGAACCAAACUUGGUAGACGUGAUCCUUGUAUUUUUGUUGGCAUGCACAAAACAAUUCAACUAAAAACUCGAAGUGUACAGGAAUUUGUGACCAUUUCAAAAAAAGUGUCCCCAUUUCAAACAUUUUAACGGCUACUGGCAGCAAACCUAUAAAAUCUCAAAUGCUCUUUAAGGGGGUGUGAGUUCUCGAGGUUUGAUGAGUUAUAGGGUGCCAAUAUAAGGGCCAAGUACCAGUACCCAUCGCACAUCAUGUGCGCACGCACCCCCCGCCCCCCAAUCGUCGGAACCCCAAUGCCGUCGGUCAGGUUCUCCGACGAUGGUGGCCCGAGCGAAAAAAAAGGCGACACCAGCACAUGCCCGAGCCCAGCGUGUGCACCCACAACCUUUGGUCUGGUCUGAUCUUAGACUGGGAAUCAACUUCAUAUGCUUAGACUGGGAAUGAACUCCGUAUGCCUAAGUCAACCCACAAAACGAGGGUGCGGGCGCUCAGCCAGCCAGAGGGGUAGGUUGCGCAAAUCGGGGCUCGGCCAGGGUCCCCCUCAGUGUGCUACCGAUGUUGCUGUCGCAACCUUCGGUCCGGUCUGAUCUUAGACUAGGAAUGAACUCUGUAUGCCUAAGCCAACCGAUGAAAUGAGCGGACAGGCGGGCGGGCACUACGCCGACCAGAGAGGCGGGAUGCGUAAGCCGUGGAUCGAUAGGGUAGUAGGUGGGUUUAGGCACAUCUUCACAUUUUUGCUGUGCCAAUGCCAUUUUUAUGGCUUGUAAAUUCAUACAAUGGUCCCGUAGGCCUUCAUAUGAAGUUUCAUGGCAAGACGACUCGUUUUCUAUUUUUCACGAUUUUUGAAACUUUUUAUGGUUCAGGAUUGUUUUUUAAUUUUUUCAGAAAGCGUUUUGGUCCCAAACUUGGUAGACGUGAUCCUUGUAUAUUUGUUGGCAUGAACAAAAAAAUUCAGCUAAAAACUAGAAGUGUAGAGGAUUUUGUGACCAUUUGAAAAAAAGUGUCCCCAUUUCAUACACUUUAAUGGCUACUGCUAGCAAACCUGUAAAAUCUCAAAUGCUCUUUAAGGUGGUGUGAGUUCUCGAGGUUUGAUGAGUUAUAGGGAGCCAAUAUAAGGGCCAAGUACCAGCACCCAUCGGACAUCAUAUGCACACACCCCCCGGCCCCCCCAAUUGUCGGAAACCCAAUGCCGUCGGUCAGGUUCUCCGAUGAUGCUCUGGCGAUGGUGCCCCGAGCGAAAAGAAAUAUGGCACCAGCACAUGCCCGAGCCCAGCAUGUGCACUCGCAACCCUCGAUCCAAUCCGAUCUUAGACUGGGAAUGAACUCCGUACGCCUAAGUCAACCCAUGAAACUAGCGUGCGAGCGCUCAACCAGCCAGUGGGGCAGGAUGCGCAAGCCGGGGAUCGACCGGGUCCCUCUUAGCGUACUGUCGAUCCUGCUGCCACAACCCUUGGUCUGGUCCAGUCUUAGCCUGGGAAUGAACUCCGUAUGCCUAAGGCAACCGAUGAACUGAGCGGGCACUACACCGGCCAAAGGGCGAGAUGCGCAAGCCGUGGAUCGAUAGGGUGGUAGGUGGGUUUAGGCACAUAUUCAUAUUUCUGUCAUGCCAAUGCCAUUUUUAUGGCUUGUAAAUUCAUACAAUGGUCCCUUAAGCCUUCAUGUGAAGUUUCAUGGCAAGACGACUCGUUUUCUAUUUUUCAUAAUUUUUGAAACUUUUUACAGCUUGGGAUUUUUUAAAAAUUUUUUCAGAAGGUGUUUUGGUCCUAAACUUGGUAGACGUGAUCCUUUUAUUUUUGUUGUCAUGCACAAAAAAAUUCAGCUAAAAACUCGAAUUGUACAGAAUUUUGUGACCUUUUGAAAAAAUGUACCCAUUUCAGACACUCUAAUGGCUACUGGCAGCAAACCUGUAAAAUCACAAAUGCUCUUUAAGGGGGUGUGAGUUCUCGAGGUUUGAUGAGGGAUAGGGGGCCAAUAUAAGGGCCAAGUAGCAGCACCCAUCGCACAUCAUGUGCGCACACCCCCCAGCCCCCCCAAUCGUCGGAAUCCCAACAUGUGCACUUACAACCCUCGGUCCAAUCUGAUCUUAGACUGGGAAUCAACUCCGUAUGGUUAGAUUGGGAAUCAACUCCGUAUGCCAAAGUCAACCCACGAAACGAGCGUGCAGGCGCUCAACCAGCCAGAGGGGCAAGAUGCGCAAGCCGGGGAAUGGUCGAGUCCCACUCAGCGUGCUGCCUAUCCUAUUGUCGCAACCGUCGGUCUGUUCCAAUCUUAAACUGGGAAUGAACUCUGCAUGCCUAAGCCAACCGUCGAAAUGAGCGGGCGGGCGGGCACUACGUCGGCUAGAGAGACGGGAUGCGCAAGCCGUGGAUCGAUAGGGUGGUAGGUGGGUUUAGGCACAUCUUUAUAUUUCUGCCAUGCCAAUGCCAUUUUUAUAGCUUGUAAAUUCAUACAAUGGUCCCUUAAGCCAUCAUGUGAAGUUUCAUGGCAAGACAACUCGUUUUCUAUUUUUCACGCUUUUUAAAACUUUUUAUGGUUCGGGAUUUUUUAAAAAUUUUUCAGAAGGGCUUUUGGCCCCAAACUUGGUAGACGUGAUCCUUGCAUUUUUUUGGGCAUACACAAAAAAAUUCAGCUAAAAACUCGAAGUGUAUACGAUUUUGUGACCAUUUGAAAAAAGUGUCUCCAUUUUCGACACUUUAAUGGCUACUGGCAGCAAACCUGUAAAAUCUCAAAUGCUCUUUAAGUGGGUGUGAGUUCUCAAGGUUUGAUGAGGGAUAGGGGUCCAAUAUAAGGGCCAAGUACCAGCACCCAUCGCACAUCAUGUGCGCACACCCCCCGACCCCCCCAAUCGCCGUAAUCCCAAUGCUGUCAGUCAGGUUCUCUGGCGAUGCUCCAGCAAUGGUUGCCCGGGCAAAAAAAAAUGUGGCACCAGCACAUGCCCGAGCCCAGCAUGUGCACACGUAACCCUCAGUCUGAUCCGAUCUUAGAUUGGGAAUGAACUCCAUAUGCUUAGACUGGGAAUGAACUCCGUAUGCCUAAGUCAACCCACGAAAUGAGCGUGCGGGCGCUCAGCCAACCAGAGGGGCAGGAUGCGUAAUCCGAGGAUCGAUCGGGUCCCCCUCAGCAUGCUCCUGAUCCUACUACCGCAACCCUCGAUUCGGUCUCAUCUUAGACUGGGAAUGAACUCUGUAUGCCUAAGCCAAUCGACGAAACGAGCGGGCGGGCGGGCGGGCACUACGUCGACCAGAGAGGCGGGAUGCGCAAGCCGUGGAUCGAUAGGGUGGUAGGUGGGUUUAGGCACAUCUUCAUAUUUCUGCCAAGCCAAUGUCAUUUUUAUGGCUUGCAAAUUCAACAAUGGUCCCUUAAGCCUUCAUGUGAAGUUUCAUGGCAAGACGACUUGUUUUCUAUUUUUCACGAUUUUCAAAACUUUUUACGGUUCGGUAUUUUUUAAAACUUUUUUCAGAAAGAAUUUUGGCCCCAAACUUGGUAGACGUGAUCCUUGUAUUUUUGAUGGCAUGCACAAAACAAUUCAGCUAAAAACUCAAAGUGUACAGGAUUUUGUGUCCAUUUGAAAAAAAUGUCCCCAUUUCAGACACUUUAAUGGCUACUGGCAGCAAAACUGUAAAAUCUCAAAUGCUCUCUAAGGGGGUGUGAGUUCUUGAGGUUUGAUGAGAGAUAGGGGGCAAUAUGAGGGCCAAGUAUCGGCACCCAUCGCACAUCAUGUGUGCACACCCCCCCCCCCCAAUCGUCGGAACCCCAAUGCCGUCGGUCAAGUUUUCUGGUGAUGCUCCGGUAAUGGUUCCCCGGGCGAAAAAAAAUAUGACACCAACAAAUGCCCGAGCCCAGCAUGUGCAACCACAACCCUCGGUCUGGUCCGAUCUUAGACUGGGAAUGAACUUCGUAUGCCUAAGCCAACCGACGAAAUGAGCAGGCGGACAGGCGAGAUCUACCCGACCAGAGAGGCGGGAUGCGUAAGCCGUGGAUCAAUAGGGUGGUAGCUAGCUUUAGGCACAUCUUCAUAUUUUUUCCAUGCCAAAGCCAUUUUUAUGGCUUGUAAAUUCAUACAAUGGUCCCUUAAGCCUUCAUGUGAAGUUUCAUGGCAAGAUGACUCGUUUUCUAUUUUUUCACAUUUUUAAAAAUUUUUACGGUUCGAGAUUUUUUAAAAACUUUUUCAGAAGGAGUUUUGGCCCCAAACUUGGUAGACGUGAUCCUUGUAUUUUUUUUGGCAUGCACAAAAAAAUUCAGCAAAAAACUCAAAGUGUACAGGAUUUUGUGACCAUUUGAAAAAAAUGUCCCCAUUUCAGACACUUUAAUGGCUACUGGCAGCAAACUUGUAAAAUCUCAAAUGCUCUUUAAGGGGGUGUGAGUUCUCGAGGUUUGAUGAGUGAUAGGGGGCCAAUAUAAGGGCCAAGUACCAGCACCCAUUCCACAUCAUAUGCGCACACCCCCCGACCCCCCCAAUUGCCGGAACCCCAAUGCCGUCGGUCAGGUUCUCUAAUGAUGCUACGACGAUGGUGCCCCGAGCGAAAAAAAAUGUGCACCAGCACAUGCCCGAGCCCAGUAUGUGCACCCGUAACCCUCCGUCCGGUCCGAUCUUAGACUGGGAAUGAACUCCUUAUGCCUAAGUCAACCCACGAAAUGAGCGUGCGGGUGCUCAGUCUGCCAGAAGGGUAGGAUGCGCAAGCCGGGGAUUGGUCGGGUCCCCCUCAGCGUGCUACCGAUCUUACUGCCACAAACCUUGGUCCGGUCUGAUCUUAGACUGGGAAUGAACUCCGUAGGCCUAAACCAACUGACGAAACGAGCGAGCGGGCGGGCGGGCACUACGUCGGCCAGAGAGGUGGGAUACGCAAUCGUGGAUCGAUAGGGUGGUAGGUGGGUUUAGGCACAUCUUCUUAUUUCUGCCAUGCCAAUGCCAUUUUUAUGGCUUGUAAAUUCAUACAAUGGUCCCUUAAGCCUUCAUGUGAAGUUUCAUGGCAAGACGACUCAUUUUCUAUUUUUCAUAAUUUUAAAAACCUUUUACGGUUUGAGAUUUUUUUAAAAUUUUUUCAAAUGGAGUUUUGGCCGUAAACCUGGUAGACAUGAUCCUUGUAUUUUUUUUGGCAUGCACAAAAAAAUUCAACUAAAAACUCGAAGUGUACAGGAUUUUGUGACCAUUUGAAAAAAGUGUCCCCAUUUUAGACACUUUAAUGGCUACUUGCGGCAAACCUGUAAAAUCUCAAAUGCUCUUUAAGGUGGUGUGAGUUCUCGAGGUUUGAUGAGGGAUAAGGGGCAAAUAUAAGGGCCAAAUACCAGCACCCAUCGCACAUCAUGCGCGCACACCCCCCCGCCCCCCCAAUCGUCGGAACAUCAAUACCGCCGGUCAGGUUCUCCGACGAUGGUGCCUCGGGUGAAAAAAAAUACGACACCAGCACAUGCUCGAGCCCAGCAUGUGUACCCACAACCCUCGGUCUGGUCUGAUCUUAGAUUGAGAAUGAACUCCAUAUGCUUAGACUGGGAAUUAACUCCGUAUGCCUAAGUCAAGCCACGAAACGAGCGUGCGGGCGCUCAGUCAGCCAGAGGGGUAGGAUGCGCAAGCCGAGCAUCGGUCGGGUCCCCCUCAGUGUGCUGUCGAUCUUGCUACCCCAACCCUCGGUCCGGUCUGAUCUUAGACUAGGAAUGAACUCCAUAUGCCUAAGCCAACUGACGAAACGAGCGGGCGGGCGGGCGGACACUGCGCCGGCCAAAGAGACGGGAUGCGCAAGCCAUGGAUCGAUAGGGUGGUAGGUGGGUUUAGGCACAUCUUCUUAUUUUUGCCAUGCCAAUGCCAUUUUUAUGGCUUGUAAAUUCAUACAAUGGUUCCUUAAGCCUUCAUGUGAAGUUUCAUGGCAAGACGACUCAUUUUUUAUUUUUCACGAUUUUUGAAACUUUUUACGGUUCCAGAUUUUUUAAAAAUUUUUUCAGAAGGAUUUUUGGCCCCAAACUUGGUAGACGUGAUCCUUGUAUUUUUGUUGGCAUGCAAAAAACAAUUCAGCUAAAAACUCAAAGUGUACAGGAUUUUGUGACCAUUUGAAAAAAGUGUCCCCAUUUCAGACACUUUAAUGGCUACUGGCAGCAAACCUGUAAAAUCUCAAAUGCUCUUUAAGGGGGUGUGAGUUCUUGAGGCUUGAUGAAGGAUAGGGGGGCAAUAUAAGGGCCAAGUACCAGCACCAAUCGCACAUCAUGCGCGCACACCCCCGCCCCGCCCCCCAAUCGCCAAAACCCUAAUGCCUCAGGUUCUCCAGUGAUGAUGGCCCGGGCAAAAAAAAAUAUGGCACCAGCACAUGCCCGAGCCCAGCAUGUGCACUGCAACCCUUGGUCCAUUCUGAUCUUAGACUGGGAAAAACCAUUGCCGCAUACAAAAGGUGGCACUAAUCGACCAAGGGCAAGAUGCGCAUGUCCCGAUUCGUCUCCUUUAGCGUGCUGUAUUUGUCCGUAACGUUCAGUCGUCUGUCUUAGACUGGGAAUGAACUCCGGUCUAGCAACUGAUCGAAAGAGGGAGGCGACGGACAAAAGGGAGGAUCCAAGCGUCGAUCGAUAUAGGUGGGUUGGCACAUCUAAUUUUGCCUUGAAUGUCAUUUUAUGGCUUGUAAAUUCAUACAAUGGUCCUUAAGCUUCAAUUGAAGUUCAUGCAAAGAUGACUAGUGUUUUUUUUUGGCACAUAUUUUUUGGAAACUUUUUACGGUUCAAGAUUUUUAAAUUUUUUCAGAAGGAGUUUUGGCCCCAAACUCGGUAGACAUGAUCCUUGUAUUUUUGUUGGCAUGUACAAAAAAAUUCAACUAAAAACUCGAAGUGUACAGGAUUUUGUGACCAUUUGAAAAAAGUGUCCCCAUUUCAGACAUUUUAAUGGCUACUACUGGUGGCAAACCUGUAAAAUCUCAAAUGCUCUUUAAGGGGGUGUGAGUUCUCGAGGUUUGAUGAGGGAUAUGGGGCCAAUAUACGAGCCAAGUACCAGCACCCAUUGCACAUCAUGUGCACACACUCCCCGGCCCCCUAAUCGCCGGAACCCCAAUGCCACCGGUCAGGUUCUCCGGUGAUGCUUCGACAAUGGCGCCCCGGGCGAAAAAAAAUGCGACACCAUCACAUGCCCAAGCCCAGCAUGUGCACCCGCAACCCUCGGUCCAGUCCGAUCUUAGACUGGGAAUGAAAUCCGUAUGCUUAGACUGGGAAUUAACUUCGUAUGCCUAAGUCAACCCACAAAACGAGCGUGCGGGCGUUCAGCUGGCCAGAGGGGCAAGAUGCGCAAGCCAGGGAUCGAUCGGGUCCCCCUCUGAGUGCUGUCGAUCCUGCUGCCUCAUCCCUUAGUCCAGUCUGAUCUUAGACUGGGAAUGAACUCUGUAUGCCUAAGCCAACCGACGAAACGAGCGGGCGGGUGGGCAGGCACUUCGUCGGCCAGAGAGACGGGAUGCGCAAGUCGUGGAUCGAUAGGGUGGUAGGUGGGUUUAGGCACAUCUUCAUAUUUCUGCUGUGCCAAUGCCAUUUUUAUGGCUUGUAAAUUCAUACAAUGGUCCCUUAAGCCUUCAUGUGAAGUUUCAUAGCAAGAUGACUCGUUUUUUAUUUUUCAUGAUUUUUGAAACUUUUUACGGUUCGGGAUUUUAUAAAAAUUUUUUCAGAAGGAGUUUUGGCCCCAAACUUGGUAGACGUGAUCCUUGUAUUUUUGUUGGCAUGGACAAAAAAAUUCAGCUAAAAACUCGAAGUUUACAGGAUUUUGUGGUCAUUUGAAAAAAGUGUCCCCAUUUCAGACACUUUAAUGGCUACUGGUAGCAAACCUGUAAAAUCUCAAAUGCUCUUUAUGGGGGUGUGAGUUCUUGAGGUUUGAUGAGGGAUAGGGGUCCAAUAUAAGGGCCAAGUACCAGCACCCAUCGCACAUCAUGUGCGCACACCCCCCCGGCCCCCCAAUCUCCGGAACCCCAAUGCCGUCGGUCAGGUUCUCCGACGAUGCUCCGGCGAUGAUGGCCCGGGCAAAAAAAAAUGUGGCACCAGCACAUGCCCAAGCCUAGCAUGUGCACCCGCAACCCUCGGUUUGGUCUGAUCUUAGACUGGGAAUGAACUUCGUAUGCCUAAGUCAACCCACAAAAUGAGCGUGUGGGCACUCAGCCAGCCAGAGGGGCAGGAUGCGCAAGCCAGAGAUCGACCGGGUCCCUCUCUGCGUGCUGCCAAUCCUGCUGCCACAACCCUUGGUCUGAUCUGAUCUUAGACUGGGAAUGAACUCGGUACGCCUAAGCCAACCAACGAAACGAACGGGCGAGCGGGCGGGCACAACGCCAGCUAGAGAGGUGGGAUGCGCAAGCCGUGGAUCGAUAGGGUGGUAGGCGGGUUUAGGCACAUCUUCCAUAUUUCUACCAUGCAUGCAGUAUGGCUUGUAAAUUCAUACAAUGGUCCCUUAAGCCUCUCAUGUGAAGUUCAUGGCAGACGACUCGUUUUUUAUUUUUCACGGAUUGUUAAAUUUUACGGUUCGAAUUUUUUCAAAAUUUUUUUAGAAGGAGUUUGCCCCAACUUGGUAGACGUGAUCCUGUUUUUGUUGGCAUGCACAAAACAUUCACGUAAAAACUCGAGUGUACAGGAUUUUGUGACCAUUUGAAAAAAGUGUCCCAUUUCAGAACUUUAAUGGCUACUGGCAGCAAACCUUAAAAUCUCAAAUGCUCUUUAAGGAGGUGUGAGUUCUCAAGGUUUGAUGAGGGAAGGGGCCAAUAUAAGGGCCAAGUACCAGACCAUCGCAAAUCAUGUGCGCACACACCCCGACCUCAAUCCAACCACAAUGCCCGUCAGGUUCCGGCGAGGCUCCGGCGAUGGUGGCCCGGGCAAAAAACAAUGUGGCACCAGCACAUGUUCGAGCCCAGUAUGCGCACCCGGAACCCUCGGGCCAGUCCGAUCUUAGACUGGGAAUGAACUUCGUAUGCUUCGAUUGGGAACGAACUCCGUAUGCCAAAGUCAACCCACGAAACGAGUGUGCGGGCACUCAGCUGGCUAGAGGGGUAGGAUGCGCAAGUCGGGGAUUGGCCGGGUCCCUCUCUACAUGCUGCAGAUCCUGUUGCCGCAACCCUUGGUCUGGUCCAACCUUAGACUGGGAAUGAACUCCGUAUGCCUAAGCCAAUCGACGAAACGAGCGGGCGGGCGGGCGGGCACUAUGCCGGCCAGAGAGGCGGGAUGCGCAAGUCGUGGAUCAGUAGGGUGGUUGGUGGGUUUAGGCACAUCUUAUAUUUUUUCUGUGCCAAUGCCAUUUUUAUGGCUUGUAAAUUCAUACAAUGGUCCCUUAAGCCUUCAUGUGAAGUUUCAUGGCGAGACGACUCGUUUUCUAGUUUUAAUGAUUUUCGAAACUUUUUACGGUUCGGGAUUUUUUUAAAUUUUUUCAUAAGGAAUUUUCACCCCAAAUUUACUAGACGUGAUCCUUGUAUUUUUGUUGGCAUGCAUAAAAAAAUUCAGCUAAAAACUCGAAGUGUACAGGAUUUUGUGACCAUUUGAAAAAAGUGUUCCCAUUUUAGACACUUUAAUUGCUACUGGCAGCAAACCUGUAAAAUCUCAAUGCUCUUUAAGGGGGUGUGAGUUCUCUGAGGUUUGAUGAGGGAUAGGGGCCAAUAUAAGGGCCAAGUACCAGCACCCACCGCACAUCAUGUGCGCACACCCCCCCGCCCCCCAAUCGCCGGAACCCCAAUGCCGUCGGUCAGUUCUCGGUGAUGGCCCCCGAGCAAAAAAAAAUGACACCAGCACAUGCCCAAGCCCAACAUGUGUACCUGCAACCAUCGAUCCGGUCUGAUCUUAGACUGGGAAUGAACUCCAUGUGCUUAGACUGGGAAUGAACUCCGUUUGCUUAAGUCAACCCAUGAAACAAGCGUGCGGGCGCUCAGCCAGCCAGAGGGUAGGAUGCGUAAGUCGGGGAUCGGUCGGGUCCCCCUCAACGUGCUGCCGAUCCUACUGCCACAACCCUCAGUUCGGUCUAAUCUUAGACUGGGAAUGAACUCCAUAUGCCUAAGCCAACUGACGAAACGAACGGGCGGGUAGGCGGGCACUACGCCUCCCAAAGAGGCAGGAUGCGCAAGCCGUGGUAGGUGGGUUUUGGCACAUCUUCAUAUUUCUGCCAUGCCAAUGCCAUUUUUAUGACUUGUAAAUUCAUACAAUGGUCCCUUAAGCCUUCAUGUGAAGUGUCAUGGUAAGACGACUCGUUUUCUAUUUUUCAUGAUUUUUGAAACUUUUUACAGCUCGAGAUUUUUUUAAAAUUUUCUCAGAAGGAGUUUUGGCCCCAAACUUGGUAGACGUGAUCUUGUAUUUUUCUUGGCAUGCACAAAAAAAUUCAGCUAAAAACUCGAAGUGUACAGGAUUUUGUGACCAUUUGAAAAAAGUGCCCCCAUUCUAGACACUUUGAUGAGGGAUAGGGGGCCAAUAUAAGGGCCAACUACCAGCACCCAUCGCACAUCAUGUGCGCACAGCCCCCCCGAGCCCCCCAAUCGUCGGAACCCCAAUGCCACCAGUCAGGUUCUUCGAUGAUGCUCCGACGAUGGUGGCCCGAGCGAAAAAUAAUACGACACCAGCACAUGCCCGAGCCUAGCAUAUGCACCCGCAACCCUCGGUCCGGUCUUAUCUUAGACUGGGAAUGAACUCCGUAUGCCUAAGUCAACACACAAAAUGAGCGUGCGGGCCCUCAGCCGGCCAGAGGGGCAAGAUGCAUAAGUCGAGGAUCGGUCGAGUCCCCUUCAGCGUGCUACCGAUCCUGCUGCUGCAACCCUCAGUCCGAUCCGAUCUUAGAUUGGGAAUAAACUCCGUAUGCCUAAGCCAACUGAUGAAACAAGUGGGUGGCAGGUCGGGCACUACGUUCGGCCAGAAGGCGGAUGCGCAAGCCGGUGAAUGAGGUGGGUUUAGGCACAUCUUCAUAUUUUCCAUGCUGCCAUGCCAUUUUAUAUCUUUAAAUUCAUACAAUGGAUCCAGUAGCCUUAUGUGAGUUCACUGGCAAACAACUCGUUCUCUAUUUUUCAGAUUUUUGAAACUUUUACAAUUCGAGAUUUUUUUUAAAAUUUUUUCAAAAAAGUUUUGGCCCAAACUUGGUUAGACGUGAUCGCUUGUAUUUUUUUUUGGCAAUGCACAAAACAAUUCAGCUAAAAACUCAAAGUGUAACAGGAUUUUGUGACCUACUUGAAAAAAGUGUCCCCGCAUUACAGACACUUUAAUGGCUACUGGCAGGCAAACGCCUGUAAAAUCUGCAAAUUCUCUUUAAGGGUGUGAUUCUCGAGGUUUGAUUGACGGGAUAGGCGGCCAAUAUAAGGGCCAAGUACCAACAGCCAUCGCACAUCAUGUGCGCACACCCCCCCAGGCCCAUUAAUCAUCGAAACCCCAAUGCCGCCGGUCAGGUUGUCCGACGAUGGUGCCCCAGGCAAAAAAAAAUGCAGCACCAGCACAUACCUGAGCCCAGCAUGUGCACCCACAACCCUCGAUCCGGUUCAAUCUUAGACUGGGAAUGAACUCCGUAUGCCUAAGUCAACCCACGAAACGAGCGUGUGGGUGCUCAACCAGCCAGAGGGGUAGGAUGCGAAAGCCGGGGAUCGAUCGGGUUCCCCUCAUCGUGCUAUCAAUCCUGCUACCACAACCCUCAGUUUGGUCCGAUCUUAGAUUGGGAAUGAACUCCGUAUGCCUAAGCCAACCGACGAAACAAGCGGGCGGGUGGGCGGGCACUACGCCAGCUAGAGAGGCGGGAUGCGCAAGCCGUGGAUCAAUUGAGCGGUAGGUGGGUUUAGUCAUAUUUCUGUCAUGCCAAUGCCAUUUUUAUGGCUUGUAAAUUCAUACAAUGGUCCCUUAAGCCUUCAUGUGAACUUUCAUGGCAGGAUGACUCAUUUUCUAUUUUUCAUGAUUUUUGAAACUUUUUACAGUUCGAGAAUUUUUUAAAAUUUUUUCAAAAAGAGUUUUGGUCCCAAACUUGGUAGACGUGAUCCUUGUAUUUUUUUUGGCAUGCACAAAAAAAUUCAGCUAAAAACUCGAAGUGUAAAGGAUUUUGUGACCAUUUGAAAAAAGUGUCCCAUUUUAGACACUUUAAUGGCUACUGGCAGCAAACCUGUAAAAUCUCAAAUGCUCUUUAAGGGGGUGUGAGUUCUCGAGGUUUGAUGAGCGAUAGGGGGUCAAUAUAAGGGCCAAGUACCAGCACCCAUCACAAAUCAUGUGCGCACACCCCCCCGGCCCCCCAAUCGCCGGAACCCCAAUGCUGCCGGUCAGGUUCUCCGACGAUGCUUCAGCGAUGGUACCUCGGGCAAAAAAAAAUACGGCACCAGCACAUGCCCAAGCCCAGCAUGUGCACCUGCAUCCCUCGAUCCGGUCCGAUCUUAGAUUGGGAAUGAACUCCGUAUGCUUAGACUGGAAAUGAACUCCGUAUGCCUAAGUCAACCCACGAAACGAGCGUGCGGGUGCUCAGCCGGCCAGAGGGGCAGGAUACGCAAGCCGGGGAUCAGUCAGGGCCCCCUCAGUGUCCUGCCGAUCCUACUGCCACAACUCUCGGUCCUACCUGAUCUUAGACUGGGAAUGAACUUCGUAUGCCUAAGCCAACCGACGAAACGAGCAGGCGAGUGGGCGGGCGGGGGGGCACUACACCGGCCAUAGAGGCAGGAUGCGCAAGCCGUGGAUCGAUAGGUGGGUUUAGGCACAUCUUCAUAUUUCUACCAUGCCAAUGCCAUUUUUAUGGCUUGUAAAUUCAGACAAUGUCCCUUGAGCCUUCAUGUGAAGUUUCAUGGCAAGACAACUCGUUUUCUAUUUUUUAUGAUUUUUGAAACUUUUUACGGUUCAAGAUUUUUUUAAAAUUUUUUCAGAAGGAUUUUUAGCCCCAAACUUGGUAGACAUGAUCCUUGUAUUUUUUCUAGCAUUCAUAAAAAAAUUCAGCUAAAAACUCGAAGUGUACAGGAUUUUGUGACCAUUUGAAAAAAAUGUCCCCAUUUCAGACACUUUAAUGGCUACUGGCAGCAAACCUGUAAAAUCUCAAAUGCUCUUUAAGGGGGAGUGAUUUCUCGAGGAUUGAUAAGGGAGAGGGGGCCAAUAUAAGGGCCAAGUACUAGCACCCAUCGCACAUCAUGUGCGCGCACCCCCCGGCCCCCCAAUCUCCGGAACCCUAGUGCCGUCGGUCGGGUUCUCCGACGAUGCUCCGGCGAUGGCACCCCGGGUGAAAAAAAUACGGCACCAGCACAUGCUUGAGCCCAGCAUGUGCACCCGUAACCCUCGGUCCAUCUGAUCUUAGACUAGGAAUGAACUCUGUAAGCUUAAGUCAACCCACGAAACGAGCGUGCGAGCGUUCAGCCGGCAAGAGGGGCAGGAUGGGUAAACUGGGGAUCGAUCGGGUCCCCCGCUUACCGUGCUGCCGCAACCCUCAGUCCAAUCUGAUCUUAGACUGGGAAUGAACUCUGUAUGCCUAAGCCAACCGACGAAACGAGCGGGCAAGUGGGCGGGCACUAUGUCGGCCAGAGAGAAAGGAUGCGCAAGUCAUGGAUCGAUAGGGUGGUAGGUGGGUUUAAGCACAUCUUCAUAUUUCUGCCAUGCCAAAUGCCAUUUUUAUGGCUUGUAAAUUCAUACAAUGGUCCCUUAAGCCUUCAUGUGAAGUUUCAUGGCAAGACGACUCAUUUUCUAUUUUUCAUGAUUUUUGAAACUUUUUACGGUUCGAGGUUUUUUUAAAAUUUUUUCGAAAAGAGUUUUGGUGCCAAACAUGGUAGAUGUGAUCCUUGUAUUUUUGUUGGCAUGCACAAAAAAAUUCAGCUAAAAACUCGAAGUGUACAGGUUUUUGUGACCAUUUGAAAAAAGUGUCCCCAUUUCAGACACUUUAAUGGCUACUGGUAGCAAACCUGUAAAAUCUCAAAUGCUCUUUAAGUGGGUGUGAGUUCUCGAGGUUUGAUGAGGGAUAGGGGGCCAAUAUAAGGGCCAAGUACCAGCACCCAUCACACAUCAUGUGCGCACACCCCCCGGCCCCCCCAAUCGUCGGAACCUCAAUGCUGUCGGUUAGGUUCUCCGACAAUGCUCUAGCGAUGGUGCCCCGGCCGAAAAAAAAUGUGCCACCAGCACAUGCCCAAGCCCAACAUCUGCACCUACAACCCUCGGUCCGGUCCGAUCUUAGACUGGGAAUGAACUCUAUACGCCUAAGUCAAACCACGGAAUGAGCGUACGGGUGCUCAGCCGUCCAGAGGGGCAGGAUGAGCAAGCCCGGGAUCGAUCUGGUCCCCCUCAGUGUGCUGCUAAUCCUGCUGCCGUAACCCUCGGUCCAGUCCAAUCUUAGACUGGGAAUGAACUCUGUAUACCGAAGCCAACCAACGAAAUGAUCGGGCGGCCGGGUGGGCACUACGUCGGCCAGAGAGGCGGGAUGCGCAAGCCGUGGAUCGAUAGGGUGGUAGGUGGGUUUAGGCACAUCUUCAUAUUUCUGCUGUGCCAAUGCCAUUUUUAUGGCUUGUAAAUUCAUACAAUGGUCCCUUAAGCCUUCAUGUGAAGUUUCAUGGCAAGAUGACUCGUUUUCUAUUUUACAUGAUUUUUGAAACUUUUUACGGUUCAAGAUUUUUUUAAAUUUUUUCAGAAGCAAUUUUCGCCCAAACUUGGUAGACGUGAUCCUUGUAUUUUUGUGGGCAUGCAUAAAAAAGUUCAGCUAAAAACUCGAAGUGUAUAGGAUUUUGUGACCAUUUGAAAAAAGUGUCCCCAUUUCAGAUAUUUUAAUGGCUACUGGAAGCAAACCUGUAAAAUCUCAAAUGCUCUUUAAGGGUGUGUGAGUUCUCGAGGUUUGAUGAGGGAUAGGGGGUCAAUAUAAGGGCCAAGUACAAGCACCGAUCGCACAUCAUGUGCGCACACCCCCCCGACCCCCCCAAUUGUCGGAAUCCCAAUGCCGCUGGUCAGGUUCUCCGACGUUGGUGCCCUGGGCAAAAAAAAAUGUGGCACCAGCACAUGCCUGAGCCCAGCAUGUGCACCCGCAACCCUCGAUCCGGUUUGAUCUUAGACUGGGAAUGAACUCUGUAUGCCUAAGCCAACCGGCCAAACGAGCGGGCGGGCAAGAUUUUUUAAAAAUUUUUUUAGAAGGAGUUUUGGCCCCAAACUUGGUAGAUGUGAUCCUCGUAUUUUUGUUGACAUGCACAAAAAAAUUUUGUUAAAAACUCGAAGUGUAUAGGAUUUUGUGACCAUUUCAAAAAAGUGUCCCCAUUCCAGAUGCUUUAAUGGCUAUUGGCAGCAAACCUACAAAAUCUCAAAUGCUCUUUAAGGGGGUGUGAGUUCUCGAUAUUUGAUGAGGGAUAGGGGGCCAAUAUAAGGGCCAAUUACCAGCACCCAUCGCACAUCAUGUGCGCACACCCCCCGGCCUCCCUAAUUGUCGGAUCCCCAAUGCCGCCAGUCAGGUUCUCCGACGAUGCUCCGGUGAUGGUGCCUCGGGCGAAACAAAAUGUGGCACCAGCACAUGCCCGAGCGCAGCAUGUGCACCCGCAACCCUCGGUCUGAUUCGAUCUUAGACUGGGAAUGAACUCCGUAUGCCUAAGUCAACCGACGAAACGAGCGUGCGGGCUCUCAGCCAAUCAGAGGGGCAGGAUGCGCAUGUCGGGGAUCGGUCAGGUCCCCCUCAGCGUGCUGCCAAUCCUGCGGCGCAACGCUCGGUCCACCCUAUCGGUUUGGAUCGAUAAGGUGGUAGGUGGGUUUAGGCACAUCUUCAUAUUUCUGCCAUGACAAUGCCAUUUUUAUGGCUUGUAAAUUCAUACAAUGGUCCCUUAAGCCUUCAUGUGCAGUUUCAUGGGAAGACGACUCGUUUUCUAUUUUACAUGAUUUUUGAAACUUUUUACGGUUCGAGAUUUUUUUAAAUUUUUUCAGAAGGAGUUUUCGCCCAAACUUGGUAGACGUGAUCCUUGUAUUUUUGUGGGCAUGCAUAAAAAAGUUCAGCUAAAAACUCGAAGUGUAUAGGAUUUUGUGACCAUUUGAAAAAAGUGUCCCCAUUUCAGAUAUUUUAAUGGCUACUGGAAGCAAACCUGUAAAAUCUCAAAUGCUCUUUAAGGGUGUGUGAGUUCUCGAGGUUUGAUGAGGGAUAGGGGGUCAAUAUAAGGGCCAAGUACAAGCACCGAUCGCACAUCAUGUGCGCACACCCCCCCGACCCCCCCAAUUGUCGGAAUCCCAAUGCCGCUGGUCAGGUUCUCCGACGUUGGUGCCCUGGGCAAAAAAAAAUGUGGCACCAGCACAUGCCUGAGCCCAGCAUGUGCACCCGCAACCCUCGAUCCGGUUUGAUCUUAGACUGGGAAUGAACUCUGUAUGCCUAAGCCAACCGGCCAAACGAGCGGGCGGGCAAGAUUUUUUAAAAAUUUUUUUAGAAGGAGUUUUGGCCCCAAACUUGGUAGAUGUGAUCCUUGUAUUUUUGUUGGCAUGCACAAAAAAAUUUCGUUAAAAACUCGAAGUGUACAAGAUUUUGUGACCAUUUCAAAAAAGUGUCCCUUUCCAGAUGCUUUAAUGGCUAUUGGCGGCAAACCUACAAAAUCUCAAAUGCUCUUUAAGGGGGUGUGAGUUCUCGAUAUUUGAUGAGGGAUAGGGGGCCAACAUAAGGGCCAAUUACCAGCACCCAUCGCACAUCAUGUGUGCACACCCCCCUUCGACCUCCCCAAUUGUCGGAUCCCCAAUGCCGCCGGUCAGGUUCUCCGAUGAUGCUCCGACGAUGGUGCCUCGGGCGAAACAAAAUGUGGCACCAACACAUGCUCGAGCCCAACAUGUGCACCCGCAACCCUCGGUUUGGUCCGAUCUUAGACUGGGAAUGAACUCCGUAUGCCUAAGUCAACCCACGAAACGAGCGUGCGGGCUCUCAGCCAAUCAGAGGGGCAGGAUGCGUAAGCCAGGGAUCGGUCGGGUCCCCCUCAGCGUGCUGCCAAUCCUGCAGUGCAACCCUCGGUCCACCCUAUCGGUUUGGAUCGAUAGGGUGGUAGGUGGGUUUAGCACAUCUUCAUAUUUCUGCCAUGACAAUGCCAUUUUUAUGGCUUGUAAAUUCAUACAAUGGUCCCUUAAGCCUUCCUGUGAAGUUUCAUGGCAAGACGACUCGUUCUCUAUUUUUCACGAUUUUCAAAACUUUUUACCGUUCAAGAUUUUUUUAAAAUUUUUUUCAGAAGGAGUUUUGGCCCCAAACUUGGUAGACGUGAUCCUUGUAUUUUUUUUGUCUUGCACAAAAAAAUUCAGCCAAAAUUUUGAAGUGUACAAGAUUUUGUGAUCAUUUGAAAAAAGUGUCCCCAUUUCAGACACUUUAUUGGCUACUGGCAGCAAACCUGUAAAAUCUCAAAUGAUCUUUAAGGGGGUGUGAUUUCUUGAGGUAAGAUGAGGGAUAGAGGGCCAAUAUAAGGGCCAAGUACCAGCACCCAUCGCACAUCAUGUGUGCACACCCCCCGACCCCCCUAAUCACUGGAACCCCAAUGCCGCCGGUUAGGUUCUCCGAUAAUGCUCCAGCGAUGGUGCCUCGGGCCCAAGAAAAUGUGGCACAUGCCAGAGCCCAGCAUAUGCACCCGCAACUGGCAGGUUAGACUGGGAAUGAACUCCGUAUGCCUAAGUCAACCCACGAAACGAGUGUGCGGGCGCUUAGUCGACCAGAGGGGUAGGAUGCGUAAGCCGGGGAUUUACCGGGUCCUCCUCAGUGUGCUACCGAUCUUGCUCUCGCAACCCUCGGUCCGGUUUGAUCUUAGGCUGGGAAUGAACUCCGUAUGCCUAAGCCAACCGACGAAACAAGCGGGCGGGCGGGUGGGCACUAUGCCGGCCAGAGAGGUGGGAUGCGCAAGCCGUGGAUCGAUAGGGUGGUAGGUGGGUUUAGGCACAUAUUCAUAUUUUUUCCCUACCAAUGCCAUUUUUAUGGCUUGUAAAUUCAUACAAUGGUCCUUUAAGCCUUCAUGUGAAGUUUCAUGGCAAGACGACUCGUUUUCUAUUUUUCACGAUUUUUGAAACUUUUUAUGGUUCGGGAUUUUUUUAAAAUUUUUUCAGAAGGAGUUUUGGCCCCAAACUUGGUAGGUGCGAUCCUUGUAUUUUUGUUGGUAUGCACAAAAAAAUUCAGCCAAAAACUCGAAGUGUAUAGGAUUUUUUUACCAUUUGAAAAAAGUGUCCCCAUUUCAGACACUUUAAUGGCUACUGGCAGCAAACUUGUAAAAUCUCAAAUGCUCUUUAAGGAGGUGUGAGUUCUCGAGGUUUGAUGAGGGAUAGGGGGCCAGUAUAAGGGCCAAGUACCAGCACCCAUCGCACAUCUUGUGUGCACACCCCCUCGGCCCCCCCAAUCGUCGGAACCCCAAUGCUGCUGGUCAGGUUCUCCGACGAUGCUCCAGAGAUGGUGCCACGGGCGAAAAAAAAUGCGGCACCAGCACAUGCCCGAGCCCAGCAUGUGCACCCGCAGCCCUCGGUCCGAUCCGAUCUUAGACUGGGAAUGAGCUCCGUAUGCCUAAGUCAACCCACGAAACGAGCGUGCAGGCGAUUAGUCGACCAGAGGGGCAGGAUGCGCAAGCUGGGGAUUUGUCGGGUCCCACUUAGCAUGCUGCCGAUCCUACUGCCGCAACCCUCAGUCCGGUCCGAUCUUAGACUGGGAAGGAACUCUGUAUGCCUAAGCCAACCGACAAAAUGAGUGGGCGGGCGGGCGGGCACUAAGCGUUUUGCCGAGAUCCAUCCCGACCCGAGCGUCGACCCGCUUCCUGACCCGCGCGUGUCUCCCCCCUCCGAGCCGAUAGUCGAGUCGAGUCAAGGUUCCAAGCCACUUCUCUGAGCCGUUUUCUCUUCCUUGAGCCGAGCCGAGCCAAGCCAUACUCCGAGCCGCUCUAGGCUUUUUUUUAUUUUUAUUUAUUAUUUGUUUUUUAUUUAUUUAUUUUUUAUUUAUUAGAUUAGGUUUAUUUAGUAUCCUUUUUUACCUUUAUUUUAUUUUAUUAUUUUAUUUUUGUUUUAAUUUUUUUUUUAUUUUUUUAUUUUCACUUUUAUUUUGUUUUAUUAUUUUAUUUUCUUUAAAUAAAAAUCAAAAAAAAUAUUUUUGGGGAAAAGUUGAAAGUAUCAAUUUUUCUUAAAAAUAAAAUUUCGAAAAAAGGGUUUUUGAGGAAAAGUUGAAAGUAUCAAUCUUCCUUGAAAAUCAAAGUUUCCAAAAAAUAUUUUUGAGGAAAAGUUAAAAGUAUCAAUUUUCCUUAAAAAUAAAAUUUCAAAAAAAAGGUUUUUGAGGAAAAGUUGAAAGUAUAAAUUUUCCUUGAAAAUCAAAGUUUCCAAAAAUAUUUUUGAGGAAAAGUUGAAAGUAUCAAUUUUCCUUGAAAAUCAAAAUUUCCAAAAAAAAAUAUUUUUGGGGAAAAGUUGAAAGUAUCAAUUUUCCUUAAAAAUAAAUUUUCAAAAAAUCAAUUUUUAAGGAAAAGUUGAAAGUAUCAAUCUUCCUCUAAAUUAAAGUUUCAAAAGAAUAUUUUUAGGGAAAAGUUGAAAGUAUCAAUUUUCCCUGCGCAAGGACAAUCAUUCUUUUCUUCCUUUUUAUUUUAAUUUUGAUUUUGAUUCUUCUUUAAAUAAUCCGACGACGGAGCCUCUGCAAGUGAAACAGUAGUUUUUCUUGCAUACUCUUGCGGUGAGGGAAUUUUCUCAAUUUUCUGCUAAAAGUAUUAGAGUCAAUUGAGAAUAAUUUCCAAUAAUUAAUUACUUCGUAAAAUUUUAAGGCUAUUUGGAUAACACAAAAUUAUGCUGGUACCAUCUUUUGAUGGGCGUUGUGAGGGUGCUAUAACCUUCCUCACACGUAACCGAACUCUCAAACUCUAUUCUGGUUAGUAGACCUGAACCUAUUCUUUUAGGGGCCCUUAAACUUAGGUGUUCCCUGAAAGGAUAGAUUCUUUAGGUGGCCAAUCGCACCUAGAUAAAAAAGAUUGGUGGUGACUCCUAAAAGUCAAUGUCUAGCGAUAGAUCCCUAGAUCUAGACGUUAUGACAGCUUGGCGACUCCGUUGGGGACACUGAGAGUCAGGCCAGCAAAUAAUUUGUGUUAUCCAAAAGCCUAAUAAAAUUGAACCUGUUUGUAUAUAUGUGUUAAUAUUCAUUCAUGUUUAUUUACCUUAUUAAUUAUGUCAUUUAUAUGCAUGUGCAUAACAUGAGCUUUACACCCGAGCUCCAUCCCUCUAGGAGGGAGUAAAGUACCUAUUGCUUUCGUGAGGUCUAAUGCCUCCGCAGUGGCUAGCGAAAUACUCCCACUCAAAUUGAACCUUUUCCGCUUGUAGCCUGUAAUAGGUGAGGAUUAGGGUGCCUUACUAGUCUGUAAUGGACAAGGAUGUAAGGAACAAUUUGAGGACCUUUAGACUUUGACCCUAAAACUGUAUAUAGUGAACCUUAAGAGAGCCUAACCUAUAGAUAGAGCCAUCACUCUUCCCUUUUAGAAUUGGCCAAAAGCAUAGGGUUUAUCCCUUUUUACUUUGUGUAAUUUUACUUAGUUAUUUGUUCUUUUUCUGGGUAUACUAACCUUUUUCUUAUUCUUUUGCAUCGGUUCAUACGCAUAUCAUAAAGUUGCAUAAAGAACAUUUGCUUGAAAAAAUGGUCUUCAACAAAUUUUUUUCAUGGACGCCAAUGAACGCUUAGUUUGUUCUGCCUACCUUGGAAGUUUUUCAUGAGUUUCUGAUGCAACAUGGCAAUAAAGAACGAGGGUUAGAUGUAUUUGCCUUGGCUAUAUACGGACUGGUAAUCUUUCCAAAGGUUUUGGGACAUAUUGAGAUAGCGGUGGUUGAUUUCUUCAAAAGUGUGAUCAAUGGCUAUAAUCCUUCAAUGGUAAUAUUAGCAGAGAUUAUCAGAUCUUUGAGUUAUUGUCGUCGAAAUGGAGGGCAUUUCAUAAGAUGCAUACAGUUAUUGUACUUAUGGAUGAAAAGCCAUUUUGAACAAGGAAAUGGUGCUUUCUUGAAGCUUUACAUUCGUAAUCAUUUUUUGAUCAAAGAAUUCUGUGAAAGUGGGUGGUCAAAGCGGAAGUCUAAACAAGAAUGGAUAACUUUCUUACAAAAGUUGGAAAGUACCAGGGUGAGAUGGUUGGCCCCAUGGAUGAAUCGUGAGCCUAUGUUGUAUCAAUGUGGGGAUAGUACAAUGGUUCCACUUUUGGGUUUAUGGGGAGUAACGAAUUAUGCACCACUCCUAAUGAGAAGGUAAUUGGGGGGAGAACAAUUUAUUCCUAUGACUUAUGGGCUUCAUCAGUUAGAUUUCUCUUACAGUGAGCCUAAAGCAUUUCAAAGGAUGAAUGAGAUGAUUAAAGCAUGGAAAAAUCCCCGAAGAGUGAGUCAUAGACCGUUCACUGAAAAAGUCACCCCAGGUUACUUGGUUUGGAGAACAAAGAGAAGACAAGAAACGGUAUUCACUUAUGAAAUCUCUCAACCACCAACAGAAGAAAAACUUGAAGAGACACCAUCAGAAUUAGAGCUGGCAACAAAAGAAUUUGAGUCUAAAAAGAGCAAGUUAAAGCAAGAGAUUCAAAAAACUUCAAGAAGAAAAAGCCCAGUGGAAGGGUAGAGCCAAAAGUUAUGAAGUUAAAGUUCACAAGAUUGCUAGAGAAUGAGAUACAGCUACUGAAGACCUAGCAAAGUUACACCAAGAGCAUAAGAGGCUAUGUGUGAGAGAAAGAGCCAAAGAGAUAAUCAUUGUCGAGCUGACUGAGGAAAAUGCAAGAUUGAAACAAGAGUAUGCCAAAUUGGAAGAAGAAAGCACCGAAGCACAGGUAAAAAUUAACAUGCUAAACAGUUAUUUGAGCAAGCUAAGUCAAAAGUUGGAUGAACAAGGAGACCACAUUGCUGCAUUGGUUAGAGAACAUAGAGAAUUAUCAUACCAAGUCUGGUGUGGUAAAAGAGAGAACUUAGGAAGGCAGAAAUACAUUGAGCACUUAACAACCCAAAUCCAUAAAGGGGCAUGUAAGGCAAGAGAGAUGGUGGAAGAGGCAGAGGCAUUAAGACAAGUAGUGGCCCCAGUAGGAGAACAUGGACAGCGUCUCUUAAACUUCAUAGAAGAAGCCAAAGCCCAGUAUGAAUAGAUCAAGGAAUUUUAUGGCUAUAAUUCUAGGAUGAUAAACUCAAUGUAGAUCAAAGUUUUUUUGGAAUAAAUGAAAUUUUUUAGUUGAAUACCGUUUUAAGGCAAAUGUUCUUUGCAUACAUGCAUUUUUCAUUCAUUGCAUUCCCAUUCAUUACACUUAACAAAGUAACUAUGUGAUGAUCAUGCAAAUUUACUAAUUCUAAGAUAUGGUACUCAAGGUUCCAGGAUAGCUCCAUCUAGAGAAAAUCCUACCCAUCGACACAACGCAAGAUCCAGAGCAAGGCAAAUGGAGCAGAAAAAUUCCCAUAGAUUUGAAAAGAUAGAAAAAGCACAGGAAAAGAUUGAAAGUGAGCUAAGCAAGAUUCUGGAGGCUCUUAAUAACAUGAAUAAAGGAAAAAGAGUUGAAGAAAAUACAAGCCAGCAAGUUCCCCUAUUACAAGAAAUGGUUGACCCUUUGUAUCCUCCAGGUUUUGGCCCACCUCAAGCCCAAUCUGCUCAAGAGGUCCCACCACAACACUUCGCAUAUUCGACAUAUCUUGGAAUGCCAUCAGCUUUCAACCCAAGGCAGUAUAACAACUAUGUAAAUCCUGUCUUCACUGAAAAGGCAACAGAACUAAUUCCUGAUCUAGAUGAUUUAAAAGAGAAGGAGAAAGAAAAUAUAAGAGCGAAAUUUCAGGAAAGCUCCAAGAUAAGCAUGCUAGAGCAAAGGCUACGGGCUGUGGAAGGAUUUAGCUUUUAUGGGUCAGUUGAUGCUGCUGGGCUCUGCCUAGUUCCUGAUGUGGUUAUUCUCCAUAAGUUUAAAGUGCCAAAAUUUGAAAAAUAUGACGGUACAAAGUGCCCCAAAACCCACAUCACCAUGUAUUGAGGAAGAUGGCAGCUCAUGCACAUGAUGAAAAAGUCUUGAUGCAUGUUUUUCAGGAUAGUCUUACUGGCUCUGCAGCCAGAUGGUAUGUUCAGCUGGACAGAACUCGCAUUUGCUCUUGGAGUGAUAUGGCACAUGAUUUCAUCAGUCAAUAUCGACAUAUCAUCGAUUUGGCCCCUGAUCGAUUGUCUUUAUAGAAUCUGGAGAAAAAAGCAAACGAGUCUUUUAAAGAGUUUGCCCAGAGGUGGAGGGAUGUUGCUUCUUAGGUACAACCUCUUCUGACUGAGAAAGAAACUACAGUGCUGUUUGUUAGCACUUUAAAACUUUUCUAUUAUGAAAAGAUGAUAGGGAAUGCAACGAAAAAUUUUGCUGAUAUGGUAAUCUCGAGAGAAAUCAUUGAGAGUGCCAUCAAGAAUGGCAAGCUAGAAGGAAAUGAAGCAUCUAGCAAAAGAGUCCUGAAGAAAAAAGAAAUUGAAGCUCAGGCUGUGAGCUUUGAUAGACAGUAACUUAGAGGUUAUUCACCUUACCCACCACCAGAAUAUCUGCCAUUUCACCUCGCUGUAAAUAACAUUUCCUUUCACCCUUACCAACCAUUUACACAACCAUCAUAUCCUCAAACAUAUCAAACCCCUCAUAGACCCCAAAAUACCAUGUAUAGUCCUAACAUUCAACCUACCCCAAGACCCCAAAAUCGCCCAACUAACCCCAUUGGUGGCUCGCGAGAGCAACGAACCACUCGUGAGAAACCUAUUUUGACCCAAUUCCAAUGACUUACACAGAAUUAUAUAAGGAGCUCUACAACAGUCAUUUGAUUGCUCCAAGUAAACUGGAACCCCUCAAGCCACCUUACCCUAAGUGGUAUGAUCCCACCGCCCACUGUGAUUACCAUUAUGGGAUUGCUGGUCACUCUACCGAAAAUUGCACUACCCUGAAACACAAAGUGCAACAGUUGAUCAAGGAUGGGAUGAUUUGCUUUGAUACUGGAGGGAUGACUGCAUCGAAUGUUAGUGGUAAUCUUUUACCGGAUCAUAAUAUGAAUGCUAUAGGUAAAGAACAGGAGCAUCAUGUGAAGAAGAAAGUCGUAAAUAUUAAGACACUUUUCAGCCAACUGUUUGAUGUUUUACAAAAAGAAGACAUGAUACAACUGGUAAGUCCACACAGCUAUCAUGGAGCAUAUAUAGCUGGUACUAGUUGUAAGUAUCAUAAUGGGGCAAUGGGUCAUUCCAUUGAGACUUGUGAGCAAUUUCACUAGGAGGUGCAAAAACUCUUGUAUUCAUAUCAGAUGGAGAUCUAUGAAGAAAAAAAAGACUUGAAAAAUAUUGAGGUGCACAUGACUGAUAAGCCUGUAAAGUUGUUUCCAAAACUAGUGACAAUUCAAUAUGGGAACAAACCAAAGUCAGUCAUAAACAAACUCCUCCCCAAGUUGAUAAUUUUUAAAGUCUCGACUCUUUUUCCAUACAAAAAUGAUAAAGCUAUACCUUGGAGAUAUGGCUGUGACACUGUAGUUCAGGGAUAGAAAGAAGAAGUCUCCAAAGUCGAUGCUUCUAAUAUUACCGGUGUAAGAGGCAUUACUCGAAGUGGGAGAUGUUACAUUCCAAAAAUGCUAUAGAAGGCUAGAAAGGAGAUAGCUAAAGAAGGAGAAAGAUAGAAUAAUCCUGAGAUAGAACCUAAAGAAGAUCAGCCAAAACCAGCAUCAGAAAGAGAGGUUUACAAAUUUUUGAUGCUGGUAAAACAUAGUGAGUAUUCUGUUAUGGAACAGUUGAAUAAAAUGCUAGCUCGAAUCUUAUUAUUAUCACUAUUGCUAAACUCAGAGCCACACCAAAACGUCCUACUGAAAGUGUUGAAUCCGGCAUACGUGGCACAUAAUGUAUCUGUUGAACAUGUGAACCACCUGGCUGGAAAUUUAGUCAUGCCAAAUCACAUUUCAUUCAGCGAGGAUGAGAUUCCUUUGGAAGGAAAAAGAAAUGCCAAGGCUCUACAUAUCACAGUCAAGUGCAAGAGCCAUAUUAUAGCCAAGGUCCUUAUUGAUAAUGGCUCUUCUAUCAAAGUCAUGCCUAUGUCAACUUUGGCAAGGCUACCCAUUGAUUAUUCUCAUAUGAAGGAUAGUCAGAUGAUUGUGAGAGCCUUUGAUGGGACCAGAAAAGAAGUCCUAGGGGAUAUUGAAAUGCCUUUACAAAUUGGGCCAUGCACUUUUAAUAUAAAAUUUCAAGUGAUGGAUAUCUCUCCAUCCUACAGCUAUCUGUUAGGAAGACCAUGGAUUCACAUGGCAAGAGCUGUGCCUUCUACUUUGCACCAGAAGAUCAAGUUCAAUGUAGAAGGUCAAUUGGUAGUGAUAGUUGGGGAGGAAGACAUGCUAGUGACCUAACCAUUGAACAUUCCAUAUGUAGAGGCUGUCGAAGAAGAAUUGGAAUGUUCCUAUCGAUCUUUUGAAUUGGUCAAUUCUGUAGGUGAAGGUUUUCAAAAUUAGCCUUUUUCAAAAAUAGUGGUGAGCCAAGUCAUCAACAAGGGUUGGUAUCCAGGACUUGGGCUAGGCAAAAACUUGCAGGAAAUUAAAGAGCCUCCGACAAUAAUAGAUAAUAGCGACAGGGUAGGCCUAGGCUAUGAGAUGGUAGAGUGGGAAGUCAAAAGAAGGCCAUCAAGAAAGAUAGCAAGACUGAUGUUUAUCCCAUACUUGUAUGAAACCUUCAGACCUGGAGGAUUCAUGUACCCAGAUGUAAGAAAAAGUGUGGAAGACGAUUUUGACCAGUUAGCCAUUAAUGCUGUUGAAGAUGAAGUGAGGGUUAAUCAAGAGGAGUGGGUUCGCCUUUGUCCACCAGAUUUUGAGCUCAAUAAUUGAAGUGCCAUCGAGAUGCCUUUAACUUUUGAUUUAGAUGCAAUGUAAUUAUGACAUCCUAAUAGCUAUUACCCAAGGCAUUGGGGUGAUCUUUUUUAUUCGGGCCAUUCAUCAUUUAUUAUUUUUAAUAAAAAUUAGGAAGUAUGCAUUUUCAUUCAUUUCUUCUUGUGUCUUCAUUAUUUCCAUCUCUCUAAGCACAUCUUGCCAACAUAUCCCAUUUCAUUCAAUUGCAGGUCUUUAAAUGAACAUGAAGAUAAUCAUGAUAACAAUCAAGAGGUUAGCUUUGAGAAUUCAAUUAACACUGAUGAACUUGACAAUGAAGAAAAUUCUGAAGAAUAUGUUAUGCCUCCAAACCUAAUGAGGAUGAUUGAACAAGAGAAUAAGCCAAUUGAGCCUCAUCAGGAGGUAGUGGACUUAGUGAAUCUGGGAGAUAAAGAAAAUAAGAAAGAGGUUAGAAUGGGCACUUCACUUUCAUUUGGAGAUAGGCAACGAUUGGCAGACCUACUUCGAGAAUUUGUAGAUAUAUUUGCUUAGUCUUACCAGGAUAUGCCAAGGCUGAGCACAGAAAUAGUGGAGCAUAGAUUACCCCUAAAGCCAGAAUGUAAGCCAGUUUAGCAGAAACUGAGACGGAUGAAGCCCGAAAUACUACUAAAGAUUAAAGAGGAGGUGAAGAAACAAUUUGAUGCAAGUUUUCUACAAGUGCCUAAGUAUCCAGAAUGGGUAGCCAAUAUAGUCCCAGUUCCUAAAAAAGAUGGAAAAGUACGAAUGUGUGCAGACUAUCAGGACUUAAAUAAGGCUAGCCCAAAAGAUAACUUUCUUUUGCCUCAUAUUGACACACUGGUAGAUAACACGGCUAAGCAUUCAAUUUUCUCCUUUAUGGAUGGUUUUUUGGGGUAUAAUCAGAUAAAAAUGGCUGUGGAGGAUAUAAGGAAAUACUACUUUUGUGACCAUGUGGGGAACCUUCUGCUAUAAAGUCAUGCCUUUGGGCUAAAGAAUGCUGGGGCAACAUAUCAAAGAGCCAUGGUAACACUCUUCCAUGACAUGAUGCACAAAGAGAUUGAGGUGUAUGUAGACGAUAUGAUUGCAAAGUCUUGUGAGGAUGAAGAUCAUGUUACUAGCCUCAGAAAGUUAUUUGAAAGAUUGAGAAAAUUUCAACUCAAAUUAAACCCAGCCAAGUGCACUUUUGGGGUAAAGUUAGGGAAGUUGCUAGGCUUUGUGGUUAGUGAAAGAAGAAUUGAAGUCGAUCCCGAUAAGAUACGGGCCAUCCAGAAUUUGUCACCUCUUAGCAUACCAAAAGAAGUUCGAGGUUUUCUGGGGAGAUUGAACUACAUUUCUCGGUUCAUCUUUCAGCUUACUUACAAAUGUGAUCCCAUAUUUAAGCUUCUCCGUAAGAAUAAUCCUGGGAAAUGGAAUGAAGAAUGUCAAGAGGCGUUUGAUAAAAUUAAGCAAUAUUUAUCGAACCCUCCAGUAUUGGUGCCACCUAUUCCAGGGAAACCUUUAAUCUUAUACUUAACUUAUGUGAAGGUUCAAUGAUAUGUGUGCUGGGACAGCAAGACGAGGCCAACUGAAAGGAGAGAGCUAUUUACUAUCUGAGUAAAAAGUUCACUGAAUAUGAAUCCAAGUAUUCUUUAUUGGAGAAAAUGUGUUGUGCAUUAGCGUGGACUACUAAAAGACUUAGACAGUAUAUGCUCUAUCAUACUACAUGGCUCAUAGUGAAACUGGAUCCAAUUAAGUAUAUCUUCGAGAAACCUUCUUUAUCUGGGAGAAUUGCUAGAUGGCAAGUAAUGCUCUCGAAAUAUGAUAUUAUAUACGUGAGCCAAAAAGCAAUAAAAGGAGGCACUAUAAUAGAAUUUCUUGCAGAUCGUGCUACUAAAGACUAUGAAUCGAUGAAGCUGGAAUUCCCUGAUGAAGACUUAAUGACUAUUUUCCAACCGGAGGAAGGGGAACAUGUAGAAAAAUGUUGGAGAAUGUACUUUGAUGGAGCUGCUAAUGCCUUGGGGCAUGGAAUUGGGGUAAUUCUAAUUUCUCCAGAAGAACAAUACUAUCCUGUAACAGUGAGGUUAAAUUUCAAUUGCACAAAUAACAUCGCUGAAUAUGAGGCAUGUGUCAUGGGCUUGCAAGCUGCUAUAGAUAGAAGAGUGAAAGUACUGAAAGUGUUUGGAGACUCAGCUCUAGUCAUAUAUCAGUUGAAAGGAGAAUGGGAGAUGAGAGAUUCAAAACUCGUUCUGUAUCAUAAGUAUAUUCUAGAGUUGAUGAAACAAUUUAAAGAUAUCCAGUUUGAUCACUUACCUCGAGAAGAGAAUUUGAUUGCUGACGCAUUGGUUACUAUGGCUGUAAUGAUUCGAAUUAAUGAUAAUAUCGACAUUCAGCCUAUCAAGUUAGAUGUUAAGGAUAUACCAGCUUAUUGUUCUAAUGUAGAGGGAGAAAAAAAUGAAAAGCCCUGGUAUUAUGACAUCUUACAGUAUGUCAAGGAUCAACAGUAUCCAGUUCAAGCAAUAGAAAAUGAUAAAAGGGUCAUCCGAAGAUUGGCUAUGAGCUUUUUCCUGGAUGGGGAUGUCCUGUACAAAAGAAGCAAGGAUCAAGUAUUAUUAAGGUGCGUAAAUAAGACUGAAGCGAAGAAAAUCAUUAAAGAGGUGCAUGAUGGAAUAUGUAGGGCACAUACUAGUGGACAUGUGAUGGCAAGACAGAUCAGGAGAGCGGGAUAUUACUGGUUGAUGAUGGAGAAUGAUUACGUUGACUAUGCUCGUAAAUGCCAUAAAUGCCAAAUAUAUGCUGAUAAGAUCCAUGCUCCACCAUCUGUUUUACAUGUUAUGGCACCACCAUGGCCAUUUUCAAUGUGGGCAUGGAUGUCAUUGGCCCAAUCACCCCAAAGGCUUCUAACUGGCACAUAUUCAUUUUUAUGAUGAUAGAUUACUUCACAAAAUAGGUAGAAGUAGCAUCAUAUGCAAAUGUGACACGCUCCGUGGUUUGUAAAUUCAUAAAGAAAGAGAUCAUCUAUAGAUAUGGACUUUUGGAGAGAAUUAUUUCAGACAAUGCUAAGAAUCUAAAUAGUAAGAUGAUGCAAGAAAUAUGUGCUCAAUACAAGAUCAAGCAUCAUAACUCGGCACCAUACCGUCCGAAAAUGAAUAGGGCAGUUGAGGCAGCCAAUAAGAACAUAAAGAGGAUUUUAGAGAAGAUGACCGAGACUUACAAAGAUUGGCGUGAGAAGUUGCCAUUUGCAUUGCAUGCAUAUCGAAUGUCAGUUCACACCUCUACUGGGGUAACCCCAUUUUCUUUGGUUUAUGGGAU